GUUUUCAAGUUUAACGGUGUAGAAGUAUUCAAAUCAGAUGAAAUUUUGAUAGAAAAUUCUUUAUACUAUCUACAACAAGAUCUAUAUUUCUGAUCGAAAAUUUUAGUGCUAUAUCACCACUUUUUAUAGGAUUUUUAUUUUCAGCCGUUAAAAAUUAUUGAUUUUGAAUCCUUUCGAUUGCUAGGUAAAUGAUAUCGAAAAAUCAUAAAAAUUAUUUUCUAGAAACUUUAAAUACGUUAGAUCAAGUUUAACGGAGCCGAUCGUCGAUUCGAAAACUCCAUCAUCGAAAACGGCUCAGGAGCACGGAGGCCUCCGUACUCCUGAGAGCACAGCAGCCCUGCUCUAUAUAUAUGUAUAUAUAUAUAGAGUGCGGCUAGUAUGCUUAUGGAAGCACGGAGGUCUCCGUGCUUCCAAUUUGUUUUCGAUUUUGGGACUUUCGAAUCGACGAUCGGCUCCGUUAGACUUGAUCUAGAGUAUUUGAAGUACCUAGAAAAUAAAUUUUAUGAUUUUUCGAUAUCAUUUUGCCUAGUGAUCGAAGGGGCUCAAAAUCAACGGCUGAAAAUAAAAAUAUCACAAAAUGUGAUGAUAUGACAUUAAAAAUUUAGAUCAAAGAUAUUGAUUUUAUUUUAUAUAGUACAAAAAAAUUUUUAUCAAAAUUUCACGUGAUUUGGAUAUCUCUACACCGUUAAACAUGCAACCAGCUCACCACGGCCGUUAAAAUUAUUGAUUUUGAGCCCCUUCGAUCACUAAGCAAAUGAUAUCGAAAAAUCACAAAAUUUAUUUUCUAGGUACUUCAAAUACUCUAAAUCAACUCUAACGGAGCCGAUCAUCGAUUUGAAAGUCCAAACAUCAAAAACGACUUGAAAGGGAGGCCUCCGAGCUUCCAUAUAUAAGCAUACCAGCGCAACUAUAUAUAUAUAUAUAUAUAGCUAGAUAAUGUUCAUUCUCAAUGUAAUACCUGAAUUUUUGCGGAGAAAAAAAGAGAUAUUCGAGUCAUAUAAUCAUGUUGCGUUAAAUUAACUAGCAACUAACCCGUGGAAUGCACGGAUUUUAAUUUUAUCUUUUAAAUUACAUCUUUUAUAUAAUAUAUAUAAUAUUAAUUUUUUCAUAUUAAGUUUUUUUAAUAUCUUUUUAUGACAACUUUUAUAUAAUAUAUAUUAAUUUUUUGCAUAUUAAGCUUUUAUUAGAAAAACUAUUGAAUCAAAUUAAAAUAAUACUAUCAUGAUAUACUAAUAGAAUGUAAGUAAAUAAUUUAAAAUAAAAAGAUUUUAAAAUGAAGAAGUAAAAAGGUUCAAAUCCAUUAGAAAUUUAACAUAAUUAUUAUUUAUAUAUUUUUUAAUACUCAAAAUUGAAAUGGUGAAGAAAAUUAAUUUUAUUCAANNNNNNNNNNNNNNNNNNNNNNNNNAUAUAUAUAUAUAUAUAUAUAUAUAUAUAUAUAUAUAUAUAUAUUUGUGAACUAAAAAAUAUAUUAUGAUUAGUUAAAAAAAUAUAUAUUAUGAUAAGUGCGCCACGUGGCACAUUAGAAUUUUUUAUGUAAGUGCGUCACGUGGCAUCUUAUGGUUCAAUUAGAACCAUACUUCUAAAAUUAGAUAUAUAUAUAUAUAUAUAUAUAUAUAUAUAUAUAUAAUUGACUAGUUACAGUGUUAAGGAUUAAUUUAUUCAUCUUUUGUUCCUCACACUCAUAUAUUCUACGGAGAUAAUAGUUGGAACCAAUUAAAAUAAUUUACUUAGAAUAUGAUUGAGGCCAUAAAUAUUAUACGAUAUAUAAAAAAAAGUAUAUAUAUAUAAAAAAGGCGUACAAAUCUUAUGUAAAUUAUAAAUUAUUUUGAUUUGAACAGUAAAACUAAAAUUUUAAAAAUUUGAAUAGCCGACACAAAAUAAUUUAUAUAUAGAUUAUCUGACCUCUUGUCACAUCAUAUGGCUGCCAAAAAUAAUAUAUCCAAUACAUCAGUUAAUGCCACCAUUUCUCGAACCGAGGAUUUCGCCUGACUAUUCCUCAAAAUAAUGAGACAUAUACUUGCCUCUGCACGAAUUAAAAUCCCAACUAACGAAAAUAUUGUAUAAAAAAAUCCCAAUUUAAUUUGGUCAUUCAAUGCCAUGCAUGUGCCAACCCUUUUAAGUAGGACAAAAAUUUCGUGGACAUCCGUGUCCGAGCUAUUUUUUUCUGCCGUUAGAAUUUGAUUAGAUUUAUAGUUAAAUCCUAUUUGGAUAAGAAUUAAUAUUUAAAUCUGUUUACGAUAAAUUAAGAUUUAAAUAUUAAUUAGAGUAUAAAUUUAAUUAGAUUAGAAUUAAUAUUUAAAUCUAUUAGAAAUUGAUUAAGAUAAAUUUAGAUAUUUCCCAACUAACGAAAAUAUUGUAUAAAAAAAUCCCAAUUUAAUUUGGUCAUUCAAUGCCAUGCAUGUGCCAACCCUUUAAGUAGGACAAAAAUUUUGUGGACAUCCGUGUCCGAACUAUUUUUUUCUGCCGUUAGAAUUUGAUUAGAUUUAUAGUUAAAUCCUAUUUGGAUAAGAAUUAAUAUUUAAAUCUGUUUGAGAUAAAUUAAGAUUUAAAUAUUAAUUAGAGGAUAAAUCUAACUAGAUUAGAAUUAAUAUUUAAAUCUAUUAGAGAUUGAUUAAGAUAGAUUUAGAUAUUAAUUAAAUUAUGAAUCCUAAAUAUAUUAGAAUUGGAGUACGUUUUAAGUUGACCGCUCUUUUUUUUGGAAGUAGUACGGCUGGAACCAUUGGGGUGUCGUACCAGAGAGAAAAAGAGAGAGAGAGUUAUUUUAGUGCACCUUAUGCACGGGUGCACGCGGAGAGGUCUUCUUUCUGGAUUUAUAGAAAACGAGACUUGAGAAGGGUAGAAGAGAUUCAAGAAAGAGGGCUCAAAUUAUAACUACUUUGUGCAGAAGAAGAGUCAGGUAUAAUAUUCUCUUAUUUAAUGAAUCUUAUUUUAUCUGCAUAUUUUUCGCUUUUGCUGAGGAAACGGGUUUAUGGUAAAAAAAUUCGAUUUGACAUUUCCGUUGUGGAAUUCCAACAAUUGAUAUCGGAUCCACAGCAGUCAGUAUCGAAGCGGGUUGCGGAUUCACGAGAUUCGGUACCGGGGCGAGUACCGGAUUCCCGACAUCGACAGGGAUGCGGAUGGGCGCCACGUGGUGUGCUCCGCUCAUCACCACCGCCCCUUCCCCUUUCUCUCUCUCUUUCUAAAAAACGGAGGCCCCCGAUAUUUUUUUUUUUGUUUUCGAGGGUCGCGAUGGGCGCCGCACACCACGCGGCGCCCAUCUGCAUCCGUGCCCAAAUAAAUAGUUUGGGCACGGAUGUCCACGAAAUUUUUUUCCCUUUUAAGUAAACCUCCCUUGGCGAAAUAUGGUUACAUUACUACAUAUUUCUGCAUAAACUUAGCCUAGAUAGCCAGUUCUAUAUCUUCUUCUCUUGCACUCUCUUCGAUCGAUAUUGGUUGAUCUUCUUCGAUGGCGAGAGACGGCGAAACACGUUCCAGGUUCCUCCGCGUGUACGAUUGCCUCAAGGAUGAGCUCCUCCGUGACCCGCUGUUCGACCACACGGAGGAGACGCGGCGACGGGUCGAGGAGGUGAGGAUCGAGAAUGAGUCAAGUUUUUGUUUGGGGAUAUCUAAAAGUUCUUUGAAAUGCUCGUUUGCUUGUUUGAAACUUGUUGCUUUCUUGAUGCAGGAUGUACAAAUUAGAAUGUGUACAACAAAUCAAUCAUUCGCUUGCCAUUGAAGUUCAUUUAAUGUUAAUAGAUAACACAAAAUUAAAGCGAAAACACGUAGAGACGUGUUUUUGCGUUUCCUUAAUAAACUAUAAGAAAUAUAGCAUGCUUGUCUCAUUACACAUACAAAUAAACAAAAUAUAUUUUAAUCAUAUUUUCUCAUUGUACAUAUAUAAUGCAAAUCUUCUAUUCCAAAGGAAGCGUAAGAAGGUGCUUUUUAGUUAAGUGCAAAACCAACGUUUUCUUUUUGUAAAAAAAAGAAACAUUCUUUUGUUUCGUUUAAAGGAUUUUGAAAGAAGUUCAUAAGAUACAUCUUGUUGCUAUACAUGAGAGUUCCUGUGUAAAACAAUCUUAUAUAGGGCUCGCUUGAUAGGAUAUAUACUGCAAGCAAAUAUUUAUAUUAAUCAUUCUCUCUAAUAUUAAUUGCAACAUUUAUUUUUCUUUUUCUUUUUUGGUACACGUACACAUGAUGCGAGUAUUGUUGGUACUUCACAUUUACAUCACAUCAUCAGUAACCCGCUAAUCACAUCAUUUUUUUCGAAAAAAUAGUAUAAUAAAAAUAUUUUUUUAACAUCUAUAGUAGGGUGGGUGAAUCCGAAAAAAAAUAUAAUUUGAUUAGUUGGGAACGCUGUAAUAGUAAUAUAUAAUUGAUUCAUUAUAAAUUUUUGUGAAACUUCAAAUGUCUCAUGGUUUCGUAUUUUCUCACUUUAGUACCUUGUGGUUUAAAGUGUAUCAAAUUAGUACCCUGUGGUUUUGUACUUUCUCACUUUAAUACCAUGUGGUUUAAAAUGUAUCAAGUUAAUACCCUAUGGUUUCGCACUUUUUCACUUUAGUAUUCUGUUGUUUAAUAUUUUUUUAAAUUAUAUAUAAAAAACUUCAGAUACCCUACCUAGGUUUAUCGAAUAUUCAUUUUAGUACCCUUUAUUUUUAACUUUAUCACUGAUUUAAUGAAAAAAAUAUUCCGAAAUAGAUAAUAAACAAAGAAAAAUGAAAUCACGGGGUACUAACUUGAUACAAAAAUGAAACCACAGAAUACUAAUUUGAUACACUUUAAACCAUAGGAUACUAAAGUAAGAAAGUACGAAACCACAUGGUACUAACUUGAUACACUUUAAACCACAUGGUACUAAAGUGAAAAAGUGCGAAACCAUAUGAUACUAAUUUGAUACAUCUUAAAUUAUAAAGUACUAAAGUGAAAAAAUGUAAAACUACAAGAGUUUUAUUUGAAGUUUUUUCUAAAUUUUUUCUGUCAGAAGGGAUCACUUGAGAUAGCUAGUAAAGAGAGCCAGUAAAAAAACACUUAUUUAUAAAAGGUCAAAAGCAAUUUAUGGUCGAACCAUGCAGCAAUAUGUUGCUUGGUUUGAUUAUCUACAUUUUUUUGCAAAUAUAAUAAAUAUUAGUAUUAUAGUAAGAUAUAAGAGUGAAAACAGACAUGAUAUUAUUCGAAAAUAUUUGUAUCCAUAUUCGAUAAUAUCUGAAUUCGGAUAGAAAAUAUUAUGAUCCGAUCGGAUACGGAUACGAAAAUGAUUUUAGGGCGUUAAAAUUUUUCAGAUAUCCUAAAGAAACGGAUAUGAAUGUAGAUAUCUGGACUUUUAGUAUUAUUAUUUUUAUAUUCUUUAUAUUUUUGGAUGUGUAUGGUCCAAUUUCGCCCGCUCGGCCUGCCCAAAUUCCUUUCCUCUGAUUCAUUACCAACGAAGGAUGAUUAAUACAUAUUAUAAAAAAAUAAGAUAUUUUUUCGGAGUUCCGCUAGAAUACUAUCAAUAGACCAAGCAUUCGGUGCUAUCAAAUUUUCCGCCGUUAAAUUUAAUAUUUUGAUUAUUUUCAUCUAUUUAGAUUAUACUAUUAAACCAAUAACUCACUCAACCAUAGGUAGGGAUGUCAAUGGGUAUGGAUACCCGAAAUUUUAUCCGAACCCGAACCCGAAUGAAAUGGAUAUAUCCGAUGGAUAUGGAUAUGGAUUCGGAUAUGGAUAUAAAAAAUAAAAACCCGGCGGAUAUGGUUUUGGAUAUGGAUUUUGAUUGUACCCGACCCGAACCCGAACCCGAACCCGAACCCGACCCGAACCCGAAUUUAUUUUGUAUUAUAUAUAAUAUAUAUAAAAAAAUUUGAUGUUAUAUUUGAAUUUGUAUUUUAAAAAUUUAGAUUUAAUAUAAUAUAUUUUAAAAUAUUGAAAAAAGAAAUAAUUGUUUCGGGUUCAAAUUUUCGAGUUCGGGUUCGGGUUCGGGUUUCGGAUUUUUGGUCGGGUUCGGAUUUGGAUAUGGAUUUUUAAAAUCCGUCGGGUUCGGGUUCGGGUUCGGGUCUCGGGUUUGGAGUCGGGUUCGGGUUCGGGUUUUUAAAAAUCCGCCCCGAAUCCGACCCGUUGACAUCUCUAACUCCUAAACCCUAGGGUCCACUCAUCUUAAUUGUACAUUUUUUCAUCUAAAGCCGAAAACAUAAUACAUCAAUAGUUGGUGCAUUGAUAUAUCCAGCCUAAAAUUUAUAUAUAUAUAUAUAUAUAUAUAUAUAGUCCGGCUACUAUACUUUUAUGAGUAUUAGCUUCCUUAUACUCAUAAAUUUUUUGUCUUUAGAUUUAUUCCAUUGAUCAUUUUCACCGGUUAGAUCAUACUAUUAAAACUAUCCACCCAACUUUAGAGGACAACUAUUAUUCUAAGUGGAGACCGCCAUCAUCCUAACCACAUAUCCCAUCAAUCAACGGUUAAACAUUUAUGAGUACAAGGGGGUCUAUACUCAUAAGGGUAUAAUGGCCCCAGCCUAUAUAUAUAUAUAUAUAUAUAUAUAUAUAUAUAUAUAGAGAGAGAGAGAGAGAGAGAGAGAGAGAGUGAGGCUACUAUGCUAUCGGAAGCACGGAGCCUUCCGUGCUUCCAGCUCGUUUUCGAUGUUGCGACUUUCGAAUCGUCGAUCGGCUCCGUUAAACUUGAUCUAGAGUAUUUGGAGUACCUAGAAAAUAAAUUUUAUUAUUUUUCGAUAUCAUUUGCCUAGUGAUCGAAUGAGCUUAAAAUCAACAAAUUUCAAUGGCCGUAGUGAGCCGUUUGCAAGUUUUACGGUAUAGAAAUAUUCAAAUCACGUGAAAUUUUGAUAGAAAAUUCUUUAUACUAUAUAAAACAAGAUCAAUAUCUUUGAUUUAAAAUUUUAAUAUCAUAUUAUUACAUUUUGUAAGAUUUUUAUUUUCAGCUGUUGAUUUUGAGCCCCUUCGUUUUCUAGGCAAAUGAUAUCGUAAAAUCAUAAAAUUUAUUUUCUAGCUACUUCAAAUACUCUAGAUCAAGUUUAACGGAGCCGAUCGACGAUUCGAAAGUCGCAACAUCGAAAACGAGCUGGAAGCACGAAAGGCUCCGUGCUUCCGAUAGCAUAGUAACCUCACUCUAUAUAUAUAUAUAUAAUCAGAAGCUUUUGCACUAUAGAGCAACAAUUUAUUUUGCACUGUAGAUCCGCUUCUGCUGGAGUUAGAAAUUGAGCCCAGCUUAUCAAUGUCAUAAAAUUAUGGGUUAAUUACACUAAUAGUCCCCAACCUUUCCACCAAUUUUCACUUAGGUCUCCAACCUUUUUUUUUUUUUGCAAUUGAGUCCCUAACCUCUUGAUUUCAUUUCAAUUAAGUCCCAGCUGUUAAAUAGAUGUUAAAAUUGACAGAAAAUACCACAUGUCUGCGCCACGGAGGCGCCAUGUCAACGCCACGGUGGCGUUGUGUCAGCGAAUUGUAAAAAAAAAAAAAUUGGGGACCAAAUUGAAUGAUGCUGACAUGGUGCCACCCUAGGGUCUCCAACCUUUUUUUUGCAAUCCGCCGACACAACGCCACUGUGGCGUUGACAUGGCGCUUUUGUGGCGCUGACAUUGUGCUGACAUGUAGUAUUUUCCGUCAAUUUUAACACAUAUUUAACGGCUGGGACUUAAUUGAAAUGAAAUCAAGCUAUUAGGAAUUUAAUUGUAAAAAAAAAAAAUUAGGAAUCCAAGUGAAAAUUGGUGGAAAGGUUGGGGACUACUGGUGCAAUUAACCCUAAAAUUAUGGUACUAUCUAUAUAUAAUUGUUGCAUUCUAAUGUAUAACGUUUGCUAAAACAAUUUUUUUUCUUUUUAAUUGUUCCUCGAUUAUCGUUUUGUUUUCUGGAUUGAAUAUGGAACUGUAGUGAUAUGUCGGUUUUACAUUUAUUCACCACUGUUUUAAGCAAAUAGCAAUUUGAAUAAAGAAGAGAGAGAGAGAGAGAGAGAGAGAGCAGUGCGGACUCGGACAAUCAUUAAGUUUUAAGCGAAGAACGGUAUGUACGGUCAUAUAAAAGAAAGUUUGAACAUGUGCAAGUUUAUUUUUUUUAAAAAAACAAUAUAUGUAAGAGAGAGAGAGAGCAUGAAAGUCUAAAUAAAAAUAUCAAAAUAUUCUAUAAUAUUACAUAACUCGAACCAAAUGCGCCCAAAAAGUAAUGCUAUCAAAGUUUUUGUCGGGUCAGGGUCAGGUUAGGUUCGGUAAGGAUGAGGUCUUGGUCAAAAGACUUAAUCUCGAGUUAAGUUGAGUUGAACCCCGUCAACUUUGGCUCGGUCGACUCGUGUGUGGUCGAGCUUGAUUUGAAUUCGGGCUUGACCUAGACGUAGGUCCGAGUACAAUUAAUUCGUCCAUAAAUCAGCCCAUUAUUCAGGCCCGUGAGUAGAGGCCCAUAAAGGCCAUCAAAAGGUAUAAAGGAUAAAAAUAAAUUAAAAUAUUUGUAAAGCAGUCCAAUACUUCCAACAUUCUCUAAACAUCAACGGUCGAAUUCGGGGACUCUUCCUCACUUUUCACUUUUGGGGAUCGAAACCCUAACCGGAUCCGGUCCAAGAAUCGGACGACACCAGCAAUGGGGAGGCGAUUAGGGUUCUAGCGACGUUCUUCUCCGAUCGUCCUCUCCCCCAUCCUUAUGGGCGAAGCGGAGGUUCGAUCAAGAACCAUUUUCGUGAUUUCUUUUUAGAAGAAGAUUGGUUUUGCUUGCGAGUAGAGUUUUUUUUUUCUUAUAUAUAGUUGAAUUAAGCGUUGGUUUUUUAGGCUAUCAAUGGAGGUUUCGUUCUCAACAUUUUUAGUUUGGGUACGUUUUUGACAUAUCUGGGAAGGGUUUCUUGGCAUCUCUUUGUGAACGAUCGAAAAACCUGUGGAUAAUAAUAACCGUAGCUUUGAUUCGCCAAAUAUAACAACAAGGUUGUGAGAAUUUAGAACUAGAUCUUGUUUAUGGAUCGGUAAUAUUUGUAGUUUUAAAAGUUUUGAACUAAAUUUUGUAUUCAUAAGCACUAUCUCAUAAUUUUUCUGGCAUUAGCUGAUAUUUUCUCUUUUUUGUUCUGUCCUUGUAACAGAUGCUGGACUACAAUGUACCUAGAGGUGAGGCAUUAUUUUGUUGUCAUGUUCUUAUUGCUUCUAUAUAACUAGAUCAUCUACUUUGUCUUUGACAGAACUAUUCUGUUCUGGAAACUGCAAAAAGUAUUAGUCAUAUAUGCAGAUUUUGACAGCAUAAGUUAUUUUUGUCAGGGAAACUGAACCGUGGAUUAGCUAUCGUUGAAACUUACAGGUUGUUGAAAGAGGGAGAUGAACUCAGUGAAGAAGAAAUUUUCCUUGCUUGCGUACUCGGUUGGUGCAAUGAGUGGGUAAACACUCAAUCUUUUGCAAAAUAUACUUCUUUAUGACUAAUUUUCUGACGUGAACACUAAUACCUGUAAUUCUCACAGCUUCAAGCAUGUUUACUCAUACUUGAUGAUAUCAUGGACAAUUCUCAUACAAGGCGAGGUCAGCUUUGCUGGUACAAGCUGCCUGAGGUUUGCAAAGCUUAUUCCUAUGAAACUUAACUUCAUUAUUUUACUCCUAACAGCAUCAAUAUUUAUAUGUGUGUAUUGAUUUCAAGGGUCAGCGUGCCGUUCCUCCAAGUAAUAUAACACUUCAAUGUUAUUACGGUUGGUAUUAAUUGUGUAAUUCGACAAUCGUAUGAGAAAAAUGGGGAUACUGGCAUCAAGAUUUUUCAUUUUGGAACCUGUACCAUGAAUUGCAAAUAUUUGCAUUACCCUAUAUUACAUGUUGAGACAUAACUUUUAAUAUCACUUCCAGACCUAUUAUGUUUGCCAUUUUGUGAAACUAUUAACUAAAGAUCAAACCAGUGUAGCUGCUUAAACCUAUUUGUUUUAAAACCACUAAGUUACAUUUUUUACUGAUACUAGGUUGGUCUUCAUGCUAUAAAUGACGGGGUUCUAAUAAAAUGCCACAUCCAUAGGAUAAUCAAAAGAUAUUUCAGAGGAAAGCCUUUCUAUGAGAAUCUCAUGGAAUUAUGUGAUGAGGUGAUCUUAACUGCACAUUGUCUUAGAAUAUUUGCACAUUGAGUUAACUGCAUAAAGGAAUAUUCCUUUGACAACUUGUGACAUAUUUUGACAGGUAGGGCUCCAGACUUCUUUGGGACAGAUGUUAGAUCUCAUUGUUACUCAUGAGGGAGAAAAGGAUCUCUCAAACUACACAAUGGCAGUGUAUGUGACAACAAAUGUGUUUUUUGUUAUAAUAAAGCUGUUAUUCAUGAUCAUGGGUUAGAUGGAAUCAGCACAAAAUAUUUGACAGGGUUCCCUGUUAGUUAUUUCCUGAUACUGCAUAUUUUCAAAUUUGAUUUUUGUUUAAUUGUAAAUUUGACCAAAACUUGUUUUUAGUCCUGAGCUCCUUUGGUCACUGUUUAUACAUUUAUGCCUAUAAUUAUAAGAGCAUAGAAAUAAAGGAUUUUAGUGCCAUGGGACAGGGUCGUGCCGAGCACUUGGUGAAACCGUAAAGCAUGGUGGGUGUUGUGUCGUGCCAAAGUGUGCCAUUCACAAAAAAAACUUGUGCCAACACACCGUCGCAUGAAAUAUUUAUUUUUUGGGGGGCCAAUAUAUUAUAAUUUCUUAUUAUAUAUUUUUAUCAAUUUUUUUGCACUUUAUUGAUGUAAUUAUUUAUUAAUUUCAAAGAAAAAAAGGUUUUGAGCUCUGUCAUUAGCACGAGAGUCGUAUGGUGCCGAUAUUUUAUUGGCACAGUAUAGCAUUAUGGACAUGGCUCGUGCCGAUGAACACUUAAAUCCUUAACAGGAAUGUUUGAUGAGAACAUAAAGGAGAAAACAUCAAAUAAAUGCGAUAUUUUCUAGAAGUUAAUUGGAUUUUUGUGACCACUGACAGCAUGGGUUUUAGGGUGUUAUCACUUGAACGGUUUAACACUGUUUUGGACAUUCAAAAUUUAUGCCUCGUAUCAUUCAAGUGCCAUAUUCCAUCAUGUUUAUGAUAAUCUUAUGUAUUAUGAAGAUAAAUUAUAUAAAUUUUAACCCUUAAGUUAGAAGGUUAUUCUAUAUCUAUGAAAUCAGUUACGCUUUGACUCCAAUAUCAAAAGCUGCAAAUCUGUAGUAUAAUAGUGAGCAAAUACUUAAACUUUUCAAUACUGAAACCAUGUCAAAGAAGCACCUUUGAUAUUGUUUCAGCAGAACUUCAUGAAGCUUUCUUGGCUUUGAAUUGAAAAUAGAUAUUGAUCUCACUGUGAAUAUGUGUACGUCAGAUCAAUGUGAAAUUUUCUCAAGAAUUUUAUGUGUUGUUCAUCAAGCACAAAUUGGUUUUGUUUGCUCAAAUCGUGCUUUUUUAUUUGCUUGCGCUAAAUAUUUUAAUUCUUUUGCAGAUAUCGCCGCAUUGUUCAAUACAAGACGUCCUAUUAUUCAUUUUACCUUCCUGUAAGUCAGAUUGAAUAUACACUUAUGGUUCACAUAUUUAUAGUAAUUUGUGUUUCUAAUUGAGGCCUUUGAUGGUAUGAGACAUGCUUGUUAUUCUUAGAGUUCAACAUUUAUGUUACACAGACUUUCUCUUGCACAUGAAGAAUACAUAUUAUGCAAGCAUGCAACCAUUAUUUUCUUUCUCUGUGCAUGGUGAAGCAUGAACUUCAAUAGAUACUAGCUAGGAUAAGCGGAAUGUAACCGUCAGUUUAGAAAUUUCGGCAGAGGUUGUUUUAUUCUGUUAAGGACUUCCUAAGAGGAGGACCUUUUUUUUUUAUUAUUCAAAGAUCAUAACUCUGACCAAAAGUUGUAAUGAAUUGUUUCCUGACGGUAUAGUGCUUGAAUCUGCAAGUUGAAUAUUUUUAUGUCCUACAGUUCUCAGUUAUUAAUGUUUAGGUUUGUAUCCUCAUCUCAUGAUGUUUCCUGAUGAGAAAAGUUGAGGCUACAAUAGUGAAAAUUUUGUCCUUGAUAAUUUGCUAUUUUGGCUAUAUUUUUAGUUGGAUAUUUGCUGCAUUUUUCUUGCACCUAAAGGCUGAAUGUUCAAAGUAUGUUUGUUGUUUAAGCGUCAGUAUUGUGAUCGUAUAUCUGAAGUACUAAUCUAGUCAGCCAUCCCAACGAGAAAUUAGCAUUCCUCUCAUUUAACGUGACAUUGCUGCUUAGGUGGCUUGUGCUUUGCUCUUGGCUGGUGAAAAUUUAGAUGAUUUCAUUGAUGUAAAAAACAUACUUGUUGAGAUGGGAAUAUACUUUCAAGUGCAGGUAUUUCUUUCUCAUAAUAAUAUAAUCCACUCCCAUUUUAUUAUUACUUGCUGAGCUUUUUCUCUUCUUCCUUCAGUACUGACUAAGGUUCCUUUUUAGGAUGAUUACCUAGAUUGUUUUGGUGAUCCUAAAGUGAUGGGAAAGGUAUUAAACCGACCGAGUUUGCUUACCCUUCAGUACAUUUAAAAAUUAGAAGUAUCAAAAUAUUGCUUUUCUCUUAUCUAGUUGAUAUGUCAAGCUUAAUUUGAUAAUCUUUUAGAUAUUGACAGAUAGGGACGGACAUUGAAGAUUACAAGUGCUCAUGGCUUGUUGUACAAGCCCUUGAACGUGCUAACGAUAAUCAAAGGAGAGUUUUAUAUGUAAGACUAGUAGCUCUCUCUCUCUUACUGUUGAUUUUUCUUUUGGAAAUUGACAAUAUAUCUACUCAUCUGUCUCAGGAGAACUAUGGGAAGUCAGAUUCUGUUUCUGUCGCAAAAGUAAAAAAUAUUUAUGAAGAGCUUAAUCUUCAGGUUUGACCAAUAUAUUCUCUCCCUGCUCUUCUGACGAUCUAGUCGAUAUAUCAAGCAUGCUUUUGUACAAUGUAUUUCGUUUCUUAGCAUGCUUCCCUUCCUAGAGAUGACAAAAUUUCACUACUGAGAACCAGUAGUGAUAUCACAAGCAUAUAAUUGAAUGGAAUGUCAAAUACUUCACACAAAAUAAUUUUGAGGCAACAUGACAUUUGCUAUUAUCACACCUAAAAUUCUAUAAGAAAUGUAAUGAGUUGCAUGCAAGUGUAAAUUUUAAUGUAAACCAAACUUCAGACAAAUGGUAUUUUAUUAUAUCCAUAUAUUUCACAUAAAGUUCUCAAGGCUUCUGUCAGAAUGAUGCCACAGUAAUGAGAAGGUCUAAGGAAUUAUGUGGUCAUGGGAAUCUUCACUUGGUUUAUCUGCAAUCAUUGCAAAAUCUAUUGUAUCUAAUUUAAAGCUAGACAUAACUUACUUUUAGCAGAGCCCUAUUUUUGUGUCUUCCGGUGCAACGCAAUAGAUUUUUUGAAGUGCAUGUUUUGAAAGUAAAUUUCUUUAAGAGAGAUUUACUUCCUGAUAAAACUCCACGAGUUCUGGUCAAUGCUAGCGAAUUUGUAUUUUAUAUGCUUCCCUUAUACAUGUGAACUUGUUGAGAUGUACUUUCUUCGGAAGUUCUACUCUUUGCGCUUGUAUAUCGCUUGUCUGCUUUUUCUCCUUUUUUUUCCUUUUUUUUUUUUUUUUUGUCUUUUACUGCAUUGUUUUAAACUACUGUUCAUGCGCAAUUGAUCGCUUGUUUUCUUAUGUGGUUUCUCGCUUUCAAGGAUGUAUUUUUCAAGUAUGGACUCGCAAGCUAUGAACAUCUCAUUUCCUCGAUCGAAGCUCAACCAAAUGCAGCAGUCCGGGAGGUCUUGGAAUGGUUCUUGAGGAAGAUUCACUGUAGGCAAAAGUGACCGUCCAAGAAUGUAAACAACGAAAAUAAACUUGUAAGUAUUCCUAUGCUUAGCUCAAGGCCCAUUAACCUUCGACAAUCGAUGGACAACUACAACAAUGCUAGCCUAUAUAUAAUGUAUGGUGGCAGUUUCCAUCCAAUUUGCAAUGUUUGUUUUUUCUCUAUUUCUGCGGCAAUGGCAGGAUAUAUAUGCAAGUCCUUAUUCUUCUAAAGCUCCGUUUUCGCAUUAACAAGAUGAUCGAGCGGAUACGGAGCCAUUUUAUUCCCAUCCAAUUACUCGAUAUUUGUAUUUUUGACGUCACAUAUAGUUUGUUACGUUGAACAAGUAUCCGAUUAAACAGAUAUAUGCAGUUAAUGAUAUAUUGUUCGAAAGUGUACCGCUUUUCUUUCCGCGUCCUCGGCAAUGUUUUGUGGUUUCUAACUUCCUAUCAAGAGAUCUUUCCAUUUCCUCUACGUAAUUGGAAGGAUAAUCACAUUUACACCUGUACUUGACCACUUUAAUUCCAAACCUUCACAUAUGUAAUAUAUUUUACCACUUUUUUUUUAUGAAGUAGCAAAGUCAUUUGAGUUCCAAAGCACGAUAUGCUAAAGUUUCAAAAUUUGGGAUAGUUCAGGGAUUAUCCAUGCAGAAAAAAAAAAAAAAAACAUUUGAUGGGCAAAAGAUCUCCUCCAUAAGCUACUAUUCACAAACAGAGGAACAACCAAAAAAAGGCAAAAAAGAAGCUCUACACGAAGUGCCCCAGCACUACGCUCCAUAUGCACAAUAAACACCCUAAAAAAAGGCAAAAGGGGAAAAAAAAAAAAAAACCCCGAUCUGAGUGGCAGUCGCUGUAAAUACGGCCUAGAACCAGGGCAAGAAGCGGGGGAGGGGGCUGGCGGCCGGCGUGGCGGGGGGAAGGAGGUGGGAGCGGCAAAGGGGCACGUGGCGUGUGGUAGUCGAGCCACGUCUCGAGGCAGGCCCUGUGGAAGGAGGUGGCCGCAGCUGAGCGGUCCACGACCGAGUCCGGCUCGAACCGGAGAGGCAGACGCGGCAGUCGACCGCGGCGCGCCGGCGCCGAACCGGACCGGCUUGAACCGGGCCCGAACCGGUCGGCGAGGUCGGGUCGGCGUGGCGGCGGACGCGUGGAGGCGGCGGCCGCGCCGGCCCGUCGUCGUCGUGUGUGGCGCCGGCGGGAACGGGGCCCGGAUUCGGAGGAAGGAGAGGAGGGAGCGGAGGAUCUCCUUGAGGAUGGACACGGAGACGCAAUCGUGUCACCACGAGGAGCGGCAGAGACCCCUCCGAUGGCGCCGGAAGGCUCGCGAUUCCCCAUCGACUCUCUUCCCCCCCCCCACGCCCCACCCCGCCCCACGCCCCUCCCGCCACUCUCCCCUCGCCCCUCUUCGAUCUACCUCGAUCGCACGCUCCCAUGCGGUCUUCUCGAUUCUGCGAACGCGAAAGGCACAGUGUGAGUUACUCACUCGAUUCGACGCCCAUUAAUUCCCGCAAAAUCUUCGAAACUUAGAAAUUGAAGGUUACGAUCUCGAAAAACAACAUCAUGUUACACACUUCGAUCGUGUUCGAUUCUUCCCCCAUCAAAAAGAGGAUAAACAACAAGGAUUAUCAACAGAGAUAAUCGAAACAAACCAAACAAAAAAAAAAAAAGAAUAUUAUCUACCUCAAAAAAGAUGAUAAUUUUAGCUCGAAAAAAAACAAAAAAAAAAGAUUUGCAAAGUUUUAAAAAGGAAAAAAGUGGAGAUUAAUUACUCGAAGAGCUCCGAUUUUGCUUUUUUUUUUUUUUCCUUCUGUGGAAAGUGUAGAUUGGGAGGGGAGCGAGAACGAGGAGGAUAUGGUGAGAGUCACGUGACCGAGCGCGUGAUAUGCAAUGGUCGAGUGUGAGCAAUGAGCUUACUCCCAGCGGGGGCCUUUAUAUAGCCGUUACUCUCCUACUCAUUAUUCUAUUUCUCGGACGCGACGCUAACGAACUUAACCGUAGUUAAUCCCAACCAUCACGUCCGGUUAAGUUGCCACCAACUCUAUAUGCGUACUAUAUAUGGUAGGUUCGAUCCUCAUCUGGGAACCAAUUAUUCGAUCCCCAUUUGAUGUAGGGGAUUAUAUUAUAAUAAUUAGAUCUGAGGAUCAAACUUUAAUUAAUUAAUAAUAUUUAUUAUUAAUAACUAAUACUAAUAAUUACCACUCCUAAAUAAAAACAAGAGAGCAUGUCACCAUCUCCCUAGCGCAUGGGUGCACUAACCGUUUGCUUAUUGCACCAAAAUUACUCCGGGUCCAAUAAUAAUAUUAUUAAUUAGGUAUAUUAAAUCUGAUCAAGUUAAUUUUCUAAAUUAGAUUAGAUCUAAUGUACUGUGCUAACUCGAAAAUUAUUUCUGCUUUGUUAGUGGAAAAUUAUAUAUAUAUAUGUACGUGUAAAUCUACAUCUCACUUAUUUUAGAAUUUCACAAAUUUUUAAAAACCUUUAGUAAUAAUUAAAAAAAGUUGAACAGUAAAUUUUGAAUAAGUAGGAUUUAAGAUUUACCUCAAAGUCUGUAAGUAUGAAAGAAUAGGGAAAAAAAAAAUCUAGUUUACUGCGGCGUCAUCUAUGACAUUGACAACCCUACACAUGUACGCUAAAAUGAUCAGAUUUUAAUUGCUAUGGGAACAAAACCAAAUGCAGAAUACACGAAAUGCCACAAAUGUAUAUAUCAUCACUACAUCAUUAUUAGGGAAUUGUUAUCGUGGCACUUUGUUUUUGGCUAGAUGAUGUUCCACUUAGUCGAAGAUUAUGGAUUCAGCCGAGAUAAAGAUAAAACGGAAAGAGACACGUUGGACAGGUACAUGUUGUCACAUUGGGGAGAUACUUCGUUAUUGUUGAUCAUAUAUAUAUAUAUAUAUAUAUAUAGAGAGAGAGAGAGAGAGAGAGAGAGAGAGCAGGACUGCUGUGCUCUCAGGAGCACGGAGGCCUCUGUGCUCCUGAGCCGUUUUUUAUAAUGGAAUUUUCGAAUCGACGAGCGGCUCCGUUAGACUUGAUCUAGCGCAUUUGAAGUUUCUAGAAAAUAAUUUUUGCGAUUUUUUUUAUAUAUCAUUUAUCUAGUGACCGAAAGGAUUCAAAAUUCAUAAUUUUUAAUAGUUGAUAUCUGCCGUUUUCAAGUUUAACAGUGUAGAAGUAUUCAAAUCAGAUGAAAUUUUGAUACAAAAUUCUUUAUAUUAUCUACAACAAAAUCAAUAUUUCUGAUCGAAAAUUUUAGUGUUAUAUCACCACUUUUUAUUAAAUUUUUAUUUUCAGCCGUUAAAAAUUAUUGAUUUUGAAUCCUUUCGAUUGCUAGGUAAAUGAUAUCGAAAUAUCGCAAAAAUUAUUUUCUAGAAACUUCAAAUACGCUAGAUCAAGUUUAACGGAACCGAUCGUCGAUUCGGAAACUCCAUCAUCGAAAACGGCUCAGGAGCACGGAGGCCUCCGUGCUCCUGAGAGCACAGGGCGUAUAUAUAUAUAAUAUAUAUAUUUUUAUAAUAUUAUAUAUAUAUAUAGUGGCGCUGGUAUGCUUUAUGGAGCCACGGAGAUUCGUGCUUACCACUUUGGUUUUCUCAGAUGUUCGGACUUUUCGAAUCGACGAUCGCGCUCGUUAGAGUUGAUCUGAGUUUGACACCUAGAAAAAUAAAUUUUGCAAUUUUCGAUAUCUUUGUCUAUAUGAUCGAGGCCAUGGUGAGCGGUUGCAGUUUUUUUCUAACGUGGUAUAGAAAUAUCCAAAUCACGAUAAAAUUUUGAUACAAUAAUUUCUUUUAUACAGUAUAAACAAGAUAAUAACUUUGAUUAACAAUUUUAAUUGUCAUAUUAUCUAUCAUAUUUUGGUAAGAUUUUUAAUUUUCGAGCGUGAAUUUUAAGCACUUCGAUCACUGGGCAAAUGAUAUUGAAAAAUCUCAAAUUUAUUUUCUAGAUACUUUCAAGACUUCUAGAUCAAGUUGCCUAACGGAGCCGAUCGUCAAUAUCGAAAGUUCGAACAUCGAAAAACAAUAGUGAAGCACGGAGCCCUCCUGCUUCAUAAGCAUCCUAGUCGACUAUAUAGUAAUAUAUAAUAUAUAUAUAUAUAUAAUAUAUAUAUAGGAUAUGAGUGGGCUGUAUGCUUCUUGAAGCACGAAGCCCAUCCGUGCCCUUCAAGUUGUUUUCGCAUGGUUCGGACUUUCGAAUCACGGUCGGCUCGAGGCCUUUUCCCUCCUGACGUUGGCUGAAGUUGAUCUAGAGUAUUUGAUAAAAAGUUACCUAAAUAAAUUUUAUGAUUUUUCAAUGCAUCAUUUGGCCUAGUUGGAUGAUCGAAGGGGCUCAAAUAUUAAUAAUUUUAAAGGCCGUGGUGAGCCGGUUGCAAGUUUAACGGUGUAAAAAUAUCCAAAUCACAUGAAAUUUUGAUAGAAACUUCUUUAUACCAUAUAAAACAAGAUCAAUAACUUUGAUCUAAAAUUUUAAUGUCAUAUCAUCAUAUUUUGUAAGAUUUUUAUUUUCAGCCGUUGAUUUUGAGCUACUUCGAUCACUAGGCAAAUGAUAUUGAAAAAUCGCAAAAUUUAUUUUCUAGGUACUUCAAAUACUCUAGAUCAAGUCUAACGGAGCCGAUCGUCGAUUCGAAAGUCCGAAGAUCGAAAACAACUUGAAAGCACGGAACGCUCCGUGCUUCCAGAAGCAUACCAGACGCUAUAUAUAUAUAUAUAUAUAUAUAUAUAUAUAGUCCGGCUGGGGUAUUAUCGAUAGCACUAAGAAUUUGGUGCUAUCGAGUUUUCCACCGUUAGAUUUAAUCCUUUAAUUAUUUUUAUCCGUUAGAUUAUACUAUUCAACCUACCACUUAUUCAACUCUAGGGGCCCCACAUCAUCCUAACCAUUCAUUUAUCAAUCCAAAGGCUAAAAAAUCAAUAGCACCAAUAGCUUUGUGCUAUUGAUAGUAUUCCAUUCUAGUUCAUAUAUAUAUAUAUAUAUAUAUAUAAAAUUGAGCUUCUAUGUUUUUAAAAGUACCAAGUUAUUGGUGCUUGUAGAUUUUUAGCCAUUGGAUUAAGUGAUAUACGGCUAGGAUGAUGUGGGCCCCUACAGUUGAGUGGGUGGUUGGUUGAAUAGUAUAAUCUAAUGGUUGAAAAUGAUCCGAGGAAUAGAUCUAAGGGUAAAAAACUUACAAGCACCAUAGCUGGACUCUAUAUAUAUAUAUAUAUAUAUAAUUGAGCUAGAAUACUUUUAGAAGUAUCACCCUCUUAGUGCUAUUAGAUUUUUAGUCCUUGGAUCUAUUCCUUGAUUAUUAAUAGCUAUUGGAUCACUAUUCCACCUACCAUCAUCAUCCCAACCUUAUAUUUUUCCAUCCAAGGGUUAAAAACUCAAAAGCAUCAAUCUCUUGGUGCUUUUGAUAGUAUUCUAGCUCAACUCUAUAUAUAUAUAUCAAAUACGGGUAAGGGUAACGCAGCAUUUAGGAGUCAUUUGAUUUAAUGCAGUUAUAAAUACAGUAUAUUUGAAGAUACAUGCAAAUAGAAACACAACGGUUAUAACUUUAUUAUAUUCUAUUUGGUUCGAUAUAGUAAAAAGCACUGCAAUUUAUAACUAUAAAAAAUUUGUUUGGUUACAUACAGUUGAAAAAUAAUUUUUAAAAUUUUAUAAUUAUAUAUAUAAUGGUAAGAUUACUUUCAAUAUAAAAAAAUAUUUUUUUAAAAAAAUAAUUAAGAAGGUAAGUAUAUUUUUUGUUUAAAGUUACCCUCUUCAUCUGCUGUAGUUGGAACUGCGACCAAUUUAGGCGUAGUUCCAACUACUAGAAUUGGGCCUCCUUUUACAGUUCUUACUGCAGCAGUUGAAGUUAAAUACGUCAAACUAAAUAUCGAAUUUGUAUUUAUAUAUAGUUACAAUUGCUUGGAUGCAACCAAACAGUUCUUUUAGUAUAGUUAGGGUAUGUUUGUUUCACUAAAAUUGGACUUUCGGUUGAAGUGGAUUUUAGGUUGAAGUGGAGUUCGGUGAAAACUACUUUUUUCCCACUGUUUGUUUUAUGGAAGUAAAGUUUUAUUAAUUCUACUGUUUGUUUUGAUAGAAAGUGUAUGAUAUAAAAUUAUAAUUUAUAUAUAAAUAAUAAAUAUUUUAAUAAAUAAAAAUAAUAUAAUUAUAUUUUUAUAUCAUUAAAAUUUAAUUUAAAACAACUAAAUUAUUUUUGUAUACUUAAAUUAUAGUAAUACAACAAUUAAAUUAUAAAGUCAAAACAAUAUUAAUACUUAAUCAAUCAAUUUUUAUCAUAUUUUAAAUGUACAAACUAAAUAAAGAAAAUAUUAAAACUUAACUAAUCAAUUUUUAUCAUAUUUUAGAUAUAUUAAUUGAAUAAAAAAAUAAUUAAUAAUAUAAUUAAAUAUAUUUAAAUAUAACUAUUUUUAUCUAUAAUAUUAUUUUAUUAUUUUUUCUUCAUCUCUCUUCAUCAUAAUUGGCUUCGGUCCACGAUGGGACGAAGUUAAUUACGUCGUUUGAGAUUAACUCGAAUUUCGACCGUAACCUUUUUACGAUGAACCAAACAACAAAAAUAAUCGUUUAUGACGAAAACGACUUUCCUUCUGCCCAUUUCUGCCCCAUUUCUAUCCAAAUAAACACGACCUUAGUGCGAUGCGUCGUUGUCGUUUUUUUACCAAGUUCAUCGAGAAACUUGCGCUGUACGAUAUUAAUACAUUAUUAAUGGGCUCCUCUUCAGUUGAUGUGAUUAUUUUUCGAGAGGAAAAGAUUUUUGUUUUUUCCUUUUGAUGAAAACGUUUUGGAUCGCGAAACUCUGGGCGUGGAUUGAGUUAGGUUGGAAUCAAUUAGGAAUUUUUGAAGUAUCAGAUUCGAAUUUGAAACCCGAAGAGUGUAACGUGUGAUAGAAACACCAGUAUUUUUCCAACCCCGCAUAUUAAAAAAGUAGGGGCAAUUUUUAUAUAACUUUUAAAAAAUUUCGAUUUUUUUAUUUACCUAUCUUAGAAAGUUAAUAUUGAAAAUAUUUUUUUUACGUUCCAAUAUAUUUCUAAUAUACCGCUAAAGUUAAAAUCUGUUAAUGAACUUUAUUAUUUCUUUAAAAUUACUAUUUUGUCCUUUCAAAUAUACCCUUCUACUAUCACCGACUUUUUUUGUGGGGUAAUUUCAUAGAUACCCCUCCCAAAGUUUAAAAUAUCAUCUAUAUCCCUAUAAAGUUUAAAAUAUCACAUAUGCCCUUGUAAAUACUGAAAAUUAUCACCAUUAUCUCUACCGUCAGUUGUGUUAGUUUUACACUAGUUAUUAAAAGGUUAAAAAUGGGUUAACUUUUAAAAUAACCUAUUUGCCCUCAACUAUGCUAAGUAAAAAAAGGUAUGGAGACCCUCUCAACUAUAUGCCAUUUUGAAACUGCUCCCUCAACUUUUAUUCUUCUAGUUGACAACCCAUUAACUUUUAGUUUUUUAAAAAAUUAACUAAUUUUAGUGUAUGAAAAAUGAGAAUUUUAUCAAGUUUUUUGAUGAUUUUAUCAAAUCUAGUAGCUCUAUUUAAAUUUUGGCAAAUAAAUAACUAUAUAUAAAAAUUUAAAUAAAAAUAAAAGUUGAGGAUUUUUCCUAUCUUUUUUUAAUAUUGGAAGCUUAAAAAUUUUUUAAGCCAAAAUUAUUCUCAAUAAUUUUCUCCAUUAAAUACAUUAAAAAACUAAAAUAUAAUAUAUUUUAGCCUACGAACAAAACUCUCUUUUUUCUUUUUUCAGUCGACAAAAAAAUGCAUGCAUAUUGUUAUUUGAUUUAUUUUUUAUUAAAUAGGAAAAAAAAUUAAAUCUAUCUUUUAUUUCAAAAUUACUAUUACUGAUUAGGAAUGUGAAUUGAUAUAGGUACACAAUUUUAUCUGAACUCGAUUUUGAAUGGGGUGAGCUUAAUCGAUGCUAAGUACGAAUAGUUUCAAUUAAAGUUACAAAAAAAAUAAAAUCGCAUUAUAUUCAAACUCAAUUAUGGUUUUGGUUUAUAUCCAAACCAAACCUGAACCGAAAUCCGAAGCCGAAAACAAAACCAAAAUCAUAUAAAAACAUACUAUAUAUAAAAUACAAUUUUUAUAUAUUUUUUAAUAAUUAAUAUAUAUUAAUAAUUUAAUUUAAUAUUUAGUAUAUUAAAUAAUCAAAUUUAGGUUUACAGAAAUUGUCUUGAAAUAUCUAUUAGUAUUUCUACUACUGUUGGUGAGAGAUAAAGGGUAAAAAUAGCAUUUUAAAAAUAUAACUCCAUUUUAAAAGGACUUUGACGAACUUAAAUAGUGAAGGGCAUUUAUGAUAAUAUAGUUUUUGAUAUAUCGGAGGGCAUUCAUGAUAUUAUCAAUUUUAGAAGGGCAUUGAGGAAAUUAAUAGUCCCCGAAAAGGUAUCUAUGAAAUUAUCCCUUUUUUUAUUUGCCCUUAAGUUAGAAAAGUAUUUUACUUUUUAGUCUUUUCAAAUAUAUCAUUCUAACAUUACCAACAUUUCUUAUUUGCCCUUAAGUUAAGGGUAAAAGUAGCAUUUUAAUUUUUUUUAACCUUGGUAGAUAUUUAACUCACGUUUAACCCAAGUUAAUUUAAUGAUUGGUAACUGCAGAAAUAUCUUGGAAUAACGGAGAAACAUAUGAGAAGUAUAUUAGAAAGAAAAAAAAAAUUAAGAGUAAAUAAGAUAUUUUCGAAGUUUUCAGGAGUAUAUAGACAAUUAUUCUAAAAAAAGUAUAUAAUUAACGUGGNAAAAAUAGAUGAAGAUACAACAAAAGAAUCACUUAAUAAAAAGAAGAGUUACAGAACCUAACCAGCAAAGAUUUUAAAAAAAUAAAAUAGCUAAGAACCAUGAUCCCAACACCUAAAUAAAAUAAAGAAAGAAAGAAAUGUUAACCAAUACCCAAAAUCUAAUUAAUUAUCAAUCAAGAUGAUGAACACUAAGCUCAUAAUAUAUAUAAAAAAAAAUAGAAAAUACGGUAAACAAAAGUAAUCAUCCAAACUUUAUAUACUUGGGGUUCAGUUUUCAUCCCUCAACGCACAGCAGAACAUCCUGAUCUCGAAAUUUGCCAUGCUCCAGUACGAAGGAUAUACAUAAAAUUGACGAUGUCUUAUAGAUAAAAGAGAACUUCUAAAUAGUAAGAAAAAAGAUAGUAACAGAGAAAACGAUGAAAAAAAAAAUACAAUGCACAAACUCGGAGCGAAGAGGAAGUCCAUAGAGAGGUUUCAAAAAGAGAAGGGGAAGAGUCUAGACAAUGCUCAUACUUUUCAAUACAAACUUUUGUGUUCGUUACGAUUUUUAUUUUUAAUUAUAAUGUAGAAUUCUUUUUUAUUUGUUUUCCUAACGACAGUCAUAAUUUAUUAAAAUAAUAAUAACCCACAUUUUUAUCUUAAAAGAAGAUUUAUGUUAUUAUGUAUGUAAGUACUGAAAGAUUGAAUCCGUACAUCCGGGCAUCUAAUAAUGCACCUCAGUACCAUUCAACUAUACAUAGCUGCUUCAUAAGUAUACAAAGUUAGGUUUUCAUGCACUGAAAUUAAUGCACUCCAUCACUAGCUAUUAUAUAAAAAAAUAGAUAUCACUGACUGUUGUAGCGCCCUAGUUAGUUAAUUCGCGAAUUAUUAAAAAUUCGAAUUAAAUGAUCCGUUUACGAAUUAAAAAAAAAAAUUAUUCGUGAAUUUUUGGGCCAGUCAAAUUAUUCGCAAAUUAUUUCCAAAUUAUUGAAAAUAUAAAUAAAAAUCUUAUAAUUUUUAUUUUUAAAUAUAAAUUAUCUUAUAUUUUAUAUCUUAUAUUUUAUAUUUUAUACCGAAUUCGUUUUUUAAGCCAAAAUUUUCAAUGAAUUUAAAAAUUAGAAAGCGAAUUUUAUGCGUAUUAUAUCCGUACUGAAUUUUUGCCGAAUCCGAAUUAACUAACUAUAUGUAGCGCAAGUAGUAAGAGCCCCGAGAAUUGGUACCAAGGUUCUAAGUUCAAAGUUCAGACUGAAUUUAUUUCUAAACGAAGCGGAUUGCAUGCUAAAUAGAAAGAUAAAUUUUAGUUUACUCUACUGUUAUUUAACUCCUUUUCGCUUUAUCAUCUUAUAGUUCAAAAGGCUGUACUUUAGUAUAAUAUGAUUUUAUAUUUAUUUUUAUCUAAAAAAAUGAUCUAUCAAAUAGGAUAGUAAGAUAAUUUUUUUUAUGACUACAAAGUAGUUAAUUAUAAUAUUUUUGAACGAAAAAAUGGUAAAAUAAAAACGCGAUAAACAGGAAAAAAAAAGACUUACAAAACUUACGUAAUUAUAAAUAUUUUGAAUUGGUUGCUUUAAUGUUUCAAAACUUUUAUUUUAAUAUUCAACCUUUCAACUUAUUUGAUUUGAGUCAGAAAAAAAAUACUAUAAUUUUAAAAUUUAUAGUAGUUAUUUAUUUUAAUAAAAUUAUAAUUACGAUAAUUGAAUAAAAUAUACUAACUGAAUAUGUAAAAAAUAAACCGCGCAUUCAAAUUUUAAAGCCAAAAUACCGUUAACUGAUUCAACUCAAACAAAUUAAAAAGUUAUUUUUUAAAAAUAAUAAAUAAUCAAAUUAAAAUAAUUCAUGAUUUAGAUAAAUUUAAUAUAUUUUUAAAAUAAAAAUAAAAAGGUGUCACGAAAGAGUAGCAGAAUCUUGGUACCGCGGCAAGUGCUGUCCUUACCACCUGCAAUUAAUUGGAAACGUUACAUUGCUUGAGAAUCGGACAAAAAUUUUAUGGAAACCGUUCCCAAACUAGUGUGGAUGGCGCCACGUGACCGAUCUGACGGAUGUUUUCUCUGCUGCUCUCUCUCUCUCUCUUUAAAUACAGGAAAACUUCCCAAACUAAUUAGAAUUAGUUUGGGACCAUCUCUAUAAAAUUUUUGUCCUUGGGAAUAAGAUGUUUAGGUGCAUUGCAUUGCAUUUAUUCACAGGUGUUACCAUAACGUGCCCAUCGGGAACACAAACGAAGGUGGCGCAUGUGACAAUGUUACGUACCAUCACACUCGCUGCACACACAAGUGUCGCCCUCUUUCCUCCACCACGUACUCACUACUCACCUCGUUAUCUUCCACACCUAAACAAAGAUAAAAUUUCAUUUCUAACGACCUAUUUUAAAAAUUUUUUUACUGCACGCAUAUAAAUAUUAAUUUUUUAAAAAAAUGCAAUAUUUGAAUAGAGAUAAAAUUAAGGAUUAAUUUUAUAUAUAUAGAUUCAUGCAAAUACAAUAAAUGCUAAAUGUAUUUAUAUAAGAUUUAACUUUUAUAUAUUAUUCUUGUAAAAAUUUCGAUAUUUUCAAAUAUGUCCUUACUGUUAGAAUAUGUUAGAAAAAUUUUGUUAAUUAUAAAUUAAAUACUUAAUUCUCAUCAUAUUUGUGAUGACAAAAUUAAAUAUAUAAAUAGUUUUUUAACGGUAACAAAUUAGGGUGAUGUAUUUAAAAAUAUUAAAAUUUUUAUAAAAAUAACAUAUAAAAAUUAAAUUUUAUAAAAAUAUAUUUAUUAUUUACUAUAUUUAAAAGGCGCUGUAUAAAAUUAAUCCUAAAGUUAAUGCCUGAUGGCGAAUCUAGGCUCUUCACUUUGAAAUAUUCCCCAUGUACGAACCACAGUCCACGUGGCAUCUUCUUAGAAACGAUUCGAAACAAUCCCCCACUACACGUGGAAGUGGUGAUUCCAUCGCAUCAGUGUGCGGUCCCAUUAAUUCUCUUUCUUUCUUUCUUUUUUCUUUUUUUUUUUUCUUUUUUUUGCGUGUUUGUUCCACAAUGUGUGAAAAAGGAAGAAGAUAAUGUUUUCUUAUUGUCCUUGUCCCACUUCAUGUAUGUAGCUUGUCAUAAAAGGCAAAAAAAAAAAAAAAAAAAAGUAUCAUUUGAGUAGCCAUAUUGGGAUGACACAUCACACAUGGAGGGUGUUCUUUUCACAUCCGGAGCCAGCACAAGUGGCUGGGGGAUCAUCCAUCGUUUUUUUAGCAAUGCUCACUCUAUAUAUGCACAUUUAACAAAAAAAUAAUAAUAAUAACCGAUCGUACCUAAAAUAAGUGGUAAAAAACUUGGUAGUUGGUAUCCGAGACCCAAGUUCGAAUUCUAGUUGAUUCACAUUUCCAGCUAAGUUUAUUUCUAAAUGAAAUAAGCGAAGCGGAUAGCAUGCUAUCUAUCUAUCAAAAAAUAAAAAUAAUAGAAAUAAUAAUAACUUUUUUGUAUCAUAUCUAGCACAAUUAAAUAAAAAUUUAAUAACGGGUAUUUAAAUGUAUAGUUAUUUAUAUAUAUAUAUAUAUAUAUAUAUNAUAUAUACAUAUAUAUAUUUAAAAAAAAAACAAUUUGAAAUUUGCCCUUCCAAAACUUCAAAAUGUUAUAAAUUGUUUAAACAAUUAAAAGAUCAUCAAAAUCUUUUUUUAUCAUUCAAAAUUACUACUAAGAUAAAAUAUUUAGAUAGAGAGAUGUCAGAUAAAAAAACCCGAUUUUUGAAUGUAUAUGUAGCAUAUAUCUCUUCUUCUUUUUUUUUUUAAUGUUUAUGAUCUCCUCAAUAAUCCCUCUAUUACUGUUGGAUUCUUUUGUCCAUACAUGAAGAAUAAUUUCUCUCCCUAAGCUUGAUGUUCUUUUUUGACUUUUAGAUGUUGACUUCAAGUCCUCAUGCUCUCUUUAUCUAUUUAUUUAUUUUUUCCCAGCUCAGCUAGUUCUUAGAUGUACGUAUUAUAAUUCUCAUAUUAGUGUAUUAAUAACAUAAUAUAUCAAGUUUUAAUAAAUCUAUCUAAGAAAAUUUUCUCUAGAAAAACGUGCGAGAAUAAAUGAAGACAUAGGAUUUCCACAAAGUGCGACCUUAAUCGUUAUUCAUGCCAAUCAUGCACAAUGCUAAUUUUUUUUUAAAAAAAUGUGAGCACUUCACCCUAACUAAUUUUAACCACAACCGAUUCCGCAUGUUGCAUAUUUUUCUCAAACCAAUUUUACUUACAAAUUUGUGGAAUAAUGUUGAAUAUAAAUAUUAAAAAUUUUGAUAUUGCAUCGCAUAAUAUAACGUACAAGUGGUUGGAUUCGAAUAUCCAAAUCCUGCUUCAUUUGAAAGCUAGUAAAAUCCUGAUUUUUUUUUUUUCCGAAUACUUAUUAAAAGAAAAAUCGGAAUUAUGCAAUAAAUUUUAUGAUUGUGCCACACAUACGUAGUGGUGCACGCAAAACGUGCAGUCACGUGACGACAAUGAAGGCAUGAUAGCAACACUUACUUGGUCCAAAUGGCACGGUUACUUUCCGUCCCCGUGAUUCCCUCGUUUCGUUUCCCCAUUAUUAUAGCCAAAAAUAAAAAAAACUAUAAAAGAAAUUUAUGUACUUUCUUUUCCAGAGUAAAAAAAGAUAAUAUUCAGAAAAACAAACGGAGCGGAUUUGGAGGCAAAAGUCUCGUCUUCUGCCUCCCAUCUCGACUACUAAAAUUUCAUCUCACCUCUUGCUCCGAAUUUACGAUAAAUUAAAAAUUAGGAAUAAUUACUUUUAUAUAUAUACUUCUGAAAAUUUUUUGAUUUUUUAAUUUACUCUUCUUAGAAGGCUAAUAUUGAAAAUAGCUCUUUUACGUUAUAACCUAUUUUAAAUAUACUUCUAGAGUUAAAUUCUGUUAAUAAACUAUUAGCAAUAAAUGCUAUCUCUAUGAAAUUACUAUUUUGUCAUUUUAAAUAUACUCUUUCACCAUCACCGAUUUUUUUUAUUUGCUCUUAGGCUUCGUUUGGGAUUUGCGAGGAGAUUGCGUUACAUGCUGUGAAAAAUGACAAUGCGUACGUAAUAUUAUGUUCCGCAUAUUACGGUUAGUCGGUUACGAUAUAUUUUCUGCGGUUCCAUUGAAAAACGCAGAAAUAUAUCGCUAUAUACUUUUUUUCAACUUCAUUCUAUCUANUACGUGCGGUGAGAAACAAUGAUAGAAAAAUAUUGCGUUCCGCAUAUUGCGGUUAGUCGGUUACACUAUAUUUUCUGCGGUCCCAUUGGAGAACGCAGAAGCAUAUCCCUAUAUUCUUUUUCUCAACUUCAUUCUAUCUAGGCUUAGUUUGAUAUUGAGUUCUAUCUAACGCUACUAGAUAGAAUGGAGUUGAAAAAAGAAUAUAGGGAUAUACUUCUGCGUUUUCCGAUGGUACCGCGAAAAAUAUAUCGUAACUGACUAACCGUAAUAUGCGGAACAUAAUAUUACGUACGCAUUGUCAUUUUUCACAGCAUGUAAUGCAAUCUCCUCGCAAAUCCGAAAGAGUAUAUUUUCCCAUCGUCGUUUCUCACGACACGUAAUACAAUCUCCCCGCAAUCCCAAACCCAUCGUCGUUUUCUCACAGCACGUAAUACAAUCUCCCCGCAAUCCCAAAAAUGAAGCCUAAGUUAGGGACAAAAAAAUAUUUUGAUUUUUAAUUUUUUCAGAUAUACCCUUCUAUCAUUACCAACAUUUAUUAUUUAUCUUUUAAGUUAAAGAGCAAAAAAGGUAUUUUGAUUUUUUUUAACUUUAAUAAAUAUUUAACUCACGUUUAACUCGAGUUAACUUAACGGGUAAUAACUGCAUGAGUAUUUUGGAAUAACGGAAGAACUUAUUAGGGUAUAUUGGAAAGAAAAAAAAAAAGGAGAAAUAAAAUAUUUUUAAAAUUUUGAGGAAUAUAUAUAGAUAAUUAUUCCUAAAAAUUAUAUUUCAUAAUCCAUCCUGCUUCACAGCCUACCUCUCGGUGGUGCUCCGAAUCUGCCCCACUAACUAUUACUUUUUUUUUAUAAAUUAUAAUAUUAUUAAUAUUCUAUAAAAUAUAAAUUAAUAAUAUUUUAACAAUAAAUGAAUAAUAUUAUCAAGUUAUAUAAUUAACAAUACAAAUUAUAAAAAAAUAUAUCAAUCAUAAUUCGAAAUAAAAUUUAAAAAUUUAAAAAUUUCAAAUACAUAAGAAAUGAGAGCACUAACUUAUUUGUAUUUUAAACUGUUGUGUGAAUAUUUUUUUUUAGAGAUAAUUUUAAAAAGAUAAAUCAUUUUUGGGAUGGAUUCAGAGCGGGGCAAAAUUUUUUUCGUUUUCUGCCCUAAAUCCAUCUCGGACCAUAAAAAUAAUCUCAUUUCUUCUCCUGAAUCCAUUUAUUUUUUUCCGUUUGCUAUCCCAUUCAGCACGGGAGCUCCACCAAUCUAGAUCCGUUUAUAUCCAUAAUUUGUUUCAAUUAAUUUUUUAAAUUAAAUUUAAAUAAAAAUAUAAAAUAAUUAGAUUUUAAAUUUAUAGUCUUAAAUACUAAUCAUCAAAUCUUUUAAUAUUUAUGCUAAAAAUAGUGUAAUGUGGAAGUUGUUGAUGUACUGAAUAUUAUUAUUUGUGUGUAAAAUAACGGUGAUAUAAAAUAUGCUCUCGGUAAAUUCCGUGGUACACAUUCGGACCGAGGAAAAAUUCUAGAAUGCACCGGGUAUAUUGGUAACGUGGUUCAAAUAUCUCCUUUCACAAAUAUAUGUCCCAUCAUGAUUAUAAAAAAAUAUUUUUAUUGUAUUUUUGUUUGAAAAGAAGAAGUAUGAUUGGCUUGUUAUUGAUGAUGUAGUGUAAGUGUGACAGUGUAGAAUUCUUCCAGACUGAGCGGCCACGCAAUUCCUAACUGGCGGUGGGUCCCACUUUUAAAUGCUAGUGUUAAACUUUGCUUUUAUUAAUUUAAAACAAAAUUUAAAUAAUUUUUUUAAAUAUAAAAUUAGCUGAGAUUUAAAUAGCUUACAUUAUUUUACAAAAAAAAAGAAAUGUUUGGAAAAUAAUAUCGGACCAUAUUGGGCUAACGAGAAAGAUCUAAACAUGCCGUGCCAUGCCGGCUGCGUGUGAACCUGAUGGGGGGCACGAUAGAGCCGACGCUUGUCAUGGGGCUCUGUCUUGCCCGGGCCAUCAAUCUGGCACGGCACGGCACGGUACGGUACGGUCCACUUUACAUCCCUGUGCUCGAGCACGGGAUGUCGGCAUAACAAUCAUUCAGUGAAUGGAUUAUUUACGGGCCGACUUUGGCACGAUGUUAUUCGGCAAACGGAUCCUUUAUGGGCCAAAACAAAACUAUUUGGGCCUCUUAGAUAUUGAAAACCAAAAUCCUUAAUAACACAAAUAGAGAACAAAUCAUUAGCACUAAUAAUCUCCCAGAUAUUAGGUUUAGAAUGAUUGUUUGUUAGUGGAUUUUGCGUGUUGCUGCAUCAUCAUCAAUAUGACUUCGUUGUUCCUUAUCCAAUUUCCACCAAUGGAGGAUCGCGUCGAGUUUGAAAGCUUUUCCACAGUCAGUGUCAAUGACGAAUCAUCCACAAGCUUCCAGAGUAAAAUGAUGGAUAAAUAAAUAAUGCACGAAAAACUGCGCAUGGAUCUAAUUAAAUUCUGUUGCUACUCUAGAGAAUGAUUACAGGUAAAGAUCAGUCGAUGAAACAUCAUUACAUGAAUUAUUAUUAUUAUUAUUUUUUUAAAGAUAAAGAUAGCAUAUUUCCUCUCUCAUUCAUUUGGAAAAUAAAUUUUGCUACUAAUGUUGAGAUAACGGGAGUUCGAGUGAGUCAAACAAUUGCAAAAGAAAAAAAAAAAAUUCACAUUGUCAUCCAUCAAUACAACAUAUCACUUAGGAUUGCAAAAUCCAGCUCAUUCUUUUGUUAUUUCACAAAUUUAUCUAAUAACCACUAAGAUGUCGAAAGAUUGAUUUGUAAAAAUUAUAUUUUUUUUUUUUUCAUCAUAACAUCUACCAAUAAACCGCCACACUUGCCGGAUACUUCUCUUUUGCCAAAUUAUUUUUAUUCGGUCUUUAAAUAGGUGAAAUAUUUUUUUUGAAUUAAUAUUUAUUCGGCAUUAUAAUUUUCAAUAUAUUAAUAAUAAUUCAUAAAAAUAUUAUGAUUUAAAAUUCAAAAAAUAAAAAUAUUUAAAUAAAUAACAAAUAGGAGUGGAAAGAGCGGUUUGUUGAACAAAUAUUAAUUAUCUACAACUAAAAGAAAAACAAAUUAAUAUAUAAAUAUAAAUGAGAAAAUAUAGAAAAAUAAAAUAUUAUUAUUAGCUUCGUGAGGGUACAAUGAUAAUGAUAAAUAAUAUAUAAACAAUGAAAUCUCUUUGCCUCUCUCCGAGCCGCGAGAGCGUCUUUGAGGAAGGGCCAAAUCACGGGGGGAAGGAGGAAAAAUAAAAAAUAAAAAUGUAUGCGAAUACGCUCCCCCCUCUCUCCUCCUCCCCUUCCCAUGGAUCCCUCUUCUCUAAAAGGUUCCUCUCUCUCUCUCUCUCUCUCUCUCUCUCUCUCUCUUGUGUAGAAUCUUUGGAUUCUUCAUAGGGUUCGGCGGGAACGAUGCGUUGUUUCGCGAGUCGGAGAUAGUGGAAUUGGGAAUUUUGAAACGUAGUGAUGAUCCAUGCGAAAUCAUUGCAUCGACGCUACUUGUCCCGUAUAUUUGUUUUCUUGAUCUGUUUUGGCUCGGAAAAGCUUUGAUCUUGUGUUAGAUUUUUGAACAAAAAUUGUAUCUUGAUCGCUUCGUCCAUAAGAUUUUAGGGUUUGCGUCAACGCGCUGCUGCUCUCUAGGGUUUUAUCGCUGUAUGGUAUCGUGGUUUAGAUUAACCAAUCCCUCUGGAGUUAUUUCUGAUGAAGAAGAGGGAGCAGAAGAAGCCUAAGCUACUUUUUAGAUGUGUUUGGGCAGAGUUUUAUUUUGUUCAUCUUGUUACUAUCGUGGGGAAAAUUUUGUUAACAAUGGUGGUUGAAGCAAAAAUUAGAAGUUUUGUUUAUUGCCAAGGUGGUCUGUUCCUUUUCCUUUCCGGGUCUAUUUCUAUCUUGUCGAAUGAUCUGUUUUUGAUAUUGAUGUAUCGCUGCGUCAUAACAUUUAUGAGCAUUUCAUCUUGCGGUUUAGAGGAUUAUUCCUUGGAAAUUUUGCAGACAACGCAAUCUUGCAAUUGCUAUUCCUGUAUGUAAGGAUUGCUAAAACUAGCAUAUGUUCUUGUUUUUAUUCUCAGAUAAGAAGAAACUUGUCAUUACAGAUUAGUGCUUAUCAAAUUUUGUGAUGCAAUAAUCAAGUGCUUAUCUUGCUAAAAGUUGCCCUCAAGAUCAAUUUGGACAUUGGGAUUGCUCAAAAUAAUGUAACAACAUUUAGAGUGUGAAGGAUUUGCUUCUUUUUUUCCCCCCCUUCAAAAUUCAAGCAGUAAUAGAGAGUUGCGACCUUCAGUUAGGUCGAAAGUCGAUGUAUAACUCAUAUUUGCUUCAGAGGGGUUGGACAAGUUGUAGAGGCUUGUAGCUAAACUAAGGUCUUACACUUUCAUGUGAAGACCUUUGAUUUCUGUCUUGCUAGUUCACUACAUGAAUUUCUAAUGGGUUCUCUCCCUGUUUGUUCUAUCGGAUACACCUACUUGCUUCCAAAUGAAUAUAAUAUAAAGCAAUCAUCCAUUAUGUAGAAAGUCUUGCCAUUUUAUGUCAAUAAAUGUUGUUCAAUUUCAGAAAUUCCUUGUGUUUAGGUCUUAGAAGAGGCAAGUUAUUCUCCAAAUCGAACUACAAUGGUUGGUUCUUCUUCUCUAAUUGCAGGUAUGGAUUGUCUUCAUGAUUGGAGAAUAUCAUGUUGCAGUGCCUAGAGGGGAUCAGGCAACUAGCUGCUGUCCUCCUGAAGUGCUGUGAUCUUGACCUGUGCAAGCAACCUAAGGGUCUUGAAGAUCCUGAACUUUUGGCAAGGGAAACAGUUUGUACGUCUCUUGUCACUUCCGUAGUUGCUAUUGGAAUUUACCAUGAUGGGGUGUAUCACUUGUUUGUGUUUAUAACGUCUAUGUUCUUGAGUUACUUUUAGGCUUUUCUGACCCCUGUAUUCUUAAAUGCUUAGAGCACAUCAGCACACUCACCUUACCUUUCAGCUAAUUACUUUGUAUAUCAAAUUGGUAAUGUAGUAAAAAUUAGACCACCUUGGGCUGAAACUUUAUUUUCUUUAUCUGCAGUUAGUGUAAGUGAAAUCGAAGCUUUGUAUGAGCUAUUCAAAAAGAUCAGCAGUGCUGUUAUAGAUGAUGGCUUGAUUAACAAGGUUGGGACUUCAUUUAAAGCAUUUUAGACUAUUACUUUUUUAUGUUGGCGCUUUCAGUGAUGUUAAGCGAACUAAGUGGUAUGCAAUAUUUGUUUUAUUUCCAGCAGACCUAUGCUAUUGCCAUCUUGACAUUUUCACUCUCUUGCUGCAGGAGGAGUUCCAACUUGCACUCUUCAAGACGAAUAAAAAAGAAAGCCUAUUUGCUGAUCGCGUAUGUCACAUAUGAAACAUAUUGGUUUAAGAGACUCCAAUACUACACUUUAUUUUAAUUAUCUGUAAAGCCACAUGUUUCUUUCUCAGUUUUGUUAUGAAUAUACCAACUGAUUUUUCUUGCUUUACUUCUUUGAACUUUCUGUACACGGGCAUAGCGAGAGAACAACAUGCUAGUUUUGUGCUUCUUAUCCCUUAGGUAUUGUUCGCAGUUCUUUAAUUCUCAACAUUUGCAGGUAUUUGACUUAUUCGAUACAAAACAUAAUGGAAUUCUUGGGUUUGAGGAAUUUGCACGAGCUCUAUCUGUAUUUCACCCUAAUGCUCCAAUUGAUGAUAAAAUCGAGUGUAAGUUGUAUCAUCUUCCAGCUAAAUUUAUGACAUCCUUGAAUAUUAUAUCACCCGACUAUUUUGUUUCAGAAUGUUGUUUUACUACGUUUUGCUACUUUCUUCAAAAUCACAACUGUUCCAACUUUUCCAUAAUAUUGGGGUCUUUGAUUGAUAGCCUUCGUGGUAUAAGAUGCUGUGGGUCAUGUACCCAGAAACAACUAGCUACUAUUGUUUUUCAGUAGAUUCAUCCUUUUCUUCUUAAUGCUUAUCAAACUUUUUUAUGUUGUCAACUGAAAUUUGCACAAUAUUCUUUUCAGUUUCUUUCCAACUAUAUGAUCUCAAGCAACAAGGUUUCAUAGAACGACAAGAGGUACUUUCAUAUUCUUUGAUCAAUCUAAUUUACUUAAGUGUGAUGUACAAAUAAGGAAGUUCUAUAAAAGCUUAUUCUUUUGCCACUUGUCCUUAAUCACUUAGGUGCUGAUUUUUAAUUCAAACAUUUGUUUCUUUAUGCUUCUGAAAGGUUAGGAUGCAUUAGUGACUUCACUGUAAGAGUUAUAAUUUUCGCUCUCUGUGAAUUUUUCCUGCUAGCAUCAGUCAGUGGGAAAAUGGCCAUGUAUUUGAGACCUAAGUCUUACAUUGCUAUUUAUCAUGAGUAAAUAUGAAACUGAAUAUUGAUAACUGCUUGUGCUUAAAACGAUUGUUAGUUCUUUGUUUUCCAACAAAAUUCCAUUUGAUGGGCUCUACUGUUAUUGCAAACACUAUACUGUCAGAAAUUCCAAGCUGUAUGUGCAUGACUGUAUUUGUCCAAUCUGACUUGAUUACUAAUUGCUUCUUAUGCUGUUCAUAAUAUUCACGGACUUGAUAAUUUAUCUUCUUUCCUUAUUAUGAGUUUUACCAAGCAAUUCAUACGUUGUUUGUUUAGCUUUUCGAGAGAUAACUACAUAACUAUUCAUUUAUUCCAUCCUACCUGAUUCCGUAUGUAAUUAGUAUCCGAGUUCUUACUGGCUAAGAGGCAUCUUACUGGUGCUAGAACUCUUUCUUCAUGUCCUAAGAUCUUUUCCACUUUCCUGAUAUUCAGGUUAAGCAAAUGGUAGUGGCUACACUUGCUGAGUCAGGCAUGAACCUUUCAGAUGAAGUCAUAGAAAGUAUCAUAGAUAAGGUGCAUUCUCGAUUAUUGUUAUUUGCCUUUUUCUUCAUAUGUUUCUUUGAUAGACAGGCACACUAAUUUUUCUUCCCACUAAUCUUUCUCUCCUGAGUUAUACUCUGUUUCAGUAUUCUUGUCUUUUGCUAGUUCACCAGGUGACAAUAUAGCAAACCAAGGUUCAAAGUCAUAAUAUUCAGGAUUUUUUCACCCUUCUACUAGAAAGAUAUCCAAAGAUGAGACGAAGUGGCUUCAAAUGCUUCCAUUUGUUUCAACAAUUUUUAAUUAUUUACUCAUCUCAACCUUGUUUUUCCUGGUUAACUUUCAUAUCAUUCAUCGUAUAAGUGUAAAGACAGGCAUUGAUGCUGACAGUGUCUAUUGAUGUGUAGAAGCAUUGUGUUAGCUGUAUUGAAAACUAAAACCUUGGCAAGCUGGUCGAUCCUGAAAAAAGAAAAAAGUUUAUCAGGCUUUAGCAUUAAAUAAAUCUUGUGUAACAAAACUGGCUACAAAUGGUACUUCGGUAAUUAACCAAGAAAACCUCUUACUCAAUAAAGUACAUUUUAACUUAUGGAUCUAGGUUGCCUAAAUGCCUAUACUUGAACCCUAAAUACAUUUGGAAAUUUCUCCCUUCUCUCAUAUCUCAGAAAAGUUGAGCAGCCCGGUUCAUUGUGAUUCCUCACUCUCGUUCUUUUGCUGUACGGUGUUUACCCUUACGAAUUUGGAACAGCGCUUUAGUAGCUCAGUUCAUUGUGCUCCAUGAAAACACGCAUCUUUGUACCAUAUUUAAUAGCCUGACAAUUGCAUACUAUUAACCAUGCAUUCACAUGAACACUCAACACUGCUUAUGGGUGUAUUGUUCACCUGAUGGUCAUUCGCAACAUAAUUGAUAUGAUAAAAAUUUCUAUGUUACUGGCAAUUAGCAUAAUCUAGUUGUUGAUUAGUGCUGGUUCAACCUGAAAAUCUGCUAAACAAUUAGGUCUUUUUUUUAAUUGUUGCCAAUAAACAUACUUCUGCUUGGCUGCAAGACAUUUGAGGAAGCAGACACAAAGCAUGAUGGGAAAAUUGACAGGGAAGAGUGGCGAAAUCUUGUUAUGAGACAUCCAUCUUUGCUAAAGAAUAUGACUCUUCCGUAUCUCAAGUAAGAUUUAUUUACUCCUAGCGUAUUGAAUUACUGAAAUUUCUAGUAUGAUUUCAGCACGCAUGAAGAUACUGGAUGCCUUAUACCGAGCUCAAUUACCUUUUUUCUGCUACACGGCAUUUCCUAGCACUUUUGUUGAACUCUCCAUGUUGCUUUUAUAAAGAUGAACUGAGUGCAAGUAUAUCAAUGCAUCUACCAUUCCAUGAAUGAUUUUCUCAGAUUAAAAAAGAAAAAAUUAUCAUUCCUGAAUCCUGAUUGAGUUACACGUGUUCAGGAAGCUCUUGGGCGUGUAAACUGAAUUUCAGAUUCCUUACUUUCCCGUGUAGUCUUGAAUUCUUGAUCAAAUGUGUACUUUUGUCUGCUGCCGAGGAAAUUUGUUAUAAUUUUCUACAUCACAUUUGAUGGCUACUGAUUUUUUAAAAUGCACUAUUUUCCACUUCUGUAAUCUUAAUAGCAUUUAUCUAUUCCGAAUAUACCAAUCACAGCAACUGUUUAUUUUUGUGAACAGAGACAUUACUACGACAUUCCCAAGCUUUGUGUUCCACUCUCAAGUCAACGAUACCUGAGGUUUCGUUCUAUGCAUCUUCAAAACCAGCAGAUAUGUUCAUAAAUCAUUUGUUAAGCUAGUUUGGUUUUGACAUCGCCAGAACAUCACAGUGCACAGAGGAAUAUUCUCUUCUUUAUUUUAUAUUUCAGUGACCUUACUGUAUUUAUUUUCAUCUGAGGGGGAUAUUUAAUUCCGCGACAUUCGGCAUGAUGUUUAGUUAUUAUUGUCAUUUAUCUUUUUUCAGCUUGGAAGUUCUGAAUUGUGUAUAAAUUUGAAAUACUUUGGUGGUUCGGUAUCGGUAUCAUUAAGCAAAGCAAGAGUACGGGGUUGGUCUUCUAUCUGUUCUGUAAAACUUCCUAAGCAAAACUUAAGCCUGAUCUGUCCAAAUUUUCCUUUCUUUGAUUGAUUCAACCGGUUCGAUCAAUUUGGACUGAACUUGGGUCUGAAAAUUAUUUACACUUUUCCGGUCCGGGCUUUGUGGAAGAUUCAUCACUGUAUUUAUGCUCCAGUGUUGUUGCUGCUUAAGUAAAUGUUGUUUCUUGCUUCUUCUCUACCAGAUACAUAGCAUUGUAUUAUUAUUUUUUAUUUAUUUAUUAUGUAAAAGCCCAUCAAAUUUUGUUAAAAAUAACUAUUUCUGCUAAUAAAGUUGUGCUGUGAAAUAGAGCGCCUAAAUGAUUCCAAGAAAACAAAAUAAAAAUAAAAUACCAGUGAUUGAUUUUGAUCUUUAAUUUUUCUUGAGAGCUCCACCACCUAACACCAUAUUGUAGAAAUACAAAUCAAAUUCUGAAAAAACUUAGAACAAUUAUCAAAAAUUUAUUUUGGGGACCAACUUCAUAGGGACAUUUACUUUGGAGGGGUCUCUAGUCAUUUAUUCACCUACUAAAGAGUAAUAAAAAGACCCUGAACGAAUCCUUCUCUCCCCCUUCCCCUUCCCCUUCCUCCUCCCGCAGAUCGUCAUUAAAGGAGGAGAGAGAGAGAGAGAGAGAGAGAGAGAGCUCCGCAGUUACCUCUCCCAGGCCAUCUCCAUCUCCUUAUCCUCUUCUCCCCCUCCGAUCGCCAUUAAGCGAUGCAGAAGACGGCGCAAGCGUGGUUCGUGGGGGGCCCGAGCGGCGGCGAGCUACCGAAGUCGUCGUCGUCGUCCUCCUCCUCCUCCCUCCUCGCCGAUUGGAACUCGUACGCCGCGUCCAAAUCCGCCGAGGAGGCCGCCUCGUCCUCCGCUCUAGGGUUCGACAUCGAGGCCGCCGUGCGCACCGCCAACGACAAGGUCUCCGGGACGUUCAACGUGUAAGAACAAUCUCUUUAGGUUUUAAUCUCGUUGUUUCCCAUUGCGAUUUGCGAUCUUCAUUGUUGCUCUUUGUCGGAUCUGAAGUGCUCGGAAACUUUUUGGACUAGAUCGGCACUGUGCGGAUGCUGGAAUGGCCGUGCGGAGGGGUAUUAUUUGAGAAGAUAAACUUAAUUAGGGUAUUUGUGGGAAUUAUUAUACCAACUAGUGUAGCAUUAGGUUAAUUUUUUGGGAUGGGAUACGUGUUGUUUUUUGUCUAGAAAUGCUACUGGAUGAUUGGAAACAAGGAUUUAUCAACAGAUCCCUUCGCGGCUAAAAGAUAAGCAAUUAACUUUGUGCUAUCGCAGAUGUAACUUUGUACACACUAAUGAAGGAUAGAGGAGACUACGUAGUCUAUGUUCCUGAGUUGCACCCCAUUGCUUGAGGCCACAGGAGUUGAAUUUAGAGUUAAAAAUACCGCCUUUUACUGGUUUGGCAAGAAUCAUCAGAUUUCAGUGAUCUUGGGAGUGCAGUAUAAUCGUUAUUUUGUUUAACUGUGAUUUCUGUAAUGGAAAGAGUGCAAAGAGAAGGGUUAUAAUGUACAGAAAGAAAGAAAGAAAGAAAGAAAGAAGAAUAUAGAGAAGAGAAACGAAUCAAAGCUAGAGGAAGGAGAUUGGACAAUUUAUUUUAACCUUCUUUCAGCAGACAAUUUGCAUUCAUUGGCAUCAAUUGACCAUUUGUAUAAACUUUUAUCAAGACUAAGUAUUAAGUCCAUUUACAGCUUUCCUAUAUUAACUUUGGUUGCUCAAUACGUCAGAGAACACGUCUUAUUUGUGCAUCGUACUUCCAUAAGUCAGUUUGAAUUACUUUGCUGUUAUGAAAACAUGUAUUUAUUUUUAUGAAAGUAUCAUAGUAUACUUGAAAACGAAGAUGUUAGACCUUUGUUUGGGGGAUUACUUUGCUUAUAGGAAAGCUUCUUUUUUUUUUCUUUGUAAAACUACUAGCAUUUAUGUUGUCUUUCUUUAUCCGCACAACGUUAGUAGUGGUGUGGACUUUCAUGGCAAGUACAUGGCUCUUCAUUUUUCAUUCUUUAGUAUUUGAAAUUUAUUGAUUAAACUGCUUUUCAGAAACAGAAAAAAAAACUAUAUAGUUCCUGUACUAUUAUUAAACUUUUGUACUGUCGGAACAUUACCAGGGUAUCUAAGGGUGUGAGGGAAUUGCCAGGGAGCUUUCAGACUGCCACUAGCAGUGUGCCUUCCGGAAAGGCGCUCAUGUACUUUGGUCUUCUCCUUGCCAGCGGCGUAUUCUUUAUUUUUGUGGCAUUCUUCAUGUUUCUUCCAGUCAUGGUGCUAAUGCCUCAGAAAUUUGCAAUAUGCUUCACUCUUGGUUGUGCCUUUAUUAUUGGAUCAUUCUUUGCUCUAAAAGGCCCUAAGAAUCAACUGGCUCACAUGUCCUCCAAAGAGGUAUGGCUCCAAAUUAUGUAUCUUCUUUAUUCAUUUAGUUUUCAUUCUUACGGAAGCUGCAACAAUUUUAUAUUUUCUCUAUUUAUAUCCGAACAGUGGACUUCACAGAGCCGGCAUAAAUGGCGUGGAUAAGUUUUGUUCAAUCUAGUUUCUUAUUUGACGUGAAAAAUAUUAUGGCUUUGCCAUGUAAUAAAUCUGCUGAGUUGUCUUUCUCUAUUUGUACUUUUCUCAAAGUCGUUUUCAUCUAUAUAACACCUAGUGAGAUAUAUCACAUGUUGUGAGCUUAACUUCUUAAAUCUGCUAAAAUUCACGUCCUUUUUUAAUAUCAGGAAUGGGUAUUUCAUUGCUGAAAAAAUAAGAACAUAUUUAUUAUUAUCCAGUGAAACCUCCUGCCCUAGGAUUCUACUAAAGCUGUUAUUCUCAUGUAUUUGCUGCUAUUAAUAUUAUUUGAAAAUGUUUUCAUCAAACUGCUGAAUUUGUGACCUUUUACAUCUGGCACUUAGCACUCGCGUAUGAUCUAGUCUGGCAUAGGUUCUUCAAAUCAUCCCAAAAGUUAAUAUACUUCACAAAGUGCAAAUUAGUUUCCUUUCAAGUUGACCUGAACUUCUACACCGACUGGAAUGAAAAUUAAAUACAAUUACCAUCCUUCUGGAUUUGCCUAUGGGAGUUCUCAAAGAAGAUCGUCUUUUUUGUGAAUAUUAGAAUUGCAUUAAAUAAAAAUUGGCUUGUCGUUCCUGCUUUACUCAGAUGGUCAAGUUGCUUUCUCUUUGUUCACCUUCACGUGUUCUUCAGAUGACCUUAUGAAAUAACUGUUAAAUUUUAUUUUGCCUGUCUAAACUAUUUUUUUACAUUGCACAGUUGAUAUGUAUCAUGUUACUUACUAACAUAUCCAUUUCUACUGCAGAGACUCCCUUUUACAUUGGGCUUCAUUGGCAGUAUGGUCGGUACUAUCUAUGUUUCAAUGGUGCUUCAUAGUUACAUUCUCUCCGUGCUCUUCUCUGCUGUCCAGGUAUCAAAAUCCUUGCAUCACAUGUUUACCAUUUUCCUCCCCUUUUAUCCUUGAAUUUCUUAGAAUUUCUUAGAUACUCCAUCACAAAAUGUACCAUGGUGCAUACGUGCACUAUAUUCAGGUUUAUAAAAUGAGCAAUAUGGUGCUGGAAAUUAUUAGAGAAGGAAUAAUCUGGCUAUUGAAAAUGACUUAAUAAAGUUGAAAAUUUGUUGCUGAUCUUAUGUGAACCCUGUAAAUACUAAAUAGUGUUAUUAUAUUCUUGGCCAAAGUAUAUUUAGUUAGUAUAUUCAGAUAGAAGAGGGACUAGCUUAAUUAGGAUAUAUUAGUGGUUUCAGUUCAAACUUAAAACUUGACAAGAUUAAUCCUUCCUUUGGAUAAAAGGUUAGGUUGGAUGUGACUGAGGGCUUUGUUGUUGUAAUCGUUGUGUUGUGGGAGGUUAAGCAAUAUUUAGUGGAUUGGAUUGAAUCUAUGGCCAAAUGCUAGUUGUCCUAUUCUCCAAUCGGCUUAUGAAGUAAAAUUUAUGUAGUCGAAGGCCUCCAUUGUAAUUAUGAGCCAACAUGGGCCAUCAAACUUGAGGUUGUCUCUAGGAUCAUAAUAAAAAUAUCUAGAACACUUGCCCUUUUUUGUAGUAGCAUUUUUUGUUUCUUGUUUAGUAUAAAGUAAGAGGAUUUGUUUUCUGUUUUAAAGCUACAGUGCAACCCUGAGAUAGUUUGAUGCUCUUGUUUCUUCGUUGAUUUGUAUCCUAGGUUCUAAAUCCAGCAACCCACUCAUGUGACUGGCAAAUUUUUAACUGCAACAGUUGAUAUAUAUGCAGUAUUAUUUAAAUUAGUUAUUUUUCCCCCUCCCCCUUUUAGGUUCUUGCACUCACCUAUUAUGCCAUCUCAUAUUUCCCUGGAGGAUCCACUGGACUGAAGUUUCUCUUGUCGACCCUCACAUCUUCUCUACUAAAAUGUUUUGGCAGGUGAUACCAGUGUUCAUUGAUUUACAGCGUCAAAUGCUUGUAACCUAGCUUUUAAACCUGUUUCUGGACACAAUCAUAUAAUAGAAUAUUUCUGUGUAAUAGUGUUUGUUUUUCUUUUUCAGUGCUAAAAAUAUUGACUUUUGUUUCAAGAAUAGCCUGCUUGUUCACGGUCAUUAAAUGAUGAUUCUUGUUGGCAUAACGAGUUCAGGUUGUUCAGUUAUAUCAAGGAUACUGGGGCAGGAUAAUGAAGUUGAUUUCAUUAUUUUAAAAUGUUGAUACCCAAAGGUCACCUUUGCGGCAGCAUUGAUAUAUCGAGGAUAUCGGGGUAUGAAUUGCAACCUUGUCCACCUAAAGUCCUGAUAGGCCCGUCACGUAUUUUGUGUUUCUUUGCGCUGUAGGAUAGGAUAAAGGUAUGGGAACUGAACAUGUCUCUCACAGCCCACAACGCAUUGAGUUCACAGAUAGGUGCAUAGUCAAGAGAGAGAUUGUGCGAUUGCUGGUUGAAUACAUGGGUUGAGUUAGGUACAGUGAAAUAUAUGGUUAAAACAUGUGUGAUAUACUCAAGGAGUUUGACAUGACGAAGUCAAAAAAGAAAAAUGUGAGAUAUCAAUAAUCAUCUAAUUUCAGUAAGAAUAAAACCUUGAGGCAAUCAGGAAGGAAGGAAGGUUUCCUAUAGAUUUGAAGUUGGGCAUAUUAUCCCAUAUAGCUAAAGUUUGAUGACUUAGUAUGUAUAGAAUCAUGGGUAUAAAUUCUAUUCUUAUAAAUUCACAAUGAAGUUCAAUACAAUGGUUUUUUAGGACCAUUGUUAAAAGCAGUUGUUUGGGAUCCUUAUUGUUACCAAUAAGACUUAUGUUUGAAUCCUAACUGUAUGUGUAGUGACCUAAGGGCAUAUUAGAAAAGUGUUUAUUAAAUCAGAUUAAAUUUUUUGUGAAACACGAUUGGCAAUGGUUGAGAUGCCUAGCUUCUAAAGCUCCUUCUCUAAUCUGAGCAACAACAGUGUCAUGUAGCUAGCAAAAUUAAAAAACACCAAGAAAUGGUGUUUUGGGUGCAAGAUCAGAACAUUACAUUUAAAACUGCUGCUGCAUAGAAAAUCUGUUUGAAAUGUUUGAAUGAUAAUGUUUUAAUGCAUAUUCACAUAACUAUGGUCAAAUCAAGUAUUACUCCUACGGAAGCUAUAGCUAGGCCUAAGAGGCUCUUAGAUGAGCAGCUUAUAAUUAGUAUUCUUCUUUCGUUCGGAGUUCUUUUAGCACUUUAUAUCAUAAUUCUAUAAUUACUGAAUUCAAAUUCUUGAUGGGCCUUUUCCAAAGAUGACACUCUUAAAACAAUUAAGAACCGAGCUUAAUCAGUGAACCUGUUUAAGCAAGCUUGUUAUAAAAUUUUUUUUUAAUGCCUUUUCUAUGCUAACUAACUGCCCUAGGAGUCAACCACAGGAUAAUUUAAGUUAGCAAAAUUAGAUCCACGCUUUCAUCUACUUCAAGGUUCCAUGGGUUCCGAGUGUGAGUAAAACCUCUUACCAGAAUAACCAUUCAAAAUGUUUCUCAUCCUCAACUUCGCUUCACAAAAGCACAAUUUAGCUAGAAACUUGACUUCAAUAUUUUUUCCAGCAGAGAUUAGAGCAACUGAUACCCUAUUUGCCUAAUGAAUAUAAUCCAAGUGGCCUGCCGACACUUGGCUAAAUCUGGCACCAACUCUAUUCUUAAUUGCUUCGAUUGCUCUUUGCAUCUUUGACUAGGAAAAUUCCAAUACAUGUACAUGAUAUAUAAAAAUGCUGAACUCAUCGACGAAACAUUACUGUUGUUAAUACUACAUUAGAGCCAAAACUUCGCCCUCACACGGCCGGUCUUUAGUCAAACUCACAGUACUUUAUUUAGAUCAAGAACCUCUUAUAUUGAUUCAAUCAUAUAGUUGGUAGCCUAACUCUUCUCUUGGUAUCUUUUAUUCUUUUUAUAUUGAUGUAUUUACGUGCUUAUGUAUGUUCUUAAUGUAUUAUUGUUGAAAGCAAUAACUUACUAUUAGCAAGUGGACGUUCCAAAUUAGAUUAAUGCAAAGUGUAGCUCAUAUUGUGUAGAAUAGAACUUAAAAUACAGUAAUGAGUUUUUAGUAACCCUACUCUCCAUCCACCCACUAUUCAUAAAGCCUAAAGACAUAAAGAUACAGAUGGUGGGGGGGGGGAUUAAGACAACAAAAUCCUGAAAUCAGGGAGAUUAUGAUCUUAAUCCUCUAGGCUUGCUGAUAAGGAGACAAUGAAUUGACUUGAAUGGGGUAACCCCGGCAACUUCAUACUAAUUUAAUACUUAAUAAAACAUCACUGAGGAAAAGAGAGAUAUGGCCAUAAAUGGAGUAUAAAAAUGUGACCAUAAAAGGGAAGUGACAUGGAUGGGUCCUCAGCAUAUAAUCUGAAGUGGUAGACAAAUUAGCUUUUAACAAAAGUUUGUAGGAAAAAUCGGAGAGUAGUGCCCAGAAAGAGGCCAAAAAAUUUAACCUUUUUAUGUGUUAUCGUGAAAUUUACCGUCAUCGAUUUGAUGUUGUUGAAAAUUGCAGUGUCCAUGUUGAACAUGUUUUUAUUUGUUAAUAAAGCAUUUCCUCGUCAUUGAUUUGUGUUAGCAGUACCAGAGUCAUCAAAUGCAAAUUUGCAGAUUAUAUUUCUACUGAUGUUUCAUAGGGUGUAUUUUUAAUAUUCUUGUUAUAUUUUUUUGUUUUUGUUUUUAAGAAUCAUUACAAGAAAACCUUCAUAUNGGGGGGGGGGGGGUGGACCCCGCGUGCCUCAAUUUUCCUAGACGACCCACUAUGAUAACAUGCUAUAGGAUUAAAGUAACGCACUACUAACUAAGUAGGCUCACAUGUCGUAUCCACGGGGCAUGCGUAGAGAUUUGUGGAAUUUUUGACAUCACAUUAUCAUGUAGAGACCAUUAUGGAUAUUAUAGAUUGGAUUAAACAUUGCUAAGAGUUUUUCAGAACCAUAAGCUUAUUUCUUUCUGCUCUCCUCUGAUGGGUCUUGCAUUUUCUGAUCUCCAGUAUUCUAGCUUUCAAAGGUUUUUUCUUUUCUUUUCUUUUCUUUCUUUCUUUCUCUUUCGAGUAUCGCCAACUUGGCUACCUCUAUUCUGGACCUGCAGCGUCGUCUUUGCUUUACUAGUAGACUCAAUAGUGGUACAAACAUCUACCUUCUUAAGUAUAGUUAGAAAAUCUGGGUCGAACAGAUGCACAGUUUCAUGAACUCUGACCUCGUACCCUUCAAGCAUAAAUUCUAGUUUUGUGAUCUCGCGAGUUCUCUCGCAUUUUGCUGCAGAAUUUUCCUCUCUCGCUCGAUCCACCGUGCGCGUUCGGGGUGAAACAAACACUGCUUCAGAGUCAUCCACAUAGCCGGUAGGUUACAUAAUUUCACCAUCCCCUGCUUGCAGUUUCUGAGCUCAGAAGAUUCAGUAAGGAGUACUGCCACUGCUGUAAUUCUUAGGAAGAAGUUGAUCAUAGACUAGUAUAAUAUUGGACGGCCCUGAUCUUAGGAGAUAACAAAUGUUAGACCGUGUGAUAUAGAUCUCACUUUCCUUUUUGAUUCCCUCUCUCUUCAGCUCCCUCCGGUGUAUGGCACGUGAAGAACAAAACGGACAACAAGAAAAAUGCUCGUUCCUUUCCACUUCCAUGUGCCCAUCAACGGUCCUUGUUUCUCACUUGUCCUCUCUAAUUAAAUUUUCUCUGCUUUGUUCAGUAAUAAUAGUCGAGAAAUAAAUUUUUUUUAAAAAAUAAAAUAAAACUCUUUGCUUUCAAUCUUUCAAAGAAAAACUAUUCGUAGAUCAACUUGAUGUUAUAAAAGAAAUUAAGCAACUUAAAUUUUCGAAUCAUCGUAAACGCAACUGUAAUGUAAUUAUUUGUGCGAGUUGUCCUAAAAUGCUUUUUAUUGUCAGAGAACUAAGGAUGGAGAAUAAGAUGUAGAAGAACAUGCAUUACACCUUGACUAAGUACAAAACUAAUUAAUCUUUUAUUAAACCCACAAUAACUUCCCCUUCUCAAGCAUUUUUUCUUUUCUUUUUUUUUUGUUUUCUCAACUCUACUCUAGCUGCUUCAUGUGGCCCAUGUUGUUCUCACACUCUUCACUCUCCCCACUCCUCUCCUCUCCUCUCGAUGGGAUCCAAAUCCUCUUUAUUCCCAUGAUGUUUCCAUCCCCAUUACAUUAACCAAUUAACCAUGUGUGCCACCUAAUGUGUCUCCAAAAUUUUCCAUCAUCACCAUGUGAAAGCAUUUUGGCUCUAAUCUCAUGUUUUUUUAAGCUCAAUAAGUUAGAGAUUACGGUUGCUUCAUGUUACAUUAUUUGUUAUUUGGUUGACAUGAUUGAUUAUCUCACCUGCAUUUCUCAGUUAAAUAUUUAAGUCCAACAUUACUUGUUCCUACAGCUAAUUAUUAAUAUAUAUAUAUAUAUAUAUAUGUAAAUUUGAUAUAUGUAAGAUAUCAAAUUUGAACUUCAGGGAUGGAGUGACUGGUUUAUCUAUUAGAAUUUGAAUUAAAGAAUCACCUACUAUGAUACCAUGUAAAUUAUAAUAUGUUAUAAAAUGUAAACUGUUACUUUUAUUAUACCUCAAAACUCAUCGAACAAUCGACUCAAUGGAAAUUAUUCCUUAACAAUAAUAUGUAUGUGAUUUUACAUUCAGUAGUUAAUCAUCAAGAUCAAAUUGAUUACUCACAAUAAUGACACUUAAUUGAGCAAUCGCAUCAAAAACAUUACAUUAUAAAAAUUUACCGAAAAUUAUACAUCAUCAGGUUUCUUUCAAAAACCCAUAAAAGUUAGCUUACAAAGAAAGGCUAUAUAUGUUCUAGCACAUCAAAUCUCCUAAACUUAAAUUAGAAUAAAAAAAAAAAAAGUAAAAAUCACACAAAAGUGCCUCACUUCUUUUUAAGCGGGACUUGAGCAAGCAUUCCUUAGUUUGUGUAAUGGGGAGAGAACCCCACGAGGGCCUACCUGUCUAAGAAGAACUUUUUGGAGGGGGGGUUUUUCAAAAAAAAAUUAACAAAGGAGGGGUCUUGACAAUGUGAAAGGAUUUUAAAAAAAGAUAAAAGUUUAAAAAUUAACAAAGGAGGCUCCAUGUUAUCCUUGUUGUCCCUUCCACUCAAAGACAUGUACAUGUUCUAAGUUAUACUUUUGUAUUAUUAUUACUUUCCAGCAAUUUAUCCCCCUCUAAACCACAUGAUCAAGAUGAUUAUUAUUAUUAUUAUUAUUAUUAUUAUUAUUAUUAUUACUACUAUUAUUAUUUAAGGAUUAUCACUAACCUUUCCGUCCUUUAUUAGCAUGUGCGCUUCACUGAUUCCUCAACUAUUUAUUCAUUUUCACUCGAUCCUUUGUGUUAAUUUACUUACUUGCAAGUACUUAGUCUAUGUUAAAUGCCAGUAUUAAUUCUUUUUGGUUCAUAUAUUCCACAAAUACUGUUAUUUACUACGUACUCUCUUUAGAAGUCAAAAGAAAUGUAAUUAAGGAGAUUCAGUUCCUUCGUACUUAAUUCUUUUGCCCUAACUAUAUAUUAAAAAUUUUGAGAGAACAGUUCACCAGGAAAAAAAAAAAAAAAAAAUUACUAUACAAGAUAGCAGAAAGGAAUAUCAACAGAGUUGAUUUUAUAAUAAAUCAGGAACAUCACUAAAGAGCACAAUUUAUAAUGAACAAGAAAAGGCCAGGGGAGAGAAAGAGAGAGAGAGAGGGAUUUCACUUCCAAUGGCCCAAAAAAAAAAAAAAAUCCAUGAAAACACCAUGUAUUAGCAUUUAGCAAGUUACUCAACCAAGUAUUAGGUGCUUAACCAAAUUGCUUUUGUUAAUUUAUAUGCAACAGGUAAAGAAGAUUCACAUAUAAUAACAGCAAGUAGCAACCAUAACAAUUAACAACCUUGGUAAUAAAUAAAUAUUAAGUUAAGAGAAAUGAUAAAACCCCACCUUCCUCUCAGUUUCUCUUGCAGGUUUAAAUUAUCCAAAUCCCACCAAAAUUUCCCCUCCCCACCACUUCACCUUUCCACCACUCCAUACAAAACUCCAAAACCCAAUUUCACUAAACAAAAAACCUAUUAUUAAAACCAAUACCCAUAACCCAUCUAAAUCCAUCCCAUAAUCAGAAACACCACCAACUAUAUCAAAAUUUAAAACAAUUAAUAUGGAUCCAGAUCUCUACCUUUUCUCCUAUAAACAAAACAUGGGGUUUCCCCCCUCUUCUUCAGUCCCAACACAAACACACACACACACAUACUAACACACACACCAUCUCCAAUGCCUACGUUACUACUCAACACUCUCUUCCUCAACUCCAAUUCUAUCAGCUCUCUAAUUCUCUUGUUAAUCACAAUUAGCUCCACCUCUUUCUUCUUGUGUACAGCCAUUGAUGAGCAAGGCCAAGCUCUCCUCUCAUGGAAGCAAACACUCAACGCCUCCUCCGCGGCCACCGUGCUCAGCUCGUGGCGGCCGUCAGACCCGAGCCCGUGCCGGUGGUUCGGCGUGUCGUGCGACGCAAAUGACGCGGUCGUCGGGGUGAGCAUAAACUCGACGGACUUGCAGGGCCCGCUGCCGACGACAUUUGCCGCGCUCCCGUCGCUGCAGACGCUCGUGCUCUCCGACGCUAACAUCUCCGGCCCGAUCCCGAAAGAGUUCGCCACGUACCGCCAGCUCCGUUUCCUCGACCUCAGCAAGAACCAGAUCUCAGGUCCGAUCCCAGCGGAGCUCUGCCGGCUCCACAGGCUCGAGACGCUCAUCCUCAACUCGAAUUCUCUGCAGGGGCCGAUCCCUGACGACAUCGGGAGCCUCGCGAACUUGACGUAUCUCACUCUCUACGAUAACGACUUGGCGGGGGAGAUUCCGGCGAGCGUCGGGCUGCUGCAGAGGCUGCAAGUGUUCCGGGCCGGCGGGAACCAGAACCUGAAGGGCCCGCUGCCGCCGGAGAUCGGGAAUUGUAGUGAUUUGCUCAUGCUUGGCCUCGCGGAGACUGGAAUCUCCGGAAGCCUCCCGCCGACGAUCGGAUUAUUGAAAAAAAUCCAAACCAUCGCGAUCUACACCGCGCUACUCUCCGGUCCGAUCCCGGAGGAGAUCGGAAAUUGCACCGAGCUGACAAGCUUGUAUUUGUACCAGAAUUCGCUCUCCGGUCCGAUUCCGGCACAGCUGGGGGAGCUGAAGAAGCUGCAGACUCUUCUGCUGUGGCAGAACAGCCUUGUGGGGCCCAUCCCGCCGGAGAUCGGGCGGUGCCGGGAGCUCGUGCUCCUCGACCUCUCCUUAAAUUUGCUCUCCGGAAGCAUACCGUCGAGCAUCGGCGACCUUGCGAACCUGCAGCAGCUGCAGCUGAGCACGAACCAGCUCACCGGGCCGAUCCCGCCGGAGAUCUCGAAUUGUACGUCGCUCACCGAUCUCGAGGUCGACAACAACGGGCUCUCCGGCGAGAUACGGAUCAACUUCCGGAAGCUGCGGAACCUCACUCUGUUCUACGCGUGGCAGAACCGGCUGACGGGGAGCAUUCCGGCGGAUUUAGCCCAAUGCCAGAACCUCCAGUCCGUUGACCUCUCGUACAACAACCUCACCGGCGCGAUCCCGAGGGAGGUUUUCGGCCUCCAGAAUCUCACCAAGUUGCUGCUCCUAUCCAACGAGCUCUCCGGAUUCGUCCCGCCGGAUAUCGGGAACUGCACGAAUCUUUUCCGGCUCCGGCUGAGUGGGAAUCGGCUCUCUGGGCCGAUCCCCGCGGAGAUGGGAAAUUUGAAGAACCUCAACUUCCUCGACAUGAGCGGCAAUCGGCUCGUUGGUGUGAUCCCGCCGGCGAUAUCGGGGUGCUACAGCCUCGAGUUCCUCGACCUCCACUCCAACGGCCUGACCGGGUCGCUUCCGGAAUCGCUCCCGAAGAGCCUCCAAUUCGUCGAUGUCUCCGAUAACAGGCUGUCGGGAUCCCUCGUCCCGGGGAUCGGGUCGCUGCCGGAGCUGACGAAGCUGAACGUCGGGAGGAACCGGAUCUCGGGGCCGAUACCGCCGGAGCUCGGAUCCUGCAACAAACUGCAGCUCUUGGAUCUCGGGGACAACGAAUUCUCCGGCGAGAUACCGGCACAGCUGGGGCAGCUGCCAGCGCUGGAGAUCUCCCUGAACCUGAGCUGCAACCAGCUGUCGGGGGCAAUCCCCGCGGAAUUCUCCGCCCUGGGGAAGCUCAGCUGCCUCGACGUCUCCCACAACGCGUUGGAUGGCGGCCUCUACGCCCUGGCCGCGCUGCAGAACCUCGUCUCCCUGAACAUCUCCUUCAACGCCUUCUCCGGCGAGCUCCCCAACACCCCCUUCUUCCGCAGGCUGCCCCUCGCCGACCUCACCGGCAACCGCGGCCUCAUCGUCUCCGGCGGAAAUGGCCCCGGCUCCGAUGACGACCGGUCCGGCCGGGCAGCCGUAUCGGUGCUCAAGCUGGCAAUGUCGGUCCUGGUCAGCGUCAGCGCUCUGCUUCUGAUAGCGGCUUUAUACGUGCUACUCCGCACGAACAGGCGCCCGCGCGGCGGCGGGGGCGGCGGGGGCAGGGAGGGGGUGUGGGAGGUGACGCUGUACCAGAAGCUGGACGUGUCGAUGGAGGACAUUGUGCGGGGGCUGACGUCGGCGAACGUGAUCGGGACGGGGAGCUCCGGGGUGGUGUACCGGGUGGCGAUUCCGGCGGGGCCGACGCUGGCGGUGAAGAAGAUGUGGUCGGGGACGGAGAGGGAGGAGGAAUCCUUUUCCGGGUCCGGGGCGUUCCGGAACGAGAUCGCGGCGCUGGGAUCGAUACGGCACAGGAACAUCGUGCGGCUGCUGGGGUGGGGGGCGAACCGCGCGACGAAGCUGCUGUUCUACAACUACCUGCCGAACGGGAGCCUGAGCGGGUACCUGCACCGGGGGGGAGGGGGAGGGAAGCAGCAGCAGCAGCAGCAGCAGGGUGGGGAAGGGGAGUGGGAGAGGCGGUACGAGAUGGCGGUUGGGGUGGCGCACGCGGUGGCGUACUUGCACCACGACUGCGUGCCCGCCAUCCUGCAUGGGGACGUCAAGCCCCUGAACGUCCUGCUGGGCCCCGACUUCGAGCCCUACCUCGCCGACUUCGGCCUCGCCAGGCUGCUCGGCGCCACCAAUUCCAAUUCCAAUUCCAAUUCCGAUUCCAAUCUCGGCCUGCAGCCUCCCAAUUUCGCGCCGCCCUUUGCUGGGUCCUACGGCUACAUCGCCCCAGGUCCGUAAACAGUACUAUAUACGUCUCUCUGUCUAAUUAAUAUUCUAGCUUAAUAAUUAUAAUAAUUAUGAUCAUUAUUAUCAGAAUUAAUUUGGACUAAAGACACUUCAAAAUGUUUGAAUUAUUAAUAAUUCAAAUAUAAAAAAUAAUACCUUUUAGCCACUCUUUAUAUUUUUAGCUUUUGGUUAAAAAAAAGAAAUCACCUAUCGCCUGCUUGUUUCUUUAUUUAUGUACGCAGAACACAUGAACAAGAUCCAAGAAUUAUCUAACAAAGAUUUUUUUAAAAAAGAAAAAAAAAUUAUAUUUAUGCACUCACAAAAUAGAUACAUGAGCUGUUUAGGCCCCCACGCGCAUUCAAUCCAUCAUAUUAAUAUAUGAUAAAAAUAAUUUCCAUUUAUUAAAUAUGAAACUUAUGUUGGGCAUUUUUCAUGCAAACAGAGUAUGCAUCAAUGCAAAGGAUCACAGCGAAGAGCGACGUGUACAGCUACGGAGUAGUCCUGCUCGAAAUCCUAACCGGGCGGCACCCGCUCGACCCGACCCUCCCCGGAGGGACCCAUCUGGUCCAGUGGGUCCGCGAUCACUUGCAACGUAAGCUCGACCCGAUCGACCUCUUAGACCCCCGGCUCCGAGGCCGGCCGGACUCUCAGAUACAGGAAAUGCUGCAGGCCCUCGCCAUUUCGGUGCUAUGCAUUUGCCCGCGGGCCGACGACCGGCCCACUAUGAAGGACAUCGCCGCCCUGCUCAGGGAAAUCCGACGGCCCGCGGUCGAUGAGCCGCAAAAAGAGCCGACCGGAGCCCCCGCCCCGGCCGCCGCCUUUCCGGCCCCAAGCACACCUUUGAAGGGGUCUUCAAAUUGUUCUUUUGCUAUGUCAGAUUACUCCAGCUGAAGCAAAUAGAGAAAGAGAGGUAAAACAAAAUUAAUAAUAAUGAUAACAGUAACUUAAUAGGGGCAAGAGUUUUGGGAAUGUACGUACUUAGUUAAGGUUGUAGUUGCCCUUGUAAAUUGCAAGCCUAAGCUAUUGAAAGUACAUAAAUGUGAUGUACUUAAUGUUAGUAAUUUAGUAAAAUCUCCCCUUCUUUCUUUUUCUUUCUUUUUUUUUUAUACUUACUAGGUUAUUUUCUCAAGAUGCAUUGGGAGAUGAGGCAGGGGUGUGUACAAAUGAGUGUAGAAGCUGGUGCCAUGAUUGGUAGAUGCGUUGGGGUUAAUAAACUUUGUAUAUAUAAUUUUCAAAUUAAAUAAUGAGAGAGAGAGAGAGAGAGAGAAGGAUGUGGGGUAGGUAUCCAGCAAGGAUCUCACAUGGCCUCAUGUUGUUCUGAAGGGACUGCCCCCACAUGGGGAUGAGACAGAGACGUCUCGGCAAAGAAUGUGUGGAAUCCCCUGCAAUUGGAAUAACCCAGGUCCUCUUUUUUAUGUCAUGACUUUUUAUCGUCCUCGUACAUUUAAAAUUUCCCCUUGCUUUUGAUCACAUCUAGUUCAGUUUACGUGCUUGUUGUUUAUGGUACAGUUACUAACACUAUUAAUCUUAAAACUAUUUCGAGGUUAAAAUCUCUUUUAUUUUCUCCUCUUAUCUGUAUACAGGCGAGGUAACUAGUAAGCUAUUUCUAGAUAAUACAAAUAUUUAUUGGCAAAUGACAAGAGCUAUCUUCAUAUUUUGCGUCGAUGUUGUAAGGGAACUCUUACAACAGUAAAGUGAAAACUAAAAACAGCAAGAAGACAAAGAGCAAAAGAGAUUUAUCGAUCUAUCAGGAUGAUAAAGAACCUGGACAGUAUGGUCAGUGUCAAUGAAAGAUCCAAACCGUGCUCUCCAAACCGUGCUCUCGCCAAUCCUGCAAGAUAAAAAUGAAAAAAAGGAAGAACCUAGAAAAAAAAAAAGAACUCUCUUUAUAGUGUGACCGUCUUAUCCGCCGUUUAUGCACAUCGCGUGCAGCAUUCAAAGGGUCCCAUAUAAUUUCCGUUCAUAUUCUGUGAUAUAUUGUCGGCAUAUUGUUGGCCGCUGCGCUAAGUGCGGAAUCUGUCUUGUAUUUUCCCGAAAACUGCAGGUUCUUCGGAGAGCAAUGUUUUAGGCCUCUGUGUUUGUAUCCGAGCAUUUGACAGCUUCCACAAUGAUUGAAGAGCGAAGAUUAGUACGGAGUGAGAUUUCGCGUCCCUUUCUGACAGAUAAGGGAAACAGUACAAAUAAAUCAUUAACCAAUUUCCAUUUUUGUCCAAAUUAACAAUUUUGGAUUCAACAUAAUUGUGUAUUGAUUUUCGAUUAACAUACUAAUAAUUCUAGUCUUAACCCAUUCCCAAGGAUAAGGAUCCAAUAAGCUUUUCAUCUUGAGCAAUGCUCCUAUACACUAAAUAAAUCUUAGCCCUUAAAUUUUUUAAAAUGGACGGUAGUGAUGCAUCUUUUAUAAAAGUUUUUAGCCCUUAAAUUUUUUAAAAUGGACUGUAGUGAUGCAUCUUUUAUAAAAGGGCGACCCGCUGCUUUUGUUGUGAUCGGUACCGGUCAACCCCCCUAUCGAAUACAAAAGCUUCCUCAUUACAUGGAGUUGCACUGAGGGUAUUUUUGUAAAUUCUCAUCCUCAUAACAUACCAUAUUUGUAAAUACAGAAUAUUUUAUCUUUCUCCUUCAAUAUUCCAUCUUUGCAUAAUUACCUUUCCUAAAUUAGAUUUUCUUUACUAAUGAAUCAUAUUCAAAUUCAAAAUAUAAAAUGAUGCAUUAUUGAAAGGAUUUAGCUUAUCCGUUGUUCUUGAGCCUGACUUGAACAAGAGCUUGAAAGUUUAGCCAGUUUUAAAUUUAUUUGUACAAUUUGAGUAUUAAAUAAAAAUUUAAACCUGUCGCAAAUUUAAAUUUUUGUUGCAUCCAAAAUAAUAUUCAAAUAUAAAAUAUUCCAAAUAACAAGUUAUAUUAUGCAAUCUCUUAGUAAUAAAAUAUGAAAUAUNACAGAAUAUUUUAUCUUUCUCCUUCAAUAUUCCAUCUUUGCAUAAUUACCUUUCCUAAAUUAGAUUUUCUUUACUAAUGAAUCAUAUUCAAAUUCAAAAUAUAAAAUGAUGCAUUAUUGAAAGGAUUUAGCUUAUCCGUUGUUCUUGAGCCUGACUUGAACAAGAGCUUGAAAGUUUAGCCAAAAUAAUAUUCAAAUAUAAAAUAUUCCAAAUAACAAGUUAUAUUAUGCAAUCUCUUAGUAAUAAAAUAUGAAAUAUACCAUCCAAAAUAAUUAAUUUUCUUUGCAAUGAGAGCAUUUUGGUAAAUUUCCAUCCUCAUAACAAACCAUCUUUGUAAAAUAUCUCAUUCACUCCGAUGGUUUCACCCACAAUCAUCUUCUUCGAAGCUAUUUUUUCUUUUUCUUUUUUUUGUGUUGAGAGAGAAAUUCUUGUCGAUUGCUUAAUAGCUAAUUUACACUUAAAAUUUUUAAGUCAUAGAUCAUUUUUUCCAUCUUCCUCUUCCAUCUUUUAAAUUUUCCAUCGACAGCAUCUCAUCUUCCUCCAAACCCCAUCUUUCAACUUUAAUGUUGUUUUUACUAUCAAAUGAACAAUUUGUAUUUAAUUUUAAAAAUAGAAGCCUUUAAUUUAAAUAAAUAAUAAAAGUUAUGUUUAUAAAUACAACAUAAUUUACAAUUUAAAAUAAGUUAAUAGCGUUGAAAUUUCGUGUCAUUUUAAUAUCAAAUUAAUAAUUUGAAUUGAAAUAUACUAUUCAUUUAAACAUAAAUUUUUUCGUUCUAAAAAUUAAAAUUAAAAUUAAAUUUGAAUUUAAUGUACACAAUUAUAAAGUUUAAGCUCAAAUUGAUUUUUAAAUUCAAUUUUAUAAAAAUUUAUUACUUAUCAAAUUAGCACUAUCUAAUUUGGUAAGUAACAAAAUUAAACAAGGAAACAAAUAUUUGUGUUGGGUUGAUCAAAUUUGGUAAUUGGCUUGUAUUUCUUUUCCCAUAUUAUCCUUACGAAUGAUAACCUGUUGAGCAGGUAACUACUAAGCAAAAGACAAUCUCGCCCUCAAAUUUUGAACGGCUAGAUUUAAUUUACUUGGUGUAUUGAAGCAUUCCUCAUAUAUAUAUAUUCUNAAAAUUAAAAUUAAAAUUAAAAUUAAAAUUAAAAUUAAAAUUGAAUUUAAUGCACACAAUUAUAAAGUUUAAGCUCAAAUUGAUUUUUAAAUUCAAUUUUAUAAAAAUUUAUUACUUAUCAAAUUAGCACUAUCUAAUUUGGUAAGUAACAAAAUUAAACAAGGAAAUAAAUAUUUGUGUAGGGUUGAUCAAAUUUGGUAAUUAUUGUAUUUGUUUUCCUAUAUUAUCCUUACGAAUGGUAACCUGUUGAGCAGGUAAUCACUAUGCAAAAGUCAAUCUCGCCCUUAAAAUAUGAACGGUUAGAUUUAUUUUACCUGGUGUAUUGAAACAUUCCUCUUUUAUCUUUUGGUAAUUGAGGGAUCUAACAACAAGAAGGCAACUGCAUAUGAUACUCAAUAGCUAUCUCUUGGUUUGCUCUACACAGGGCAUACUUCAGAAACAGUACAUCUAAAUGUGCCCAUAUCCGACACUUUCGGUAUCAGAGAUGCUCGAUCUACUUCCUAAGAGAUUAGUUUAAUAUCCUAAAAGUAAUAACCUACAAGAGAUACUAAUAGAACGACAAAAAUUCGGUAGCCUAAGUGCACUAGAUAAGUGGUUCAGGCCAAGCAUUACAGGGAAGCUUUAGAGAAACAAAUUGUAUGCUUAGCUUUAGAUCAGUAGGGACCUAUAGUACUUUUAAGCUUACACAGCAUAUCAUAGUGAGAUUUUUAUCUAUAAGCUUACAUCUAAUUUAUAAAUAAAUUUCGACAAGUACAAGAGAUCCCUAUAAAUAUACCAGCUUCAAGGAAAUGAAAUCCUCGAGUUUCUUAUAACUAAAGAAGCCUAAAAUUUUCACGAUGGUAUGAGUUUUCCACGAGACAAAGAUCGACUUCGCCUGCCUUCGGGUUCACAAGUGUUGGUUUUUUCAGCAUUUGGGGGCUUAUUUUCAUGCUUUUCAUCCGACAGUUGCUCCAUUUCCCGCCGUAUGGUCCUGUAGAAAUAAAAUUCUUCUAAGCAAGCUGAAAAAGAAAGAGGUUUCUGCAACAAUAAUUCAUCUUCUUUUUUUUAUUUUGAUUUUUUAAUCUACUUUUUUGGUACUCCCAACUAACUUGGGCUCACUGUUUUGUUAAAGGACAGAAAAUGCCAGUAGCCCUCUCACAUUGAAUGUGUAGUAGAGAUUUUGAUCAGGUGUAUUUUCAUCUAUGGAAUAAUAUUCAGGGGCACAUUAGAUUGAUGAAAAAAUUAUAUCAAAACAAGCACAUUAGAUUGAUGAAAAAAAUCAAAGGCAAUACCAUUGAGAAGUGGCAAGUGUACCUGCGCUCGAUGUUCUGGGAUAUCCUCGUCGAGGGCCGCUGAAACUUCUUUACCUUAGAAUUACCAUUUGAUAUGGAAUCAACAACGACGAACUCUUUGUUUUCUGUUUCAGAUGAAUCACUACUUAUCUUUCUUGCUCCUGCCUUUAUUCUCAUAUCCAUAUUAGUCUGAAUUCCAUCAGGUUUCUGAUGCAUGGCCUUUAUUCUACUACGAUCUUUCUCGGCCUUGAGCUCUUGUUGUUCAUCCAAUUCAGGCAAAUCCGCCUUCACAUUGCCAUUUUCUUGUGGGCACCAGUAUCUGCUCAAACUCUUAUUCGAUAGAACUGAUGGAAGUGUCGAGUUUGAAGUGUUCGUCGGCGCUUUCUCUGGAGAUUGUAGCUUCGGUACCAGCUUGUCGCUGAUGCUUUCAAAUUUUGGCUUGCUCUUUAAAAUGCUGGCCCUAUCGGCAGAUAAUGAGAUUCUUACAUGAGGAGAUGGUGGCCUUACCUUUCUAGGGUUCAUGCCGCAUUCUCCAAAAAUAAUUGGUGACUUAUCGUUUUCUUUCACCAACAAUGGUGAAGAAAAUUGUGUUCUCUGUUUCCCUGAAGAUGAGCUUAGGACCUACGAAGCAGUGAAUAAAAACAUUGUCAGCACUCGAGAUGUUUUGUUGUUUGCAAGGGGCUAUAAUAAUUUUCUCAUGUCCAAAUCAAAUUUAUCGUUCAUAGUCAUCACGCUUUACAGAUUCGGAAAUAAAGAGCGCAAAGAGUCUGCCAGUUUUCAAAAUUCUAUACAAGUCAAAGAUAAAAUCAGGUAGAGAUAUGUAAGCUCAUAUUAUAAGUCCUAGAGUACCAAUUUGUCAGGAAAGAUUACUGAAGCACUAUAAUGUGAUACCUCAAUUUUUCUAAUGUCACCUCCAAAAUAUGAAUUAUCUUCAGGUUUUGACGUCAUGACAACAGCAGCAGGAGAUCUUGCUCUAGAAUGCCGCACUUCAGAAGCACUUCGACGGUUAAAAUCUUUCAAUUGAGCUACCUCGGAUUCCUUACUCUCUAGUGCUGAUUUCAGUCUAAAGACCUGGACAGUUUGGAAAUCGCAUCUGAGUUUAUUAAAACAAAAAAAGAAAAGGAAAUUUUAACUAGAUGUGAAGAAUGCAAGAAUACCACCUCUUCUUUAAGCUCUUUAACUUGUCCUGAUUCCUUAUUAACAUGAGCAGCACCCAGCUCUAUCGACGACACACGCUCUGCAAACUUCAGUGUGCUGAUUGUUUCCCCAAAUGCAUCUACUUCAGGGUUUAUAUGUACAAACAUCAAAGUUUUAGCUUGGCCACCUGCAUCAAUUAAGAUGGUUAGCAGUGACAGAUAUAGACUUGACUAGAGCUAUUGAUCCAAAACUCCCGCUAUUGUAUUUAAAAAUGGCAAUACACGAUGCUCAGUUUGCCUCUAAUACAAUUCAUAUUUUCCAUCCUCCUUUAUAACUACUGCAGUAUGAUAGGAUUGCAGUUUUCAAACUUGUUAAACAAUGAAAUAUGCACGUCCAUUAAACCAAUAUGCACGAAAAAGGUCUGUAAAUUUGCAUCACCAUGCACAACCGUGCCGUCCUACAAAAUUCAGAUUCACUUAUCAAAAUCAACAAUUGAUAAAAUGCCAAAAUCUCCCUAAGAAAGUCAGUCAGUAAAAAGAAAAAGGUAAUGGAAAAUAAAGAAAUUCCCUUCACAAAGGUGAGACACUUUCUGCUCUCACUUUUCUCACCAUACUUUCCAAUCAUAAACAAGGCAUCCAACAAAAGAUAUAUUUCCAUAAUAGAGUAUAUAGGUGUAUAGCCCAUGUUCAGUUCAACCAUGUGUGAGCUCUGUGAAUUGGACAAAUAUAAGAACACAAAUGUCAAAAGACUACUUAAAAAAAAAUCAACAUUACGGACCUAAAGCAUGUUGUAAUACUUGUGUUAGCUUGCUAUUUCUGUAUGGAAUGUGAGGGCUUUUCUGUGCAAGUGCAGAGAUGACAUCUCCAAGAGCAGAAAGUGAUCUGUUUAUAUGCUGGGCUUCCUUUAAUCUUUCUCCUGUAGCUUCGGACUUGUCCACCCUCUCACUCCCUGCAAGAUCUACUAGAUGAAGACAGCCUCUUAUGGUAGAGCCAGAAACUAGUUCCUUCCCAUGGAUGUGAACUGUUAACACACUAUUUAAAAGCAGAACUGUCAAAUGAUUAGUAUGACUAGUGAUCCUAAAAAGCAUAAUAAAACUUGUAGAAUACAAAUCAAAUGAAAAUUUAUCAGCUUCUUAACAAUCUAGUGAUAUAUUUAAGGAAACUUUUGUGAAGUGUCAUCAGUUAGAAAGUGGCUUCAUGUGUAUAUUUCAUUGAGAAAAUAACUUUUAACCCACUUACUUUAGAUCAGGAAGGGAAUUAAAAACCAGCAANAUAAAUAAUUAUACAUAAUAUAUAUUUUUUUAUUUAAUUUUUAGCAAAAUAAAAAUAUAAAUGCGAGCUUAAUUAUAAAAAGACUCAUUUAUAUGUAAAGUUUCAACUAUUAGAUCAAAGUCUAAUGAAUAAGAUUUUAUAAAUUUAUCUUUUAUAUAUAUUCAAUCUAAUUCUUUUUAACUUAUUGUUCGUUGGCGAGCUCGUGAGCCAGCUCGUGUUCAGCUCGUUUAUUAAUGAGCCGAACACGAGCUGAAUUUUUCGGCUCGAUACUUUAACGAGCCGGCCCUAGCUCGCUCGUGUUCAGCUCGUUUACACCCCUACCAUCAAAUACUACUAAUUUCUAUCCUCUUUCAGUCUGAACCCUUCUCAUUAUUCACCAGCAUCUUUUGCAACUCUCUCUCAUACAUACUCCGUUUCAUUUUCUCAAUACAACAUGCAGCGCUUUCCUCUUCUUUUAAUUCAGAAAUUAUGUAACAUAAUUCAUAUAUAUAUAUAUGUGCGUGUGUGUGUGUGUGUGUAUUAGUACAUUGAAUAGUCCUCCAAUAUCCACCCCAUUACUGGAACAUUGGACUAUAUAAUCUGUUCAAUGGUUACUUAGAAUCACAACAUAUUUGCAGUAUACUGGACAAAAGAUAAUCUUUUUACCCUGUAGAAGUUGGCAAAGCACUACAGCAAUUGUACAGUACCUAUGGGAACGGCUACUACGCUCAUUAAGGGCGGUAGCUCCAACAGCACGAUUUCCCUGACCAAUUUUCAUCAAUUCCAAAACACCCUGAGUGCACUUCACAGGGACCAAACUUGCAUCUGGAAUGUUGAGGCCGUUCAGUUGAGAAUUGUUCCUUAUCUCUAGUGUGUCAAACAUUUAGGAAAUUGAACAAAUGAUGAACAUCCAAGAAUAAAGUUGGUUGCUGGCAGAAAUGUUGUUAGUUUAUAAUUUCCAAAAUUAACAUUCAAGAUGAUUAGUACUUCAGAAGAACUUCUGGAAACAAUAUUUCAGGAAAUAUAAUUUCUCCUACAAGAGCUCUACAAAGUGCCAUGUACAGUAAAAAGGAUAUCUCCUGUUUGUGCCGUCAGCUACCAAGAGAUCCCUCACUUGUUCAUUGUAUAUUUCAAUCAUCUGAACACUGACGUCAUAAGUUAUGAUAUCCGCCCUUGAUUUUGAGAUGCGGAAUAGAUCAUCCAGAGCACGAUAAUUCACACCCCAUGUGUCCUCCGCCGUCAAGUCUGGACCACUCUAAAGAAGGAAAAUUAAGCAUUACAGAUGUGGAAUUCAAACAAAGAAACACCAAAUAAUGAAUUAAAGUAUCGCGAGGCCAACAAAUGAAUUCUUUUGUCCUGAACAUCCGAACUGAAAAUGAAUGUUGCAAGAACUAGAAUAAGAAGAUAAUCAAGAAAAGAUGCAAAACAGAAGGUACACACAGAUGCACACAGACAACCCUUCCUUUCCAUCAAUCAACAGAAUGUUAACGGGGGAAAAGUGAAAUGCAAAGUUGAUAGAUUUAUCCAAUCAAUUACCAAACAAAAUUUCAUAACAAUUAUAGCGAAAAAAGAGGGCAAAUAUGAGAUGGGAUUUGGCAAAGCCAAGAUAUUAUCUGGUUAAAUUACCAGAAAAGGGCGCGAAUAUCUUUGUUGCAGAAAUUGAAAAAAUGUAAUCUGAUGGAGGGAUGAGCUGUGAAAGGUAGCAUGAAACAAACUACUAAUUCUCUAUUGAGAGUACCAUUGUAUAAGUUUUUCCAGAGCCUGUCUGUCCGUAUGCAAAUAUACAGACAUUGUAGCCGUCCAUCACAGAUCUGAUCAAAGGCUGGGUGUCAACAAACACUUCAGCUGCAACAAAUAAAAAUAAAAUGAGUGAAUAAUGUUGCUUUGGUAGAUGUCCUGAUUCAGAACAAAUUGUAGCAGCGAAAUUCUGUAGCCCAACAUAAAAAACCGAAGUUUGAAAUGGUUACCAUACAUUGGGUGGCACUAACUCCAAAUAUUUUGUUGAAUGAGAAUAUCUUUCUUCCGUCCUUCCCUUGCUUUUGAGGAUUCGCAAUUAUAAUGUCUCCAUUUUCUCCAAUAUGAUCAACAACAGAUCUUUCAUCAGGAUGCUUCUUUAAGAAAGGCUUCACUCUACAGUACACUCUAAUGUUUCCUGUAUUUACUCCCAAAAAACAUGAAUUGAAAUCAUAACAUAUACAAACUGAUGAAAUGACGGAGAAAUCUGUUUUGCAGUUACCUUUAAGAUCUUGCACUUGAUUAUAAAGCAAACGGUUUUCCUCAAGCAACUUAUAGUAGGAAGAAGAGUUAUCUUUAAGAGCUUGCACUUGGUGAUCUGAGAACAACUAGAGUCAGAUAAACAAACUAUAAGUGUUAAAAUAAAUAUCACAUAGAAUAUGAUUCUCACCAAGGCUUCUAAGGUCUUCUUCCCAUUUCUUUCGACUGGAUUCGAUUUGGAGUUUCAUUUCAUAGAAAGAUAAUUUCAACUUCUGAAAAGAACAUCAGAAAAAAAUUUAAAACUCUGCAUUAUGUAAGUAAAAGUAUUCCCUGAUGUACCUAUUCUGUUAAAUUUAACUGCAGGAAUCAGUUUAAAAAAGAUUGCAACAAUUGUGAAGACAGAAAGAUACAAACAAAAAUAACGUCCACAUUUACAUAUUCGUGGCAUCCAAGAUCAUCAGCCUAAAAUGCCAUACAGUAAUCAAAUCUGCUGGGUUUAAAUGAUUCUUAUAUGUUGCUGAAAUAACAACUUAUCCAUAAAGUACCAAAAUUCAAGGCUUUGACUAAUAUAUAUAUAUAUAGGCCACAAGAUACUCAUGGAGUGCUAGUAGUUGAGUCAAUUGUCACUGUUGUUGCUAGUCUUCCGUUGUUCAAAAAUUUUGCUGGGAGGACAGUUCUUCAAAUAGAAAGCAAAAAACAAGAACAUUAUCAUGAAUAAUCUGAAUAAUUGAUUACUAGUGGUGGACUUUGUGCCAAUCUCUGAUCUUGUCUUAGAAUUUAGUAGUAUGAUUUCCAUCAAUUUUUUUCUAACAGUUGAUAACAUUGGGGCUAGUCUCCAUUCAUUGGAAAAAUUAUGUUCUGUAGAGCAACCAGUAUAUUACAGACAGCAAAUCUCAAUUAAUAUGAACAUUAAGAAGGACACCCACCAAAGCUGAUAGACCUUUCAUUUUAUGUAACUAAGCAAAGUUUCUUUACCUCCAACUGUUUCUGUUGGUAGUCAACUCUUUCUUCUUUCUCUGGAUUUAAAUGGCCAUUGUUAGGAAUCUUUAAGCAAGAUGACAUCUCAUCACUGUUUUCUUUAAGAUGCCUCAAAACUGCUUCUCUGAACUCUGCUUUUGGAGUAGUUUUAUCACCAUCCUUUAUUAUUUUCUUCAAAAGCAACUCUAACUGUCAAAGAUGUCAAAUAUGAUCAAAACAACAUGAGACAAUCUAUAUGACACAAUUCUCUUUAACAUGAAAUACUAUCACAACUAACUUUGGCUCAUUGCAAUUCCGACUGAGAUUUCAUAAAUUUCUAGUCAAGUUUAUCAAGAUAUCAACUUCUUCCCUAUUUUACAUGGUUAGUUUUGUAAAUUAAAAAAAAAAGGGAUGCAAAAACAACUUCUUCCCUAUUUUACAUGCCCUUAUUUUUAUAUAAAAUACACAUAAUAGCUUCAAUAAAACUUUUAUAUCAACUAUUAACACAAUUUUACUUCGAAAAAAAAUUGAAGAGCAGCUUUGUCUUCCUCUAUUACCAGAAGCAUUUUGUGAUUUCUUGUGUAAAAUUCAUUGUGGAAGAAACAAACGACAGCAAAACAUGAUAUACAGCUGUAUCUAACCUCCAUCCAAACUAUUUAAAUAUCUUAUAGGAUAACAAAUCAUUAGCUGAUAUUACCUUAUUUCGUUGAGUUGCAAGCAGCACAGAGAACUCUUUAAAAGCAUGCUCGAGCAUGACUUCAAUAAGCUACAAUAUGAUACAGGAAAAUAAAUAAAUAAGCAUGCCGAUAUAGGGUGGAUAUGCAAAAAUAUGAUUAGAAAAAGGCAAGUAGAUAGACCACUUCAUUAAAAACAUUCACCUCUUAAUCAAUCACUUAAAACUCCAGGAUGAUAUGACAGGAUAAAAGGUAUUGUAGAUCUAUUUCCUGGCUCUGUGAUGUAUAGAAACACUGACUUCCUUCUUGUGCAUGAACUUGCAUCACUCAGUUAUUCUCCAAAUUCUUUUUUUUUUUAAUCCUAAGAUCUUUAUCAUGAAACUUUUAUCCAAAGAUUUAAAUGUCGUGGCACGAGAUCAUGCCGGAAACUGGCCGGCACGGUAUGGUACGGUGCGUGCCGAGCCGUGCCGAUGCGUGCCGGUCAAAAAAAUUCUUAUGUGCCGAUACAUAAUAGUAUGAUAUUUAUUUUCUUUAGCAACAAAAUAUUCUAACUAUUUAUUAUGUCUUUUUAUCACAUAUUUUGAACUUUAUUGACAAAAUUAUUUACUAAUUUAAAGAAUAGAGGGUUUUGAGUUGUGCCAUCGGCAUGGGGUGAGUAUCGUGCCGGUAUCUUGUUGGCACGGUAUGACACGGUGGAUACAGUCCGUGCCGACGGGCACUUAAAACCUUGCUUUUAUCUCUCCAUCAAAUCAUUUCUCAUUUAAAAUCAUGCCAUUACGCAAGAGAAAUUUUGAAAUCUUAACAGGUUGCAAAAAUGAACAACUAAAUCUGCCAUGUACUGGCAGAUUUUUCCAGCCUUUAAUUUUCUUUUUUUUCCCCUUACCAUGCGUCUCUUAGCAUUAGUUAGUAUUUUUGCUAAGUCUAUAUAUUUGAUAAAUUUGUUUGGACAUGAACAAAGUUGAUUGAUGCUUGACUUAUGGCGUACCGCACGUUAUCAUACUUCCACUCCUGAUAAAUGACCAUUAGAAUAGUUAAAAAUCAAUUCCAGCAUUUAAAUAAUCAGUCAACAAAAAACUCAGCAACUUUUAGAUGGACGCUAGUUCUAACUAUUGAGAGGUCUAAUUUUAUGCUUUUGGUGAAUAUGGGCAGAAACAGUCAAGAAACAACCAAAAUUCAGAAAUCUGUCUAACUGAUGAAUAAAAAAAAAUCUAGUCCAUCAGUGAAACAAGAAAGGAAGAGCAUGUUAAUUACCAUUUCAUUCGAAUGCAAGUCCUCCAGCUCGGUCCAUUCUGUGAAAAAUGCACGUACAAGUUGGAGCACAAACUGAUCAAAGAGAGAGCUUAGAAUACCAUCUGCUUUGGACUCUUCAAGAAAGACUUCAGUGAGCAAAUGUAGAAAUCCCAAUAAUUGUUGGUCAGGUAUCCAAGUAGAAUUGUCAGGUGGCCCGUGCAGACCUUUGUCACCACCAAGCAAGCUUGAAGGGAGCCUCUUAUUUAAGGAUGUUAUCUUUACAAUCCCCCCAUAUCUCCAAAUACCAAUUCCACCUGCUUGUUUCCACUCGUGAUACCCUUUGAGACAAAGGAUGCAAUCGACAACUUUAAUUGAUGAUCCCCCCUGUUAAAAAGAGUAUGCAAGAUAAGAAAUAAAUGAUAUUAUAUAGGUAAUUAGCAUAUAAACUCGUAAUUCAUCAAAAUAAACUAUUACAAUGUCCAACCUUUUCUAAAUCCGAUGCUUCAAAGGUCAAGAGAUUCAUCUCACCAACAGCUACAAGAAAGUUCCUCAUGUUCUCAAAAUAUUGUAUUGCAGACUGGGCAGCUCCAUCGGUUGAUUGUAUGGUAACAACAGGAUUUUCUACAAUCUGCCAUCAAUAAAUAAACAGCAAGUUUAGAAAAGAGCACCAACUUGGGCCUAAACAAAAGCAAGUUUUAGCAUCUGUCCAACAUUUGCCAAAAAAAGAACCUAAAAUUAAAGAAAUAGCUCGAAAAGAAAAACUUGGGCAACCAAUGUACCGACACAUUAUCUCCUCCAUUAUAUUAAAAUAUUACCUAACAAAGACAAACUAUCCACGAACUACCUUCGAAUGAGACAACAUAACAUGCUCCAGCGAAUUCCGGAGAGUGGCGACAACACAAGACCACUAUCUUAUAACAAAAUUAUUUUCCUGUUCCAUCUGUUACAUUCUAUUUGUAAAUGUAGAGUGUCGACAAUGCCUCCAAAGUUAAAGGACAAAGCUAACAUAUCAAAUCUCAUUCACCUAUUGCUCGAGAGGUUCGCUAGAUGUCAUUUGCACAAAUCGAAACUCCACAGAAGACACAAUUUAGCAUUUUUUUUAGACCCUAAGGAAAAACUACCUCUUAGUUUACACAUCACAGAGGCAAAUAUUGUAAAGAAACAACCAGCAAUUCAGAUUUAAGCAGAACAGCACUAUUAAAUUAAUGAAGAACCAGCAAUUCUUCGUGGUAUAACUUCUUGAAAGGAUGAUGACACAAUAACCUAUAGAUUCAAAUAGAUGAAAAAUUUUCUAUUGCAAACGAAAAUAACAACAAUUGAUCAAUUGUUCAAGCACUCAAUUUACUUUUGUAAAACAAAGGGCACGACUAACAUUCGUUCGAAGAUCAAUGACAAAAGUCAAAAAGAAGCAUUUUUAAGAGUUGGUUUGUGCAAUUAACGUCAAAAAGAAGCAUUUUUUUAAGAGUUGGUUGUGAAUUGCACCUCAAGAAGAGCCAAAAACUCAAAAUAAUAUCAAAAAAUAAAUAAUAAAUAAAUAAAUAAAGAGAGGAACUGGGAAUUGGUUACCUUUGGGACGGCGCCGGUGUUGACUUUGUUGAGGACGUUGCAGAGGAUGAGUCCAUUGCGGAGCGCAAGGCAAAACUCCUCUUCGGAGGGAUCCUCCGCUAGGGUUUCCGACGCCACCUGAUCCAUCCGCCUCAGCCAUUGCGCCGCUUGGGAUCUCCUCCAUGCUAUUUAGAACCCCCCACCCCCAAAACAAAAAAAUUGAGAGAGAAAGAGAGAGAAGGACUCAAAAAAUAUGAGAAAUUAUUGCGAAAAAAUGGAGGAUGAGAAACCCUUCUUUUUAGGGUUCUUCUUUCCAACUUCUCUCUCUUCAGCUUCCCCGCGGGAGAGGGACCAGGACAGGGUAAGUGAGAAAAGUUUGUUGUAACUAACGGUCUUUCGCGUCUUCGUAUCGUGGACGGGUGCUAAAACAACUAAAUAACCCGAGUCCUAGAAGGACUCGGACCAAACUCGGGCACGCCGUUAAUCAUUUACUUCAUACGAAAAUUUGAACGUCCGUAGGCGCAGCAUUCAAUACGUGCGGAGGCUUGGGUAUUUGGGUGAUCCUUCCAUCAUCGAUUGCCGAGAUGAAAAUUAAAAAUUUUAUUUUUCGAGAAAUUAAAACAAAAAACACUUUUCAACAAUCCCGAAGCUGAAGUUGAAACUUUGUCAAAGAUAAAAAUAUGUAUCAGUAAGAUGAGCUGAUUUGAACAAUUCGAUUCAUCUUUUACAAAAUUUAGAUGAAUUGACCGGAAUUAAGCCAUGUGAAUCAUAUAAAAUACUCGCAUUAUAUUCAAACGAUGCGUUCAAAUUCUAUUGAACAACAUCCACCGAAUAUUCAAUUUAAAUAAAAUAAAAUAUCAGCUAACAAAAUCUAAACAUAAAAAGCGAUGUAUAGACCUGAUGGUACUGAAUCCCACAAAUUUUUAAAUACGUGUCUCCCUCUCCACUCCGAUCUACAGCCAAAAACUUCAAACGCUCUGGUGCGGACCGUCGCACGAAACUUUAUAUGCGGAUAUCAUCUUCUCUCUCGACUCUCAUUUUCGCACAUCGACAUAGCUAGCUCGUCCUACAUCUCUAAUAUCCAUUAAUUAAUGGGCGUGCUCACAUUGUGAUUUGUGAUUCUGCUUACAUUGUGAUUUGUGAUUCUCCCCCGGUCCAGAGACCGGUCCGGUUCACACGAACUGGGCAAUGCGAAGAAGAAGAAGAAGAAGAGGGACGGUGGGGGGCGUACCAGCUUCCUCGGCCUUCCGAAUCGCCAUCUCAUCGCUGAUCCCGCACUUCCCGAAGAACUCCACUUCCGCCGACAUUUGCUGAUCCCGAACCGAGAAGAGGAGGAGGAGGAAUCCCGAGCUCGGGAGCGGAAACAAUGGNGGGGGGGGGGGGGAGAGAGAGAGAGAGAGAGAGAGAGAGAGAGAGAGAGAGAGAGAGAGGAGGCAGAGUUCUCGUGCGUUGUGCGGGAGACGAGUUUGAAAAUGGAUCGGUGGGUUUAUUAAUUACGGACCGGGGCUCUGCAGAGAAGUUGAAAAUUGCACGCAUCUGCUGUACCCUGCGAAACAGGAUACAGCUCGUACUACUGCUGAUGAGAAUUUUGGACUACGUGGCCACUCUGUGGAUGGGAUUGCUCGUGGGGCCCACAUUAAUUUUUUUUUAUUUUCUUUUUUGAAUAAUAAAAGAUUAAUAUGAUUAUUUUUUCCUGGCCUGUUGAGGAGGGCUUUUUGAGAGCUCGAAAUAUUCAGAUGUUUCAGGUAACCAAGCAGGUUUAUAUAAUAUCAUUUACAAAUUAAUUGUAGAUUGAUGUACAUAAUAUAAUAAUUUUUAACUCAGCAUAAAACAUAUUUUAUAAUAGAGAGAGAGAGAGAGAGAGUGAGUAAGGAUAGUUCAUUUUAAAAGCCGAGAAAUUGCUAUGAAAAAUUUAGUCUACCACUUAAACGGUAGAUUGGUUAUUUCAUCCAUAAUUCCUAUAAUAAUUUUUAAUUCAGAAAAAAAAAACUAUAAUUUGACAAUCUAAAUUUUUAAUUUUUCUAUUCCAAUGACCAAAAGAAAAUUGCAAUAAAAGAGUGAUCCAAUUAUAUGAAAGCAAGUAAUAAGGUCUUUUUUUGGGAUAGUAAAUAUUAUAUUGUAAUUGAAUAGAUGUAAUCGGCACACACGACUUGUUAUUAUUUCUGUAUAAAAAAACAUUUCAUUGGAUCUUCUCAACACAUGCUACACAUUCCACGCGUAAUCCCUUAGGAGCCUUGGUUUGGAGAUCAUCUGAUUCACUUUUUUUUUUUAUAAAAUAAAAUCUCAUUUAAAGAGAAAUGCUAAUGACCGGUCUACAGCUGACGUGGUGGACCAAGUCCAGGCUAUAAUUCCCCGGAGAGAUAGAUUCUCGCGGACGACCUGUGAAGUCCAAGCGCGCGGGAUCGGAUCCGGUGCAUCGAUGUGCGUGUGCCUUUGAACACCCGCUGAUUGAUACGAAGAUGCAUGUGGUGUGGCGGGCCCGACCAAUCAGGUGGGGUCGCGCGCGGUCGAGAGGUUCGAAAUGAUUCGGAUCGCGAUUCGACCGUUGGGAUCCACCUCCACACGUCCCGCACGGAAAUUUCAAUUUGUAUUCAAAUGGCUGCGCACGCGGGCUAAACUCAACUUCAAUGAUGAUGAUUAUUAUUAUUAUUAUUAUUAUUAUUAUUAUUAUAGAAAAAAUAGUGUUAGCUAAACUUAGCUAGAAGCAUAAAGUAAUUAAAUUUCGAAUAUAGGAUCUUGGAUACCAACCAUAAGACCUUUAGCCAAUUACGCCAGUUAUGAUUGAUGCAUCAAUUUUGAUUAUUAGAAACAUAAUUUUAUGGCCUUAGAUCGUGGGCUAUUAUGAAUAUGUGGGUUGUAAAUUUAUUCUCUUUUUAAAAGGCGAACUCAGCUUGAGAUAUGAAACAAUUAUAUUUCGAACUUGAAAUCCUGAAUAACAACCAUCAAUUACUUAACUAACCACGAUAAGUAUGACUAGUCGAUCUAAUUAUAAUGAUAGACAUAUAUCAAUUAUAGAUUCAUAGCUGGCCAUAUAUAUAUAUAUAUAUAUCAAUCAGUGAGCACAAAAAAGAAGAAGAAGAAGAAGAAGAAUGGCGUGAUAAAAGAGAAAAUGAAAACUACAGCAACAUCCUCUUCUAACAUGUUCUAACUACUCAUAUUUUUGUACACCAUCACGCUGUGGUUGGAGCUUAAUGAAAUUAUAGGGUUGUAAGGUUCUUAUUGAGAAAAUGGAUUUUUACAUAUAUUGAAAAAAUUUUCAAUAUUUUGUUUUAAAUAAAAUUUGUUUAUGAAUUUAAUAAUAUUCAUUAUUGCAUCGGGCCCUGGAGAGCAUGAAGACCAGGUCCAUCCAACGUUCAUAAUAUAGUUUGAAUAGGAUUAAAUAUUUUGCUGCUGUUGGACCAAAAGAUGUGGCCAGCACAAACAAGCUGUGUCGCUGCAGAAUAAUGUAUGUUGCUUCGAAAUUAAUGUAUUAACUGUCGUUGGCAUUUUAGUUGAAGUACAUCAAUGAUUACAAACUCGCACGAUUGUAAUGAAACUGUUUCACGUAGUAGUAGAAUCAAAAAGAAAAAAAAAAAAAGAAUUGUUCAGUUCUGAUUUGUGAGCGAGCUUUUAUGUGAUUGAUUCUAUUAUAGGCCAUUCUGAAAAUUAGUCUCCUUUUCUUUACCAAGAUCAGCAUCUCUGUUCUUUAAAUUUGUGUGUUCAAGAGAUAACAAGCAAAUUGUUCGUCUGGAAGAACUAUAAAUUAAUUGAACCUGUCACAUCUAUUACACUUGCUAAAUAACUUUCACAGUACUUUUUUAUGAAAACAAGGGAAAAUAGCUAAUUUGUAAUUAAGAAACAAGGGAAACUAAACUGGUCCAUCUAACAAAAUACUCCAUUGGAUCGUUCAAGAUGAAUCAGUUCUACGAAUUACUUGACUCUUUCAACAAAGUCGUUGUGCUAGCAUAUAUUUUCUCGUAAUGGGAAUUAUAAUGCCUACUAGUCUCCAUCACACACAUUAGUUGAUGGGGUCACGUUGGAUUACUGUAACUCUGAACUAUGUCAAUAGCAAAUGCUAACAAGAGUGGACAACAAAGAAUUAAUUAAUUCUAUAUUAAGUUCUUAAAGUUCGGUUUGGAUUCGUAUGCAAUCUUACAUUUUCAAACCCGUACAAAUCGUGACUCAAAAAGUGACGACAACUAGUUGUUAAUGUAAACAUGCCAUAUGACUUAGAGAAUUGACUAUAUCUGAUUCUGUACUGACUUUACUCUUAGCCGCGCCGAAACUUAAUUAUAAAAUUUCUUCCCAAAAGUCUUUGGAACCUAUCAUGUAGAGUUGUGUUGGCUUAAAUGAACCAGUAUCCUACUUUAUGAUAGAAGAUUACAUUCGGUCAAUUCACGUUUAAAAUGGUAUGAGGUUGGAUUGAGCCGACUCAUAUUCGAAGUGGCAUAAGACCGGUUGGAUUUAGUCACAAUCGAGAUUCGUUAAUGCUGUGUUUGUAUACUUUAAGUAAAUUAGUUACGUAUUUUUAAAAUUGUUGGCUUAAAUAGACAAAUUUUCUGCUCUAUGGCGCGAGACUAUUGAAUCUGAGUUAUGUUCGGAAUGACAUAAGACCGGUUGGGUCGAGUCACAAUCGAGAUCCGUAAGCACUGUAUCUGUACGUUUGAAAUGAAUUAAUUAUAAAUUUAUAAAAACUUGAAUUUUUGAAAUUAAUUAUUAGCGCUAACGAUCUUACAAGAUGAAUAAACAGAUGUGCGGAUGUUGGCAUGGCAAUGUUCGACCUUUGGAGUUUGGAGUCCGCAAAGAAAGGCUCUCACCGCCGACUUCUGUACAAGUUACAAGCGCUUUACCCUUGGAGUCGGCACAUAAAGCCUCUCACCGCCGACUUCUGUACAAGUUGCAAGGUCCGGUAAUUUGAGACUCGGACCCGAUCAAAUUAUCAGGUUCGUCCAGGGUUCUCUUGGGUUUGAUACCCUUAUACCCGAUAAGCGACGGGGUAGAGGUAGGGUUUAUGCAGUGUCCCGCUCCCACUCUCGUCUCUUUCUUUCUCCCUCUUCCUCUCCUCUCACUACUUCGAGGGCUCCAAGAAUCGAUCUUCGUCGUCGCCAAUGGCGGCUCGGGGCGUGGGCGGCGGCGUUGCUGUGGAGCGCGUCUUCAUCGGCGCGGGUUGUAAUCGAAUCGUCAACAACGUCUCGUGGAGCCCCUCCGGAUUGGUCGCGUUCGGCGCCCAAAACGCGGUCGCAAUCUUUUCCCCCGAGGUUUUCUUUUUGAUCCCCUCCCAUUUUUUGCGAUCUUUUUUUUUUGGAUUUUUUUCGAUGUUCUUUUUGGUUAUUUGAAUCGUUUCUUUGAUGGGGUUUUGGAGCAGAGUGCUCAGAUUCUCGCCACGCUUCCCGGGCACAAGGCGGUUGUAAACUGCACCCAGUGGCUUCCGACCAACAAAGAUGCAAUCAAAGGUCCCACCUUUCUUUCUCUUUUCAUAUCAUCGAUUUUCUCUUCGAAAAAGUAUAAUAAUUGUUAUGAGAUCCAUGUUUUUUUGCAAAAUUUGGGGCGUGCAUAUUGCUCACUUUCAUGCUUUUAUCCAUAUUAUGGGCUUGAAUUUCUACAAUCUGGUUACUAGAGUUGGAAGCGAAUUCUUGGUUGAUGAUUUUUAAAUUGUAUAUGGAAUAUUCUAUUUGGAAAGUCACCAUCUAGAUGCAUAAUUCAUCUAAAUGCAUACUAGAAUAGGCUGACUUGAUAUAGUUGUGUGGACCAAAAACUCAGAUUAAUUGGAAAGGAACUCUUAUUUUUUCAUGCAUUAUCCUACUUUGAGAGAAAAGUGAAAGGAGAAACUUAUCUGACAGAAUUCGUUGUGUCUUGCUCUGAUUGUUGGGCUAAAUUACUCUCUUAUCUGACAGUUCAAGAUAUGGAGAGGCAUUACCUGCUCUCAGGAAGUGCUGAUGGUGUCAUCAUGAUCUGGGAGAUACAUCCUAAAAAAAGAGAGGUACUUGUCUUCUUCUUUUUUUUUUCGGGUGAUCACAUUCUAUUGUCCUAUUUUGUAGCUGUCUAUAUAGUGAUGACUUUAUGGGCAUCCCCAUUUCUUGGAUAGGUCGUUCCACUACAAUCUAGUCCUUACUCUUGUCGAGUGGAAUUUAGUACAUAAAUAUGGGAUAGUUCAGCAACAUUAUGUUGCUAUGUAAGAUAGUUUUAGGACUCAUUCAUACCAUUAUUCUCCCCGUUAUGUUUCUUUUAGUUAUAUUUCCUUCAUAGUUGGUAGAUCAUUUGCAAUUUUGUCAUGCAGAUUACUCUUCAAAUGGUCAGAAAUAAGGAAUAGGGGCUGUUGCUCCACAUCGGAUUCUUUAUGAAAACCAUUUAGCUUUCUUUUAGACAUCCUUCACUCUGACCCCUUGGGGAUUUUUAAAUUCCUUGACUCAAGUCAGUCUGAAAAAAUAUUAAAGGGAUGCGGCAAAUCUGUUGUCGCUACUUUGAGUGCCAUCAAAGAAUUCAUGUAUUCUUGAUUCAGUCAAUAGUCAAGUAUUCUCAUUAAUUUUUAUAUAUUAUUAGUAUAUUGGUCAUUCGCAAGAUUUUGUUAAUUAUGGUCAUGGUUCCUUUCCAGUGGAGCCACAUGUUGCAAGUACCAGAAAUGCAUAAGAGAGGCGUGACUUGUCUAACCGGGAUGAUGAUUUCGGAUGUUACUGCAAUAUUUGCUUCAACCUCUUCAGAUGGUGUUGUUCUUAUAUGGAAGAUUGUCUUUUCAUCAACAGUUGGUGGUAAGACGAUUCACUUGCCAAACUUUUCUUGUGAUUACCUAAUAUGAUAAAUUUAUAUUGUAAGAUACAGUAACUAAUGGACCAAAGAUCUCAAUUGCUAUGUUAAGUGCAUUUAUGUCGUUUAAAUUAUUUCUUCUAGUUUACUACAUGGAUAUUUUGUAACUGAUCACCAUGCCUGCUGCACAUUCCUAUGCCUUACUGUUUUCUGGGGUCACAUUAUCACAGCAGAAUUUUCUUCCUUUCAUAUGUAGACAAGGAUUCAGUGUCAUUAAAUGUAACCUCACUUAAACUUUGUCUCAAAAAUUAUCCUGGACUUUUUUUUCUGGUACUUUUUCAUUUGUCUCUUUGGCAUAUUUAUAUGCCUUCUGUGUUAGAGAAGUCCCUCCAGAAAAUUGACAUCUUACUUCUUCCUUUGAAAAAGUAGUAAAGAUUAGAAAGGCAACCUUAAAAAAUUGUGGGGAACUCUCUAUGGCUUUUAAAAUCCAUAAUAUUAAUUUCCAUUGCUUUGGUGACAGGAAAGUGUAAUGUUUCCUGUUUGGACUCUCUCUCUGUUGGUUCAAAGCCUAUGGUUGCCUUGUCAGUAGCCGCACUACCAGGCAACAAAAGUCAUGCAAUUUUAGCAAUGGGAGGUUUAGAUCUCAAGGUCCAUAUAUAUUUUGGCGAUCAGACCGGCAAGGUCUGUAAAGUGGUUGGUGGUUGGUUUUGUCAUUUUACCUAUCCUAAAUCUUUUUGUGCUGAUUUUUUUUUUUCUUUUCUGGCACAUCCAGUUUACUCAUGCUUGUGAGCUGAAAGGCCAUGCUGAUUGGAUCAGAAGUUUAGACUUUUCAUUACCUGUCAUUUUAGAUAGUGAAAAGCACAACCUUUUCCUUGUGAGUUCAUCUCAGGAUAAAACUAUUCGCAUAUGGAAAAUGGCUGCACAUGCUUUAUCUUCUGGUUCUCCAAUUCAGUCAAGAAAAGAGGAUAUUGGCUUGACAUCGUAUAUUGAAGGUCCUAUAUUUGUGGCCGGUUCUUCCUCGUAUCAAGUGUCUUUAGAGUCUCUCCUUGUUGGUCAUGAAGAUUGGGUGUACUCUGUGGAGUGGCAACCGCCUUCACUUAUAAAUGGGACUAAUUGUCACCAACCCAUGAGCAUCUUAUCAGCUUCAAUGGAUAAAACGAUGAUGAUAUGGAGACCAGAAAAAACCACUGGAAUUUGGCUAAACGUAGUGACCGUGGGUGAAUUAAGUCACUCUGCAUUAGGAUUUUAUGGUGGCCAUUGGGCACCAGACGGGCAAUCAAUACUUGCGCAUGGAUACGGUGGAUCUUUUCAUCUGUGGAGAAAUGCUGGCUUGGAUUAUGAGAACUGGCAGCCACAGAAAGUUCCCUCGGGUCAUUUUGCAUCUGUGUCGGACCUCACUUGGGCCAAAUCUGGCAAAUAUUUGCUAUCCGUUAGCCAUGACCAGGCAAGUCUUUCAAUUUUCCUACGAUGCUUACAUUUUUUUCCAUUGCUAUGUUGCCUGUGCAUCUCAUUGUUGGCCCGUUUUAGAAAUGCCACUAACUUCUUCAUUCAAGUCCUGAACAACUUCUGUUGCAGAAGACAGCUAUUUUAGGGCCUAGAAGCUCAUUUCAUUUUUAGUUUCUUAAAAUUUGCUGCUACUUUUCGGAGUAGAGAAGCCAAUGCAAAAACUAGGCCAAAAAGGCCUAUGUCUGUCCGAUGCCAAUUUUGUCAGGAAGUGGCCAAACUUAUGUGUAUUGCUUUGUUAGUCCUUUUGCAAAUGUACUUUGUUAAUCCUUUGGCAAAUGUAGCUAAUAUGAUUAUUUUGCAGACUGCUCGUGUAUUUGCUCCAUGGAGGAUAGAAGAGACCUCUGGUGAUAAGGUCUCCUGGCAUGAAAUCGCUCGUCCUCAAGUUCAUGGACAUGAUAUUAAUUGUGUAACUUUUAUACAAGGGGCUGGGAACCACCGAUUUGUAAGUGGCGCUGAUGAAAAAGUUGCUAGGGUUUUUGAAGCUCCAUUAUCAUUUUUGAAGACCCUUCACCAUGCGAUGUCCCAGAACAACUUUUACGAUUUUCAUGAACAAGUACAGGUCCUUGGUGCCAACAUGUCUGCUCUUGGUCUGUCACAAAAACCUAUCUACAUGCACAGUGAGUUCCUCUGUAUCUCUCUUGGUGCAACCUAACUGCUAAACAAAUGCUCGACCUCUAGAUCAAAAGUUACAUAAAUUCGAAAAAGGAUGUUUAGCAUUGAAUAUUGCCCAGCCUAUUGUAUUCAUUUAUUUUCGCUCAUAUGUAGAUCUCCCAGUGACAAUGACGCAUGCAGACAAAUACCAUGUAAAAUGAUGUAAACUAUGGAUAUACUCGUCUUGCUUUUCACCAGAAAGUUUUCAUCUAGCCUCUGCUUGAAACCUGUUCUCAUCUCCUUUCCCAAUUUAAGUUCCUGUAGGAACUCCCUCAUAUUGUGGUUCAGGAAUAUCAUUUAUUUAAAUUUUCCUGAACCACAAUAUGAGGGAGUUCCUACAGGAAUAUCAUUUAUUUAAAUUUGCCGACCGUCCCUAGAGCAAGUGGCAAAGGGUUUGAUAGUUGGUACUUGAGGUCUCAAGUUCGAAUCCUAGUUGAUUCACAUUUCCAGCUAAGUUUAUUUCUAAAUGAAAUAAACGAAGCGGGUAGCGUGCUACCUAUCUCUAAAAAAAAAAAUCAUUUAUUUAAAUUUUAUGCCCAUGAUGGUAUUGCAUAUUUAUUAGAUUCAAAUUCGGUAUUGCUGUAACUGACAUCUUUCCACUGAUUCAAUACACUCAGCUGUCAAUGAAUCUCCAGCCAGUCUUCACAACGAUGGUGCAGAUUCUCUGGAAACAAUUCCUGAUGCAGUGCCUACUGUUUUGACUGAGCCUCCUGUAGAGGAACAACUAGCCUGGCAUACAUUGUGGCCUGAAACCCAUAAACUUUAUGGCCACGGUAACGAGCUAUUUUCCUUGUGCUGUGACCAUGAGGGUAAGCUUAUUGCUUCAUCAUGCAAGGUACACUUGUUGUCUUUUAUCUUAUAUGUUUUUUGCAUUAUUGUAUUAGAUGUUUAUGUUACAUGGUAUUUGUAGGGAUGCCAACGUAAGAUUGUUAUUUGUUAGUUAACAAAUAUAUUGUAGUGCGUUAGCUUUAGUGCUGCAACUUGGGUGGGUUGUGUCUGAUUAAAGACCGACCCUAUCUCAACCCUAAAAAUUUAUAGUGUGAUGAUAUCACAGGCUCAAACAGCAACAGUUGCCGAGAUUUGGCUUUGGGAAGUUGGGUCAUGGAAAGCCAUUGGCCGUUUGCAUUCUCACAGCUUAACAGUCACACAGCUGGAGUUUUCCCAUGAUGACGCUUUUCUCUUGGCUGUCUCAAGGGAUCGGCAGUUCUCAGUGUUCUCAAUCAGCAAAACUGGUGCGUAGUUCUGACCAUUUUAUCAACUGCCGAUUACAUCCCUAGUGUUAUAUAUGAUGCUACCUCUUCCUGCAUGUGCAUUUUGUCCUCUGCUCUUCUUAUUGUUUAAUAAUCCACUGUUUCAUGGAUGGUCAUGGAUUGCCUUUCCUGUCUCAUGGUUUUCAGGGGACGAAGUCAUCCAUCAGUUGAUUGCCAAGCAAGAGGCGCACAAAAGAAUAAUAUGGGCAUGUUCAUGGAACCCCUUCAGCCAUGAUUUUGCAACUGGUUCAAGGGACAAAACUGUCAAGGUAUGGUCGGUUAAUAAGGAAGCAUCUUCUGUUGAUCUACUCGCUACACUUCCUCAAUUCCGCGACAGCGUCACAGCCUUAUCAUGGGUCGGCCGUGAUCAGUCAUGCAAUGCCGGGUUUCUUGCCAUAGGCAUGGAUAAUGGGCUCAUAGAACUUUGGAGUCUCUCUGGUGGUAGAGUUGCCGAGAUUAAUGAUAUGGGCACAUCACCAUUUACUGCUGUUUGUGCUAUUCGGUUUGAUCCUUUAUUAUGUCAUGUUUCGACGGUACAUCGCUUGAGAUGGAGAAACCCUGAUUUCGGUGAUACGAAGACACUUCAACUCGCUUCUUGUGGAGCUGACCAGUGUGUUAGGGUUUUCGAGGUCAGCGGCCAAUGAAAUCGGCCAAUGAAGACGGUAACCCUCUUAUCAGCCUUUUACAUUAUGAAAUCUAAGGAAGUUGUUGCAGGUUGACAGCCCCAUUUGGCAAAUUUCAAACCAACGGUAGGAAGGCUGAUAAUACGUUACAUUAACUUUAUACUGCUUUCAGUUUAUUUAUUUAUUUAUUUAACUUUCUAUGUAUGCUAGCUGUAAAUGGAGCUCCCAUUCUGUGAUCGAAAUGGGAAGCAGGUGUUUUUACUAAGCUGUACAUAAGAACUGUUUUGUGGGGUUUAAGUUAAAACUCAAAAGAACUUUCAGUUUCGAAUAUUUUUCUCUCUAUCAGUUAACAUCUUAUAGACCUCUGCAAUUUUUAAGUAAUUUCAUGGACAAAAAAUCAUGACAAGCUAUAGUAGCAUUAUUUUUCUCUUCUACAAAAUGAUCUUUGAUUAAGAGAAUUUCGCAUCACACAAUUUCACCACCAUCAGUAGGCCUGUCUACUUCGUGUGUUCUUUCCACACGGUUGUUUUGAGUUUCUUCACUGCCAACCAGUCUACUAUUUGUUACUCCCGAUUUUGAGCUUCCUUUUUGACCGACUGCACCGAUUUCUACUGCUUCUGAAUACAAAGCCUUGACCAGAUUAUUGAAUCUUCUCCGGAAACUCGGGAUUCGCGACAUGUUAGCAACAAUUCCCUGCAAUCUGUGUAUACUGAAGUCAUGUUUCUUGCUCUUCAAUCGCAAAGGAAAUGGUAUAUAACUUGCAGUAUCUUGUCUUAUCAAGAAACUUGAACCUUAUGAGGUUUUUAGUUGUGUUAUUAAAACCCCCUCUAAUUUUAGAAUAAUUUUGCACAUUAAAUUAAAAUGUAAAAUUAAAGGAUGCUUUACUUUUAGAACUCAAUCAGAAAGGCCUUCUAAAUUAUCUGAAGCUUCAGAUAAGCUCUGAAGAGAAGAGGUUUUGCUGAUAUAAAUAGUUGAAAAUACCUUCUGAUGAUUGCUUGUAACUGAGCUCUUCUUACAUUAUCAUCUGAUGGGAACCCGCAAUCAUCCCAGUCCUCUGGCUUCUCAUUGCUUCUGGUCAAAAGCAACUUCCUCAAACAUGCUGCUUCAUCCUCGCUCAACUCCAUGCUUCUUAUCUGCUCCUUCAUAACCAGUAAUGGUCCAAGAAUCCAAUAUAAUACACUAUCCUUUGGCCAAUUAAAGUUAGUGAGCUCCACCUCAUCAGCUGAAUAAUUUUGUCAGUCACAACACUAUUAAGAACAUAACCAAAUUAAACUUCGGUAAAAAGAAAUUAGUAGAAAGUUAUUAUACAUAUAAGUAGUCCGUUUGAGCCGCAUUUUGCUGAUCUUAUCAAGCACUGUAGAAUAGACCAAGCAGGUAACUUGAUGCUUAAUUUCUUGCAUUUCCCUUCAAUGAUGCAUUCCUCUAUAUCCACAACACGUAUCAGACCCUCAUUUAACAAUAUCCUUCCAUUUAUCUCGCAUGAUCUGAAGAGCCAAUCCCAAAUCUGUAAAAUUGUGAAUGCAAAUCACCGAAGCUCAAAAAUUCAGAUCAACCACUUCAUUUGUGAGCACUUCAUUUGUGAGUGAGAGAGAGAGGAGAAAUUUUACCUGUAUAGGUCUUAACUCUUUAAUAGCUUUCUUUAGUGUCCUUGAUCUUUCUGAAACCAACUUAGAUAUGUUCGGUGCUGACACUAUUCUAUCAUUUUCGUUCUUUCUCUGGUCCAUCUGAUGUUUCCUCUCAGUAAAUUGAGAUUUCCGAUACUUUGGCCUGGCUGUCGAAAGCAUAUUUAAUCAGAGAGGUCAUUUAUUAGUACUUGGGCAUAUAGGUUUUCUAUCGACAAGAUUCAUGAUACUAACAUAUAUUUUACUAGAGCAAACGAUACCUUGGGAGACAAGAACCUUCUCUUAGGUAAAGUAAAUCAUUUGUGUACUCGUCAUAGAGUGAUAUCACUGCCACAACAUAUGCAAGACCCAUUCGCAGAGAAUCCUCCUACAGUAAUUAGAAUUAAAUUAAGAGUUACUUGAUAUCUGAAUUCUAAUUGGUAGUUUAUGAAACUAGGCUUACAAACAAAUUUCUAUACAACUGUCUACAAGCUCAUGCAUGAUAAAUUACAGAUGCAUUACUUAUCAACUAAAUGCCAUGCCUUUUACUUUUGUUAUCUAGGUACAAACCAUACCUGAUAAGUAAUCAAUCCACCAUAGAGAGCGAGGAAGAAGCUGGAGAUGAAUGAGGCAAUCACUGCCCCAGUUACCGCAAGAGGCCACAGUACAAUAGCAAGACCAGCGAAGGGUACACACACAGUCUCCAGGAAAGGUCCUUCUCUUCCAAGUAAGUCAUGAAAAAGCCGCUGCCAUCCUUUCAACAGCAUGUACGGACUUUUCCACAAUGCCACAGCACUUAUCACUAGUACAUCUAUAGGGACAGCGAGAAGGCAAACCAGUAAACUCUUCGGGAGCGUCGAUAACCUUUAGAAACAAAGCAGAUUACCAAUUACAUAUGGUCACGAGCAGUGUCGAUCGCAGUUUAUCAUUUUUGGCAACUACAAGUCAUGAAUUUAGCAGUAGUUCUUAGAGUAGACAACAAAGAUGCGAGAAUUUCAGGUAUCAUCUCAAAAUAUGUUUAAUUUGGAUAGCAGAAUGGAUAAAGAGUCAAUUAGUGAGGUAAUAUUCAAAUUAAACAGACAGGAGAGAAAGUUCAAUUGGUGAAUGCCGUACUUGAUAUCAAUGGGAGUCUCAUCAUCCCUUACUUUCUCGCUUAAAUCAUCCAUGAACGAGAAGUAGGAGUGGAAACAGAAAUCCGUGAAGUCUCGAACUGUCGUACAAGCUCCUUCUAUCGUACUCUUGCAUCCGUCCUGUCGAGAAAUCAUUUUCUUAGCUCUUCGUUUCAUUGUUUUCAGGAAAACUUGUCGAGAAAUCAUUUUCUUAGCUCUUCGUUUCAUUGUUUUCAGGAAAACUAUGGUAAAAUACAUCUGUCGAAUUUAAUGUUUCUGUAUCAAGGGCAUCCUGUGGGUUCUCCUGCUUUCUAUGUUAUAAUUAACAAUCGAAUAAGUUUGAUAGAUGUUUGUUCAGUCAUUCACCAAUAAACAAUAUCCACCGAAGAGCUCCGCCAUUUCGUUACUUUGUUCAGUUAGUUCUUUGCUUAGCAACAGUACAGAGCAAAUGAUAUUAUUCUUUUUUUGGAUUUUUAGGAGAACCCGGAACUGAAAGUGAAACUUACAGUGAAGCAGUGAGAGAACUUGUCGAGGACAUCCUCCCCAACGGCCUCGAACGUUGCGAUCAGAGGCGUGAAAUACCCAUAUCCUAUUCCUACUAAAAGGCUCCCUAGAAUGCCGAAUACCGGCCACAGAAGCAGCGGCACCGGCAAGGUGAUCAGCAGCAGGAUCUUCAGAACCAGCCCAAUUCUCUUUGUUCUGCAAUUCACGAUCGUUGCAGAAUCUUAACAAAAACAGUAAGAGAACAAGACAUUCUUGUGUGCUGCAGCUCAAUGCUAUGUACAACUUGUUUCAGUGGCAAGUUUAUAAUAAGGAAACUGUACUUUAUUAAACAGUAGUAAGUCCAGAUGAAGUGUGCGGGCCAAAGACCGAUGAUCACCGCAGAGUUUCCGAAGAAAAUUACAGCAGCUACUAUCGGACCUAUUACAGCAGCUGCAACAGAAGAAGAAAAUUUGCCGAGAGACAUGUGAAACAUCUUUUAAUCACCUACUUUUUAUCACAUUAAAGAGUGCUAAAGCUAAAUUUUAACUUGCAUGUUGCAUUGCGCAUUCAACAGGUAUGCAUGUUACCUUUGAUGAUUCCCAGGAGCAGAAGCAAUAAGAAGAAAGGGGCGAGUGAGAGAAAGCUCCAUAGCGUGGCCAAGAACCCUGUGGGAACCUCCAUGUCAAUCUCUUCUACACCAGUACGAGGGAAACGAAUCAAAGAGAAGAGGAGGGGAAGAGGGAACGUGGGCAUAUAAUAAUAGCAGCACAAAUAAUAUAUAAUAAUAAUAAUAAUAAUAAUAAUAAUAAUAAUUUAAUUAAUUAAAAAAAAGGAAAAGGUAUGGGUGACGUGGCUUGGGUGGUUGAACGUGUCAAUCACCGAAGCGGGAGUCUCGGGAGGUGGUUUUGUUCUCGGAACGUAAUGAAACGCCACACCUCAGCGGCGCGUACACGUGCGAUGCUCCGGUCGUUGUUUGUUUAUUAACAGGUCGGAUCCGUACGUAGAAAUCCGAUUCAAUAAGACGAUGGCGUAUGGGUCGAUGCAAAUGNGGAAUGAAAUCUAUAUCUAUAUCUAUAUUUAAAUUUCGAUCUUCUAUCUAUAUAUAUAUAUAUAUAUAUAUAUAUAUAUAUAUAUAUAUAUAUAUAUAUAUAUAUAUAUAUAUAUAUGGCAUAAUAUUUCGUAGCUGAAUCCUAAUCGCCUGUUAGCAAAAGUAUAUAUAUAUAAUAUAAUAAUAAUAGGGAUUCAAAUCCCCAACCUCAAAGACGCCAACUGAGUCGUCGUCGUCGUUCCUGUCGCCAUUGAUGGAGUCUGUCCCGAAGAAACGGAAAAUAGAAGGAAGAUGCUCUCGUCAGCCUAUCCCUGACGAGCUCAUCUCGGAGGUGCUUGUUCGGCUGCCGGUGAAGUCCCUCCUCCGAUUCCGGUGCGUAUCCAGGACCUGGCGUUCUCUGAUCUCCGAUCCUCACUUAAUUGAAUCCCACCACCGCCGUUCGCAGCAGCACCCCCUCGCUCUCGUCAGAGAAUGGAACUUAAACGGCGACAAUAAGGGCAAAGCAACCUACGUUCCGACCAGGGGAGCUACCCUGCAAAGAAUAUACUAUGAUGUCGCCGGCUUCAACAGCAUCAGCGACAUGGCCGUCAGAGUAUUCUCCUCCUCUCCCGAUCUCAUAUGCAUCCGAGAAGACGGCAGCCGCUGCUCGCUGCUAAAUCCGGCGACGCGGGAGCGGGUGACUCUGCCUGAGUUCUCUUCUGGGAAUACCACCUUUCUUCGCUACGUGGGGUUUGGCUACGUACCAUCCCUCAGGAAAUUCAAGGUCGCCAGGGUCUUCGGCCACGUGGAUAUAGACCGUGGGAGCGGCCGACAGGCAGUGGAAGAGAGAUGCGCGGUGCUCACCGUCGGCGUCGACCGAUCAUGGAGGCCGGCGAGAGGUCCUCCUCCUUUUAUGAUCACGCGGGAUCAAAUGGCGUUCGUCAACGGAGCCCUACACAUGACGCCGAGCACGGAGGAAGGCAAGGGAUUGGCGGCGCUCGAUCUCGAGACGGAGGCGUGGCGGGUGAUUCCGAUGCCGCGCGGCGUCUGCGGUAAGAUCUCGAUCGGGACCUACAACACCGUCAGCCUGAGAGAGCAGCGAGGGUUGCUGUUCCUCGAUCAUCUCCUGGGGGCCGGGAAGGUGGAGGUGUGGGCGCUGAAGGACUACGAGAAGGGAGGUUGGGAGAUGGAGCACCGAAUCGACUUGGGACGCCCGCAGAUCCCGGAGGAAUUCGGCAGGUUUCUGCCGGUGCUGAUCGGCGAAGACGGACGGAUCUUGAUGUACAUAGACUGGACGGCAUAUCUUUGGUACGAUCCGCGAGACCAGAAAUUCGUGCCUUUCUCGCCGCAUGGAAAAUCUCUAGUUUGGCCUUUGCCGCCUCUGGUCCACGUCGAGAACUACCUGCCUUUGAACGGAUGGGAUUAGUUAAUUUCGUAUUAUUAUUAUUAUUAUUAUUAUUAUUAUUAUUAUAUUUAUUAUUAUAUUUAUAUUUUAUUUAAAGAAAGAACAGACUUCUGUUUCCUUUUUAGAAAUUUUUAAUGAAUAUACAGGUACACCAUCGUAAUCGUCACAGCAGCAUCAGAAAGUAGAGGACUUUUUCUUUGUAACCUAUACAUUAUAGAUUAAGAUUUCGUUUCGAAUUGCGAGAAGAUUGUAUUACGUGCGGUGAGAAAAUACGUUAAAAAAAAUAUUUUUUCGUAUAUCGCGAUGAGUCGAUUACGAUAUAUUUUUUACAGUCUUACCAAAGUAUCUAUGGUUCAAUACCAAAUUAACCCUAAAAAAUAUAUUCAUUGUAACUAUAUAUUGUUUGGUUUGAUAUGAGGUGGGUCAAACUUCCCACAAUUUUUCUUAUUUGCAUUAAUAUUGGCCCAAUGAGAUGGGCCGGUCCAAAUCUGUAAAGACCAAGGCCCAAGAUAAAUGCAUACAAUUGAUAGAUUUGUGCGAUGCUACUUUUUAAAUCGAAAUAAUAUAACAUCCGAGUUUCUCUUGUGGGACAUUGGAAUACUGGCGGCAAGCAAAAUGCUAAUCUAAAUGCCAAAUCUAGGGCAAACAGAGAUAUGUUUCUUCAUUUUCUUAGCCAAAUUAAUAGCGAUCUUUUGUAUAUUUUGCGUAAACGUAUAGAAUAUUUUCCAAUUUUCAUUGCUUCAGUUGUUGUCAUCAAUGGCUUCUCGCCAGUUUUUCCUGUACGACCUUAGGUUGGCGGUGCUUCUCUGGCUGCCGGUGAAGUCCCUCCUUCGAUUCCGGUGGCGUUCUCUGAUGUCUGAUCCUUGUUUCAGUCAAUCUGACUGCCGCCUUUCACAACGGAACCCCCACGUUCUCGUCGGAGCACAGAAGUUUGUCGACCUUUACCACCACCCCUACCUUCUACGCCGUGACUAACUGGGCAACAUUUGAAAAGUACUGCAAAUGCCCGAGUUCGAAUAAACCAAAGUGUUCUCCUCCUCCCCCGAUCUUUUAUGCGUUCAGCAAGCUAAUGGUUGUUGCUUUUUUUUAAAAAAUCCUGCGACACGAGAGCAGGUGACUCUGUCCAGAUCUUCCCAGAUCUUCUCCUUACGUCUUUGGCAUUGGCUAUGUUUCAGGUUCUUCGAUUGUGUAUUUAGAAACCAAAACCACUCGGUUGUAAAAACAGAACCGCGAGAUUUCGUGCUCCAUCAUGCAUUAUAUAUCUUAUAUUUCUUUUGGAUGGUACAGAUUAUAUUUAUUGUUGUAAUUCGUUUUUGAUGCUACAAAUUUAUUUUAUCGCAGCUUAUAUCUUCUCUCUUCAAUUUCCCCCACAUUAUUCUUCGUAAUUCAUCAAUUCCCAGUACUAUCAUAAAGGACGACAUCUUAGAUUUCAUAAGAACAAAUAUUAGUUAAAAUUAAACCAAAUCAAAAUGUGGGACAUAACAUAAUGUCCCACAUUUUGUUAUGAACACAUAAACAUCAACAUAGAGCAUUCGAGACUUUCCAGCAUAUCAAGUAAUGCACAGAAAAUUUAGUGUCGCAAUCGUGCAUAAUUUUUGGAAGAAAAAUGUUACAUCCAUCCCUCCAAAGUUUUUUUUUUUUAAAAAAAAAAGUAAAAAAUUCACGAUAAAAUUAGUAAAAUACAUGAACUUUUGGAUGAGCAGAAUGCGUACGAAUAGUAUAGCGGGCUUUUUUUGCAUUUAGAUUCCUGACAAAUUUUUAUUUUAAAAAUAGUCCUGUUAAAAUUUAAUUUGCAAAAAUGGCCCUGAUCCUGCCACGCAGGCGCCACGUCAGCGCCACGUGAGCAGGACUAGGCCCGUGUAUUAAGUUGAAUACGAUGAACCAUUCACCGUGUUCAAACACUGUGAAUGAUUUACCGUGUUUAGUACGUAUUUUUUGUUAUAUUUUUUUUGUAUAUUGAAAAGUGGAAUAAAGAGUAGGGAUGUCAAUAGGUAUGGAUAUUCGAAAUAUUAUCUGAAUUUAAACCCGAAUAAAUUAUAUAUAUAUAUAUAAUUUAUUUUUGUUUAUUUAUACAAUACAUAAAAUAUUUAAUAAUUUUUAUUCCUUAAAUCUUCAUCCAAUCCAGCGGGUUUUAAAAAUCUAUACCGUUGGAUAAAGAUCUAAGGAAUAAAAAUUAUUAAAUAUUUUAUAUAUUGUAUAAAUAAAAAAAAAUAAAUUACGUAUAUAUAUAUAAUUUAUUCGGGUUUGGAUUCGGAUAAUAUUUCGGAUAUUCAUACCUAUUGACAUCCCUACUCCUUAUUUCACUUUUCAAUAUACAAAAAAUACGUAAGAAACACGGUGAACCAUUCACCGUGUUUAGACACGGUGAAUGAUUCACCGUGUUCAACUUAAUACCUUGGCCCCAGUCCUGCCCGCGUGGCGCUGACGUGACGCCUGCGUGACAGAGACAUGACCAUUUUUACAAUUUUAAUUUUGAUAGGACUAUUUUUAAAAUAAAAAUUGCUCAGGAACUAUUUGCAAAAAAAGCCCUAGUAUAGCUCUUUUAUAACAUCGAUAUGUUGCAUUGUUGUUCCUUAACAUCAAAGCAAACACAAAAGAAUAAGUGGUUAGCGUCCUUAGCCCCUGAUCAAAAUGGUCCUAUUGAGGUUUGAUCCUUCACACCGGCGUUUAAAUAUAAAUAAAUUAUGAUUAGUUUAAGGAUUUCUUAUUAGGUUCUACAAUUAAGUUAUCUGUUACGUACCUGACUCGGCGCAACCCGUCGAUGAUGAGAUCUCGCUGAGACGAUGGACGGCGUCGAGGAUGAUGGUUUCGGUUUGCUGUCUUCGCGAUACAGAUCGGAAUAAUGUGUAGAUAAUAAUUGAAUAAGAAGAAGAAGGAAAAGAAGAGAAAAGAUAGAUUGAGGAAAAGGAUCAGGGGGAAUAGAGAGAAUAAGAGAGAAUAAGAGAGAAGUUAAGAAGACGGAGAAUUUUCAUUAAUCAUCCAUUAAAAAACCCUAGGAGUUACACACUGCCUCAUAUAUAUAAUACGAAUUUGAAUAAAAUAAACCCUAAUUCCUAAACGGGCUUCCAAUCCUUCAUCAGUGGCCCACAGCUUGUGGUUUGGGCUGUGUAGAUCUGGAUCUUCACUUGGUAGCAUACUGGGCCGACAUUUGCCCAACCGCCCCAAACACCCGAACUAAUAGGGUGCCUUGUCGGUUCGCACAUUCGCCCUCGAAAUCCUGCCAGUUCGCCCUUCUUCUUCCUCGCCCUAAUCGCUCUCUUUUUCCCUUUCCGCCCUUCACUUCUGAGCCGACUCCCAGCGCCACUUUUGAAGGUCGAAGCUUCUCAACCCCCGGCAUGAUGUAGAGAUAAAGCUAAGCCUUCAUCUUCCUGCUUUAUUGCUUACUACUCUCCUAACCUCCAUUAAUCUGCUCCUAAUCCUCCUAAUUAUACUUGGCAGGCGUAACAAUCCCCCCUUCUUAAUGCGAUCCUUGUCCUCAAGGAUCAAAAGAUGGAAACUGACUCUUAAGAAGCCAGUAAUCUUCCCACGUUGCGCUCUCCAUUGGAGGGUUUGUCCACUUAACCAGCACCUCAGUCACAGCCCUGUUCUCACGCUUCACUGUUUUCGAUUCCAAAAUUCGGGGUGUGGGCAACUCUUUGGGCCCUUCGAACACAUUCUGAAAUUUAUCCAGCACCUCUUGAAUCUCUGGGUGUACCUCUACUUCUUGUUUAUCUUCUUCUGUUAAAGGUUGAUGUCUGAGGAGAUAGCAUUCACCCUUCUCUAUGUCCUGUCUCCAUUGGGCUGCAGAUAUCAACCUUAAUUUAGCUCUUUCCUCGAUCCCUUUCAGUUCUAAACUCUGACCUUCUUUGGUGAUAGCAACUGAAUUCGCUAGGAAAUCAAAGGUUACUGGUCCAUAAGAUUUUAAUCAAUCAAUUCCUAAUAUAAUACUUGAGCCUUCCAAUCUGAUCACCAUCAAAUCUGCUUGGAAUGUAUGUCCUUGCAUGAUCCAAGUGAAACCAGGGCAUGUUAGUUUACUCAAAACCUUAUGGCCAUUCGCUACUGUCACUACCCAGGGAGAAGCGACUUCUAUUCGUGCGCCAAUCUCUCUGGCUACUUGCAGGUCGAUGAAACAGUGCGUGCUUCCCAUAUCUAUCAAAAUGGUGAGAAGUCGAUUGUUUGUCUCACUUUGUAUUUUGAUGGUGUCCUGGGGUUUCCCUCCACUUACUGCAUGAACCGACACUCCUAUUUCUUGCGGAUUCUUUUCUUCAGGUACAACUUCUGGCUCCUCUCCUUCCUUUCCCGUGACUGUCACGUCGUUUGAUCCUGCUUGUAAACAACUUUCAUCAUAAACUUCCAUAAUAUCCUCAGUAGCUUGUAAUGUAUACAAUGACUUGUUUGCACAAACGUGCCCAGGAUGGUACUUUUCUCCACAUCGAAAGCAUAAUCUAGCAGCUCGACGAUGUUCCAUUAACUGUUUGUUAGCAGUAUAUUGACCAGUUGUAGUUCUGUUCUGGUUCUGGUACUGUUGCCCGGUUCCUUCAGUGCCCUUAUCUGAUGUGUCUCGUUGAUUGGUCUCCAUCGGUGUCUUAGAAAUAAAUCGAUUCUUUCUGUUAAUCACUGCUAGAGCCUUUUCGUGUAGCUGUGCUUGUUCAUAUGUCUCCUCUAAUGUGUUUGGAUGAGCGAUGUCGAGAAAUGGAAAAUUCUUCCUUGAGCCCAUUAAUGUAACACGCGAUAAAGUACUCUUCCGACAAGUGGGGGUUGUAAUAGAGUAAUUGAAAUCUUAACUCCUCAAACUUCUCUUGAUAUUUUUCGCAUGUUCCGGUGUGUUUCAAAUUGCGAAAUUCUCGAAUUAAAUACCGCUCCCCUACGUGGGCGAAUCUUUUGCACACUGCCUCAGUGAAUUCAUCCCAAGAAACCACUUGUUUGUUAAUGAAGUAUCCUUGUUUCCACGUUUUCGCCCUGCCGAAUAAAUGCAUAGUGGCUAUGCUCAACCAUUGCUGUUGGGGUAUUUGAUACAACUCAAAGAAUUGCUCACAAUUCUCGAUCCAAUUUCUAGGGUCGUCGCCGUCAAAUGAGGGAAAAUCCAAUCGAGGAUAUGGAAAAUGUUGGUGAUUAUUAAAACUCCUGUUAGUCCACGGUGAAAUCUGAUCAUCCUCUACGUCGGGUUGCUUUCUAGGGGUGGGUAAUAUCCCUUUUCCCUUUUCUUCCCUGAUAACAUGUGGGGUGCUGCUACUCCCUGGUUUGCCGCCAUAAGGAAUUUUGUUCUCAGGAGUAAUUGCUCUGCCUUGAGUCUGAGUGAUAGGUGGCUGGGCUGUCAACAAUUUCAGCAGCUCCUCAUGACGCUUGGUAGCUUCAGCCCGCAUUGCAUCGUACUGUUUUUGCCCCGAAUCUCGUACCUCCGCGAUCUGCUCGGUAAGUAUCCCUAAUCUGGAUUGAUGUUCGGCCUCUAACUUCUGAAAUUUUUCUUCUAAAGAAUGGAUAUGAUCACUAAUAUCUCUUAGUCGAGUCCCUUCCGCCAUAUCUAAUUCUUCCAGAUACUCCUUGGGAUUAAAUUUAAAUUUGUUGCCUCGCCUUCCCCCAAUUUUGACGUGUCGGUAAGCCUCAAUUAAGAUGGUCCUUCAGACUGGAUGGAUAACUUUCUUGUGACUUUCCUCGACUGAUAUAUCCUCGGAUAGUUUAUUGUGCUUGUGUGAUAAUGUCGAUCUGAUGAUUGAGAGAAUGUCCUCUGAUCAUGCGGUUAAUUUCAAGGUUAUUUUGUGGUGAUUUCUUUUGUCCGACUCUGAUCUCGGUUCAGACUCGGCAGCGCAGAAAUCUUACUCGCGAUUAAACUCAACAAUGCCGAGAUUGGAGUUAGGAAGCGAUUCUACCACUCAAUGCCCUGGGAUCGGACCGCUCUGAUACCAAUUGUUACGUACCUGACUCGGCGCAACCCGUCGAUGAUGAAAUUUCGCUGAGGCGAGGACGGCGUCGAGGAUGAUGGGCUCAAUGUACUGCCUUUUCGUAACGAAUCAAAUAACAAUGAAGGUCAUAAUAGAUAGAUGAGGGGAAGAAAAGAAUAGAAAAGAAAGAAAAGAAAAGAUAGAGGGAAGAUCAGGAAAAUAGAGAGAAUAAGAGAGAAUAGGAGAGAAUAAGAGAGAAACGGAGAAGAAGGUAAAUUUUCAUUAAACAUCCUAAAAAAAUCCUUCGGGGUUACACGCUGCCUUUUAUUCAUCAUGCUGGAAAUUAAAAAAAACCCUAAUUCUAAAUGGGCUUCCNACUUUGUAUUUUGAUGGUGUCCUGGGGUUUCCCUCCACUUACUGCAUGAACCGACACUCCUAUUUCUUGCGGAUUCUUUUCUUCAGGUACAACUUCUGGCUCCUCUCCUUCCUUUCCCGUGACUGUCACGUCGUUUGAUCCUGUUUGUAAACAACUUUCAUCAUAAACUUCCAUAAUAUCCUCAGUAGCUUGUAAUGUAUUCAAUGACUUGUUUGCACAAACAUGCCCAGGAUGGUACUUUUCUCCACAUCGAAAGCAUAAUCCAGCAGCUCGACGAUGUUCCAUUAACUGUUUGUUAGCAGUAUAUUGACCAGUUGUAGUUCUGUUCUGGUUCUGGUACUGUUGCCCGGUUCCUUCAGUGCCCUUAUCCGAUGCGUCUCGUUGAUUGGUCUCCAUCGGUGUCUUAGAAAUAAAUCGAUUCUUUCUGUUAAUCACUGCUAGAGCCUUUUCGUGUAGCUGUGCUUGUUCAUAUGUCUCCUCUAAUGUGUUUGGAUGAGCGAUGUCAAGAAAUGGAAUUAAUUCUUCCUUGAGCCCAUUAAUGUAACACGCGAUAAAAUACUCUUCCGAUAAGUGGGGGUUGUAAUGGAGUAAUUGGAAUCUUAACUCCUCAAACUUCUCUUGAUAUUUUUCGCAUGUUCCGGUGUGUUUCAAAUUGCUAAAUUCUCGAAUUAGAUACCGCUCCCCUACGUGGGCGAAUCUUUUGCACACUGCCUCCGUGAAUUCAUCCCAAGAUACCACCUGUUUGUUGAUGAAGAAUCCUUGUUUCCACGUUUUCGCCUUGCCGAACAGAUGCAUUGUAGCUAUGCUCAACCAUUGCUGUUGGGGUAUUUGGUAUAAUUCAAAGAAUUGCUCACAAUUCUCGAUCCAGUUUCUCGGGUCGUCACCAUCAAAUGAAGGAAAAUCCAAUCGAGGAUAGGGAAAGUGUUGGUGAUUAUUAAAAAUCCUAUUGUGCCGCGGGGAAUUUUGAUCAUCCUCAACUUCGGGUUGCCUUCUUGGGAUGGGUAAUAUGCCUUUUCCUCUUUCUUCCCUGAUAGUAAGUGGUGUGUUGCUACUCCCUGGUUUGCCGCCGUAAGGAAAUUUACUCUCGGGAGUAAUCCCUCUGCCUUGAGUCUGAGUGGUAGGUGGCUGGGCUGUCAACAGUUUCAGCAGCUCCUCAUGACGCUUGGUAGCUUCCGCCUGCAUUGCAUCGAACUGUUUUUGCCCCGAAUCUCGCACCUCCGCUAUUUGCUGUGUAAGUAUUCCUAUUCGGGAUUGAUGUUCGGUUUCUAACUUCUGAAAUUUUUCUUCGAGGGAAUGGAGAUGAUCACUAAUAUCUCUCAAUCGAGUCCCUUCCGCCAUAUCUAUUUCCUCAAGAUAAUCUUUGGGAUUGAAUCUAAACUUAUUGCCUCGCUUCCCAAUUUUGAUUUUGGGGUAAACCUCUGUUAAGAUAGAUCUCAGGUUGAAUGCUGACUCUUCUGUGACUUGUCUCGAAUGAUGUCUAUUGUGCUUAUGAGAUAAUACCGAUCUGAGGCUUGAGGGGGUGUUUCCGGAUCUUGCGGUUAAAUUCAGGGUCAAUUUUGUGGUGAUUUCUUUUGUCCCUUUUCCGUCAUGUAACUCGGGUAGUAGGAGCUGCGGCAGGAGCGGAGUCGCUUUAAAGUAGUAGCUGCCCAACGCGGCUCAGUCCAUGCAUUGUUAACCAUAGUCUCGCCAUGCUAAGGUCCCGUAACUCACCAUUUUAGCGAAGGAUUGAGGUUAGAGCCGUAACACUCAAAUUAGCGCUUAUUCUAAAGACGCGACGGCUAAGACUUGGCUCUAGUCUCAANUUCCUAAACGGGCUUCCAAUCCUUCAGCAGUGGCCCACAGCUUGUGGUUUGGGCUGUGUAGAUCUGGAUCUUCACUUGGUAGCAUACUGGGCCGACACUUGCCCAACCGCCCCAAACACCCGAACUAAUAGGGUGCCUUGUUGGUUCGCACAUUCGCCCUCGAAAUCCUGCCAGUUCGCCCUUCUUCUUCCUCGCCCUAAUCGCUCUCUUUUUCCCUUUCCGCGCUUCACUUCUGAGCCGACUCCCAGCGCCACUUUUGAAGGUCGAAGCUUCUCAACCCCCGGCAUGAUGCAGAGAUAAAGCUAAGCCUUCAUCUUCCUGCUUUAUUGCUUAUUACUCUCCUAACCUCCAUUAAUCUACUCCUAAUCCUCCUAAUUAUACUUGGCAGGCGUAACAUUAUCCGGAAAAAUGAAUCGAUAAAUUUGAAAAUACGAAAUGUAAGAUAAAUAAUGCGCAAAUACAUGGAUGCACAAAAUGUGAGCAAUAAUAAUUUAUCCAACAUUGAAAAAUAAAUUGCUGAAGAAACCUUAAAAAAAAUAAUCAGCUCGUGCUCAGACUUAUAAAAAACCUCUGAGAGAGAGAGAGAGAGAGAGAGAGAGAGAGAGAGUGUGAUAGUGAUUGGAGACGAGAUCACAGGAAGAAACAGAACCAACCUAGAAUGAGUGCUUAGUGCUGCAGCUGCUGGCCAACAACACCCCGCUGGGGGGCGGCGAGAGGUCGAUGUCGCACCUCCCGUACACCCAAUACGUCAGGUGACCAAACCCUAGGCUCGCCCGCACCUUGAAGGUCCCGCGCACGAUGUACGAAACCCUACCCCUCCUCACCUCCUCCGCCAUCGCCGCGGCGAGCUCCCGCGGGAGCCCCACCUCGCUCGUCACCAUGUGCAGCGACGCGACCCUCGCCUCCCCGCGCCGCUGCGCGAACGGCGCCAGCCCCUGCGCCGCGAUGAGCCGGUCGCGGAAGUAGAGCUCGACGCUGAGGUACCGGAACGCGACGUCGAUGUGGGGGUUAGGGUUUGAGAUGUUGGCGAGGAGGGUGAGGUCGCCGUUGAGGUAGUAGUAGCCGGGGGCGGAGGGGGCGAGGGUUGGGGGGGAGUCGAUGUAGAUCCCGUUCAGGGACGCCGCGGAGGCGUGGAAUUGGGGGUUCCGGGGCUUGAUGAGGAGGAAGACAACGAGGAUGAGGAUCCCGGCGAAGAUGAGGAGGAGGCUGAAGAGGAAGCAGAGUAUGGCGAAGCACCAGACGAGGGGGUUGGUGCGGCGGCGGUGGCGGAGGAGUUGAUGCUUGCUCGGCCGGAGAGGGAGCUCCUCCUCCGCCAUCGCCGCCGCCGCCGCCGCCGCCAUCGCAGCAGGAGGCGGCGGCAAUGGCGGAUGCGGCGGAGGAGGCUUCGUUGGCUUGGGAGCGAGAGGGGUUUGGGUUGGGGUGGAGAGUGGAGGCAUCGGAGGAGAAGUGCGGAAGAGAAAGACUUUGGAACGAAGAAACGAGGAGAGAGAUAAAGGUUACGGGAGCUGGAGUUAGAGACAGAGUGUGGUUUUUUUUUUCUUUAUAGACGUAAAAAAAAAAAAAAGUAAAAGGAGGUAAAGGGAAAAGAAGCUUUUGAAUAUGAGAGAGAGAGAGAGAGAGAGAGAGAGAGAGAGAGAGGAGGGGCAAGGAUAUUUGAAGUAAGUGGUGGGGUUGCUCGAGUGAGAAAAAGAAAUAGGGAUGGGAAGCUUAAAGUAAAGAAGAUUUUGUUUUAAUGCCUCACUGAUCUUCACAGCCUAUGCUUUUUUUUUUCAUGUUGGCAUUUUUAUUAUUAAAAAACUUAAAGAUCCAUCAUCACUAUCAUUAUUAUUAUUAUUAUUAUUAUUAUUAUUAUUAUUAUUAUGUGCUUUGCUUGAGGUGUUUUUUUCAUUUGUUUCUCAUUAGACAAAUUUAGUCUUUUGCCGUUGUUGCUCAAGCUUGGCAUCCACCAUCUUUUCACAAAAGAGUGUUUGCACUACUAUUGUCCUCAACUUUUAGCUAAGUUUUAUUUUUGAUUUUAAAAAUUUUAUAUUUUUAAAAUUAUUUUGUAAGUCAUUUUUAUAUUUAUUUAAUAUAAAAAUAGAUUGCCCAAAUUUGAUACAUUUCUAUCAUCAUAGAUCAUACUUUCAAAGGUCUGCUUUCUAUUUUUUAUUUUAUAUUUUCAAUUGAAACUUUUUAUAAGCCAACUGCCAGUUGAACUUGAACUAAAGGAUAAAUUAGAUAUAAACAAUACAUUUAAAGGGCCUGUUUGGAUACACAGUAAAAUAUCUCCACGGAAUUUAUAAACUGUGGUUUCGGUCUAGAUAAAAUAAAGAAUCCUGUAACUCUAAAAAAUUCCACGGAUUCAAUUUUUAAACUGUUUCGAUACGCAUUGUACAAUUUCACAGGAUUUUUCUAAAUUUUAAGAUUAAAAGUUAAAAUUUAAAUUUUCAAAAAAAAUUUAAAAUUUAAAAUUUGAUAUGUGAAAUGUGAAAUUUUGAAUUUUAAAUUUUAAAUUUUCAAAUUUGAAAUUUACAAAUUUAAAAUUUAAAAUUUAAAUCUAAAUUUAAUUUAUUAAAUUUUUAAAUUUUAAUUUAAAAUUUUAAAAUAAAAAAUUUAAAUUUAAAAUUUUGAAAUUGAAAUUUAGAAUUUUAAAUUUAAAAAAUAAAUUAAAAUUUAAAGUUUAAAAUAAAUUAAAAUUUAAAGUUUAAAAUUUGAAAUUUGAACUAUGAGACUUGAGAUUUGAAAUUUCAAAUUUAAAAUUUGAAAUUUGAAAUUAAAUUUUAAAUUUUAAUUUUAAAAGUUAAAAUUUAAAAUUUAAAGUUUAAAUAAAAUUUAAAUUUAAUUUUAAAAUUUAUAUUUUAAAUUUUAUUUAAAAUAAAAAUUAAAUUUAAAAUUUGAAAUUUAAAAUUUAAAAUUUAGAAUUUUAAAUUUUAAAUUUUAAAUUUAAAAAAAAUAAAUUUAAAAAUUAAAGUUUAAAAUUUGAAAUUUGAAAUUUAAAUUUGAAAUUUGAAAUUUGAAAUUUGAAAUUUAAAGUUUGAAAUUUAAAAUUUAAAAUUUAAAAUUUUAAUUUAAAAUUUUAAAUGUGAUAUUUCAAAUUUCAAAUUUUAAAUUUUAAAUUUUAAAUUUUAAAUCUAUGUUGAAAUUUAAAUCUAUGUUGAAAUUUAAAAUUUUAUGUUGAAAUUUAAAAGUUAGAACUUGAUGCAUUUUUUUGAAUAAGGGAGCUCAAGAAUGAUGGAAUUUUUUUUCUUUGGUUAGAGUGGAUUAUACUUUUACUCUAUUGUUUGGAGUAUAGUUUAACUAUACUCCAAAAAUUACGUUACUUUUUUUCCUCCCAAACGCUUCAUAGGAUAUUUUUCCUACCACUGUAGCAUAGUUUAACUAUGCUACGUUUUCAGAAGUAUCCAAACGGGGCCUUAGCAAGAACUUUUGUAGGUGUGCAAAACUACGUAGUAUCACUUCAAGUUAUAUCAUUUAGAUAUUGUUCGGAUACUAAUACGCACUUAUUUUACUGGUAAGGUUUUUAUAUAAAGAUUUAAUUAAUGAUACAUAGUUCUAGAGAAAUUAGUUGAUUCUUUUUCUAGGUCCUUACUUUUAGGAGUAAUACUGAAACGGAUUUCCUGUUAGUUUUUGUUGUUUGGCUAGUCUUGGCAUAAUCUUUGAUUGUUUAUGGUAAUUGUUUAGUUAUUUAUUUGAUUUAAACUUUCUAUCGUCAUCAUUUGUUUGAACUGGUCAAACACUGUCCUGGUUCUAAUGUGUAAAGGUUGAAUUUUCCACGUAGUUAUGGUUAUAAUUUUUCAUAUGCCCUUAAAGCCAUGAUAAUAUUUACUAGAUAUUUGGGAGCUUGCUAGAUGUAAUGUCUUUUCGUUGUGUAUGCACAGAAUUGCUUUUAACUCAUUUAAGUAUACUGUCUUUUACUGCUUGGAGGAGCCUCACUAUGGCAGGUUUCUUCUGAUAAUAUGCUGAUAUACGGGAAUUGUACACUCCAGAUUGAUGUUAUUGAUGGUUAUGUGAGUUUUCAAAUGUUAAUGUGUCAACAUGUAAUUAGACUUCAUCACGUAAAAUUGGAUAAAUACAAUUUCCCUUCUAUUUUUGGCAUUACACUAUAAUCCUGUUUCUAUUUUAGAUACAUUAGUAUGCUGUUCUUUCACGUGGUUCAAAUCUUGUUUAUGCGCUGUGAUUUUUUAUUAUUGGAAACAUACGGCUAUCAUCUUUCUGUGGGAAGAGAAGUACAGGAAGAAAGAAAAGAAAGCAGGAUCGUAGUAUUUAUGUCUAUAAAAGUAGUGAAUGUGUGUGUGUGUGGAGAGAGAGAGAGAGAGUGCUGUUAUUAUACUAUUACGAGUAUGAUUGUCUUCGUACUCAUAAGUCGUUUGUGAUAAUAGAACUUACGAAUCGACGAUCCACACCAUUAAAUAUAAUUUAGACUAUUUAAACAUUUUAGAAACCGAAUUUCAUGAUUUUUUUUUGACAUCAUAUACUUAGAAUUCUAUUAAUAGUAAAUGAAUAGUAUACUCAGAAUAGAUUCGAAGGUGGCAAUUAUUCCUUGCAUCAUCUAUGCGGGUUUCUACUUCCCUUCUCUUUCUCAAGUCACUGGCGUCCUCUUUGCUUUGCUUCGCUUUUAGAUUCUGCUCUGUUAUUAAGUCCUGUCAUUCUACCCUCUAUCUUGUGCUUCAGUUUGCACCGGAGUCUGGUGAUGGGUUUCCUCAGCGAUGCCAGUGACAUGCUUCGACCUUAUGGCGAAGUUCAUAUUAGCCAUAAGACCGCAGGCCCAUUCAAAAGAUGGAACCCCGAAGAACUCGCCUCUAAGGCCUCUCUGCUUCUUGUGGAGUGUUCCGAUUUUCGAAUUGGCGAUUAUCCUGGUUACAAUAACAAGAGGGGAGAUGGCUUUUUCUGUGACGAGCCUUUCCCUCUAGUCGAGUGCAGCACGUUCAAAUUCAGGCGAGUGCAGCACGUUCAAAUUCAGGCGAGUGCAGCACAUAUAAUACCAAGAUUCUUUACCGAUCUACAUGAAUGAAGCACCGGGAAGAAACUUGAUGUACGAUGUACAGCACCAAAUUAAUGCUCAUCAAGGUUUUGUCGAUGUUAGCCGAGCUGUUCAAAGUUUUCCAAGUAGAAUAUGCGAUUUGUACAUGAAUGAACCACCGGGAAGAACUGUGUUACAUGAUGUAGGAUACCUGGAAAAUGAUCGCGAGCAAUCUCUGUAUAUAAAGGCACUGCUUCAAAGGUUUGGAUAGCCGCCAUCCAACUGAGUAGCAUAUGCUUUACAGGUUCUACUUCACGGUUAGUUAUCUUUUCCUGAAAUGUGAAGCGGAUACAGGCUUUUCCUUCAGGCAUGUUUGGCAAUAAGUUCGUUCGUGCUUGGAUCUCGUAUCUCUUGAAAGUUUUGGAGUGCUAUUUAUUCAGUUUCUUGAUUCCACUAGACCCCUUGGAGAAGGUAAAAAAUAGCACAUUUUUGUGUUUGCUGCCACUUCUUUUCUCCUGUAGCUAUGUGGUGAAUUGAAUGGGCGGUCGUAGGCUCCUACUAGUGAAUUGUAACUUAAUCCUCUCUGUGGGUUUCUCUAUGGCAUGAUAGUUUUUUGAGUGCUGAGUGUUCUAUUUUGGGUUUUGUGAUUUAUGCUUCACGUGCGUUUUUUCUGUGGCUCAUUGUAAAUGUAAAUAUACUGCAAUUGUAAUUACCUGUAGCUUUAAAUUUGUUGUUUGGUUUGAUGUUCUUUGAAUUCAACUGUUACAGUUAAACUUGAAUGAGAUGGUCCAACUACAGUAGUUGGAAAUGGAAUUGCAUUUAAUUUGACUGCAGUUUUAAUUGUAGUAGUUGAAUAGAGUAAUUUUAAACAAAAAAUUAAGGUUAUCUUCUUAGUAAUUUUAGAAAUAGAAACUAUUUUACCUUUGUAUAUGAGAGAAAAUUUGGCUAUCACAUAUAUAUACAGUUAUAAAAUUUUAAAGUGCGCUUAUUUGCCACAUGCAAUUAAAUAAAUUAUUUAUUAUUGUAAUGUUUUGUAUAAUAUUCACUUGCUGUAUUUUUUUAAUUAUAUAUAUUUCUAACUUUGUUGUAUUUUUAAUUAUAAUUUAUUAUCUAAUUAAUUUUUAUUAAUUAAUUUAUAAUUUCUAAUUAUUAGUAUUUUUAAUUAUAAUUUAUUAUCUAAUUAAUUUUUAUUAAUUAAUUUAUAAUUUCUAAUUAUUAGUAUUUUUAAUUAUAAUUUAACCAAAUGGUUUCUAAGGUUAGUUAUAUAAAUAAAUUAUUUUUUUUUCCAUUAUUAUUAGACAUGCAUCUUAGUCCAAAAGCAAGGUCAAACAAUGUUAGACAUUUUUGCAUAGCGCCAAAGGUGCAGGUUUAGAAAGUGUCUCUCUCCUAUCGUAUAAAAGAAAUCUGUUAUCAUCUCUUAAUUAGUUUUUAGGAAUGAUAUUUUAUUUAAUAUGUCUCUUUUUAUUAUUAUUUUGACUUUGUGUCAACCAUUAAUUCUCCUAUAUGGCGGAGGCGUCGAAUCGGGGUUCCGGGGCUUAAUGUGGAGGAAGACGACGAGGAUGAUGAUCCCGGAGAAGAUGAGGAGGAGGCUGAAGAGGAAGCAGAGGAUGGCGAAACACCAGACGAGGGGGUUGGUGCGGCGGCGGCGGCGGCGGAGGAGUUGGAUGCUUUCUCCGCCGGAGGAGGGAGCUCCUCCUCCGCCAUCGCCGCCGCCGCCGCCGCCGCCGCCGCCAUCGCCGCAGGAGGCGGCGGCAAUGGCGGAUGCGGCGGAGGAGGCUUCGUUGGCUUGGGAGCGAGAGGGGUUUGGGUUGGGGUGGAGAGUGGAGGCAUCGGAGGAGAAGUGCGGAGGAGAAAGACUUUGGAACGAAGUAAUUAAUGAAAGGGAGAGAGAAGGGUGAUGGGCGUCGGAGUUAUUAGAGAAAGAGAGUGUGCGCUCACUUUUUUCUUUUUUUUUUUAAAUAUAGGGAAAAAAAAAUGAGAGAGUAAAAGAAGAUAUAAAGGGUAGAGAAACCUUUGAAUAAGGAGAGAGAGAGAGAGAGAGAGAGAGAGAGAGAGAGAGGUUAGAGUUGAUAUGAACAGAAUACAAUAGUUAAGUCUGAACGAAAGGGUGAACGAAAGGGUGAAUUAGAUAGAUGUAAGCAAUAGAUUUAAUUGUGAGGUAAAUGCCAAAAUAAAAUAAUUUUUUAAAACUUUCAAUAGUUAAGUCUGUACAGCAUCAUCUCGUGUGAAACUCUGGUUGCAAAUAUCAGAUACGUAUAUCAAGCACUUAUUCACAGUUCGAUCCAUAUCCGAUCAGUUUUCACCUCCUCUAUAGAACCAUGCAUGGCCAUGCAAUCCUUGAAGAUAGAACAUAGAUCCGGCCCAGAAGAUGAUUGGGCCCAUGUAUNUUUUUUUUUUUUUUUUUUUUUGUUGUAACUUGCUAAUUUCCUUGUUUACCCUUCAAAUUCAAAUUUAAGACUAAUCAUAACGUUAAAACGAGCCAACAAAACCGGAGACGAAUUCUAUGCGGAACUCCUCAUAGAAUCCUCCAUAAGGAAUGAUUUGUACACCGUCCAUGUUAAUUAUAAUUUAUUGGACCGCUGGGAUUGUUCCAUAUACAAAAGCUUGCUAAAUAACGGAGUUUCUCCGCAUAAAAUAUUUUAUAAGGAGCUUCCCAUAGAAAAUUUGCCCGCAUAAAACCUCCCGAAGUCGAACGGCCUCGUCGCUUCACGUACUACUAAUUCUACAAUGUGACGGAUAUAUGUCACGAACAAUGGACCCCACCAUAGCGGGGCCCACAUGUCAUAUAAACAAACCGUGAUAUACAAAGCGGCACACCAAAGCGCGCUCUUCCCUCCCUCGUAGUAUUUGUACCACCCCGUGCUCUCAUCGUUCUUUUGAUUUCUUUCCUAGGAAGGAAACGGUGGGUUUAACAGAGAGAGAGAGAGAGAGAGAGAGAGAGAGAGAGGAGAAAGAAGAGGGCGUUAAUGGCGGUGGUCGCGGAGAUAGGGGAGGAGACGAAGAAGGAAGAGGAGGGAGAGGGAGGGGAGGAGGAAGAAGAAGAAGAAGAAGAGGAGGAGGAGAGGGUGAGAUGGGCGGGGCACUAUUCGUCGGCGCAGCAGAUACUCCUCGUGGGGGAAGGGGACUUCUCCUUCUCCCUCUCCCUCGCCACCUCCUUUGGCUCCGCCUCCAACAUCGUAGCCACCUCCCUCGACUCGCGUGGUAUCUCUCUCUCUCUCUUCUCCUUCUCUCUCGCGGACUCGUAAAAGAACGAAGACGAUGAGGUUCUGCAUUUCGUUGCGAUUUGUUCUUUAAAGUCGUUACGUGCCAAGUAGUCUCCGUUAGCGUUUGGUGAGUAGUUUUUAAUCUUUCUAUUAGGGUUUUGUGCGCUUGUACUCUAAGACGAUCGCAAGAGGACAUUAAUUAUUGUAUUAUCUUGCUCGAGUGGCUAGGGUUUCUAGGGUUUGCUUGGUAGUUUUUUAUGUUUUCUUGGAACUUAAAUUUGGUUUGUUAUGCUUCUCUCUGUUUCGAUUGCUGUUUUUGUUUGAUUAUGUUGGUUUUGAUUCUCUCUCUCUCUCUCUCUCUCUCUCUCUCUCUCUCUCUCUGUUUUCAUUAUUAUGUAUGUUUUUGGUUGAUAUCAUUUUUGCUUUUUUAAUUAUAUGUUGGAGCAGAUGAUCUGGUGAAAAAGUAUAAUAAAGCUCAAUCAAACCUGAACAGUCUAAGGGAGAUGGGGGCGACAGUUUUACACGGUGUCAAUGCGAAAAAAAUGAAGCUUCACACGGAUUUGAAGAUGCGGAAAUUCGAUAGGAUUGUUUUCAACUUUCCACAUGCUGGGUUUAAAGGAAAAGAAGAUAAUCCACAAGUUAUCAAGUAGGUAUCCAAGUUCUAAAAUAGCUUACUAGGUCUUUUAUGUAAUGCUCCAAUUUAUUCACGUUCUCUGCAUGCGUAGAAAUAGGUUAAAGAUAUGACAAGGCAAACUUCAAUCUAUACUAGGGGUUCUUGCAGGCUGCAACAUGCUCGUAUUUAUGGCAAAGUUGUGAGAAUAUGCUAAACAAUAUAAUUUGCACUCGGCCAUCUGUUUUAUUGAUAGCUAGUUUCUUUCAUGUGUUUGACGACAUUUAGGGUAUCAUUUAUAAUUCGUAACAUUCUAAACUGUGGCCAACACGCACCUUUAGCAUGAACUUUUGUAAGGGUGCAAAAGUAGGUAGUGUCACUUCAAGUUAUAUCAUUUAGAUAUUGUUCGGAUACUAAUACGCACUUAUUUAACUGGUAAGGUUUUAUAUAAAAAUCUAAUUAAUGAUACAUAGUUCUAGAGAAAUAAGUUGAUUCUUUUUCUAGGACCUUACUUUUAGAAGUAAUACUGAAACGGAUUUCCUGUAAGUUUUUGUUGUUUGGUUAGUCUUGGCAUAAAUUUUGAUUGUUUAUGGUGAUUGUUUAGUUAUUUGUUUGAUUUAAACUUUUAUGUUGUCUUUAUUGGUUUGAACUGGUCAAACACUGUCCCGGCUCGAAUGUGUAAAGGUUGAAUUGUCUGUCCACAUAGUUGUGGUUAUAAUUUUUCAUAUGCCCUUAUAGCCAUGAGAAUAUUGACUAGAUAUUCAGAAGUUUGCUAGAUGUAAUGUCUUUUCAUUGAGUAUGCACAGAAUUGCUUUUAACCUAUUUAAGUUUAGUGUCUUUUACCACUUGAAGGAGCCUCACUAUGGCAGGUUUCUUCUGAUAAUAUGCUAAUAUAUGGGAAUUGUACACUCCAGAUUGAUGUUAUUGAUGGUUAUGUGAAUUUUCAAAUGUUAAUGUGUCAAAAUGUAAUUAGAAUUCAUCACGUAAAAUUGGAUAAAAUACAAUGUCCCUUCUAUUUUUGGAAUUACACUAUAAUCCUGUUUCUAUUUUAGAUAAAUUAUUAUGCUGUUCUUUCACAUGGUUCAAUUCUUUUUUAUGCGCUGUGAUUUUUUAUUAUUGGAAAUAUAUGUCUAUCAUCUUUCCGUGGGAAGAGAAGUACAGGAAGAAAGAAAAGAAAGCAGGAUGGUAGUAUUUAUGUCUAUAAAAGUAUGUGAAUAUGUGUGUGUGUGUGUAGAGAGAGAGAGAGAGAGUCCGGCUAUUAUACUAUUAUGAGUUUGAUUGCCUUCGAACUCAUAAGUCGUUUGCGAUAAUAGAACUUACGAAUCGACGGUCAACACCAUUAAAUAUAAUUUAUACUAUUUAAACAUUUUAGAAACUGAAUUUCAUGAAAUUUUGUUGACAUUGUAUACUUAGAAUUCUAUUAAUAAUAGAUGAAUAGUACUUGUUGUCUACUUUUAAUCCUUUCCAUAAAUAGAAUUUAUUGUUUGUUUAGUGGUGGUACUAUUAUAAAUCUAAGGGCUAAAAAGUAGAUGGCAAAUGCUAUUCCUAUAUUAUCAAUAGUAUUCUAGAUGAACUCUCUCUCUCUCUCUCUCUCUCUCUCUCUCUAUAUAUAUAUAUAUAUAUAUAUGGAGCAGGGCUGCUGUGCUCUGAGGAGCACGGAGGCCUCUGUGCUCCUGAGCCAUUUUCGAUGAUGGAGUUUCCGAAUCGAUGAUCGGCUCCGUUAAACUUGAUCUAGAGUAUUUGAAGUUUCUAGAAAAUAAUUUUUGCGAUUUUUCGAUAUCAUUUACCUAUCAAUCGAAAGGAUUCAAAAUCAAUAAUUUUUAACAGCUGAAAGUAAAAAUCCUAUCAGUGGUGAUAUAGCACUAAAAUUUUCGAUCAGAAAUAUUGAUCUUGUUGUCGAUAGUAUAAAGAAUUUUGUAUCAAAAUUUCAUCUGAGAAUACUUCUACACCGUUAAACUUGAAAACGGCAGAUAUCAACCAUUAAAAAUUAUGGAUUUUGAAUCCUUUUAAUCACUAGGUAAAUGAUAUAAAAAAUCGCAAAAAUUAUUUUCUAGAAACUUCAAAUUCGCUAGAUCAAGUCUAACGGAGCCGAUCGUCGAUUCGAAAAUUCUAUCAUCGAAAACGGCUCAGGAGCACGGAGGCCUCCGUGCUCCCGAGAGCACAGUAGCCCUACUCAUAUAUAUGUAUGUAUGUAUAUAUUAUUUAGUCUGCAGAUCUUUACAAGUGCCAAAUUAAGCAUGGUUGCUUAUGAGCAUUACUACUUGUAGACAUUCUAGUUAAUAUAGUUGUCAGUUACUCUUCAGAAUAGAUUCGAUGGUGGCAAUUAUUCCUUGCAUCAUCUAUGCAGGUUUCUACUUUCCUUCUCUUUCUGAAGUCACUGAUGGCCUCUUUGCUUUGCUUUUAGAUUCUGCUCUGUUAUUAACUCCUGUCAUUCUAUCCUCUAACUUGUGCUUCAGUUUGCACCGGAGUCUGGUGAUGGGUUUCCUCAGAAAUGCCAGCCACAUGCUUCGACCUUAUGGCCAAGUUCACAUUAGCCAUAAGACCGGAGGCCCAUUCAAAAGAUGGGACCUCAAAGAACUCGCCUCUAAGGCCUCUCUGCUUCUUGUUGAGUGUUCCGAUUUUCGAAUUGGCGAUUAUCCUGGUUACAAUAACAAGAGAGGAGAUGGCUUAUUCUGCGAUGAGCCUUUCCCUCUAGGCGAGUGCAGCACGUUCAAAUUCAGGAUUGGAGAGAUGCGCAAAAAGAAAAAAGCUUUCAAAAAGAGAUUUUCUUUGGUGCCAUCCAUUGAAGCACCUAGUUUAGAUCUCAACAACCUUGAAAACAUCAGGAGACUUAAUUGUCUACCUCCUGUUGCUCAACAUGGUUACAACAUGGAGGGAAGGCCCCAAUCGAACUUUCUGAUUAAUGUGGAUAGCAUUCGAGGGACAAUUACUUUUGGACCAAGGAUUAGGACUACGAGUGGUAGCUUACAAAUGACUGAAUUGAAUUUAUCAAAUGCUCAUCGAGGGUUUGGAAUCUCCAAUCUUCAUUUCGGUCGGCCUGUGCAAGAUUCUUUAGGCAGAACAUAUGAAUUACACAUGAAUGAAGCAUCGGGAAGAACUGUAUCACAUGAUGUGCAGUACCAAGAUUAUGUACGCAGAACAUAUGGAUUGUACACAAAUGAAGCACCGGGAAGAGCUGCAUUGCAUGAUGUACAAUACCAAGAUUCUUUACGGGUGAAUGAAGCACCGGGAAGAACCUUGCCGUUCAAUGUACAACAUCAAAUUCCGGAAUUUAAUUUAUCAAAUGCUCAUCAAGGUUUUGUUGAUGUUGGCCGAGCUGUUCAAAGUUUUCCGAGCAGAGGAUAUGAUUUGUACGUGAACGAACCACCGGGAAGAACCUUGCCGUACAAUGUACAACAUCAAAUUCCGGAAUUUAAUUUAUCAAAUUAUCAUCAAGGUUUUGUUGAUGUUGGCCGAGCUGUUCAAAGUUUUCCGAGCAGAGGAUAUGAUUUGUACAUGAAUGAACCACCAGGAAGAACUGUGCUACAGGAAAAGCUUCGCGAGCAAGCUCUGUAUAGAAAGGCGUCGCUUCGAAGGUUGUUGGAUAGCCGCCAUCCAAUUGACCCUACGCUUUACAGGUUCUAAUUCACGGCUACUUAUCCAUUCCUGAAAUGUGAAACAGAUACGGGCUUUUCGUUCACGCAUGUAUAGCGAUAACUUUGUUCGUACUUGGAUCUCAUAUCUCUUGAAUCAUGCCUCGAAGGUUUUAGAGUGCUCUAUGUAUCCAGUUUCUUGCUUCCAUAAGACCUUGGAGAAGGUAAAGAAUAGCACAAUUUUUUGUGUUUGUUGCCACUUCUUUUCUCCGUUGCUAUGUAGAGAAUUGAAUGGACCGUCGUAGACUCCCAGUGAAUUGUAACUUAAUCCUCUGUGCGGGUUUGUCUAUGGCAUAUGGCAUGAUAAUUUCUGAAGGGCUGAGUGUUCUAUUUUGGGUUUUGUGAUUUAAGCUUACCAUGCGUUUUUUCUGUGGCUCAUUUUAAAAAGCACUCCCAGAAGAAUAAGGAGCUGUUUGGCUGCAGGCAAGUGCAAGUAUACUGCAAUUGUAAUUAUAUUUGAAUUUAAAUUCGGCAUUUUGUUUGAUGCUUUUUAAUUCAACUUUUAUAAUUGGAACUACAUGAGGAGCUCAACUGCUGCAGCAGAUAGAACUGCAUGCAUUUAAUUACCUACAGUUUUAAUUGCACUAGUCAGAGAAAUAAUUUUAAAUCAAAAAUAAACUUAUCUUCUUAAUAAUCUUAGAAAUAGAAUUUUUUUUUUUUUUUUUUUUUUUUUUUUUUUUUUCUUUCUGAUUUGGAGAGUGUAUAUACACACACUAUAUAAUUAAAUAAAUUAUUAAUAAUUGUAAUAUUUUGUACACUAUUCACUUGCUGCAUUUUUUUAAUUGCAUAUAUUUUUAGCUAUAUUGUAUGUUUAUUUAUAAUUAACCAAACGCUUCCUAAGAUGAGUUACAUAAAUGAAAUAUUUUUUUCCCUUGUUAUUAGACAUUUUUCGUUCAAACGCAAGGUCAAACAAUGUUAGCCAUUUUUGCACAGCGCCAAAGAUAUACGUUCAGAAAGGGUCUGGGUCACUAUCCUAUCGUAUCGCAAUUACCUUAUAGUCAAAGAAAUUUGUUAUCAUCCCUUAUUUUUUAGGAAUAAUAUUUAAUCUCUUAUUAUUAUUAUUAUUUUUCCACCGAAAACGCCAAAUUGACUUUGAGUCAACCAUUAAUUCUCCUACAUGGAUAACCAUAUUUUGACCAAAUUCUCCUCGUUAGAUCCCAACUAAUGCGUGGAUUUAGAGAGAGAGAGCCACUCAAUUUUGUCGCCUAAGUCUUUCGGUCAAUUACAAAUUGAUUAAGAUCGAUAUAAUAAAUUAACUCAAAAUAAUAUAAUUUCGAAUACCUCACAGUUUCUGGGGUCAAACAUAUCGUUCUUUGUGGGUAACCCUUAUGUUUUCUUACACUGCCAAAUUUAAUCAAUAUCUUUUUUUUUAAAACUGAUGGCAACAUUUUGCGCAACUAAAAUUAAUUAAAAGAGAGGAACAGAGUGCCGCUAUCUGCCACUACGAACAAACCGGCUCUGUCGUAGGUUUUUUUGAGACGAGUAAUUAUUCAUGAUAGAGAUUAGAUUUAUUUAAAUUUUAUUUUAAAAUUAGGAUUAUAGAUUCAUAAUUUCUAGCAGACUCAAAAAUCUACUAUUAAUUAUCCUAAAAUUUCAAUAUUAAAAACUUCUCGAUUAAGAGACCAAAUUUAAUACCGAUGAUACAAAAAAAUCGUAGUAUAAAGGUGAAUUUGUAUUUAUAUAAUUUUUUAGUAUGUAGCUUAAGUAAGGGCAUACCCCCAUUAUGCAUUAGUGAAAUAAUCAGUUUAACGGCUUGACAGUCAUUCAGAAUUGAGUUAUUUAGUUUAACGACUUUGUGGUCAAAUUUAUUCGGUUUAGUGAAUUGACGGUCGAUUAAUUUGAACUUAAUUUACUCAGUUUAAUAAUUUGACGGUCGAUUGAUUUAAACUUGAUUUGUUCAGUUUAAUAAUUUGACGAUCGGUUUAAAGCUGAAAUGUUCAGUUUAACGACAUGAUAUGAUGGUAGGUUUAAAGAGUUUGCGCAACUAAAAUUAAUUAAAAGAGAGGAAACAGAGUGCCACUCAAUUUCGUCCACUAAAUCUUUCACAACAAUUACAAUUGAUUAAUGGUAUUAAGCGAUGAUUAAAAAAUAUAGAUAUAAGAAUUAACUCUAAACUAUGUAGUUUUGGGUACCUUACAGUUGCUCGUAUCCAACGUUUCUUGUGAGAAACCUUAUGUUUUUCAAUAUUUUUUUUCCCAUAUCUUUCUAAAACUGAUCACAAUAUUCUAUACAACUAAAAAUAAUAGAAAGAUAAUAUAAUAAACGAGAAAAAUACAUACCAUUACACAAUAAUAUUACCCCAUAUGCAAACUUAAUUACAUGAUUAUAAUGGUACCUUGCUUAUACACGACGAAAACAUAUAUAUUUAUACAUAGCUAAACAUAUAGUUCACAAGGAUGAUGUAAACACACAAGCACACCGUGACUAAUAUUGAAAACUCGCUACAGGAUGGAACAAGUAUUCGGGACCGGAUCGUACCCCAUACUAUACGUCGGAUACGUAUACGGUGGGUAGUGAACGUAAAUUGCUUCUGAAGUUGCAGAUGGAGCUUUUUUUUCCGCCGAUUUCGCUUCGUCCCCGUCUUUCACCUCUUCGACCGAAAUUAUAUCCGCGCGGAGCUUUAGCUUCUUUCUCAACGCCUGUAGCAACUUUAUCACGUCCACUCCCGUGCCGAUCACCACUAGCUGAUCUCCUUCUUUUCCUUGUAUCGCUAUCGACUCCACAGCUACGACAUGUUCGAAUCGUGUAAGUUAUUCAAUCGAUCAUAUACGCCACAAAUACUAAGGAACAAUGUUUUCGCGUCCAGUUUGACAAAUAACUUUGCGUCGUGUCAUGAUGAUACUUCGCAAAACUAGCUAUCAUUGCGUUUUAAAUAGAGAAGUUGUUUUCGAUCAAUCGAAUAUAUUAAGACAUUGAGCACACACCUCCUAUUUUUGUGGCAAUUUCUAAGGCCUUUUGCCGACCCUCCUGGCCGUUCAUCGGGAUCUUCAUCACGAUCUUUUGCUGCACAGAAGUUACCGAUUUCGUUUUCAUCAAACGUACUUUGAUCAUUUCUUGAUACGAGUCAAAUAUAAUUACCAUGUUGCAAAGCAAACAUGUUGAGAUGUACUACGCCAAAAAUAUAUAUAUAUAUAUAUAUAUAUAUAUAUAUAUAUAUAUAAUUGUAAAAGCGUGCUAAUGAUAGUAGGAUUAUUACCUUCAUUGCUGGAACCGGAAACAAAUAAUCUUUCCAAUUCUAAAGAACGGGUUAAGUACACUCAGUGAACUCUUUGCAGAGUACAGAGGGACAUAUAUAUAUAUAUAUAUAGAUAUAGAGUAAAAAAAGAGAAAUGAGUGGAUAUUAAUUUAUACUUUUUUUNNNNNNNNNNNNNNNNNNNNNNNNNAUUAACAAAACAAAAAAAAAAAACAGAAAAAGAAAAAACGCAACUACAGGAUGUGAACACGGUGAAGUUCAUUUUCGUUCUAAGAUUGUGACAGGUUAUAUAUAGUUUACUUUAGGAUGACCUAGUUAAGAAGUCCAUUUUGGGUCUUGUAAAAUACAAUUCUAUGAUUGAGCCCAAAUUACUCGAAAUUCACUCAAAUUCGUUCCAAAUAAUAUUCACCCUAUCUGACUCAUAUAUAUAUAUAGUACGUCUUCUAUAUUUUCGAAAGUAUGGGAGCUUCCGUGCUUGUAAGUUGUUUUUGAUGAUGGAGCAUUUGAUUUAGCGAUCGGCUCCGUUAGGCAUGAUUUACGCUAUUAGAACUAUUUACAAACCAAAUUUCAUUAUUUUUUGACAUCAUUUACCAAGUGAUCAAAGAGCCUCAAAAAUAACUAUUUUAACGGCCGAUGUGACGCGUUUUAAAGUUCAACGGUGUAGAAAAAUCCAAAUUACAUGAAACUUUAAUAAAAAAUUCUACUUAAUAUCAUGAGCAAGAACAAUACUUCCGAUUUGAAAUUUGAGGCUUUUAUCACUAUUUUUUGUAAGAUUUUUAUUUUCAGCCGUUCAUUUUGAGCAUACUCGUUCACUAGGCAAAUAAAGUCAAAAAAUUAUGAAAUUUGGUUUCUAAAUAGUUGCAAUAGCAUAGAUCAUGUCUAACGGAGCCGAUCGACGAAUUGGAUGCUCCAUCAUCGAAAACAACUUACAAGUACGGAGGCCCUCGUACUUUCGAAAGCAUAGGAGCCUAUAUAUAUAUAUANACAUAUCGGGCUUUUGUAAAGUUGAAAAAAGAGGUGUAAUUCAUGUACUAUGCGUAUCCAUUAUUACUAAUUAACUCAGUUAAUGUGGUGGCACGUUGCAUACGCCAAAGAUAACAUUUAGUAGUUGACGUCGCCCUUUCAGGUUUUUUUAACCUUUUGUGACAUGAGCGAGAGACCAUGUAAUUAACAAAUCAAAAAAAAAAAACAGAAAAAGAAAAAACACAACUACAGGAUGUGAAUGUGAACACGGUGAAGUUCAUUUUCGUUCUAAGAUUGUGACAGGUUAUAUAUAGUUUACUUUAGGAUGACCUAGUUAAGAAGUCCAUUUUGGGUCUUGUAAAAUACAAUUCUAUGAUUGAGCCCAAAUUACUCGAAAUUCACUCAAAUUCGUUCCAAAUAAUAUUCACCCUAUCUGACUCAUAUAUAUAUAUAUAUAGAGUUGUCCAAAUCUUUUCUAUAGAUCUUUGAUCGAAGUAAUUGACUGCUCCAGUUCUGUGCCCAGGGUCAAAAAUUAUAAAAGCGCUAUGAUAAAUUAAACCAUGGAUCAGACUCUAAUUAAUUAGGCCGUGUAAAUUUUUCGGGUGGAUAAAUUAUGUAACCGCUAUUAAUUUAUAAUCAUUUUUUAAUUUCACCCUCUAUUUUGUGCCAAAAAAGGAUUAAUAAAGAGAUGAGUUAUUAUCAUGAUCGUGAUUUUUGCAAAAGCAUAACAAAGUUGGCAAAAGUGGAAAUGUCAUUUUAUCGAGACAGCAAACGCCACCAUAGCAGCAAAAGAAAACCCCAGCCGGUAAAAUUAACAAAGUCGGCCUCUUUUAUUAUUAUUUUCUUAAGAGAAAGAUAGCAUAUUAUCUGUUUUGUUUAAUUAUUUUAGAAAUAAACUAAUUAGCUGGAAAUAUGAAGUAACUAAGUUUCGAACUCGAGACCUCAGGUGCCAACAAAUAAACUCUUUAAUUACCAUUUGUACUAGGGACGAUCGAUUGUACUCUUUUAUUAUUAUUAUUAUUAUUAUUAUUAUUAUUAUUUUUGAAGUUCCACCCCAUUCAUAUUCCAUUUUUGCAUGCGCAUGCCAGGGAUCAAACUCCCAAUUUCUUCAUCAGCGAACUAUGCAAGAGAUUCAGAAUACCAACUAUUAUUCUCGGAUAAAAAAUUAGCGUUUGGAUAUAAAAAAAGGAAUAAGGGCCUAUUCUUAUUCCUAUUCCCUAACUAAACGCUGCCUAGGGUGCCUUUUUUCUUUUGGUCAACAAAUAAACAUAAUUUUUUUUCUUCAUAAUUUUUUUUUUCAAAUUUCUCGUACCGCGAAACUGUCGACGAAUCGAGGGUUUAAAAUCGAAGUCGAUAAUCAAAUUUGGAGGCACAUCUAAUAAUUUGUACAUCUUAGGCAAGAAUAUUUUACCCUACGAAGAAUAUUUCAAAGAUGUAAUGAAAACCAUUUCAAAGAUGUAAAGACUCUCUUGAAAUAAUUCUGAAUUAUUACAAAAUAGAUAACAAGCUGGACCAUCUUUUGCCCUUUUUUUUUUUUUUAAACAAAAAAAUGAUGUAGAAAUCUUCAUACACCAGCUGGUAUCAACUCUCACAAAAUUGGGCCCUCUGUGCUUGUCGCAUCAAAAGUUGGAUUUAAUUAAAAUUUGCACUCCUUUUUUUGGAGCAAUAUUUAAAAUUCAAGCUGCGACUUGAUAUAUAGUAAGUGUUGAAUAUGAAAUUUGAUAAAUUAACAUUGUAUUUUUGUUUUAUUUUUUACGGGCACACUUAGUUCGAACAAGUUGAAAUUCCGGCAUAAAACAAACGCACUACUUUUCGGUUUCAUUUAUUUUAAUUUUUGUUCAUUUAUUAUGCGUUUCACUGUAAUUCCACUCGUGUUCAAAAUUGUGGCUAACCUGUACUUUGCAGUGGGGCUAUCAUCAUUAAUUUGUUUGAAGGAUUCAUAAAAUAUUCUAUUAACAUAGUACAAAUCAGUAGUUGGCUUGUUAUUAAGAUAAGUUCUAAUUUUUAGUUUUAUUAGGUUUUCUACUUGUCUUAGUAGCCCCAUAGUAGGCAAUUAUUCACAGAGUAUAAAACAGGAAAACUAAAGUAAAUAAUUGGUCACUUGUGCUAAAAAGUAAUUUACUGUUGAAAACAAGCUUUUUUUUUUUUUUUUUUUUUUUUUGAGAAAUGAUUACCUACACUGGGCGUAUAAAUACAACUCACACAUUAUUUUCGCACUGUUAUAUUCGCUAUAUAUAUAGAGAGAGAGAGAGAGAGGGGUGAGCUUCGUGUGCUUUCUAGACGUUUGGUCAUCUCAAAAUUUGUAUAGUAUUAUUACCAAUGUGUUUUUUAAGUUUUCUUUAUUAAUACUAUACGGAUCUUAAGACUAUCCGACAGUUAAAAAAUUAAAAAUAUUUGAGUUUCUGUGAUUUUAAAAGUAUAGAAGCUUAACGCUCUCUAUAUAUAUAAUGUUUCAAAUGUUAACUUUGCUUGCGCUAUUUUCAUGUCCUUGAAUUUUGUGGCUAGGUUGAUCUCGUCCGAUCCCAUCCCUCGCCCAGUUGGAACCUCGGAUCGAUGAUGGUGAGGGUGACCGUUGAAACGUUCCUGUUCAGCUACAGUGGUGUUGUCUCCUAAUUAAACAGCCCAUUUCCAUUAGAAAAGGGGAGGAUUAAACUAAACGAUAAGUUAAGUAGUGUUAGGCAAAAAAUUAAGUACGAUAAAAAAAAAGAAUAUUGUGUUCUUUUUUGUACUGUGACGUGCCACGAAAUUUCGUUUGAUCUCGUGACUUAGGUACCGUUUGGUUCGAGUAUAAGUAAGAAUUAGUUAUUAUAGGAAUAGAUACAAAUAUGGGGAUAAGAAAAAUAGUAUUUGGAUAAAAAUUGGGUUGUUCUCGGGGAUAAAAAUAAUUUUAGAUAGUUUUAUAUAAAAAAUAAAAGUGUUGGUGGAGAUAACCGAGAACUAUUAUUCUCGGAUAAAAAAUUAGAUAUAAGGAGGGAUAAGGACCUAUUCCUAUUCCUAUUCCCUAACCAAACGCUGCCUUAUAGUCGUAUUGACUACAAAACGGUGAAAUCUUUUGUGGGGCUACAAAAUAUUUUAUUCGAAAAGCCUAACUCAUGAGUUGUACUCGGUCGCCGCUUCAGUCGCGGAUCAUCUAGCCAUGCAUGCACCUCUUUCCUUUUUUUUCCGUACCAUCUUUUCAAGACGUUUGUAUUAAUUAUUUAUUAAAUAACUUAAAAAUCAUGUUAAAGUAAGUAUAUAUUCANNNNNNNNNNNNNNNNNNNNNNNNNNNNNNNNNNNNNNNNNNNNNNNNNNNNNNNNNNNNNNNNNNNNNNNNNNNNNNNNNNNNNNNNNNNNNNNNNNNNNNNNNNNNNNNNNNNNNNNNNNNNNNNNNNNNNNNNNNNNNNNNNNNNNNNNNNNNNNNNNNNNNNNNNNNNNNNNNNNNNNNNNNNNNNNNNNNNNNNNNNNNNNNNNNNNNNNNNNNNNNNNNNNNNNNNNNNNNNNNNNNNNNNNNNNNNNNNNNNNNNNNNNNNNNNNNNNNNNNNNNNNNNNNNNNNNNNNNNNNNNNNNNNNNNNNNNNNNNNNNNNNNNNNNNNNNNNNNNNNNNNNNNNNNNNNNNNNNNNNNNNNNNNNNNNNNNNNNNNNNNNNNNNNNNNNNNNNNNNNNNNNNNNNNNNNNNNNNNNNNNNNNNNNNNNNNNNNNNNNNNNNNNNNNNNNNNNNNNNNNNNNNNNNNNNNNNNNNNNNNNNNNNNNNNNNNNNNNNNNNNNNNNNNNNNNNNNNNNNNNNNNNNNNNNNNNNNNNNNNNNNNNNNNNNNNNNNNNNNNNNNNNNNNNNNNNNNNNNNNNNNNNNNNNNNNNNNNNNNNNNNNNNNNNNNNNNNNNNNNNNNNNNNNNNNNNNNNNNNNNNNNNNNNNNNNNNNNNNNNNNNNNNNNNNNNNNNNNNNNNNNNNNNNNNNNNNNNNNNNNNNNNNNNNNNNNNNNNNNNNNNNNNNNNNNNNNNNNNNNNNNNNNNNNNNNNNNNNNNNNNNNNNNNNNNNNNNNNNNNNNNNNNNNNNNNNNNNNNNNNNNNNNNNNNNNNNNNNNNNNNNNNNNNNNNNNNNNNNNNNNNNNNNNNNNNNNNNNNNNNNNNNNNNNNNNNNNNNNNNNNNNNNNNNNNNNNNNNNNNNNNNNNNNNNNNNNNNNNNNNNNNNNNNNNNNNNNNNNNNNNNNNNNNNNNNNNNNNNNNNNNNNNNNNNNNNNNNNNNNNNNNNNNNNNNNNNNNNNNNNNNNNNNNNNNNNNNNNNNNNNNNNNNNNNNNNNNNNNNNNNNNNNNNNNNNNNNNNNNNNNNNNNNNNNNNNNNNNNNNNNNNNNNNNNNNNNNNNNNNNNNNNNNNNNNNNNNNNNNNNNNNNNNNNNNNNNNNNNNNNNNNNNNNNNNNNNNNNNNNNNNNNNNNNNNNNNNNNNNNNNNNNNNNNNNNNNNNNNNNNNNNNNNNNNNNNNNNNNNNNNNNNNNNNNNNNNNNNNNNNNNNNNNNNNNNNNNNNNNNNNNNNNNNNNNNNNNNNNNNNNNNNNNNNNNNNNNNNNNNNNNNNGCUACCUAUCUCUCAAAAAGAAAAAAAAAAAAAGUACAUAUAUAUUUUUAAACAGAAUGAAAUGCAUGGACAACAUAUGCUUCCCCUCCUCUCUCUCUCUCUCUCUGAAAAUAAUACCAAAUAUAAGGUGUAAAAAAGUAGUUAAUUACUGGGGGCACCAAUUACCAUCUGUUAGUGAAGCAAUUUUCAUGGCACACCGCCUCACGUUUUUGCACUCCACUUGCACCUUAAUCUCCAUCUUUUGCUGCAUCACAUAUUACUCAAUUUUUCAACUCAAUUUACUUAUCUUUUAUUAUUGACAUUACAACAUAUAGUAAUUAUAUUAUUCAACACAAAAAUAAAUUAGCAAUUAUCAACUGUAAAUUGAAAACAUAUAUACAGAACUUUUCCGGAGACUAUGUUUCGCUUGAUCAAACUAACCAUUUAAUUCUUGUGUUUUGAGCAAUUUUGAUGGCCAUUUUGUUACAAAUUUUGAGCGUUCUGUGCUCUUUAAUUUGGAAAGCGCUAUCAAAUGACUCAAAUUGAAUGAAUUAAUCCAAAUUGAAUGAAUUAACUCAAAUUGACAAUUUUAUUUUAAAUGUUAGAUAUAUAGUUGAUGGAUCAAAAUGAAUCAUAUGUAGCUCUGAUCAUAAGCUCCGUAUAUACAUAUUUACUAUUUCAAGCUAGCUCAACCCAAUGUUUAAGCAUGAAACUCAAAAGAGCAUUUUAUUGAAGGUCAUAACAUAUGAAAAAGAUGAUUGAAUUUUUGAGCUUAUGAUGAGAGAAUUAAUUACCUUUAUUGCCAUAGAUGAAGAGGAUGACUAAAUCUCUAACACAUGCAAUGGAAUGGACUACUCCUAGUGAAUUGUCUGUGGAUAGGAAUGGAUAUAUUUAUAGGGAGAGAUUAGGAAAGGGUACAGGAUAUUAACAAUUCUUUUUUUUUUUCUAUAUUAUAAGCUAAAUUAAUUGAUUGUUUUGUUGCUUGCUCUAGUCCAUGCAUGGUUUAGGAAACGAAGUGGUCCAAUUCUCUUUAUUAAUGCCCCUCUAAUUAACUAGCUACUGUUGGAGUCAAGUGUGAGGUCAAGAAUAUUAGGGUUCAAUUUAUGUUUGUUUUUUUCUCUUUUAUUCGUUUUUUCUUUGUUUGAGCGCAUGACAGGUAAUGUGUUUGGAUUUCGUCAUCUACUAAUUAAAGUUAGGAGCCUUUAAUUUAAUAUGGUUUUCAAAUUUUGAUUUCUUAUUUCAACCUAACUUUUUUUUUUUUCCAAACUAAUUUCACUAAGCUCUCUUUAAUGCACUAAUAAAGUGACGUUAACGAAACCUAAUCUAUCGACAUCUACGUACAUGCACUAGAACAAAAACUUUCACUUAAAACCUGCGUCCUGUGGAAAAGAAAUUAUAAUUGAGAAUAUAAAGAACUCGAGAUUUUAGUACUUUUUUUUUAACACAAUCUGAGACAACAAGGUCUCAAAAAAUAAAAAAAAUAAAAAAAAAACCUAAUUAUAGGGUAAGUCGCCUAGUGCAAGUGGAAAAGGGCUUGGUGAUUGGUACCCGAGGCCCCGAGUUUGAAUCCUAGUUGAUUCACAUUUUCAACUAAGUUUAUUUUUAAAUGAAAUAAACAAAGCGGAUAACAUGCUACCUAUCUCUCAAAAAGAAAAAAAAAAAAAGUACAUAUAUAUUUUUAAAAGUAAAAAUGUAAUGGGAACCCUUAACUAUAGGGUAUUUUUAUAUUAGGGUUAAUUUCAUACAGAUCCCUGCACCAAAUAUAAUGAAUGACAAAUAUAUUUCUACAAAGUUCAACUUUCAUAUAUUGUCCCUACAAAAGUUCUAUGGUUUUCAAAUAUAUCCUCUUGUUUGUUAUCGUUAAAGAACUAUUUAUAUUUUCAAUUUUGUCAUUACAAUUAUAUCCCUCCAAAAGCUAUAACAGUAUAAUAUAAAGUAGUAAAAAUAUCAAAAACUAACCAGAGCUAAAUAUUUAACCUAUGGUUAAUUAACUAAAAUUUUUUAACGGAUUCUAACGGCAGAAAUAUAUUUGAAAACAUCAGAAUUUUUAUAAGGACAACAUAUGAAAACUGAACUUUAUAGGAAUAUAUUUGUCAUUCACUAUAUUUGUAGAAACUUGUAUAAAAUUAACCCUUUAUAUUAAUGUAUCUUCAACUUGAUAUUAUUUUGAUUAAAGUUAUUUCAGUUAUUUAAUUAGGAGUUUCAUCAAAACUAAAAACUUAGAUAGUGAUUCAGCAAUGGAAUUAAUAUUUCUAUUUUAUCUGCUAAGAAACUAAUAAAAUUAUUGAAUUUAAUAAAUUAUAUGUUGCUUAUCAAAUAAAAUUUUAAUUAGUUUGAUAUGAAUUGAAAGUUGAGAGGGUCACUAUGAAGUAAAGUCUAGUUUGCUGCUAGAGAAUGGAAUGUAUUUGAGGAGUAAUUCAUGUUACUGAUACACUCAAAAGGUGAGCUAGAAUGCUAUUGAUAACAAAUCGGCACUUUUGCCACCCAUUUAUUUUCGAUGAUGGAGCCUCUAAAUCGAUGAUCGGCACCGUUGAAUAUUAUCUAUACCAUUUGAAGUAUUUAGAAAUCAAAUUUCAUACAUUUUCGAUAUUGUUCUCUUAUCCAUCGAGUGGACACAAAAAUGAAUGGCUGAAAAUGAAUAUUUUUAAAAAAAUGAUGAUAGGAGUCUUGUAAUCAAGAUCAAGAGUAUAGAUCUUGUUUUAAAUAGUUUAAAGAAUUUUCUAACAAAAAUUCAAUUGAUUUAGAUAUUUUUAUGCUGUUAAAAGAGAAAACGCCUCAUAUCGACUAUUAAAAUUACAAAUUUUAAAAUCCUUUGAUCAUUCGGCAAAUGAUGUCGAAAAGAUUUGAAAUUUGAUUUCUAAACAAUUCAAGUCGUAUAGAUCAUGUUCGACGAUGCCGAUCAUCGAUUUGGAGGCUCCAUCAUCGAAAAUAAAUGGGUGGCAAAAAUACCGAUUUACUAUCGAUAGUAUUCUAGCUCAACUCGUUAUAUAUCUUAUAUUCUCUUCAUUCUAGAGCCACCAAACUUGUCACAUCAUUUUGUUAUUAAGAAUUAUUUAAUUCUUUGUGAACCCAUCCCAAGAUGGUGUGUACGAUCUACAUCUCCACUUUUGGAGUGAAUAAUUAUAAUUUUUCAUAGUUUUAAUUUUUUUUUUUUUCAUUAGAACAAUUGUUUAAAAGAAUAAGCUAGCAUCUAGGGCACUAAAGGACUGUUGGAUUCAAGGUUUAUAAUAUUACGAAAAAUAUUAUUAUAUAUUUUAUAUUUGAAUGACAAGUUUGAUAUUAACUUAUUGAGCCACUUGAUGGAAAUGCUAUAAAUAGACUACUAAUUAACUUAUCAAGCUACUAGAACUAAUAUUUUUUUAUUAAUUAAUGAACUCAUAAUUAUUUUCAUUAAGUAGGAAAUUGAAAAUAUCUCCUAAAACAUGAAAAAUGUAGUAUCCCUGCUAGAAAUUUACCAUAAUUUUAUUAUUUUAUUAAUAUUUUUUUUCCAACUAUCUAAUUUGAAUUGAAUGAUAAUAAUCUAAAAGUAUUUUAAUGAAAAAUUUAAAAUUUUUUGAAAUAUUACAAAUCUUGAAACAAACGCCCUCAAGUAUAAAGCCAAAUAUUUUGAACAUUCAUAUUAUUCUUUUAGUUAGUUCUAGGCCAUUCAUGAGUUGUAGAUUAUUAGACUCCACUCUCUCUCUCAAAAAAAGAAAAAAAGAAAAAAAGAAAAAAAAAAGCAUAGAGCGAACAAUUCCUGAAUAUUUUUAUUUAGUUCAUCUAUCUCUCUCUCUCUCUCUCUCUCCCUCUCUCUCUCUCUUCAAUAAGCAAUAAUGAAAGAGUUUUAUUCUCACUCAUUAUGCACUAACUAUCUGCAUUAAAACUCUCAAUUAAGAAGCAUGCACAUGCAUUAAUGACAUCUCUAAUGCAUGAUAAGAGCCACACCAAAAAACCACAGAAUCACAUGAUGGAGCAAGGAUGAUCGAUCUGGGGCCGGCGCAUCGCACAUCACAUAAUACAUCGGCGGCAAAUGCGAAUACGAAUACGAAUAUGAAAUUGUCGGUACAUUGUCGGUCGGUGGCUUGUCUUCUUUCUUCGCAUCCUUCCAUUUCUCUUUAUUAUCUCUCUUCACCUCCGAAAUCCAUAACUAUUUAUGUGCACCCUAUGUUUUUUUUCCGUAACGAUUUGACUAAUUUGACCAAAUCUACUCCGACUCCGGUGACCACUAGCUUAUCUCCAUCUACUGUAAUCGAGUCAAUACCUGUAAUAAGUUCAAAAAUCAUACAUACUAUAGUUAAAGUUAUUAGAUGUUGCCUAUAUUUAUUUGGCUAAUAUAUAAAAGAUGGUUUUAAAAAAACUAUAGUUAUAAAUUUAAUGAAUUUAGUAGAAAUAAUCUUACAUUAUUACAAUUUUUUUUUCCAAUUUUGUGUUAAUUAGUAGAUUGAAAUCACCUUCACUGUGGUGAAAUAAUACUGUGUUAUGAAUAAGUUUGUAUUUUUGUAUUCUUUUCUUAAACACCGAAUACCUAUCACAAUUAUUUGAGAACUAUUUGCAUGUUUGUCUUAGUAAAGAUUAAUGAAAAUAUAUAUAGAGAGAGAGAGUUUGGCUACUAUACUCUUAUAAGGAGUCGAUCUUGUGUGCUAUUAGGAGCAUGAAGGCCUCCGUGCUUCUAAGCCGUUUUUGAUGAUACAGUUUUCGAAUCGACGAUCGGCUCCGUUAAACUUGAUCUAGCAUACUUGAAGUAUCUAGAAAAUAAAUUUUACGAUUUUUUGAUAUCAUUUAUUUAGUAAUCGAAAGGGUUUAAAAUCAACAAUUUUUAAUGAUUGAUGUAUAUCGUUUACAAGUUUAACGGUAUAGAAGUAUUCAAAUCAUAUGAAAUUUUGAUAAAAAAUUCUUUAUACUAUUUACAGCAAGAUCAAUGUCUCUGAUCGAAAAUUUUAGUGCUAUAUUACCACUUUUUGUUAGAUUUUUAUUUUCAGCCGUUGAUUUUGAACCUUUUCGAUCGCUAGAUAAAUGAUAUCGAAAAAUUACAAAAUUUAUUUUCUAGAUACUUCAAAUACGCUAGAUCAAGUCUAACAGAACCGAUCAUCGAUUCGGAAGCUCCAUCAUCAAAAACAGCUUAGGAGCAUGGAGGCUUCCGUGCUCCUAAUAGCAUACAAGACCUACUCCUCUUAUGAGUACAAACUCUUUGUACUUAAAAAUUUUCAACCGUUAGAUCUAUUCUUUUUAUUAUUUUCAUUCAUUAUAUUAUACUAUUCAACCAACUACCCACGUAAUUUUAAAAACAUCAUUAUCAUCAUAACUAGGGACUACUAUCAUCCUAAUCAUAUUUUUUUUCAUCCAAUAGUCGAAAACUUAUGAAUACAAAAAAAUCUAUACUUAUAAGAAUAUAGUAGUCAUACUCUCUCUCUCUCUCUAUAUAUAUAUAUAUAUAUAUAUGAAUAUUGUAUAUAUGGAUAUUGACGUAGCAGAUGCUGCUGACGCAUUAGAAAGAGGUAGUAUUGAAACAUGAAUUAAAAACGUGCGGCUCGCCAAUUUUUCAUUAGAAUUCAUCGUAUGUAGUACUAUACGCAUAAUUUAAAAGAUCCUUGAAGACCGACCAUCUUUUUCUGCAGCAAUCACGUCAUGGCCUUUCUUUGACCGUUUCUGCAACCCAUCUGAAUCUUCAUCUCUAUCUUUUGCUGCAUCAAAUACAAAAAUGUCCUUGCUUAUACCUUAAUUUAGCAAUCGAAAGUGAACGCUCUUCAUACAGUACGAGAAGGACUAUCACCGUUGCUGUUGCUUUAAAAUUAAUUAUAUAAUUAAACACUAUGUGGAAUUACUAGGUGGUUUAAAAAAUAUAAUAGUAAGAAUCUAAUAACCCAAAAGUUCAAAACUGGUGCUUUCAAAAGUAUAAUAAUAGUAAGAAUCUAAUGACAUAAAAGUUGAAAGUUAGUGCUUUCAAAAAUAUAGUAGUUCAAUUCUAUAAACAAUAUAUAUACACUAACUAGUGAUUCCUAUCUCACGAACACCAUAUUUAAGCGUACAAACAAUGAUAAUAAAAGCAUUUUUGUAAUGAGAUUAGAUUAAUUACCUUUGUUGCCAUUUGAGAUGAAGCUCAAUGUGCUUGUUAAUUAGUUUAAAGGAUUGGGCUCCCUUCAAUAAUAAUUUAGAUGAACGGUCCCUAUCUCACAGCAUACAAGCGUACAACAAGUGAUGAUAAUAAUAAUAGAUGAACGGGUCCCUAUUAUAUCACGAACAACAUAUAAGCGUACAAACAGUGAUGACAAUAAUAGAUGAACGGUCCCUAUCGUCUCACGAACAGCAUAUAAGCGUACAAACAGUGAUGAUAAUAAUAAUAUAUGUAAUGAGAUUAGAUUAAUUACCUUCGUUGCCAUUCGAGAUGAAGCUCAAUGCAUCAGAGCUUGUUAGUUUAAAGGAUUGGGCUCCCUUCAAUAAUAAUUAGAUGAACUCUUGGUGGAAAGGAAUGGUCGCUAUAUAUAGACAAAAAGAUUAAUUAGCAGAGGGAGAAAUUAAGUUAUCAAAUGCUUGUUGCGAGUCAAAGUCUCCAGGGCUUUUGGUCUUCAUUGCGUCAAUGGUCUCCAAAGCAAUGUUCACCUACUAUAUAUUCUUCAUGGCUCUUUUAGCCAUGACAAUGUUUAAACAUAUCCUGCUAAGAAAGAAAUUUGUACUAGAAUUUUAAAAAAUACGGCCCAACUAGUCAUUUAAAUUUAGAUUUUUUAUUAUAAAGGAAAAACUUCAAAAAGUAUCAAUUACCCCCCCUGUAGUUUUAUUUUUAUCUUUUCGGCAACUUUUUUCUUAAUAUUUUAUUAAAUUAUGUACAAAAAAAAAAAACUUCAGAUACACAUAUAGAUUUAUCGAAUAUUUACUUUAGUACUCUUUAAUUUUAACUUUGUCACUGAUUUAAGAAAAAAAUAAUAAUAAAAUUGAUAAUAAAAAGAGAAAAACGAAACCACAGGUGCAAAUUGAUACACUUUAAAUCAUAGGGUACUAAAGUGAGAAAGUGCGAAACCACAGAGGAAUUUUUUGAAGUUAUCCCUAUUAUAAAUAAGACCAAUUAUAUCAAAUAUAGAACUAUUUGAUAUAAUAUAUCUUAUCCAUUUUAUAUCUAUUUAAAUUAAAUAAAACUUUAAUAAGAUUUUAAUGGAAAGUCGAUCUGAAUGCUAUACAAAGAGGGUAUUGGUUCUGUCAUUUUCUCAUGUGCAUUCGGAUAAAAAAUUAUCAUCUGUUUCACAUCAUACAGGAGAGUGUCUGAAAUAGGAAGAAAAACUAAAUUAUCCGAGUGCAGUUGGUGACGUUUAGAUUAUAAUGGAAAUUUUCGCUUCGGUAAAUUGAUCAAAAAUUACUUCUUUAUGACGCUCUAUAAGUUAUUUUAUUUUACUUUAUAAUACUGAAUUUUGAUAUAUUUAUUUUUAUUGUUUUCUUACAUACAUAUCAAUAAAGAGCUAUCAGUUUAAGCUUAAAACGAUUUUUAGAGUGUUUUUUAAUUCUUUCAGGGCCUUUUCUGUAAUUAUCAAACUGAGGUACUAGUACUGCAAACCUUUUAAUAAUGGAAAGAUUCAUCGAAAGUAGUACUCAAACUUAAAAACAAUAAAAAUAAAAAUAAAAAUUCAUAAAAAUUAUUGAGAAAUCUUAAAUGACAACACCACAAAGAUUCGGAAAAAAUAUUUAUGCAAAUAAAGUGUAAAACACGAUACUUAUAGCUGGACCAUUGCUUGGUAAAAGACUUUUUUUUAUGUAAUUAAAGCACAAACCACAAUGUAAAAAAAACAUGAAAUAAACAAAAUAUGGAUUUCGAUAAAGAGGUGGUAGGCCCCCACCUUAGCCAAUGAGAGGACUUUUUUAUAAAAUGAUCCUUCAAAAUUUUGAAAUUAAAAAAAUGAUCCUAUCAAAUUUUACUUUAGAACUUAGACAAAUUUUACUUUAGAACUUAGACAAAUUUUGAUAGGUUUACAGUAUUUUACAUUAAAGGCGGUGAUUCACCACCUUCAUUAUAUCAUAGAAAAAUUCCGACGUGAUGCCCACGUGACGAAAGAAGAAUUAUUUUUUCAAAUAAAAUUUUGACAGAAUUAUUUUUCAAAUUUUCAAAUUUUGAAGGGUCAUUUUAUAAAGCCAAAAUCUUAGUCGCAACGCAAAUUGGGCGGAUACCUAAACUUUUUCGCACAAGUCGGCGGAGGAAAACAUUGCUAGUGGGUGAAGUAUUACAAAACUUCUUAGGCUUAGUUUGGUAUUAAGAUCUAUCUAACGUUAUUAGAUAAAAUGGAGUUGAGGAAAAAGUAUAUAGGAAUAUGUUUCUGCGUUUUCCGAUGGAAUCGCAAAAAAUAUAUCGUAACCGACUCGUCGAGAUAUGCGGAAUGCAAUAUUAUCUACGGAAACAAACAGGAUAUUUUUUCAACGUACUUUCUCACCGCACGUAACGCAAUUUUUCCGCAAUCCCAAAGUAUUAUAGAAAUUUAAAAAAAAAAGAAAAAAAAAAAAGAGAGAGUAAUCGAAAAGGUAUUCAUACCUGAUGCCUGCACCCAAAAGCAGGAUCCUUCGUUUGGCACAGGCAGAUCGGACAUGUCUGCUAAUAAGAAGAAAAAUAAAAAAUUACUUUUGAGGUCCUGAGAAAAUUAAGUAUUACUUUUGAGGUCCAUUCAUCGUGUGCGCGCGUGUAAUAAAAUGAUAAUAAGUUCAUAAAUCUGUUUACAAUCUAAUUUUUCUUUUUUAUGAAAAUAAACUCUGAUUUUUUUGCAACAACCGGGAACCAGCACCACACGUUCCGAAGGUUGAUUCCAAGUCCAUAGCAGGAAAUUUCUUUAAAAUAAAUGUCAAAGGUUGAUUCCAAGUCAAUAGCAGGAAAUUUCUUUAAAAUAAAUGUCAAGUCAUUUUUUGGAAUUUCUCAUAGUUCCCUUGUACUGCCGGGAAAAGACGACUAAAAGCCACGCGCACAUCACUAUUAUAAGAUCCAAGGGCAGGAGGGGACCUUUUUUUAUAAAAUAAUUUUUUAAAAUUUUAUAAUUUGUGAAAUAAUUCUGCCAAAUUUAUAUUUGGCAAACUAACUCUUUAGAUUAUUUUUCAAGAAGCGAUGAAUCAUUCCCUGCAUUCUCCAAUUUCUUUUAAAAGCUUUCUCCCUUUUUCUUUUUUUCUUAUUUCUUUUAAACACGGUGAAUCGUUCGCCGUAUUUAUUAAAAUUAUGCGUGUAUUAUAUAGGAAAUAGAAAAAAAUAAAGUUGUUAGGAUUAUAUGUGACUCAUUAGAAUUUUUAUUUGAUUAUUAAGAUUAUAUGGAUAAAUUAUUAGAAUUUUUAGACUGUUAAGAUUAUAUAAAAUUAUAUGCAUAGAUUUUUAGAAUUUUCAGACUGUUAAGAUUAUAUGAAAUUGUAUGGAUAGAUUAUUAGGAUUUUCAGGUUGUUAAAAUUAUAUAUGAUUUAUUAAAAUUUUUAAUAUGGUUGUUAGAAUUAUAUACAUGUAAUAUAAAAAGAAAUAGUAAAUAAGCGAAUGACGAUGAAUAAUUCACCAACUUUGUGAAAAAUUAAGAAGGCAGUGAACGAUUCACCAUCUUCAUCCGCCCCCACGCCUACUUGACGAGAGGAGGAUUAGUUUUACAAAUAUAAUUUUGAUAAGAUUAUUUUACAAAUUUUAAAAUUCUAAAGAGUUGUUUUAUAAAAAAGUUUGCAGGAGGAAACUGGUGCCCCGGCCCAGAAUCAUCUCUUAUUAAAAGUAAUAAUUAAUAAUAAAAAUAAAAGAUGAAUCAUGAAUCCAAGGAAACUCACUAACCGCUCCUGUGUAUAUAGUGUAUACCCAUCUAAAAAGCACAUAAUGAGGCACCAUGUCAGAUAUGAAUUUAUACAUACAUACCUGCGUUCAUCUACAUCUACUAGCGAACUCUCAGCAGGGGCGGAGGCUUUUUUUUUUGUUUUUUUUUUAACUCCUUGUUCAUGGCUGUUUGGAUAUGUAAAUUUUUUGAAUCUAAACAUCCAAAACCCUGGCACUUAAUUGGUGGAGGUAGACAAAUUAAACCUUUCUUGCAUUCCCGUUCGUUUACUGCAAUAAAUCAAGAGAUUAAUUAAUAAACCUUACCCGCCAAAUUAGUUCUUCGAGAAAAUGGUAUGUUAAUGAAAAUUACAAAAUUCAUUCCCAAGAAGUUGGAGAUCCAUUGCUGGUUUAUACUGCGAUGGGAUUUCCAUCAGCGCUGCGAGAGCAAACUGUGCAUCCUUUCUGCUCUCGGGGAUUAACUCGACAUGAUCUCUGUGAAAUUAACAAACUAUAUUGUACCAAUGCAAAUAGCCAUGAUCUUUUUAGUACGCCAUAAUAGUAUAGUAUCUUAUUUUGUUCAGUUGAAACCUGAAAAUUACCCAAUGCACGACACGGUAGAUGUUGCCGUCAAAUUGCUUCAUCACAAACUCCAACCGGCACGAUUGAUAACAGGUAGUGAGUCACUGCAACAUAGAUAAGUAGAUAUAUUACUUUAAUAACCCAGCAGAAUUACACAAUAUCUACCCAGCGAAAAUUGGACUUCCAUUUAUAUGCUGAUCAUAUUAUUAAUGACACACAACCCUGAAAAAUCAAGAUGUUCAUAUACGCCAGACAUGAAUGCGCAAUAAAGACCAACUUCAACACCCCCCCAAUGGCGCUAUUCCCCUUUGCAGGAAGGUUCAACUUUUGAAGGGUAUAUGCAAAUAUAUCACAUCUAUCGAAUUAAAGAAUUAGAUAUACACACUCGUCCGCUGCCAUUCAUUCACAUGUUUAAGGUAAGUAGGUGAAGGGUGAUAUUUUGCGAGAGAUCUUUAUACAGCAUCCAAAACAAUACUUAUUUUCUAAUUUAAAAGCAUUACUUAUCUUUAAUUUAAAUACAAUCAAUUAGGAUCAUUCUAUUAUAUAUAUAUAUAUAUAUAUAUAUAUAGAGUUAGACUGGGCUACUAUUAGUAGCAAAAUUCCAUUGUUGCUAUCAAUUUUUUAGCCUUUGGAUCAACUCUUUUUGUCAUUCCUAACCAUUGGAUUAAAUACUAUAACCCAGUGGGGACCACUCAACCCUAGGGGGACCACUUAACUCUAACUAACUAAUAUCAUCCUAACCCUAUAAUUUUUCAUCCAAGGGUUAAAAACUUGNNNNNNNNNNNNNNNNNNNNNNNNNNNNNNNNNNNNNNNNNNNNNNNNNNNNNNNNNNNNNNNNNNNNNNNNNNNNNNNNNNNNNNNNNNNNNNNNNNNNNNNNNNNNNNNNNNNNNNNNNNNNNNNNNNNNNNNNNNNNNNNNNNNNNNNNNNNNNNNNNNNNNNNNNNNNNNNNNNNNNNNNNNNNNNNNNNNNNNNNNNNNNNNNNNNNNNNNNNNNNNNNNNNNNNNNNNNNNNNNNNNNNNNNNNNNNNNNNNNNNNNNNNNNNNNNNNNNNNNNNNNNNNNNNNNNNNNNNNNNNNNNNNNNNNNNNNNNNNNNNNNNNNNNNNNNNNNNNNNNNNNNNNNNNNNNNNNNNNNNNNNNNNNNNNNNNNNNNNNNNNNNNNNNNNNNNNNNNNNNNNNNNNNNNNNNNNNNNNNNNNNNNNNNNNNNNNNNNNNNNNNNNNNNNNNNNNNNNNNNNNNNNNNNNNNNNNNNNNNNNNNNNNNNNNNNNNNNNNNNNNNNNNNNNNNNNNNNNNNNNNNNNNNNNNNNNNNNNNNNNNNNNNNNNNNNNNNNNNNNNNNNNNNNNNNNNNNNNNNNNNNNNNNNNNNNNNNNNNNNNNNNNNNNNNNNNNNNNNNNNNNNNNNNNNNNNNNNNNNNNNNNNNNNNNNNNNNNNNNNNNNNNNNNNNNNNNNNNNNNNNNNNNNNNNNNNNNNNNNNNNNNNNNNNNNNNNNNNNNNNNNNNNNNNNNNNNNNNNNNNNNNNNNNNNNNNNNNNNNNNNNNNNNNNNNNNNNNNNNNNNNNNNNNNNNNNNNNNNNNNNNNNNNNNNNNNNNNNNNNNNNNNNNNNNNNNNNNNNNNNNNNNNNNNNNNNNNNNNNNNNNNNNNNNNNNNNNNNNNNNNNNNNNNNNNNNNNNNNNNNNNNNNNNNNNNNNNNNNNNNNNNNNNNNNNNNNNNNNNNNNNNNNNNNNNNNNNNNNNNNNNNNNNNNNNNNNNNNNNNNNNNNNNNNNNNNNNNNNNNNNNNNNNNNNNNNNNNNNNNNNNNNNNNNNNNNNNNNNNNNNNNNNNNNNNNNNNNNNNNNNNNNNNNNNNNNNNNNNNNNNNNNNNNNNNNNNNNNNNNNNNNNNNNNNNNNNNNNNNNNNNNNNNNNNNNNNNNNNNNNNNNNNNNNNNNNNNNNNNNNNNNNNNNNNNNNNNNNNNNNNNNNNNNNNNNNNNNNNNNNNNNNNNNNNNNNNNNNNNNNNNNNNNNNNNNNNNNNNNNNNNNNNNNNNNNNNNNNNNNNNNNNNNNNNNNNNNNNNNNNNNNNNNNNNNNNNNNNNNNNNNNNNNNNNNNNNNNNNNNNNNNNNNNNNNNNNNNNNNNNNNNNNNNNNNNNNNNNNNNNNNNNNNNNNNNNNNNNNNNNNNNNNNNNNNNNNNNNNNNNNNNNNNNNNNNNNNNNNNNNNNNNNNNNNNNNNNNNNNNNNNNNNNNNNNNNNNNNNNNNNNNNNNNNNNNNNNNNNNNNNNNNNNNNNNNNNNNNNNNNNNNNNNNNNNNNNNNNNNNNNNNNNNNNNNNNNNNNNNNNNNNNNNNNNNNNNNNNNNNNNNNNNNNNNNNNNNNNNNNNNNNNNNNNNNNNNNNNNNNNNNNNNNNNNNNNNNNNNNNNNNNNNNNNNNNNNNNNNNNNNNNNNNNNNNNNNNNNNNNNNNNNNNNNNNNNNNNNNNNNNNNNNNNNNNNNNNNNNNNNNNNNNNNNNNNNNNNNNNNNNNNNNNNNNNNNNNNNNNNNNNNNNNNNNNNNNNNNNNNNNNNNNNNNNNNNNNNNNNNNNNNNNNNNNNNNNNNNNNNNNNNNNNNNNNNNNNNNNNNNNNNNNNNNNNNNNNNNNNNNNNNNNNNNNNNNNNNNNNNNNNNNNNNNNNNNNNNNNNNNNNNNNNNNNNNNNNNNNNNNNNNNNNNNNNNNNNNNNNNNNNNNNNNNNNNNNNNNNNNNNNNNNNNNNNNNNNNNNNNNNNNNNNNNNNNNNNNNNNNNNNNNNNNNNNNNNNNNNNNNNNNNNNNNNNNNNNNNNNNNNNNNNNNNNNNNNNNNNNNNNNNNNNNNNNNNNNNNNNNNNNNNNNNNNNNNNNNNNNNNNNNNNNNNNNNNNNNNNNNNNNNNNNNNNNNNNNNNNNNNNNNNNNNNNNNNNNNNNNNNNNNNNNNNNNNNNNNNNNNNNNNNNNNNNNNNNNNNNNNNNNNNNNNNNNNNNNNNNNNNNNNNNNNNNNNNNNNNNNNNNNNNNNNNNNNNNNNNNNNNNNNNNNNNNNNNNNNNNNNNNNNNNNNNNNNNNNNNNNNNNNNNNNNNNNNNNNNNNNNNNNNNNNNNNNNNNNNNNNNNNNNNNNNNNNNNNNNNNNNNNNNNNNNNNNNNNNNNNNNNNNNNNNNNNNNNNNNNNNNNNNNNNNNNNNNNNNNNNNNNNNNNNNNNNNNNNNNNNNNNNNNNNNNNNNNNNNNNNNNNNNNNNNNNNNNNNNNNNNNNNNNNNNNNNNNNNNNNNNNNNNNNNNNNNNNNNNNNNNNNNNNNNNNNNNNNNNNNNNNNNNNNNNNNNNNNNNNNNNNNNNNNNNNNNNNNNNNNNNNNNNNNNNNNNNNNNNNNNNNNNNNNNNNNNNNNNNNNNNNNNNNNNNNNNNNNNNNNNNNNNNNNNNNNNNNNNNNNNNNNNNNNNNNNNNNNNNNNNNNNNNNNNNNNNNNNNNNNNNNNNNNNNNNNNNNNNNNNNNNNNNNNNNNNNNNNNNNNNNNNNNNNNNNNNNNNNNNNNNNNNNNNNNNNNNNNNNNNNNNNNNNNNNNNNNNNNNNNNNNNNNNNNNNNNNNNNNNNNNNNNNNNNNNNNNNNNNNNNNNNNNNNNNNNNNNNNNNNNNNNNNNNNNNNNNNNNNNNNNNNNNNNNNNNNNNNNNNNNNNNNNNNNNNNNNNNNNNNNNNNNNNNNNNNNNNNNNNNNNNNNNNNNNNNNNNNNNNNNNNNNNNNNNNNNNNNNNNNNNNNNNNNNNNNNNNNNNNNNNNNNNNNNNNNNNNNNNNNNNNNNNNNNNNNNNNNNNNNNNNNNNNNNNNNNNNNNNNNNNNNNNNNNNNNNNNNNNNNNNNNNNNNNNNNNNNNNNNNNNNNNNNNNNNNNNNNNNNNNNNNNNNNNNNNNNNNNNNNNNNNNNNNNNNNNNNNNNNNNNNNNNNNNNNNNNNNNNNNNNNNNNNNNNNNNNNNNNNNNNNNNNNNNNNNNNNNNNNNNNNNNNNNNNNNNNNNNNNNNNNNNNNNNNNNNNNNNNNNNNNNNNNNNNNNNNNNNNNNNNNNNNNNNNNNNNNNNNNNNNNNNNNNNNNNNNNNNNNNNNNNNNNNNNNNNNNNNNNNNNNNNNNNNNNNNNNNNNNNNNNNNNNNNNNNNNNNNNNNNNNNNNNNNNNNNNNNNNNNNNNNNNNNNNNNNNNNNNNNNNNNNNNNNNNNNNNNNNNNNNNNNNNNNNNNNNNNNNNNNNNNNNNNNNNNNNNNNNNNNNNNNNNNNNNNNNNNNNNNNNNNNNNNNNNNNNNNNNNNNNNNNNNNNNNNNNNNNNNNNNNNNNNNNNNNNNNNNNNNNNNNNNNNNNNNNNNNNNNNNNNNNNNNNNNNNNNNNNNNNNNNNNNNNNNNNNNNNNNNNNNNNNNNNNNNNNNNNNNNNNNNNNNNNNNNNNNNNNNNNNNNNNNNNNNNNNNNNNNNNNNNNNNNNNNNNNNNNNNNNNNNNNNNNNNNNNNNNNNNNNNNNNNNNNNNNNNNNNNNNNNNNNNNNNNNNNNNNNNNNNNNNNNNNNNNNNNNNNNNNNNNNNNNNNNNNNNNNNNNNNNNNNNNNNNNNNNNNNNNNNNNNNNNNNNNNNNNNNNNNNNNNNNNNNNNNNNNNNNNNNNNNNNNNNNNNNNNNNNNNNNNNNNNNNNNNNNNNNNNNNNNNNNNNNNNNNNNNNNNNNNNNNNNNNNNNNNNNNNNNNNNNNNNNNNNNNNNNNNNNNNNNNNNNNNNNNNNNNNNNNNNNNNNNNNNNNNNNNNNNNNNNNNNNNNNNNNNNNNNNNNNNNNNNNNNNNNNNNNNNNNNNNNNNNNNNNNNNNNNNNNNNNNNNNNNNNNNNNNNNNNNNNNNNNNNNNNNNNNNNNNNNNNNNNNNNNNNNNNNNNNNNNNNNNNNNNNNNNNNNNNNNNNNNNNNNNNNNNNNNNNNNNNNNNNNNNNNNNNNNNNNNNNNNNNNNNNNNNNNNNNNNNNNNNNNNNNNNNNNNNNNNNNNNNNNNNNNNNNNNNNNNNNNNNNNNNNNNNNNNNNNNNNNNNNNNNNNNNNNNNNNNNNNNNNNNNNNNNNNNNNNNNNNNNNNNNNNNNNNNNNNNNNNNNNNNNNNNNNNNNNNNNNNNNNNNNNNNNNNNNNNNNNNNNNNNNNNNNNNNNNNNNNNNNNNNNNNNNNNNNNNNNNNNNNNNNNNNNNNNNNNNNNNNNNNNNNNNNNNNNNNNNNNNNNNNNNNNNNNNNNNNNNNNNNNNNNNNNNNNNNNNNNNNNNNNNNNNNNNNNNNNNNNNNNNNNNNNNNNNNNNNNNNNNNNNNNNNNNNNNNNNNNNNNNNNNNNNNNNNNNNNNNNNNNNNNNNNNNNNNNNNNNNNNNNNNNNNNNNNNNNNNNNNNNNNNNNNNNNNNNNNNNNNNNNNNNNNNNNNNNNNNNNNNNNNNNNNNNNNNNNNNNNNNNNNNNNNNNNNNNNNNNNNNNNNNNNNNNNNNNNNNNNNNNNNNNNNNNNNNNNNNNNNNNNNNNNNNNNNNNNNNNNNNNNNNNNNNNNNNNNNNNNNNNNNNNNNNNNNNNNNNNNNNNNNNNNNNNNNNNNNNNNNNNNNNNNNNNNNNNNNNNNNNNNNNNNNNNNNNNNNNNNNNNNNNNNNNNNNNNNNNNNNNNNNNNNNNNNNNNNNNNNNNNNNNNNNNNNNNNNNNNNNNNNNNNNNNNNNNNNNNNNNNNNNNNNNNNNNNNNNNNNNNNNNNNNNNNNNNNNNNNNNNNNNNNNNNNNNNNNNNNNNNNNNNNNNNNNNNNNNNNNNNNNNNNNNNNNNNNNNNNNNNNNNNNNNNNNNNNNNNNNNNNNNNNNNNNNNNNNNNNNNNNNNNNNNNNNNNNNNNNNNNNNNNNNNNNNNNNNNNNNNNNNNNNNNNNNNNNNNNNNNNNNNNNNNNNNNNNNNNNNNNNNNNNNNNNNNNNNNNNNNNNNNNNNNNNNNNNNNNNNNNNNNNNNNNNNNNNNNNNNNNNNNNNNNNNNNNNNNNNNNNNNNNNNNNNNNNNNNNNNNNNNNNNNNNNNNNNNNNNNNNNNNNNNNNNNNNNNNNNNNNNNNNNNNNNNNNNNNNNNNNNNNNNNNNNNNNNNNNNNNNNNNNNNNNNNNNNNNNNNNNNNNNNNNNNNNNNNNNNNNNNNNNNNNNNNNNNNNNNNNNNNNNNNNNNNNNNNNNNNNNNNNNNNNNNNNNNNNNNNNNNNNNNNNNNNNNNNNNNNNNNNNNNNNNNNNNNNNNNNNNNNNNNNNNNNNNNNNNNNNNNNNNNNNNNNNNNNNNNNNNNNNNNNNNNNNNNNNNNNNNNNNNNNNNNNNNNNNNNNNNNNNNNNNNNNNNNNNNNNNNNNNNNNNNNNNNNNNNNNNNNNNNNNNNNNNNNNNNNNNNNNNNNNNNNNNNNNNNNNNNNNNNNNNNNNNNNNNNNNNNNNNNNNNNNNNNNNNNNNNNNNNNNNNNNNNNNNNNNNNNNNNNNNNNNNNNNNNNNNNNNNNNNNNNNNNNNNNNNNNNNNNNNNNNNNNNNNNNNNNNNNNNNNNNNNNNNNNNNNNNNNNNNNNNNNNNNNNNNNNNNNNNNNNNNNNNNNNNNNNNNNNNNNNNNNNNNNNNNNNNNNNNNNNNNNNNNNNNNNNNNNNNNNNNNNNNNNNNNNNNNNNNNNNNNNNUAUAUAUAUAUAUAUAUAUAUAUAUAUAUAUAUAUAUAUAUAUAUUUUUUUUUAUAUAUAUAUAUAUAUAUAUAUAUAUAUAUAUAUAUAUAUAUAUAUAUUUUAAAAUAGAAAAAAUAAAGAAAAAAUGAAAAAGAAACUUUAUUUGUCAUCUGUCACGCGCAUCUCACAUGCCACUUGGAAGGUUAUGAUGCAAGUUGCAACGAAAACAACACGUAAUAAGAAGUGGGGCCUACUCUCAUUGAAUAAACAAUAAGCAUUUAUUCAGGGUGGAAAGGAGAAUAUGUCAGAGUGAGGGGAUUGGGAUUGCUUGUGGUUAGGGAUGUAAACGGAAUGGAUCCGGGGGUAGGAGAGUUUCUCCGUCUUUCGUUUUAUAUUUUAUUGAAUCGGAACAGAUUUGAAAUGGUCGAGACAAAUUCGAAACGGAUUAUUUUUUAUUUUAUUUUGGAAAAACUUCAAAUCCCCCUAUGUGGUUUCGUCGUUUCUCAUUUUAUCCCAUGUUGUUUAAAAUGUAUCAAUUUGUCCUCAUGUGAAUUUUUUUUUAUCAAUUUUAUUAUUUUUUUCUUAAAUCAGUGAUAAAGUUAAAAUUAAAGGGUACUAAAGUAAAUAUUUGAUAAAUCUAGAUGGGUAUCUGAAGUUUUUUUGUAUAUAAUUUAAUGAAAUAUUAACGAAAAAGCUACCGCAAAAAUAAAAACGAAAUCAUAGGAGGGCAAUUUGAUAUAUUUUAAAUCACAGGAGGGCAAAAUAAGAAACUACGAAAUCACAUAGGAGCUUUUGAAAUUUUUUCUUUUAUUUUUUACUCUAUUUACCGUCCUAUUUGUGGCGGAUCAAGACGAGAGCGAAUUUUUGAUAGAUGGAAAUAAAUUGAAGGAAGAAAAGAAUCUCCCGCCUCCAACUUCAUUUACUUAAAAAAUCAGGACAGAUUCAAAACAGAUUAUCUUUUUUAUAUUUUUUUAUUCUCACUUAUUGUCUUAUACUGAUCGGAUUGGAAAAUCCACAAACCAGGACCCAUUUGUGGUUGUGGAAUGGUUACAGAUUCUGGUGAUUAAAGAGUGGGGCCCGCGUGGAAUCGUAAAGAUACUUGCCUUGUCCACAUGGGAACUUAGGGCCCACAAAAAAAAAAAUUUAUUUAAUUUUUUUCAUUUUAAAAAUAAAAAAUGAUUCAUAAUUUUGCGUUUCAAUUGGGAAAGGGACAAAGGGACCGAUCCUAGUCGUGUGUUGUGACGGACCCCAAGACAACAUCCCCGUUAUCUCUUCAAUGUCACCGUUUUGAUUUAUAUGCAAUAUAUAAUCAUUGUUGUUGUAGAAAUGCAAUAAAAUAAUUUUUUUUUUUUUUUUUGAGAAAGAGGUAGCAUGCUACCCGCUUCAUUCAUUGAUCAUUUGAACUAAGCUACAAAUGUGAGGCAACCCGGCCCCAGAGAGGGAAAAAAAAAAAAAAAAAAAAAAUUAAAUUAUGACCGGAGGAGAAGCUCCCACUCCUUCACAAGCAGUUUGAAUCUAUGGACCGCUAUCCCCGGGUUAGGGGGAAUAUUCUGAAAUAUUACAUCGUUUCAGACCUUCCAGAUCACCCACCAGCAUCCCGCUAGUUCAGCAAGUCUGGUACGCUUAUUAAGAGGGUCUUUCUUGCCAGUCCACCUAUCCCAAACAAGAUUCACCUCAUCCCCCAGGUCUUGGGCCUGGAUCUCGUCGUCCCCUAACACCAAGAUGAAUUUGCAGAAUACACAGUGGGUAAACAGGUGGUCCACUGAUUCCUCGUCCGACCCGCAAAGCACGCAGGUGGGGUCAUCGAUCCACCCUCUCUUCGCAAGUCUAUCGAUAUAUUGUUAAAUGAUAACAUUGUUCUAAGAUAAGCCCAUUGGAGAUCACAUUGUUAGAUCUUAAUUAUGGGAAUAAAAGUGUUACUAUAAUAAAAAUCAAAGAUUUAACUACCGUAGUACGAAAUCGUUUAUCCUGAAUCAUACCAAUAUGUACUGGUCAUAAAAAAAUAUAUAUCUGGAGACAUGUAACAAUAUGAAAUAUUUAUUUUUUUAAUAAUAAAAUAUUUUAACUGUUUGUUACGUAUCUUUUUCAAUUUUUUAAAAUUUUAUUAAAAAAAUUACUUACUAAUUCAAAGAAUAAAAAAUUUUUAGCUAUACUAUUGAUACAAAAAUUGUAUCAUGUUACUAUUUUAUUAGCACGAUAUGGUACGGUAAAUAUGAUCCAUACUGACGGACACUUAAAUUCUUGAUGAGAAUACUUUGGUGAGAAUUAAAAAAGUCAAAUAAACUUCUCCUUUAUAGUAAUUUAAUUAACAAAAAAAAAUUAUUUAAAGUCUUAAGUUUGAAAUCUAUCUGCUACAUAUUUUAACUGUUUGUUAUAUAUUUUUAUUAAAUCUCUUGAAUUUUAUUGAGAAUAUUACUUAUUAAUUCAAAAAAUAAAAAGUUUUGAGCUAUUCCAUUGGCACGGAAAUUGUAUUUGCCGAUAUCUUGUUGGCACGAUACGGUACGGUAGAUAUAAUCCGUACCAAUAGGCCUUAAAUUCCUAAUAAGAAUACUUUGGUGAGAAUUAAAGAACCAAAUCGACUUAGGCACUUAAAUUCCUAAUAAGAAUACUUUGGUGAGAAUUAAAGAACCAAAUCGACUUCUCCUUUAUAGUAAUCUAAUUAACAAAAAAAAAAAAGUUAAAGUCUUAAGUUUGAAAUCUAUAUGCUACAUAUUUCUUGCUAAGUACAUUUUCAAAGAAAAAUGAACGAAGAAAUAAUUUCUAUUUUUCUCUUUUUAAAAAAAAAAGAUUAUUAAUUGUGCCAUUUGUUUAGUAGUCAAAUUUCCACACAACGUACGUUAGAAAUAUUCAAUGUUCCUUAAAAAGUAAGAAAAACUUUAAAUCAAAUGAAUGCAAGGUGGUUGUAGGAAUUGCUAAACUGAUUUUAUUUGAGCCCAACUUUAGUUUAAAAAAUUUACUAUUUGACAAUUCUAAUUUAAAUUUACUAUUUGACAAUUCUAAUUGUUAUUUUAUCAUCAUAAUCUACUGUUAAAUAGGAUAAUAAUAUAUGUCAUUUACAAAUCAUAAAGUGAUAGCAUAUAACAUUUUACUAUCCUUGAAUUUACAUUUUACUUUCUCAUAAUUUGAAAACUAUUUUGGCUAUCAUGCUUGAAAAUAGAUUUUUGCCGUGAAAUAAAAAUAAAAUCAUAGAAUGUCAACUUACAUUUUUUUCUUUCAAAAGUAUAUGGUGGUAAAAUAAAAUUGCACGAUGGUCAAAUUAUAAUGUAUCCAGCCAAAUGCACACACUUUUAUAUAUUUAUAAUUAGUCCUUUUUUAUGUUAAAGCCUACAAGCAUUUUAUAAGAAAAAGUACAGCUUGAUUACAUCAUUGUAAUUAAAGUUUUGUGGAAGAAAGAUAAAUAUAUUUUCAUAUCAAGAAAGAAGAAAAAUAUAUAAGUAACUUCAAAAUUAGAGAAGGACAAAAUAUAUAAAUCGAUCUCCAAACUUAAGCAGCUAAUAAAGCUCAUAAACGUUAAGCACAGACUAUCAAAAAAAAAUAUGAAGAAUAAGAUAAAAAUAAUCAUUCAGAUUGCAUUUUCAGUACAGUUUUCGCCUAUCCACUCAUAACGGAACAUCUCUCACUUCAAGUCCAUCAAAUUCCGGCAUAAAAGAUAAGCACCAAGUCGGGGCACUUUGACAGAUUACAUAAGGGAAUAAAUUCGAAGAGCGAAAGAGCGAAGGAAAAGAUGAUGAGCUAGAUAGAUGAUUGUGUAAAAGAUCAUCGAGAAAAAUAUAGAAGCCAUUAAUCAUCUUCAAAAAGCAUAAAUUACCCUAAAGUUCUAAAGUUUAUGUAAUAUUGAGGGUUCCCUAGCCCAUCAAACAAGAGAGAGAGAGAGACAGGUGCCCUCUUUUUUUAGCUAGGGUGUCAUCUUCUUAAUUAAUUUACACAGAGACAAAAUAAAUAAAUAAAUAAAUAAAUAAAAUCUUUGUUCCUGUACAACAUACACCUGUGCACCAGUUCCCCUAACCUUGGUGCAUCUGAAUUGGUGGUUGGUGAGCACCAAUUCUUCAGGAGCCUCCAUGUGGCCCUUUGAUCUCAAUCAGAGGGCUCCACAAUUAAAAGCUCCCCACUCUAAAUUGUCAAAUAUAGGAUAAGAGUAUUGCAAGACUAAGUAAGAUAACAAGUUAGGUAUAGGUUGGUGAGGAAGGAAUUAAGUCCUUACACUCCAUGGAAACAAAAAAAAGAAAAAAAAAAAGAUGAAGCUAAAUUGUACUUUUUGAUUCUCAAAAUUAUGAAUUACGUGAUAUUUUAAUUUUCAAAUUUUUAUUUAUUAUACUUUUUAAAAUUUUACAAAGUUAUUAUAAUUAAAGUGUCAGAAUCUAUAUUAAUUUACUAGAUACCAAUAUGUUGCUGGUUUACUAUUGAUACAAUAUUUUAAACAUCGUUUUUACUAUUUAUAUCAUUUUCACAUCAGUAAUGCAAUAGUAGUUAAUCAACUAAAUUAAAUUAUAAAAUUUAAAAAAUAAAUUAAAAUUUGAGAAUCAAAAUAUACAGUAUUUGUUUAAUGGUUUAUCAUUGGCUGGCGGAGACUUGACUCCUGCAGUAGUUCCAUCACAAAUUCUUAUAAAUAUAUUUUCUUUCUUUUUAUAUAUAUAUAUAUAUAUAUAUAUAUAUGGAGAUAUUAAUUAUCAUUCAUAAUAAAUUUUUAAUUAAGUUGCCUCCUCUCCCCAGUGGCAUAUAAAUUUGCAAUCAACAGCACACAAAUUUGCGAGCGCAGUAGGACCAAAGCAUUUUCCCUUCUGCAGUAGUGUACACUGCUGCAGCAGAGGAGAGCGCAGCAAUACUGGUAAAGCAUUGGAAGUGGAGUGAAAGCCAAUAAAAGAACCAUCUUUCUCUUUCUCUUUCUCUUUCUCUUUCCCUCUCUCUCUCUCUCUCUCUCUCUCUCUCUCUCUCUCUCUCUCUCACACACACACAUCAGGUAAUAAUUUAAAAAAAAAAAGAAAAAAAACCACAGCGACUUCCCUGUCGCAGCUUCUGCUUCCGUGGAAGCAAUUCUCCGGCCCACAACCCGGAAAAACCUUUGCGUGCCGAAUUUCCCUAGAAACUAUAGAGCAUAUUACGACUCCUCCGCGCCUUCUCCUCUCACUCUCCUCCUUUACUCGUUUGUUAGUACAUGAGGAGGAGGAGGAGGGGGGAGGGGAAUUGGAGGAGUAGUAGUGGGAGGAGGAGCGGUGGAGAGGAGGAGGAGGAGCGGCGGCGGGAGGCUAAACCUGGGAAAGGCGGGGGAGCUGUUGGGGUUGCUGGAUUGCAUAAAUGAGGCUGCAGCGGCGAUCGCGGCGGCGGCGGCGUGCUCUUCUUCUGCGUUCUGGGCGGCGGGGAUGAGCGACUCGGCGUACCGCGUGGACACGACGCCGCGGCUCGCGCAAUGGCGCAUCGACACCCUCUCCUCCUGCACCUACCGCAAAUCCGACCCCUUCAAGAUCGGACUCUGGAACUGGUCUCUUUCCAUCUCUCUCUCUCUCUCUCUCCCCAAAAGAUUGGAUUUUUUUUAAAAAAAAUUAUUAUUUUGGCCUUUGAUGGGUUUGGUGUUUUUGCACCCAAAGGGGAAAACAUUUGGUUUUGGAAGUACCCAGAUGAGUUUUGGGUUGCUCAAAGAGAGAAAGGUGGGAUGUUAGUUUUUUGGACCAAAAGAGGGGCGGGGGGAAUCUGAGUUUGGAGCGUCCCAGAUGAAUUUGGCGUGGAGAGACUCGAAAGAUUCUUUUAUUUCACUUGGUUUUUCGGGAUUUUUCACCUGUUUCUUUGGGGUUUUACUUCUCUUUAGAUUCCAUUUUUUAAAUUUUUUUUUUUUCGUUUCUGUGGAGGAAAAUUUCUGUGUCUCACUAUGUUUUGAGUCUCUGUUGAACUACUUAGAUCUCUCUGAUUCUUGUGACUUGGGGUUUUUUUGGGGUUUUACUUCUCUUGUCGAAGUAAUCGCUCAAUUUGGUGACUUAUUCUGAUUUAAUUUUCUUCUCAUCAAAAUAGAAAAGCUUUGAUUUGGUAAAUACCCAUAUAAAUUUUCCUCAUCCAACAAAAGGUUAAGAAAUUUUUAUGAUAUUCUCUAUGUUUCUUACUCUAAUUCUUUUGCUAUUGUAAUUGAAAUUUGUUGUAGAGAUUAAAUAUAGAACUACUGCUUAUCAAUUUUGUGUUGUUUUUUGGUGAUAACUUGUGAAGGUACCUCACUGUGGAGAGAAAUAAGCAGCUGUAUGUGAAGCUCUACCCAGAAGUCUCAACUGCAACAAGGGAGCAACCCCCUAUAGCUUCCUUCGUCAUCAAGCUCGUCUCCUCCGCCUCUCCGAAUCGCAAAACCCUAGUCCAUCCAGGUCGAAUUACUCUUCUUCUCUUUGUUCCACUCAAGGUUAUUAAAGGGCCGGAUUUGGUAUCGACAGAUAUAUUCAUUCGUUAAAUUCGCUCGCUAUUCAUCGACCAACUUUGGCCGGAUUCAAUGAUCUUAUUUGUUUCUAGCGAAAAGAAUGGCUAUGUGAAUAUCAUUUUCCAUAGAUAGAAGCAUCUAACCGGUCACCUAAUUCCGACCCUUAAAAUGUUGCAGGAGUUUGCGACAAGCAGCUAAAGAACAACGACGAUUUUGUAUGGGCCGUUGAUACCCUUCUCACUGGCAGAUUCGUAAUUGACGUCGAGUUUCUCGACUUAAAGAUUGCGCCGCCAACUGUAAGCGAUACUUACUCGAUCUCUUUUUUCACAUCAUCCGUGGUAACUAAGAUCAAAGAAUUUUUGUCCUGUACAUGUGGGGCUGGAUUCGUGGAUCAGGGGAUGACAUAAACCUAAAGUCUUGCAUCUUCAAGUCUUUAUCUGCAUAUAUCACAAAAAUAUCUCUAGUUGCUUCUCAGUACUAACAUCUAGAACAUACUUUUCGAGUGUUGUUGAAUAUGUCAUGAGAUCCUUACUGCUCCAUGCUCUGUAACUAUCGUCGCAUCAUCAGGAAAAAGAUGGUAUGGCCAUUGCAUAUUCAUAAAAAUUAAAGUCGUAGGGUACUGUUGAUUAUGAUGUAUUCACUCUGUCUCAAUAAGCAAUAAAACUAAAAUUGUCUGGUGCUGGGCAAAAAAGUGCUAAUUUGAUAGGUGUUCUCGACCUAAAAGAUGGUCGCAACUUCCUACUUACUACUAAUUACUUGCCAUGAUCCUAAUCAUUUGAUUCUAGCUUUAUUUUUUUUUGGAAAAAAAUAUAGCAAGUCUUUCUUACUAAUACUACUCUCCUAGAAAUAUCGUUGAGUGAGAAGCCCUCAAUUGUUGUAGCCUUUGCACCUCAUACUUUACACUUAACCACAGGGCGGAGAACCGAUCUCCAUCUGGACUGGUUACCACAUCGAGAAGCACUCCAAAUCGACCGCCCUAUCUGCCCUAGGCCGGAUGCUCACAGAAGCCAUCCACACCGACAUCACGAUCAAUGCCGCUGACGGAAGCAUCGCGGCCCACCGUGCCGUCCUCGCCUCGAGAUCCCCAGUCUUCCGGAGCAUGUUCUCGCACAACCUCAAAGAAAAGGAGCUGUCCACUGUCAACAUCUCCGACAUGUCCUUCGACGCCUGCCAGGCAUUCCUAAACUACAUAUACGGAAACUUUAAGCCCGACGAAUUCCUCACUCACCGCCUCGCCCUUCUCCGCGCCGCCGAUAAGUACGACAUCUCGGACCUCAAAGAGGCGUGCCACGAGAGCCUUCUCGAAGAUAUCGACACGAAGAAUGUGCUCGAGAGGCUUCAAACUGCGUAUCUUUACCAUCUACCAAAGCUGAAGAGCAGCUGCAUGAGGUUCCUGGUGCACUUCGGAAAGAUAUACGAAAUCCGCGAUGAUUUCAAUGCAUUUCUUCUUAAUGGUGAUAGAGAGCUCAUUGCAGAGAUCUUUCACGAGGUUCUCGCCGCGUGGAAGGGUCUCUAGGAAAGCGCCGAGAAGAAGAUAAAAUUUGUCGUUUGAUACUUUACUUUUGAGUUAUAGUUUGUGUGGAUUGUGGAUGCAUAAAUGGGUUAAAUGGGUUAAUCGGAAAAGAUAAUGUACAGGAUAUAUAUUGGUUCCAUUAAAAGUGUGUAUUCUUCAGACUAAGAAGCAUAUGUAUAAAUUUGAUUGGAAGGAACAAUUCAUUGAAUAUAUAGUAGAAAAGAUCAUUGUUUCUUGUGCUUCGUUGUGGAAAAUUAUUAUUAUUAUUAUUUUUUUCUUUUUAGAACUUGUUUAUGGAUCUGUUAAUUUAAACCAUCAUAUUAGAUUAGAAUUCAAUCUGAAAGAAGUACUUGCAGAUAAUGCUCCUAUAAUGACCCAUCAAAGAGUGACUCAAUAUCAAUCUAAUAAGGAUCUACGAUCUAAUCAGAAUUUUAAUCUACAAAUCUAGUCAAAUCAGAUUAAAAUGGUGGGAAAAGCAGGACAAUUGCUGGGGCUUUUGGAUUGCAUAGAUGAGAUCAGAGCUGCGAUCGCCGGCAGCAGCAGCAGCCUCUUCAGCAGCGGCAGCAGGGAUAAGUGCAUCAUUCGAAUAAUGGCGAAUGGAGCCCUCCUCUGACACCUCGCUCAUAUCCAAACCCUUCGGGAUCGGAAUCCGGCACUGGUUGGCCUCUCUCUAUGAAGAUAUGAUUUUGGCCUUUUCGGGUUUAGUUUUCUGCUUUAGGCGAACAAAGACGUGAUUUUGGAAGCGCACCCACAUGAAUUUUUGGCUGCUUAAUGCAUCUCUAAUUGCUCAUUGCUAGUAACAUCUAGAUCAUAUUUUUUGUGUAAACUGCGCAUCUUUCUUGUCUGCUGGGGCUGAAGAUUUACAGUUGCAUGAAGAUAUACGAAAUCCGCAACGAUUUCAAUGUGUUGUUUCUCCUGAAUGGUGACAAAGAGCUCAUUGCAGAGAUCUUUCAGUGAGUUCUCACAGCCUGGAAGGGUUUCAGUGUGCACCGGUUAGAAGAUGCAAUGUAUUAUGUGAUAAUUUAUUUCCUUGAGUAACAAUUUGUCUGGAUAUUCAUUAGAUUAUGAUUAAGAGAAGCAAUUUCGAGUAGAGCUACUAUAUUUUCGAAAGUAUAAAAGAGCCGAUAUUUUUUUUACUUGUUGGCUCUUAGAUCAAUCCCUUUGACUAUUUCUGAUAUUUGGAUUAAUAUUAUUACCUUAGGGGAUCACUCAAUCCUAAAAAAAACAACUCAAUUUUAAGGGGGACUACUACCGUCCCGACUCUACAAUUCUUGAUCCAAAAGCCAAAAACUUAGAAACACUAAUUCUCUUAUACUUUCGAUAGUAUAGCAGCUCUACACAACAAUUUAUUAGACACUUUCCUGAGCCUAACAUGUCCUGGCCCAGCAUAGGCCCAUUCAUAAUAGGCUUCCUAAUACUUUUUGGGCUCACCUAAUUUAGAUCCUUGACUCAAUGAUAUAUAUAUAUAUAACAUAAAAUAAAAAAAACUUUAGAAAAAUUAUCCAUCCAUUGUACAUAUUUUGGCAAAAUCAUUUAUUUCAAUUCAUCCCUAACGAAAUGAUCUUUUUGGAAAAGUGGCUUUUUUUUCUUAUUUUUUUCUGAAACAGAAAGUUCCCACUACUUUCUGUUACAAAAAGUCCCCUCCUCCCAUUUCAGUUUCGGGCUUAUAAAACUAAGAGACCACACACACACACACGCACACACCCCACUGUUACUUAACCUUACUCUUUAGGGAAAAAAGGAAAAAAAAAAGCUCAUUAAAAAUUAGGAGCAAUGGGUUCUAUUAUGAAGAGGAAGAAGAAGAGCUAUUUUCUCCUCCCUUUUCUCUUUCUUAUUUCCAUUUUGCUGCAGAAACCCACCUCUGCUGCUAAAAAGGUGUAGUGUUUUUUCAUCAUUGGCCUCUCAUUUUCUUAUGUAAAGUUACAUAAUUUCUAACCUGCAUGCUCUACUUAAAAAACCAAAACUUUUUUUUUGGGGGGGUGUUUUUUGCAGUCAUAUGUGGUUUACUUCGGAGGCCACACUCAUGGCUCUGAAGAAGCCUUUUUAGACUCCUAUGAGAGAGUCACAGAUGCCCAUUACGAAUUUUUGGGCUCAGUAUUAGGGAGGUAAGAGAUGACACACAAAAAAAGAAAAAAAGAAAAAAAAACUUUUUGGUUCAUCUCCUUCUUUGUUGAACUUCUUUUGAUCCUACUUAAUAACACAGCAAGGAGAAGGCCCAAGAUGCAAUCUUUUACUCGUACACAAAUUACAUCAAUGGCUUUGCUGCUUCCCUCGAAGAAGAAGAAGCAAUGGAGAUCUCAAGUGAGUAAAAGAGCACCAUUUUAUUUACAUCCCUCUGUUUUUUUUUUUUGUUUUACUCUGUUUUGAUUUUUUUUAAAAAAUAUAUAUAUAUAUUUGCAGAGGAUUCCAGUGUUAUAUCAGUGUUUCCAAAUAGAGGGCACAAAUUACACACAACUCGAUCCUGGGAUUUCCUUGGGCUGGAGAGGAAUGGGAGAGUGCCCCUCAACUCCAUUUGGAGCAAGGCCAAUUUUGGAGAAGAUGUUAUUAUUGGAAACCUUGAUACUGGUACUCAUCAACCUCACCACCUCCUUUUUGCGCACACACACACACACACACACACACACACACACACACAAACACUCACAUGGAAGUUGUUUCUGGAGUUUCCUUUUAUAUCUUUUUAAGUAAUAAUGUAUCAGAUCUUUGUUUGGUUAUUUAAUAGUGUAAAUUUUAUCUGUUCUUUUUCUUCUUUGUUACCUUCACAUAAUAUGGUGCAGCUUAACUCCACUGGCCAUUUUGGUCCUUAAAUUUUAGUUUACUGCACUAUAUGGUAGUAAUCUAAGUUUCGCAAUCUAACAUUAGUUGAAUAGAUAAUAAUCAAGCCGCUAAUGUGGCAAAUAAUGUGAUUUUUUAAUUAUUAUCACGGCAUCCAUUACUAUGCUAUUAUAUCAAUUUUGUUAUAGCAAUUUAGGAUGAUUAAGAUAAAAAUAUAUAACAAAUUAAAAUUCAAAGAUCACAAUAUCAUAUGUCUUUCAGUCUGGGAACUAAAAAUUAUCAUACAUCGUAUUUUAAAAUUACUCGUAAACCAUUUUUUUUAUUUGGUCAAUAGAUUGUUUCGAGUAAUAAUUUGUGAGAAAUAUGAAUUGUACACCCAAAAGUUGGGUAUAAAAUUAUACCAUUUCCGUUCAAAUGUUUAGAUGCUUUUAUUUUUUACUAUAAGACCGACCGUCUCUAGAGCAAGUGGUAAAGGGGUUGGUGGUUGGUAUCUGAGGUUUCAAGUUCGAAUUCUAGUUGAUUCACAUUUCCAGCUAAGUUUAUUUCUAAAUGAAAUAAACGAAGCGGAUAGCGUGCUAUCUAUCUCUCAAAAAAAAAUAUUUUUUACUAUAAAAUGUAAUACAAAAAAAAUUUGUCUGUAAAUAAAUAUGUACCAACUCAUUGGAUGUACAAUUAGCAUUGUUCACACCAUCCAUCACAAGCAACAAAGUUGGGCGCAUAUUGUUGUGUUUGAGUGAUCAGGUACAGUGGCUAUUUCCCACAUUAUCUAAAAGGCACGUUUUUGAGUUUCCAACAGUACACAUCCCAUAGCCUAGUGGGUUCAUUUCACAUUCCCAAAAGGAUAAGUUAUUUGAUCUAUUUUUCCCAGAAAAAAAAAAAAAAAGUUAUUCCAGAGGAUCAUAUAUUAAUAAAAUAUAUAAUCAAACACCACACCACACAUGCAUUUAAUUCCUAGUAUUACCGACCGUCUCUAGAGCAAAUGGUAAAGAACUUGAUGGUUGCCUGAUUGGUAUCCGAGACCCAAGUUCGAAUUCUAGUUGAUUUAUAUUUUCAGCUAAGUUUAUUUCUAAAUGAAAUAAACGAAGCAGGUGGUAGCAUGCUACCUAUCUCUCAAAAAAAAAAAUCCUAGUAUUUGCAGUAGUGUUUGAUUGUGAUAUUAUGAAAACACUUGGAUCAAACUGUAACUUAAUUAGUUCCCAUUAGCCCUGAAAAUUAAGAAAACAAGUAACUGGAACCAAGUGUUCUCUUUGACCAGAAAUUUUGUUUUCUUUUCAGUGUUAAUCAAGUUGUCCUUUUCACAAAGUUUUAAUAUUUUUGUUUGGUUUUUUAUGAAAUUUAAUUAAUUUUGUAGGUGUGUGGCCCGAGUCAGAGAGCUUCAGGGAGGAAGGCAUGGGGCCGAGCCCCUCGCAGUGGAGAGGAAUCUGUCAGGAUGAGCCUGAAAAAGGAGCUGGUUGCAACAGGUCCCUCCAUUUUGUACCCCCACCCUUUCAUUUUUUUUUUAUUUUUAUUUUUCACUUUGUCCCUUUCAAAUAUUAUUAUUUUUUUUUCAUUUUAGUCCACCUUAUUUUUGUCACGUUACUUGCUAUAAUCACAGUAUUUUGUAUAAAAACCAAAUAGUUAAGCGUAGUGUGACACACUAUAAGCUUAUAAAUUUAUAAUUUUUUUAUUUAAUUUACUGUAAGAAUAUGCGGCCAUUAUUAUUAAUCAUGAUAGUAAAUAAAGUGAUAUGUUUUUUUUACAAACUACAUGAUGGUACAAUAUAAUAAUUUACCUUUCGCUAAUCUAUAUUUUCACGUUCUCUAUUUUUUCUUAAGAAAAUCUCACUUUAGUUUAUUGUUUGGUGGUAGAUACUUAUGUGAAAUAAUAAUAAAAUAAAAUCACUAAACAGUUUAGUGUAAUUUUGCAGAGCUCGUGGUAAAAAAGUAAAAACAGGCAGAAUCAUAAAAAAAAAAAAAGCAAAUUAAAAUUUAUUCUAUGAUAAACGAUGAAGUACGUAGCAAAUUGAAGUUUACUGUAUUUUUAAUUCCUUUCUAUAUUUAUUAUUGUUUUCACCUGCAGGGCCAACUUGUUUUAAGUAAUCCACUAUACUUUUCUUUUUCCCUCGCUACAAUCACCAGUUGCUUUAUGAACAAUUAAAGUAAACAUAAUUAACAUAAUAUAUUACGUAGAAACACUUGUCACUUGUGUGAAAUAUUAUUUGGCAAAAUUAUUUGUUUUUAUUUAGUAAAAAAUAGAAAAUAACGCAUAGGAACACGUUUCCCAUCUCCCUCGUUGGGAAACGAAACGUCGAUUAUUAUUUUAAUGAAUUUAUAUUCACGCGAAACGACAUAAUUUCGAUAUGAUAAAAUUCUAUUUCGAGGCCCCGUUUCACGGGAAACCCGGCAAGUGGGCCCGGACUCAGAACAAUGACCCCGUUGACCGACCGUUACUAGCCCCAAUUUUCAAAAUUACUGUUCAUUGUUUCCCAUUUGAAUUCCAUCCGUUGAUCACGAAUCUAACGGUCCGCAGCACAUUUAUCAGGAAGUUGAUCGGAAUGAGGUACUUCAACAAGGGGUACCUGUCGGCGGUGGGCCCCGCCGUCUCCGCCGCCUCGGCCCGCGACACCGCCAAAGGCGGAGCCCCGAAUGCACGCGCCGCGGCGUACAAGGUCUGCUGGCCCCCGGUCAACGGCAGUGAGUGCUUCGACGCCGACAUCCUCGCGGCGUUCGAUGCCGCCAUCCACGACGGCGUGCACGUGCUCUCCGUGUCCCUUGGCGGGGGCCCCACCGACUACUUCAAGGACGGCGUGGCGAUCGGCUCGUUCCACGCCGUGAAGAACGGAGUGACUGUCGUUUGCUCGGCCGGCAACUCCGGGCCUGACCCGGGCUCGGUGUCGAACACCGCACCGUGGAUCAUAACCGUCGGGGCGAGCACGAUGGACCGCGAGUUCCCUGCCUAUCUUUUGCUAUCCAAUAAAAAGCAAAUCAAGGUUAUCUCUUUUUUUUUUCCUGAUUUAUCUAUACUUAAAUCAAUCAUUAAUUUUUCAAAAAUUUUGGAUUUUAGGGACAAAGCCUUUCUCCCUCGGGGCAUCCAGGAAACAAGUACUAUCCUAUAAUCCGCUCUGCACAAGCCAAAGCUGCAAAUGCGACAGAGGAUGAAGCGUAAGCAUUAAUUUAGAUUUCAAAUCGAAUAUCGAAAAGAUGAAUAAAAAGCAUAUUUGCCCCCUAUAAAUCCUUUUGUGAAUCUGCAGAGAUUUGUGCCUGCAAAAAUCUCUCGACCCCGCGAAGGCGGGGGGGAAGAUAGUCGUUUGCAUCCGCGGAAACAACGCGAGGGUGGAGAAAGGAGAGGUGGUUCGCGAGGCUGGCGGCGUCGGGAUGAUCCUCGCCAAUGACCAGGCAACGGGAAAUGAGCUCAUCGCAGACGCGCACGUUCUUCCCGCCACCCAUAUCUCCUAUUCCGACGGCCUCGCCCUUCUCUCCUACAUCAACUCCGCCAAGUAUGCUCUUCCCAACUCUAUCUUCGAACAAACAAAUGUUCUUCGCAAACUAUUUGCACUAUUUGAUUGUUAUGAUCCGUGAAUGGCUAAAUUUAUCCGCGUAUAACGAAACGAAGCAAACAAUUACGUGCAGGUCGGCAGCGGGGUACAUUACAAGCCCUAAAACCGAUAUCGGUACGAAACCGGCUCCUUUCAUGGCCGCUUUCUCUUCUCAGGGGCCAAACACUAUCACCCCUGAGAUCCUCAAGGUUCAUAUUUGACAAAUUUUGGUAUCUUUCUAUAAUCUUUUUCGACUUUUUAAGUUUUCAAAUUGCAUGAUCGAUACUUCUUCGCGUUGUGCAUAGCCUGAUAUUACAGCACCAGGGGUUAGUAUUCUCGCUGCGUACACCGGUGCAUCGGGGCCGACGGGAUUAGCCUUCGACGACCGCCGUGUGCUCUUCAAUUCGGAAUCAGGUACGUCGAUGUCGUGUCCCCACGUCUCGGGCAUUGCGGGCCUCCUCAAAGCUCUUCACCCGGAGUGGAGCCCUUCUGCAAUCAAGUCUGCUAUCAUGACUACAUGUGAGUUUUCGUAUCGCCUCGCCUUUUACUGCAGCAUCCCGAUCUUGUUUAAGAAUGUUAGUCACAAUCAAUUCGACGCGAUUUACUCAUCCAAGUAUGUUUGUCGCGAACCUUGUAAUGCAGCGAGAAUUCAAGACAACUUGAAAGAGCCGAUGAAGAACUCGUCCUUCUUGAAAGCCACUCCGUUCAGCUACGGCUCAGGCCAUGUCCAGCCGAACCGCGCCAUGGAUCCAGGCCUUGUUUACGACCUAGGCGCGAACGAUUACUUAAACUUCUUGUGCUCCUUGGGCUACAACUCGACCCAAAUCGCCACAUUCAGCGUCGAGCCCUACACAUGCCCUUCUAAACCUGCAAAGCUCGAAGACUUAAACUACCCCUCCAUCUCCAUCCCGAACCUCGCAGGCGAAAUUACUAUAACCAGAACGGUGAGAAAUGUCGGUACACCGGGAACGUACAGUGUUCGCGUCGAGGAGCCGCGCGGGGUUUUGGUGCUUGUGGAGCCAACAAGCCUUAAAUUCGACAAAGUGGAUGAGGAGAAGAGGUUCAAGGUCAUUUUCAAGGCCAAGGAGAGGAAUUUGAGAGGAGAGUAUGUGUUUGGUAGGAUUAUAUGGUCAGAUGGAAAGCACUUUGUGAGAAGCCCAAUUGUGGUGAAAACAGUGAUGCAUAAGCCUUAACUGGAACAUAAGUUUCUUCAUCUUACAUUGUGGAUUAGAUUAUCAAAAUAGGUCGUCGAUGAAUCGAUUUGACGAAAAAGUUCGGUUAGAUUUAGUUGAGAAGUGAAGAUGGAUGGAUGUAUUGAUCAUUUUGCAAAUUUUCAUGUUUGGAAUAAGAGCAUGAGUGAUUGCAAGUGUUCAGAGUAUGUUGUUGACUGAUAAAAACUGAUGCAUUAAUUUACAAAGCACAAAUUCUAGCAAUUUUCCAAUGACUUCUCAGCCAGCAUCAUUGCUGAGCUUGAAUAAUUACAGCACAAAUAACAUAAUCUAGGGAUUAUUAUUAUUCUGUUGUUUUAUGGCAUUAUUGUGGAACAUAAUCCUGUGAUUGAAACAUGUAAUUAAUGUGCUAAAAUGACAAACCAUUUGAUUGGAAUUUUCGAUAAACAUAAACUAUAUCUACACCAUGUACACAUCUCAUCCUGUUUAAUAACCAUGAACCACUGGUAUCUUCUUCCUGAUGAUCUAUUCAAUGGGUCAUAUCCUCAUGGCGAAAAGAGUAUGAAGCACAAAUAAGACUAGACAUAAUCUAACCGUCGAGCCAAGAAUGGACGGCCUGGAUCCGAUAUCGCCCUGAAAUGGAUGGUAUUGAGGGAUCAUUGUGCAGAUAGAGACCAUGGAAAGGCACAAAUGGCUGUAAUAUGUACUCAUGGUUUAGACUUGCUUUCGUCGCUAAAUCAUCUCCAUCUAUUCAUAUUGUGCCGAUUCCAUCCUGUUGAAGUUCAGACAAUGACAAAAUUGGCUCGAUUUCCAGCGGCAACCCUCUUUGGAACUCGACAUAGGGAUAAGCCAUCGGUGUGUCUUCACCUUCAAUUCGCCAUCUACAACGGGACAAAUUUUACAUCUGAUCAAUGUUUUAGAGCAACAGAGAUUUGUUCUUAUGAUACAUCAUUGUUGAUUCACUACGGUUGGUCCACCUAUAUGAAAAACUGGAUCCAGCUAUGAUUUUUCUUUGGUGUCAUAUUUUUUGUCACUUUUAAGCAACAAACACGGGGUUAAUUCCUCGAUUUCGAUUUCAUUUUCAUGGUUUCGGUUACAGCAAUUUAGUCCUGAAAUUUGUUUUGACAGCGCCACAAAAUUCUCCGAUUGGUGAUGAAAUUUAAAUUGGAGGUCAAACAUCGAGAACUAAAAUUGUUAAAACCGAAACUCUGCCGAUGAAAUUCAAAUCUGGAUUGAACUCGAGGGACUAAAUUUCUAGCUGACCCAACAGAUAUCAUGGUCUAUAAAGGGGAAGGAGUGUGACUGAAAACUAUAAUUUCUUUUUUUUUAUAUAUAUAAACUGAAAUUGAAAAUUGUAUGUUAUUUACCUGAAGUUGAGUACAAGGUGGUGGAGGAAAAAAGCAGUCUCUAAUUUCGCAAGUUCAGAUCCUGGGCAGAGCCUUGGUCCACCACCAAAUGGAAUAUGUUUCUUGCAUGUUGCUUGGUUUGGGCCCUAUCCAUCAAUUAGAGAAAGAAACAUUUGUUUCUACUUAAAUGAGAGCUUAAAAGCAUAGCUAAAGAUGCUAACUUUUGCAGAAAGGUGACAUAAUUAGGACUACAGGGGUGGGGGGAAAGGAAAAAGAAGAAAAAAAAGGUAAUGAGCCUGAGUGAGUUGGCAUCUGGAAAACCAAGUGUUACACAUAAUUAUAGCAAAGUUAAAGUUUCACCAAGGAUUGAAAGAAAAGGAUCCUUCAUAUAUGACACAUUAAAUUAUUCAGAGGUUCAUGUAAUGAUCAAGGGGCAACAAAAUUUGCUUAUUUCUGAGUACCACUUUNAAAUAUAUGUUAUAUUAGAUUCUAGAUUAGAUUAGAUUUUGACUAGAUUUUAUAGAUUAGAUUAGGUAAUUCUAGAUUAGAUUAGAUUAAAUUCUAGUAUAGAGAAAAUUAGAAUCAUUAGAUACAUACACACAAUAAAAGAAAUAUAUAUAUAAAAAAAGCCUAGAUACCUACAAAUAAAAAUCUCAUGACUGAGACAAUUUCUUCAUGAAACAACCAAUUACCUCCCAUCUGCUAGGUUGAAACUCUGUGGCAUUUCCAUGAAGAGAUGGGUCCAAAUGUACUGCACUGAAAACAGGCAGCACCUUCCAACCAGAUGGAAUCAGAUAAUCUGCCAAACCCCAGAAAAAAAAGCUAUAUUAGAACUAAUACUAGAGUGUAAUAAUUCAAUGCAUGUAUGGUCAUGUGGAGAGCAUGAAAAAAGAAAAAGGAUUGCAAUUAAGCCUCAAAGUGGAAGUGCACCUUUGUAUCUGACAUCCUUGAGGGCCUUUCUGUGAACAAACUUAACAAUGUUUCCACAUCUCAAAGCCUCACUAAUCACCUGAGAGGGGUAAAAUCAUGCCACAUCAUUCACAACCAAGCUAAUUAAUUUAUCUUAGAAAAUUUUAAGUGAGAAACAAAAACAAAAAUCUUGUCUCCCUCAUCUUACAUAUUGAGUAAAUUCCAUUUUCUUAUAAUCCUCUGAAUUCAAGUGUUCACCCUCUUGCUUGCUGGCUCUGAUACUCUGAUGCUCACUCUGAGAAAAUAAAGAGAUAGAAAAGUAAACAAUUCUCAGCUUUGUCACAUAAUUAGAAAAAAAAAAAAAGUACCUUGAAAAUAUAUAAAAUAAAUGCACCUUGAGCUUUUCUAGAGAUUUUGUGGACUGUGCAAGAAAAUAUAUAGCCAUGGAAAUCAAAAGUGAGGUGGUCUCAUAGCCACCCAAUAGGGAGUCCAACACAAAGCUGAUUUUCUCCUCCUCAGAUAGCUCAGUAUUGGACAGAAGCACAUCAAGAAAAUCACCCCUGGUGUUCAAGUCCCCUCCUUUCCUUCUCCUCUCUUCAACUAUGGCCUUCACAGUGAGUGAGAUCCUAGCUCUAGCCUGUUAAAUCAGGAGAGAGAGAGAGAGAGAGAGAGAGAGAGAGAGAGAGACUAAGAUGCAGUGCACAAGAGACAAUGAGGAAUUUUAGUUUCAAUAAUCACCUGAACUGCCCUUGCAUAGGGGGUUCCUGGGAUGUAGAGAGGGAAAGAGAUGAGGCCCUUCAUGAAGGUGAGAAAAUCUUCAAGGAUCCUGGCAGUUUGGGGCUCAUCUGGUGACAGGCCAAGCACUUGCUUCACUAUCACACUGAAGGUGAACUGUUGAGCCAAAGCAAAAGUACCAUUCAAUGAACAGAUACAUUGCACCUGAUUAAACUCUACUACCUGCCAAAAAUUUACUACACGCAAGGCAAACUGCAGUGAGUUUCCAUGUUUUAGGGGAUCAUGUUUUGCUCUGACCUUUCUAGCCUCCUCACAGAAAAGGACUCUCUUUUUGUCUCUCCAUGAGGCUAUGAUGUGAAGUGCUGUUUUCUCCGUGUCAUGUAGGAACCCAGCUUUUGACUUGGAUGAGGUGACAAGGGUGAGGGCCAAGUUCCUGAGCCUCUUGUGGGUGUCACCCACCACCACUAUCAUGGAGGAUUUACCAAGGAUUCCAUGGAUGGGCCUGGGGUAGCUGCACUGGAAGAGCCUCUCCUCAUUUUGGAGGAUGAAAUGGUUGAGUUCUUGGUCACAUGACACUAUUGUUGGGGUGCAGAAGAGAUGUGACUUGAACACUUUGCCAUACCUGCAUAUUGAAAUGCGGACCAGUUUCAUUAGUAUGUGCAUAUAUUUCUUCAGAGCCAUUUACUUAUCUUUUAAGUCAUAUUUAUUGUUUCUGUAUUUGAGCAUGUAAUUUUCUUGGUUUUAUGUGCUAAUGCUUGGAGGGCGCACACACACACACACAAACACACACACACACACACACAGAGAAAGAGAAGGCAGACUAGAUGGAGUUUCUUAGCCCGCAAAAGAAAACAACAAAAUACUUUAUUCUUUGAAGUAAUUCUUCUGCUUACACAUAUUAGACCUCCAGAUAAUAAGCUUUCUUUGCAAUAUAAAGUAAGAAAUAUAUAGAUGAUAUCAGAAAGGACCAGUGGAAAAGCUGAGAACACCGUACUAUUUAUUAUACUUUGCCAACCUUUACUUCCUUUCCAAUUUACAGUAAGAUCUCACUCAAUGGAAGGUAAGGUAAGAAGAAAAAAGACCAAAAAAAUGCCAAUAUUUAAAAAACUAUUACUUUAGAGAGAGAGAGAGAAAGAGAGAGAGGGAGAGAUGCAGGCAUGCAACUGCAUGAAAUAAUGAGUUACUUGUAGAGACAAAAAUAUGGAGAGAGAGAGAGAGAGAGAGAGAGAGAGAGAAGAUGAUAAAAGAUUACCUGGAACAAUGCUCCUCUAAGAAGCUCCCAAGGGUGUUUGAUGCAUGUGGUCUCAAAAACCUCAAGGUUUCACCAACCAAGGGCCACCCAAAGCUGCCCCUUGGAGCUGAUCUAAGGUUCAAGACCAAAGGGAGAAAAUGGUCCAAAACCAAACCCAGGAAGAGCCCAAUCAAUCCCACCAAAGCAGUGUGGAGAAACCCAGAUCCCACCAUCAUACACCCCCACUACUCCUCCAACUCUCAUCUCAAAAGGCCACCAACUAUAAGGGCCUGCCUCUCUACUUCUCUCUCUCUCUCUCCUCUCCUCUCUCUCUCUCUCUCUCUCUAUUGUGAUUUGUGAAUGGAGGAGAGGGAGGUUUCUAUAUAUCAACACCUUGUGAGUAAAGCAAGUGAGGGCUUUUGGCAGUUUAUUACUGUUGGGUGAUAAAGAAAUUUUAAAAAAAAAAAAUUAAGGAAAAAAAAGAAAGAAAAGAGCUUAGCUUUUAUCAGAGCCUAGGAAAUGGUUCAAAGCUAGGCUAGCAUCUAGCCUUCUUAUCGCUAAGGGCAGUGUCACACACAUGUAGGGAAUUGGUGGUCUAAUAUUUUAGAAUGAGUGCUGCAACUGAUAUAUAUAUAUAUAUAUAUAAAUAUAAUAUUACAGGGUUACAUGUAUAAUUGAAUCCCUAUAAAUACGUGGAAGAUUGCCCUUCAUAAUCUAAAUAACUGCACCACAUGCCAUUUCAUGAGAGUCAUGAAUAUCACAAGAUUUAAAGAAGCUUUAGAUUGCGUAUGCUUGGGGAAUGGAGGGGGAUAAGGGGUUAUCCCUCUUAUUUCUUUUUUUUUUUUUUUUUGAGAAAAUCCCCCACUUAUUUCCGAACACAAAAAAACAAGGUGAAAUAAACUGUUGAGAAAUGGGAUAGCUAUAUUGUGUGGGAAACUGGGAAUAAGGAUGGGGACAGCUGUUUCCAUCCUUAUUUAAUAUUUAUAAAAUUUUAAAUUUUAAAUUUUAAAUUUUAAAAUUUUAUAAUUUAUAAUCUUAAAAUUAAAAUUUUUAAUUUUUAAAAUUUAAAAUUUUGAAUGUAAAAUUUUAAAUUUUAAAUUCAAAUAUAAUAUAAGGGGCAAUAUCGAGCACAAAAAAUUUCUUCUUAUUCCAUCUUAUCUAUCCAAACGGUAUUUUUUAAAUUUUUUAGAACAACUUAAUUUUCAUCCAAUCGCAAAAUUGGUCUAUUCCAGCCUUAUACUUGAACUUAUACACAUCACUGUAAUAGACAGUUCUUGCUUAUACUUGAACCAAACGUAGCCUUAUAAUACUACAAUUGUUUUUUUAAAAAAAUUCCAGAAACAGAAUUUGGGUAAGAUAAGAUAAUUUGAUUAAAUUUUCAUUUAUUUGCUUGAUAAUUUCAUCACUUUUUUUCGCUUCUUAAUUUAUCUCAGCAUGUAAUUCAUUUUUCCACUUUAUUUAAGUAGAAUAUUUUUUAAAAAAACUUUCAUACUUUCAGUAAGAGUGAUCUACAUAUGUUUCGAGAUAAAGAAUAUAAAUAAAAAUACAAAUUAUCGAGCAAAAAAAAUUAUCUCGAUCGAACCGUCUGAAUUUGAUCAGAUUCAUUCAAUAACAUCACUUAUAUUUCCAUUGAAGCAUAGUUGGACCCAUUUGGUUACUUUGUAAUUUACUCCACAAGGGAGGCGAAACAAGUAAUUAAGGAGAGGCACAUAAUAUUAAUCUUUUCUAACGUGUGGAGCUCGGACAAAGUUCCAACCCCUCCUCCCCUACUUACGUGGUAAGAAAUAAAUAAACUGAAAACAAUAUGACGAAUAAAUUAAUACAUUACACUAAUCUCCAAUUUAUAUGUGUGUGUAUAUAUAUAUAUAUAUAUAUAUAUAUACACACACACACACACGAGGAAUUCUACACUGUCACACUUGUACCACGUCAUCAAUAACAAGCCAAUCACAUUCCUUCUUUUUAAACAAAAGUAUAAUAAAAAUAUUUUUUUACAAUCAUGAUGGGACAUAUAUUUUUAAAAGGACUAAUUUGAUUGGUUUGUUACACCACGUCACUAAUAUACCCGUUGCAUUCUAGAAUUUUUCCACACACACGCAUAAUUCGAUAUAUAUAUAUAUAUAUAUAUAGAGUAAAACUCUAUAUAUAUAUAUACACACACACACACACGCAUAAUUCUCUAAACAGGUCAGUAGUGGACACUUUUUAUUAUUUAAGUAGCCGCACGAGUUGCAGCGAUGCAGUACAGAUAGGUCCACCUUAGCCUCAUCGAGGGGGCUGUUCACUUUUAUAUAUCCUAAGCUCCCUCUCUUUAUUCCUCUCUAUUAAUUAAUUAAUAAUUUAGAAGUGUUGAUCCCUCUCUCUCUCUCUCUCUCUCUCUCCUGUUUAAAAACAUUAUAAUUAAAGUACCAUCAUUUAAUUUAUUUGUUACUUUUGAUUUAACUCUUAACUAACCUAGAGAGAGAGAGAUUACCCAAAGCUAAUUGGGUUAGAGUGUACUAUGCACGAUAGGGUGUUGUUAUUGAUUAUUAUUGUAUCAUAUCCACAAUAGACGUUCGAGCGACCGUUAGGAUGAUCACGUACAAAUUCCAAUGGCCUGUUUGUGUAUUAAAACAAGUUAUCUUAUGGUACUUAUGCUGAACCGUAGCUUUUGUUUGUGUACAAAAUAAUUCAAUAGAAAGAGAGAGAAAGAGAGAUUACCAAAAGCUAAUUGGGUUAGAGUGUACGAUGCAUAAUAGGGUGUUGUUAUUGAUUAUCGUUGUAUCAAAUCCACAAUCGACGUAUGAGCAGGCAUUAGGAUGAUAAUGGACAAAUUUCAAUGACCUGUUUGCAUAUCAAAACAAGUUAUUUUAUGGUACUUAUGUUGAACAGUAGCUUUUGUUUGUGUACAAAAUAAUUCAAUUACCAUACAAAAAAAGGUGUUUGAGAGCUCUUAUAGUUAAGGAAAGGAAAGGAAAGGAGUACGUAGCACACAAACUAGAGGUUUGUUAAAGGAGGCCUUUGGAUAAAAUCGAUGAACUUCAUUAUAUUACUAAAUUUGCAAUUUACACCUAGAGAUAUGUAUUGCAUAACCAAACUUUAUAAGUAUAUAUGUUUGGUGACCUUAUUAUUGCACAUGCUCAUUCACAUAGUAAUUAGGGUGAGAACUUUCGUGUGGAAACUGAAUUUUGCUCUCCAUAGAAUUACGUACGGGUUGCAGUUGUGUAAAGCAAUUCUCUUAAAAGCGCCUCAUAUGAAGAUGACUUAAUUAAAUGCACUUAUUGUAUUGAGUUACACGAGAUGAUAAAGCCCUAGCUAGCUAUCAAAGUAGUGUUAAAAUAAAAGUUAUUGAUCCCAUAAAUGUUUUUUACUACGUAAAAAAGUGCAAUGAUAGUGGUACAUUUCACAACAACAAUAAGUAGGCUUACGAGUAACAUUUUUCUUCGAAAGAAUUUGCAAAGCAAUCAAAAACAAUUAUACAAUAAGCACACAUAAUUUACCACCAAAUUAAUAGGGUAUCAAUUAUAAAUACGUAUAAUUAGUCGUCAUGUAUAGCAUAUAUAAUUACUACACUUUAAUAAGCAUAAAUUUUUUUAUACUCAUAAAGCAUUUCUGAUGAUAAAUCUUUCGAAUCAAUAAUUCUUACCGUUAAAUAUAUCUUCUUUUUUAAUCAUCUUUUUAAGAGAUUUUGCCAUUAAAGAACCUAAGAGGAGAUAGUUGGUGAUCAGUGGGAUUCCUAGAGGGGAUACCUUUUCCUUAGGGCUCGAAGCUAUAAAAAAGAUAAACUUUUUUUUGGGGAUUGCUAAAGGUGGUGGCCCCCUUAGACCUAAUAGCUAUUAAGUUCUGCCCUCAUCCAAAAGGCAGUUCCUUACAAUAAUCUUUGAAUGAAGGAGGUAGCUCGCUAUCUCGUUCUUAAAAAAGAACAAUCUCCAGAAAAUUUAUCAUUUAUACAGCUUUGACUCUAAAGUCCUGUUUGGUUCGAAGUAUAAGCGAAGAUAACAAAAGUUAUUCCUGCUAUUCUGCCAAAAAUGAUGAUUUUUAGCUUGAAUAUUUUAGCCCGGUCAAACCAUGUUAUUUCCGGCUAUUCCGGAAUAGCUUGAGAUUUGCUAUUCCACCAUUUUGAUAGAAUAGUGCUAUUCUAAUAUUUAAUUUCAAACUUUAUUAAAAUUAUAAAUUGAAUUAAAUCUAAAUUAUAUAAAUAUAAUAUAUUAUAUAUUAUAAUAUAUUAUUCUUAUUAUAAAAUUAUCAAUUGUACUAUAUUAAUACAUAUUAUUUUAAUUUAAAUAUUAUUUUAAGUCUAAUUAAAUUGAAAAUUUUAAUUUUAAGUUCUUUUGAUAGCAAAGUGUAUAAUAUCAAAGUAUUAUAACAUUUAAUUUAAAAAUAAUUAAAUAAUUUAUGUUGCAUUUUGUAAUGUAGAUAAAAUUUUAACAUUGAAAAAUAAUUUAUGAAUAUGAAAAUAACGGUACGUAUAAAAAAUGGAUUAAUUUCAUAUACAUUCCUAUAAACAUAAUGAAUUACAAAUAUAUCCUACAAAGAUCAAUUUUUAUAUGUUGUCCGUACAAAAGUUAACCAUAGAUUAAAUACUUAAUCCUAAUUAGUUAAUGAGGUAAAAUUGAUAUUUUUACCCUUUUUUAAUUAAUAGUUGAUACUUUGGGAGGGAUAUAUUUGUGAUGGUGAAAAGAUCAUUUUACUUAUAAAAUAAACGAUGUUUUAACCGUAAGAAACUAGAAUAACAUAUUUGAAAAUAUUAUAAUUUUUUAGAAAUAAUAUAUAAAAAUUAAAUUUUAUAAUGAUCUAUUUGUAAUUUAUUAUAUUUGUAAGGGCGAGUAUGAAAUUAAUCCUAGCUUAAUAAGUUUGGUGCAUCCAUGUCACGGUCUCAAUCAGAUACCGUUGAUUUGACUUGCGCUUGGACCGUGUCAUACGUAAACUUUGACCGGUUUGCGACCUUCGGUGUGGUAACGCUGAUUUUAUUUUAUUUUUUAUUUUAUUAUAUCACUAUCGUAGAGAAUGACAUGUGAGGCCCGAACGAGUCGCACUCACCAGGUUUAGUUUUUUUUUUUUUUUUUUAAAGAAAAAAGGUUUUUUAUUAGAGGAUUUUUGGGGAUUUUGUGGGACAAUAUAAUAAGAGAAGCGAAAGGGAGAAAAAGUGGGCCCCUUUUCGGCCCCUCACGAGUCAAAGUACUUAAUUGCAAAAUCCAUGCUUUCUUGGGCUCUUCAAAUUCUCGGUCUCAACUCCCAAAGACACCAAUUAUCAUUUAAUUUUUUUUAUUUUUACCAGGCAAAACUUUAAGAAAUGUACAGUUAAAAAAAUAAUGAUCUUCUAAAAUUAAGUAAAUAAUUAGUUGAAUAGUAUAAUUUAACGAAUACAAAUAAUUAAAGAAUAAAUCUAAAAAUGCAAAAAAUUGAGUAGUAUUAAGCGCUAAAUGCUAUUAGAAGCAAUAUAGUCGGACUCUAUAUAUAAAAUUGGGGCAAUUUCAUAGAUACCCCUUCCAAAGCUUAAAAUAUCAUGUAUGCCAUUCUAAAGUUUAAAAUAUCACAUAUACCCCUGUAAACAUCGAAAAUUAAUAUCAAUACCCCUACUAUUAGUUGUUUUAAUUUUACCAUAGUUAUUAAAUGAUUAAAGAUGGGUUAACUUUUAAUAUGACCAGUUUACCCUCAGCUCCCUUAAGUAAAAAUGUAUGGAGACCCCCUCAACUAUAUGUCCUUUUAAAACAGCUUUCUCAACUUUUAUAUUUUAGUUGACAUUCCAUUAAUUUUUAGUUUUUAAAAUAUUAACUAAUUUUAGUACAUGGAAAAUGAGAAUUUUGUCAAGUUUUUUUUGAUGAUUUCACUAAAUUUAGUGGCGCUAUUUAUAUUUUUAGCAAAUAAAUAACUAUGUAUAAAAAUUUAAAUAAAAAACAAAGUUGAGGAUUUUUUUCGAUCUUUCUUUAAUCUUGGAAGCUUCCAAAAUAUUUUAACCAAAAUUAUUCACGAUAAUUUUAUCUGUAUUAAAUGCAUUAAAAAACUGAAAUAUAAUAUAUUUUAGCUUUUGAACAAAACUCUCUCUCUUUUUUUUCAAUCGACAAAAAAAAUGCAUGCAUAUAGUUUUGUGAUUUAUUUUUUGCUUAAGAUAGAAAAAAAUUAAAUCUACCAUUUAUUUUAAAAUUACUAUUACUUGAUUAGGAAUGCGAAUUGAUAUAGGUAUAUCUGAAUCAAUUUUGAAUGGAUACUUAAUUGAUGCUGAGUAGAGAUAGUUUCAGUUAUAAGUGCAAAAAAAAAAGUCUCAUUAUAUUCUAAUUCAAUUAUGAUUGAUCUAUAAUCCAAACUUAACUUGAACUGAAAUCCGAAGUCAAAAACAAAACCAAAUUAUAUAAAACAUAUUAUAUAUAAAAUAUAUUUUUUAUAUAUUUUUAAUAAAUAAUAUAUAUUAAUAAUUUAGUUUAAUAUUAAUAUAUUAAAUUAUCAAAUUUACAUUUAUUGAAAUACCUAUUAGUAAUUUAACUAUGAUAAGAAAUAAAGGGUAAAAAUGCAUUUUAAAAUUUAACCCAUUUUCAUAUGAGUACUACGGACUUUAACUUAGUGGAGGGUAUGUAUGAUAAUUUUUUUAUUAUUGGAGGGUAUUUAUGUAUAUUAUCACAUUUUAGAAGAUAUUGAUGAAUUAAUGGUUUCCAUAAGGAUCUAUGAAAUUAUCCCUUAAUAAAUUCAAACCAGUAUACUUUAAUAGUUUUAUUAUCUAAUUUUUUAUUCUUGAAUUAUUACUAUGUUACGCGACCAACUACUAAACUAGGCAUCCAAUAAUCACAAAGAUGAUAAAACAUUAUAUUAAUAAUAUUUCAGGACAGUUCUAUAUAAUAUAUAUAUAUAUAUAUAUAUAUAUAUAUAUAUAAAAUUCAGCUACUAUCUUUUUAAGAAGACGGAUGACUCUAUCUUUCUAAAUCAUUAUAGAUGAUACAAAUUUCGAAUUGAUGAUCGAACCAUUAAAGUUGAUCUAAAAUAUUUGAAAUGUCUAUAAACUAAAUUUUAUAAAUUUUAAAAAUUAUCUUCGUAGUGAUCAAAGGAUCACAAAAUCGAUAAUUUUUAACGGCUUAUAUCAGCAUUUACUUAUUUAAUGGUGUAAAACAAUCCAAAUGACUUGAAUUUUUUAUAGAUUUUUUUUUUAUUAUUUAGAUAAUAUUUGAUAACUAACUCCAGCCAUGAAUUGCAAAAGUCUAAUAUCUAUUUUCACAAGCUUUGUUCAUUUUUUACCGUUCAUUUUUCAACUCUUUAAUGAAUUGGAUAACGAAUUUUAAAAUUUAUAAAAUUUAGUUUCUAAACGUUAUAAAUAUUCUAGAUAAACUUUAACUAUUUCGAUCAUUGAUUCAAAAUUUUAAUCAUCUAAAACGAUUUGGAAGGAUGAAAACUUUCAUCUUUCUUUAAAAAAAUAGUACUAGACACACACACUCUCUCUCUCUAUAUAUAUUAUAGAUAAUUAAUAUAUGAUUUUUUUUUUUUAGAGAUAGACAGCAUGCUAUCCAUUUUGUUUAUUUUAUGUAAAAAUAAACUUAGCUAGAAAUAUGAAUCAACUAGAAUUCACACUUGGGAUCUCGAAUAUCAACUACAGUAACCCGUGAGUUAUAUGUUGCAGUGAAAAAUUUGUGGUGUGUUUUACGAGGUGGGCCAUCUCAGGAAAGAGUUCCUUUUUAUGUGUCUUUGAGCUCUUCGAGAUGGCACGAGGCCCCGUCAGAGUUGAGCCCCAACCCCCUCUCUCUCUCUCUCUCUCUCUCUCUCUCUCUCUCUCUCUCUCUCUUAUAUUUAUACAUAUUUAUUUAUUUAAAAUAUAUAUGUAAAAAUUAUCUGAAAUAAAAAUUACUUACUAUACUGCUAAAUGAAGUAUUUUUUAGCGAGAAAAUUUUAUUCCGGUCAAAUUUUAUUGUUUCCUAUUAUUUUAGGAUAAAUUGGCGUAAAUGAUUUCACUCUUUGGAUGAAAUAGUAUUAUUUCAGAAUUUAAUUACAUGCUUUAUUAAAAUUAUAAAUUAAAUUAAAAUAAAUUAUAUAGACUUGACAUAUUACAUAUUAUAAUAAAUUAUUUUUAUUAUAAAAGUUAUUAAUUUGCACAGUAUUAAUGCAUAAUAGUUGUAUUCAAUUUAAAUUUUAGUAAUUCCUUAAAAAAAUUAUAAUAAAAUUAUUUUUAUAACCAAUACUUUUAUUAAAUUAUAAUUUAUAUUAAAAUCAAUAAUUAUUUUGUUUUACUAUUCUCUGCUAGUCUAUAAAAUUAACCAAGCGCACUUUUAAUUAUUUCUGAAAAUAGCGAUAUUAUAAACCAAAUAUAACUAUUUUUUUAUUCUUUACUCUUUCAAAAUAAUAAAUAAUUUUAAAAAUUAAAUAAAAUUAUAUUAAUCAUUUUAAUUCUCAAUAUUUAUUAUUUUCCAACCAAACGGAACCUAAAAAGGUCAGAAGAGAGAGAGAAAAUGAGGAGGAAGUUUACUAUAUCAUAAUUGCACCACAUCAGCAAUAACAAUACAAUUACAUAUUUUCUUUAAAAAAUAUAUAAUAAAAAUAUUUUUUUAUAAUUAUGAUGUGACAGAUUAACUCAAAAAAGCUAUUUAAUUGGUUGAAAACAUCACAACAUCUUCUAUUAACCUAUAUAAAUUCCCAAUAAUUUUGCCACAUGGCAAGUUUUCCUCCAUCCUCACUAAUCCUUUUUUUUUGAAUUAAUCUUUAAUUUGGCUUUUCCCCUCCCCUCCUCUCUAUUCAAUAACCUAUAAUUAAUGUGCUUUUUAAUUUAUACGUUUAGUUUUUUCUCUUCAAUAUUAGUCAUUUACUCUUCCUCAAAUAAUUUCUAACAUGAAAAAUUAAAAAAGGAGAAGAUAAAUAGUUACUACAUUCAAAUCUAGAGAUUAGAGAAGAGUAAGGGAGUCCUCCAAGCCUUCGGAUUUAGGGGUAGGUUUGGGAAACGAAAAUCCUAAACCUAAUUUUUCUUUUCUUUAUUUUAAUCGCAAAUUCUUACUAAGUAUCAAUUUAGAAUUAAUUUAUUUACAUUAUUUUUUAUAUAGUGGUUGUAUCAAUCAAGGAUUUGAUUUAUGUGCAUUAUUUUGAUUAAUUUAGAUGUCAGUUUUAAUUUUAUAAUUGAUGUGGUAGUUCUAACCCGCAACUUCUGAUCAUUCCAUAUCCAAAAGAGUGCAAAAUCUUGCAAAUUUCUAUGAGAUUUUCAUCACCAUUGUCGUCAUUAUCGCAACAUUAUCAUCUCUAUCUUCAUACGACCUUUUGUAAGUUUUUUUAGUGAUGAUUCUAGACAUUUAUCGAUUUUCAAUGAUCAUAUUAGUUAGCUCAAUUCAUACAUUUUUCUAUCCAAAAAAUAAAACACACUUGAAAUUUUAUUUUCCAAACUCUUUUCUUCUUCCUCUUCAAUAUUUUUUAUUUUUUCUUCUAUUAUUUAUCCGCCGCAUCGCGCAGGUUACUACACUAGUAAAUAUAAUUAAGUGAUUCAUUUUAGAUUUUUUUUUUUUUUUUUAACAGAAGGAGAGCCAUGCCCUAAUGCUCCCAACGUGGUGAUAUUCAUUUCAAGAGUGCACGAGGGGCGCAUUCAAAGCUUUCCCAUGGAUUUUUCCUGCAUACAUAUAUGCCCCUAGUCUAUGUAGUCUCUGGAGAUGUAGUACACUAGUACUAUAUGAUACAGCGAAGGGAAAGCCAUGUUAAAAAAGCUUGGCCCCACAUGACCAAGACGAAGGGUUCAAUUAUAACUCCUUUUUUGGGGUUCUUCAUAAGGUACCCAAAACUAUAUAGAGAUAUCACUAAUUAAUAGUGAAUCACCUUGCAAAUUAAUUAAUUUGAGAUUUUUAAUUAAUUAAAGGUCCUCUAAUAUAAGAUAGUUAUACAUACACAUAGGUUGAAGAGGUUAGAACAACAGUGCUAUAGUUAUUUGUCAUAUAAUUAAUUUUUAUGUUAGCUCCUAGCUAGUGUAUAUAUGUCUUAGUAAAUUGCCAUUAGUUUUAUUAAAAAUGCAUUCACGCACACUUUUAGCUGGAAAUCGAAUUCAAACAUCGAAUUUCUUAGCUAGCGCGAGGGUACUGAUCACGUAACAACCGCGAUAAGCACUAACGGUAUUAUGAAAAUUUUGAGAAGUUAAUUAAUUAUAAACUACCAUUUAUUAUGUUUAUAAAAAGGCAUGAUACAUCAAUUGUAUUUGGAGAUACAUUUUGAGGUGCUCAUAGUAAGUUGGUGGGUGGAGACAUGUGGAUAUGCGCAUGGGAGCAAAUGUACUUAUGCUUCUCCAUGGUCUCUCGGAAGCUUUUGACUCACUUAUUGGCAUCGAUCUCCAUGCAAACACACACACACACACACACACACACACACACACACACACGCACACAUGUAUAUACAACACCCACCAAUUAAUUAAGUACUCUCACAUCCUCCUUGUUCCCUUUUCAAAACAUAUAUAUAACUUUUUUAUAAUCGGAGAUAUAUAAAAGAUGAAAAAAGAAUUAAUAAUUUUGAUUUGUGUACACUAUGAAAAGUAUAUAUUUUUAUCUAUAAGUUUAUGUUUUUGGGUUGAUUAGAAUCUUUCUUAAAAAAUAAUCUUUAUUAAUUGUUAAUUGCUUCUCACCUACUAAUUAACUAGCUAGAUUCUGAGCAAUUAAUUAAUUUUUUUUUUGUUAUUAAUAACAUGAUCCUUUUUAAAUGUGCGUCGUAUAUACUCUCCUUCGUAUAAAAUAAAGUUAAUUAAUAUACGCGUCUUCUACUUGCCAUAUUGGAUAUAUAUUUUAGGACCGCAUGAACAGCUCCAUGUGCCCAAGAUUAUGAACUCAACUUCAAGGCGAAGGCUUCGUUGUGGCUUUUCAUCUGAGGCCACAACUAAUUAAUUUACACUAUUAAUAUGUUCAUGCUACUAAUUGAUCGAGGCUAAACCUAUAGAUCAUGUGUGUGUGUGUGUAUAUAUAUAUAUAUAUAUAUAUAUAUAGAGCAGGACUGCUGUGCUUUCAGGAGCACGGAGGCUUCCGUGCUCCUGAGCCGUUUUCGAUAAUGGAAUUUUCGAAUCGACGAUCGGCUCCGUUAGACUUGAUCUAGCGCAUUUGAAGUUUCUAGAAAAUAAUUUUUGCGAUUUUUCGAUAUCAUUUACCUAGUGAUCGAAAGGAUUCAAAAUCCAUAAUUUUUAAUGGUUGAUAUCUGCCGUUUUUAAGUUUAACGGUGUAAAAGUAUUCAAAUCAGAUGAAAAUUUGAUAGAAAAUUCUUUAUACUAUCUACAACAAGAUCUAUAUUUACGAUCGAAAAUUUUAGUGCUAUAUCACCACUUUUUAUAGGAUUUUUAUUUUCAGCCAUUAAAUAUUAUUGAUUUUGAAUCCUUUCGAUUGCUAGGUAAAUGAUAUCGAAAAAUCGCAAAAAUUAUUUUCUAGAAACUUUAAAUAUGCUAGAUCAAGUUUAACGGAGCCGAUCGUCGAUUCGAAAACUCCAUCAUCGAAAACGGCUCAGGAGCACGGCUCCUGAGAGCACAGCAGCCCUACUCUAUAUAUAUAUAUAUAUAUAUAUAUAUAUAUAUAUAUAUAUAUAUAUAUAUAUAUAUAUAUAUAUAUAUAGGGUAAAUAGGACCACAUGCAAGAGAAUGGCCCUAUAACACUUGAAAGGGCUUUAUAGAUGGUUCACAACACCUUGGGUCGAGACCAUAAAUAUAUAUAUAUAUAUAUAUAUAUAUAUAUAUAUAUAUAUAUGCAACCAUGUACUUGUUACGUACAUAUAUAAUACAAGCUACAAAAUUGCACCCGAGCAAAUGUGUUAGCUUUAAUUAAUUAGGGUUUGUGAGAUGACGAGCUCAAAAGGGUUGUUUGCUUUCGAGUGAUUAUGACUUUAGGAUUCUCUAAAAUAGCUUUUAUUCUUCACACUCAAGGGAUGGAGAGGACCACCACCAACAUUGAAAUAAGAUGCACUUCCCUCUCUACUUGCAACAAGAAUAAAGCUUCAGGCACCCUUAGAAAAGAAUACUUUAAUGCAAAAUUAAAUAAUAAUUUUCCUACCAUUACUCGUAUUAAAUAAUUUGCUUGCUAAAUUGAAAAGGGCCAGCAUCCUGUCAUAUGGCGGAGGCCGAGAUGAUCGAGUUUAGUCACAGUAAAAGCUUGCGAACUGCACGGCGGAAACCAAGAUCGGCCGAGUCAUAAUCGAAAUCAGUUAAGGGAUGUACUUGUACACUUUAAGCUUGAGCUUUUGAAAUUAGUGGUUAGCACGAACAAUCUGAUACUAUUUUUGUAUUCGAUUUCAUUAGUACUAUUGCUAUGCUGUCAGAAGAAAAAAAAAAAAAAUUCUGUGGCAUCUUCGUCAUUCUCUUGUGUAGUAUCUUACGCCAUGAGGAAAUCAUCAUCUUAUUGAUCUCUGGGGCCCAAGAGAGAAGCAUAAAGGAAUUUGAAAAAAAAAAAGAAAAGAAAAAAGAACAAAAUGAGAUCAUUCGCUUAAGUUGCACAAAUAUAGUUUUGGUUUGCAUGUGGGAAACAUAUCCUUUGGUUCCUUUUGUUGUGGUAGCUAGUGGGUGUGAGAAGUUAUGGGCAUCUACAUAUAAGCAUGCUUUAAAUCAAGUAAAAGGAGUCCAACUAAGAGCUCAUUUUAGCUGGUUUUAAGUGUUUCUCAAUGAUUAGCCGUUAUGUCAUUAAUCAUUUAAUGAUCAAACUUUCCAUAUAUGUUAUCCACAAUUAGUUGGGUGUUAUAAUUAUAAUUAACUCCAUAUAUAGAAGCAUGUUGUGGGUGCAUGUCACUUUUUGAUAAGGAAAUUUUGCACCCGAACUUCCAAUGGUAGAUCAUAAAGUUUUCUUAUCUUAUAUCCAAAUUAAGAGUUUAAUUUAUGCGCUUUGCUUUUAGUUGAUUUAUGGAGCACCUCAUUAAAUUGCUAAGUUUGAUUCGAAUUCAACCCAACUAAUUAUUUGUUUUAGAUAUAUUACGAAAAUGUGAACAACUUAAGAAGUUACAUGCACGGUCCUUCAGUAAUAAUAUAGUAACGCUUAUAGCUUACUAUAUAUAUAUAUAUAUAUAUAUAUUGAUCANUAACUUAUACAGUGCCAAACCGCUAGGAUCCCAGUAAUAAUAUAGUAACGCUUAUAGCUUACUAUAUAUAUACAUAUAUAUAUAUAUUGAUCAUAUUCAUGUCCUCUAAGGAUCUAUUCUUAGCUUUAAAAGGAGUGCUACUAUUCUUAGGCCCAGGUAAGGCUCCAUUAAUGGAAGCUUAAGUGGUACUUACUUCACAUGUUGCCUUAUAUAGUGCUUGAGCUUUAUGCGUUGAUUAAUUAAAUUAAAUCAUGCAUAGGUUCUAGUAUUGUGAUCAACUGGCCCAUUGCACCAACAUUUAGCCUUUUACUCAAAGCGUUUACCUUCAUUAUUUUAUGGCCAAACCUAAUGUACUGUAGUUAAUAGGAGAACCUUCUAAUCAAGUACGAAAUGAUAAUAAAAUAUCACCGCAAACAAGUACGGAUGAACUAAUUUGCACGUUACAUAAGUUUGUAAAAAAUGUUUACAUGAUUAUUAGAGAUAUAAAUUCGACAGUACCAUUUGAUCGCAGGUGAUUGAAGGGCUAUGAGGGUGUGUCGGUUGGGUUUGUAAUGGGCCGUUAUUGGGCCAUUUGGGUUAUGCAUGUACUGGGCCUAAAGGACAGGACCAGGGGUGGCUCAGUGUCGAUAAAUGGACGGGCAUGAUUGAAAGGUAAGGAGACCCGCCCCAGUGUGAGCUAGAGCCUGUUGGGGAGUGGACCUGGAUUUUUUCUUUUUUAUUUUUUCUUUUUUUUUUUUAACGUGCAGAAUUUAUACGAGCGAUCUACUACUUUGAUUUGGCUAUUUAAUUUUUUAAAAUUUUAAUUUUACUAUCUAAUCUUAAAAAAAAAAAAAUUAUUUAAGUUAGCCAACGGCGCUUUGACUUCAAAAUUGAAUGUGUCGUUUACCUUUAUGGUUUUAGUUAGUAUACUUCGUGCGUUCCUCACUGUUAUAAAUUUAUUAAAAUAAGUAAUUAACUUGUUUUUAAUGUCAAGAUACUGUUUGCUGAUUCAAAUCAAAUAAAUUAAAAGAUUGAGUAAUAAAAUCAAAAUUUUAAAAAAUUAAACAGUUUUUUUUUUUGGAAAAAGAGAAAGGUAGCAUGCUACCUGCUCCGCUUAGGGUGUGUUUGGAUCCCUGUAAAACUACUCCGAAAAUUUCUUUCAGUUGAAAAAAAUUUUUCCGACGUUUGGUUGCCUGUAAAAAAAUUUUUUGGAAAACUUUUUUUUACAGAUUCUCUAAAAAACUCAAGUUUUCGUUUUUCGCCGGCCGUCCACGAAAAACGAAAACCCAUCGAUGAAAAGGCGCGGCUCAAGAGAGGUUUGAGCACACAGUCCACAAGGUCAUCCUCGCCUCGUGGACCGCGUGAGACGAUGGUGCACUCGUGAAAAUGAAAACCUAUUUUGAAAAAAGACGCGGCUCAAGAGGUUUGAGCACGCGGUCCACGAGGUCAUCCUCGCCUCGUGGACCGCAUGAAAGGGAGGUCUACAAUGGACCUCCUCUCAUUUUAUAUNNNNNNNNNNNNNNNNNNNNNNNNNNNNNNNNNNNNNNNNNNNNNNNNNNNNNNNNNNNNNNNNNNNNNNNNNNNNNNNNNNNNNNNNNNNNNNNNNNNNNNNNNNNNNNNNNNNNNNNNNNNNNNNNNNNNNNNNNNNNNNNNNNNNNNNNNNNNNNNNNNNNNNNNNNNNNNNNNNNNNNNNNNNNNNNNNNNNNNNNNNNNNNNNNNNNNNNNNNNNNNNNNNNNNNNNNNNNNNNNNNNNNNNNNNNNNNNNNNNNNNNNNNNNNNNNNNNNNNNNNNNNNNNNNNNNNNNNNNNNNNNNNNNNNNNNNNNNNNNNNNNNNNNNNNNNNNNNNNNNNNNNNNNNNNNNNNNNNNNNNNNNNNNNNNNNNNNNNNNNNNNNNNNNNNNNNNNNNNNNNNNNNNNNNNNNNNNNNNNNNNNNNNNNNNNNNNNNNNNNNNNNNNNNNNNNNNNNNNNNNNNNNNNNNNNNNNNNNNNNNNNNNNNNNNNNNNNNNNNNNNNNNNNNNNNNNNNNNNNNNNNNNNNNNNNNNNNNNNNNNNNNNNNNNNNNNNNNNNNNNNNNNNNNNNNNNNNNNNNNNNNNNNNNNNNNNNNNNNNNNNNNNNNNNNNNNNNNNNNNNNNNNNNNNNNNNNNNNNNNNNNNNNNNNNNNNNNNNNNNNNNNNNNNNNNNNNNNNNNNNNNNNNNNNNNNNNNNNNNNNNNNNNNNNNNNNNNNNNNNNNNNNNNNNNNNNNNNNNNNNNNNNNNNNNNNNNNNNNNNNNNNNNNNNNNNNNNNNNNNNNNNNNNNNNNNNNNNNNNNNNNNNNNNNNNNNNNNNNNNNNNNNNNNNNNNNNNNNNNNNNNNNNNNNNNNNNNNNNNNNNNNNNNNNNNNNNNNNNNNNNNNNNNNNNNNNNNNNNNNNNNNNNNNNNNNNNNNNNNNNNNNNNNNNNNNNNNNNNNNNNNNNNNNNNNNNNNNNNNNNNNNNNNNNNNNNNNNNNNNNNNNNNNNNNNNNNNNNNNNNNNNNNNNNNNNNNNNNNNNNNNNNNNNNNNNNNNNNNNNNNNNNNNNNNNNNNNNNNNNNNNNNNNNNNNNNNNNNNNNNNNNNNNNNNNNNNNNNNNNNNNNNNNNNNNNNNNNNNNNNNNNNNNNNNNNNNNNNNNNNNNNNNNNNNNNNNNNNNNNNNNNNNNNNNNNNNNNNNNNNNNNNNNNNNNNNNNNNNNNNNNNNNNNNNNNNNNNUAAUUAUUUAUUAAUAUUUCUAAAUAUAUAACUCUUAUAUAUUAUUAAUAUAUAUUUAUUAUAAUUUUAAAUAUAUUUAAUUUAUAUAUAUAAAUUAUAAUAAUAAUAUAUAUAGUAUAUUAAUUAUUAUAUAAUAAUAAUAUAUAAUAAAAAAAUAUUAAAAAGGUUUCUAUCUAUUUUUUUUUUCCUUUUAGCCAAACAACCAUCAUGUAAAACUUUUUUUUUUUCCUACAAACAAACACUAAACUACGUAAAUUUUUUUUCACUGAAAAUUUUUUCUACUGAAUUUUUUUUUUUUUCCAGUUUUACAUCGAUUCAAACAACCUCUUAGUGAAAUAUAAAGCAAUUAUGUUUCAAACUUGAAAUCUCAGUACGUGCGCUAGUGGUACGUAUAAUUUGUACCAAAUUGUACAUGUUGCAGAAAAAGCUAUCCUACUUUCUCUUUCACCAAUCACCACCGAUAAUCUAGUUCGUAAGUCGCAUCCCUAGCUAGGGAGGGAAAGAGGGGUGGGGUUUAGCCUCUCUCGGAUGCGUACCUGCAAGCAUUAAUUAAAAAUAAAAGAAGAGGAUAGUAAUCUAGUUGAAACUUGAUAGCUACCUCCCUUGCUAGGGACUAGGGAGAGUGUUUGGGAUUAAUCCUUCUUCCAUGCGCGUCUAAGCAUAAUAAAAACUAGUUAAGGAACCCCGGCUACGGAUUCAUUUAUCUUUUUUUAUAAAUAAUUAAUAAAUAAUUAAAUAUAUUUUUUAUAUAAUAAAUAACAAUAUAUUUUAGUUAAUUAAAUAAGAAAGUUUUAGAAAUAUUUCACAUGUGAUCAAUUAUAUCAGAUAUGUAAGUUUUGAUUGCAAAUAAUAAUGCUAAUCUUAACACCCGUUCGGUUUCAGAUUGUAAAUUCAUAAAUUUGUGGUUUAAUUAUAAUAAAACUUUAAAAUAUAUAAUUAUUUAUGCCUAAUUUUAAAAUAUUUUAGAUUAUAUGUAUUAAAUAUUAAUUUUAAUUUUAUAAUUAUUUAGAUAUAAAUAAUCCAUUUUUAAUAAUGGAAAACUGAGCUUUCCGUGCUCGACGCGUGGGAGAGGUGCGAGGGCGGAGGGGGCGAGGAGGCGGGCGGCGCGAGCCUGGUAGUGGGCGAGUGGCGCGCAGGGCGCGGGCCGCGGGGCGGGGGACGGGCGGCGCGCGCUGGUGGCGUGCAGGCUGUGGGCGCGAACGGGCGCGGAUGGGCGAGCCGCGCGCUGGCAUGGCGCGAGCGAAAAAAAAAAAAAAAAAAGAAAAGCUAGCAGGAAAAAAUCGGGGUCAAUUUCCCUUUUGCACGGGUCCACGAGUAAGCAUCACCUGUGGAAUCGCAUGGUUCACCUGCUCUCUCUCCCUUUUGAGAUUAUAUAUUAANNNNNNNNNNNNNNNNNNNNNNNNNCUUAUCAACAGACAGCAUAAAAAAAAAAAGAAAAAAAAUUCUGUUAUGAGUACCAUACAAUUUUGGAUGUGAUAUUAUUAUUUGUGUGAUCAAUAUAUGCAAAUAUAUUUUUGUUAUUUUGGGUUGUGGAUAUUUUGAACAUACUGUUUCAUUUCAUCAAAUAUAUUCAAUUUGUGGAAGUAAUUAAAAUUUAUUUAUUUUGAUUAUGAUGUCUAAAUGAUGAUCAAAUUUGGUUAGGUAAGUUUUAUAUAUUUUUUUGUUUAAUUUGUAUAUCUGUAGAAAAUGAUGGAAAAUUUAAUUUUUAAUGCUUAAUAAUUUUUAACUUAGAAUUGUUAUUUGUUGUAUUUCAUUAUAAUUUAUAUGCAAACAAAUAUUAAUUUUUAAAAUUUAUUUUAUAUAAUUAUACACUAUAUAUAAUUAUAUAAAUAAUAUAAUUAUAUUAAUUUUAUUUAUUAUAAUUUAUUAUCAUUAGUUAUAAAAUUGAGAAUUAUAUCACUUCGGAGGAAAUAUACAGAGGUGGAGAGGCUACACUUUUUUACGGGCUAUCUAUUUCUCCAAAUAAACAACAGAACGUAGCCAGAAAUGCCACUUUUACAGUAAGAACAAACAGGCAAAGUGAAUUAAAUUUCACCCCAAUUACUUCAAUCCAAAGUCCACUUCCACGCCAGUCUAUUUUAAUUAAAAAAACAUGCCUUAAAGGAUUGAAGGUUAAGUUGAACAGAAGCAAAAUAUCGUUAUAUAUUUUGAAUAUAUGUAAAAUUAAAUAAGAUAUUGAUAUUUUAUUUUAUAAUAUUUCAUUGAAAGUAUAAAAAUGUAAUUGUCAUGUUAAAAAAAUAGCUGUUUCAAAAAUUUUUCAUAAGUUUUGAUGGGAAUGUAUAUUACUUCAACUAAUGAGACUUAAUUUACAUCGAACAAAAUUGAAAUAUCAUUAAACUGAAUGGGAAGUAAAAUGAACAAUCAUAUGACAACAACAAAUAGAACAAGGAUACAAACAGGAUUAACGGAUUAUUUCAUUUUUUAUCAGAAAAAUUUAAUUUAAAUUAACAAACCAAGCUAGAUGUAAAUGUUUUUUUUGAAAUCAAAAUACUAUGAAUUUGGAUAUUUUAAGCUAAAAAUAAGUGAUUCAUCUUGAUCGAUAUUAAUCAAAUUUAAUGGUGUUUAUUGCAAUAAAGAGGGCUUAAAUAGUACCAUUGAAUUGUUGACGUCGGCUUUUAGUUGUAGUAAUAAAUUUUUAUGAUAUUAUGUUCAAAAAUUUGGUCCUAUUAUUAAGGUGGAAAUAUGUCUGGGCAUGUGAUUUAAUAAAGAAAUAUCAGUUUUUAUCUGCUAAAUUCUUUGAGCUGCCUUAAAGUUGAAAUUUUUUUGCCUCGGCACUCUUUUUUUUUUCUUUUAUUUUUUUGAGAGAGAUAGGUAGCACCGCUCCUGCUUCGUUUAUUUCAUUUUAGAAAUAAAAUUUAGCUAGAAAUGUGAAGAUCAACUAUGUAGAUUCGGACUUGAAUCUCAAAGUACAACCAAUCCUUUGAUCAUUCUCUAAGGAGAGGGAGCAGGGGUGCAUAUUAUGCUAGGGAGAUUUAGAGGCAAUCCCAAAUUUAUCUAUUUAUUGAAUGGCGAGACUAUAAAAUUCUAUUAGAAUGUUUGCAGAGUGCAAAGCAAACUAAACUCGAGUUCAAUUUGUUUUGAAGGCUAGAUCGUGACAAAUAGUUGGAAAAGAGUGCCAGAUUAAGUAGAUCUUAUGUAGGUUUGAUUUUAUGUGCUACUUGUUUGCUAGCUUUACUUUUUGUCUUGCCUUUGCUCUCUCUUCCUUUGCUGAUGCCUGUGGCUCAGUGAUAUAACUUUAGUUAAUCUUCCUGCUAUUAAAAGAUAGCAAGCUUCUUUUACACCAACAAAGAAAUAUAUUAUUUUGAUCAAUUGAAGGGCAAUUUACAAAAUUUGAUUAUUUAAAUUGCAUAAAGUUUUUUUAUAUAUUAUAAAAUUUCUAAAAUAAUAUAACACACAGAUAACAAGUUUUUUUUUUUUCUUUCUAAAAAUAAAAAUUAUCAGUAUAAAUAAUUCGAUUUGUAGGUGAUAAUGUGUACCAAAUUGGGCAUUUUAGUUUAAAUUAAAGAUAUAAAAUUAUUAAAAUUUAAUGAGGAUAGUGUAUGGUAGUGAUACGAUACACUGGAUGCCAGGGACGAAUUUUUUCAGAGUUUUUCGUGGGCUUACGGCGUACCAUAGUAUUGUUUACAACUCCUCCACCUUCAAAAACCAUCUCAAUGCUUCUUUUUACAUAAUACCUAAUUCACUCAUAUCUACAAUCGCAUUCCGAAAUCUCAUGCAACGAUCCAAUCAAGCGGCCAAGCAUCGCCGCAUAUUAAACAAUUACAGCCCCGUACAGACCAUCGUUCCACGUUACAGCUUUCGUUCACGAUUAUUAUAUAUUUACAGAUCUCGAGAAACUGCUGAUUUAAAAGUUUAGUACGAGUACAACGAAUAGAUCUCUUCCCUCUUUCUUUCGCUCUCUCUUUCUUCUUUUUUCGUGGCGUGCGUGAAUUCGCUGCUGGGGCGGAGGUGGGCGAGAAUCGAAGGCGAACGGUGGGAGAUGUGCUGCUUUUCCCGAGCCGAUCGUGUAUGCCUCUGCCUCCUCUUGUUGUCGGCAUCAUCCUCGUGGGCUUCGUUCUUCGGCUUGGGGUCGCUUAGCCAUGGCUUCCACACCCCCCCCUAGAUCAAGGGCACGGCGCUUCCACCUCGACCCCUCGCAUGGCCUCGCCACGCUUCCGGCCCCCAUGUAUCGUAAGGUACCCACCCUCCUUCCUCCCGAUCCGUGCUCAAUUUACUAAAUUUAGGGUUUCUGCUGCCGGGAAUUGGGGCGACGGGGGGCGGCGAAAUCUAGGGGUUUGGUUCCCGGAUUCGAGAUCUUGGGAAAUGUGGAGGGAUGAGAUGAGAGUUCUUUGGAUUUUUGAACAUUUUAAAAUUCGAAGACAAUUCCUCUUUUUUUACCAGUUAGUUUUUUAUAUUUGUAUAGUUUUGAUUUGGAUUUUUUUUCAGAUAUUUUGAAUUAAUUAAUUAAUUAAUAAAUAUAUUUUACUUGAUACGGUCACGGGUACCAAUCAAUUUGAAUUAUGAAUUUUGGCUUUUUUUUUUUGAAAAAAAGAGCAUUUAUUCUAUAUGGUACUUUUUGGCGUUCAUUAUUUAUGAAUUUUGGGUACCUUGGAAGCUGAAGAAGGUAGGGAGUGGUUUUGAAUCAUUGAGGUGAUAUUAUAAUUAAUUAUUUGAUUGAAAUACAUUUAAUGUUGCAUGUAGGGCCCAUUAUAUAUUAUGAAAUCACUGUUAGUUGGGAUUAAAGUUUUUCUUCGUUAUCUGCUUUUACGAUUUAAAAGAAUAAAAAUUAAAAAAUUUAUGGUAUGUGAGGAGGAAAGAUUAACAAUCUUUUAAAUCUUGUUGGAGUCUUUUAAACUAAAGUAAUAUUUUUAAGCUAUUGUUAUUACAGGCCAGGCAUAAGAGUAUAUAUACGCGGGCGCGAUGCAGCAGUUGCACUUGUAUUGCUGUUUGAUUAUUGGUUUCAAAAACGCUCUCACUCUACAGCAAUCAAAUUAACUUAGUUGGUAUUUACAAAAUUUUAAGUUUAAAGUCUUAGUUAUUUUAUUUUUUAUUAAAAUGUCUAACUUAGUAAUAUGUUGAAACAGUUAAGUAAAAGCAAGAAAGUAGAGCAAGGCUAUACAAUAAAUUAAUAUAAGGUUUAGGAGAGAAGAUGUUUUUUCGGUUGAUUCUCGUUCAAUCUCGAUUAAUGAUCUGCCUAGUUUGUAACGUCACGCAAGCAACAUAUGUUUGUUUUAAAAAAAAAAAAAAAAAAUAGUUUAACUACAAUCAUAUCAUAUGGUAGGGGUGAGUGGGAGUGGGCCGGACAGACAGAGUGGCGUGUCGGGUUCGCCAUCUCUGUUGAGGUCAUGCUGGGUCGGUUUCAGUUAGGUUUGUGUUUGGUCAUCGUAGUGGCAAGUUAAUGUAAACCCACUACUUUCAAUGCCUUUUUUUCUUUUUGUUUUUUUUUCGUUUGUCUGAAGAAAGAAAAAAUAUUUUAGGUUCUCUAUCAAUGAGUAGAGCUUGUUACGAGAACAAGAGUUUUUAGAAAAAAGGGUUGAACGUAUUUCUCUUUUUUUUUUUUUGAGAAGAAAAAUUAGCAUAUUACUUGUUAUCGUUUUUAAAAAAUAAAUUUAAUUUAAAUGUAAAUCAACCAUGAUUUAAAAUUGAGAUUUUCGGAUACAACCUCUAAAACUCUUUGCCACUUACAGGAGGAACAGCGAUAAAGGGGGUUGAAUAAUUUAAAACUCACGAAAACAAUGAAUAUGGUGCUAGUUGAGAGAGUAACUACUAGUUUUUUUUUUUAAGAAAAGUAAGUGUGCAUCACAGAUGUAAGAUUUCCUGGGGUGUUUGGCUUCAGUUUUAUCCUGCAUAUUAUAAGUAAUUCUAGUUCAAAAUGAUAUGCUUUGUGUUUGUUCGUCUGUAAUUGGGUCCGGUAGUGUAAUCUUAAAAUGAUACUAGUUACUGUAUAUUACAUUUAAAAAUUAUAAAUUUAUUCUCAAAUCUCUCUCUAAAUCUCUUCAAUAUGUCUUUUUGUAGAUGUCUUUAUAUUUAUGUCUUUUUGGUUAGGAUGACUAUAUUUUGUUUUUUGAGAGAGGGGAAAAAAAGGGUAGAAGGGUAGAUAUUUAUUUUUUAAAUUAUAAUUUAGCUAAAAUGGUGACAUAAUAAAUUCAAGUUUUGGACUUAGGUUGACAUCAUAAGUCAUUUGCCUACUUGCGCUAGUAACAGACUGUAUGAUGAUUUAUUUUAUUAUAUUUAAAAUUAUUAAAUUUUAUAAACCAAUUAAAUAUAGUAAUUUUAUUUUACAUCUCAAUCCAGUAUUGGAUAUUACUGCUUAAACCAAAGACUAUACUACAGUAUAAUAGUAAUUGAUUCAAAUUUUAGAUACUAUAAUUAUGCGAAAUAUUAUAAUGUUAUUACCACGCGAACAAAGCACUCUCCAGUAAUAAUAUUCUAUGGGUAUGGGGUUGGUUUUGUUCUCGUAAAACUGCAGAAAAAAAAAUUUUCGUGUAGAAAAAGUUUUCAGAGGAAAAUAAUUUUACGCUUUGUAUUGGUUUGGUAGGAAAAAAGUAAUUUUAUUUGGUUGUUGGUUGUUGAAGGAAAAGAAAGGAAAAAAGAAGAAAAAAUUAAUUAUAAAUAAAUAUUAUAUAAUUAUAUAUUUUUUUUUUUUAUAUUUAUUAUAUAUUAAUAUAUAAUUUAUAUUUGUAAAUAAAUAUAUUAAAAUAAUAUAUACAAUAAGUAAUAAUAUAAUAAUGGGGCAAUUUCAUGGAACCAUCCAAAGUUAUAAAAUAUAUAAUGCCCUAUAAAAAUUUAAAAAUAUCACCCAUUUCCUUUAAACACAAAAAUUAUAUCAAUACCACCUUAUAUUAGUUAUGUUAGCUUUACCAUAGAUAUUAAUGUUUAAAAUAAGGUUAAUUUUAAAUGACUUAUUUACCCUAAGUAUUUUCUUAAGUUAAAAUGUAUGGAGACCCCUCAACUAUAUGCCAUUUUCAAAUAUGGCUCUUAACUUUAUUUUUUUUUUUCAGUUUGAAUAUUCCCAUUAGCUUUUAGUUUUUUAAAAGAUAUAACUAAUUUCAGUGUAUGAAAAAUGAGAGUUUGUAGUUUUUUUGAUAAUUUUAACAAUUAGUGGCUUAUUUAUAUUUGUCGAAUAAAUAAUUAAUAUAUAAAAUUUAAUAAAAUAUGUUAUGGAAAUUAUCCGAUAUUUCUUUAAUGUUGAAGCUUAAAAUUUUUUUUAAUCAAAUAUUGGAUAAUUUUAUCUGCAUUAAAUCAAUUAAAAAACUAAUAUAAAUAUAUAUUUAGCUUUUUUGACAAAACUUCUUUUUGUUUCAAUCACGGAACAAUGCUUGAUAAUAGUUAUGGUGAUUUACUUUUGAUUAAAUAGGAAAAAAAAAAUCUUAUAAUUUAUUCAAAAUUACUAUUACUACUGAAACCUGACGAAAUUCCAAAACUUAAAAACAAAACAAAAUCAGAUAAAAACAUACUAUAUUAAUAAUAUAAUUUUUUAUAUUUUUUUAAUAAUUAAAUAUAUAUUAAUAAUUUAUUUUAAUAUGUAUAUAUUAAUAUACAUUCAAUUUAGAUUUACAAUAAUAUCUUGAAAAUACAUAUUAGUAUUCCUCUACUAUUAAUAAGGAAUAAAGGAGUAAGAAAAAUGGAUUUGAAAAUUUAAAUCUUUUCAGAUGGAUUAUUUAACGGAUUUUAACUGAUGAGGAGGAUUUAUGAUAUUUUAAAACAUAUUGGAGGGUGGGUAUUUGUGUUUAUCAAUUUUAAGAAGGGUAUUGGUGAAUUAAUAGAGUAUCUAGAAGGGAUCUAUGAAAUUAUUCUAUAAUAUAAUAGCGUAUAUAUUAAAUAUAUAUAUAAUAAUAUAUAUAUAUAUAAUAACUAUAAUAAAUUUGUAACAAUACUUAUAAAUAAUAUAUACAUAUAGAUUGAGCUAAAAUAUUUUAGAAUCGACCCAAAGACCCCUUAGUACUUCUAAGUUUUAAUCUAAGAUCCACUUUAAUUACUAAUACCUUAUUAGAUUCAAACACUAUUUCACCUCAUCACCGACCGCCCAUCAUCAACAUGCAAUCUUCCAUCAAUGAUUUAAAAAUCAAAAGCAACCAAUCUCUUAGUGACUUUUGAGAGUAUUCUAAAUAACUCUUUUCUCUUCUCUCUCAAUAUAUUAUAUAUAGAGGGGCAGAAAGAGAUGGUCCAUCUGGACUUCUCACAGCGGUCCACGGAGUGGGAGUGGACCUGUGGACUGCGCCUUUUUACUCCGCGCGAAGGCCGCAAAGCCGCGCACAAUGCGUCCAUAUGGACUUCCUAUGCAGUAAGACGUGGAGAGGACCUGGUGGACCGUUGCUUUUUCCCCGCGCGGCGCGUUACGCGCGCAACGCGUGCGUUUUCGUUUUCGCUAGUAUUCGAAUAAAAACGAAAAACCAUUAGCUUUUCCUAACGAAUCCGCUAAAAAAAAAUUUCCGGACGAAGCACCAAAACAUUUUUUUGAAUCUCACUUUCAACCGGAAAAAAAAUUUGUAGAGAGUUGAUUUUAGGAGGAACCAAUUCCGCCCUAUGCAGAUUCAGCGAAUUCGGAUAUGGGGCGCAAAAGGCUUUUUCCGGUGUACGUUAAAUUGAAAGUUUAAUUUGGAAAAUUAACUUCGGCAUUAAUUAAAAAAGCUACUGUCUAUACAAGAUACUAAAUUCAAAUGGCGGUCAGAGUCCUGUGUCGACCUUCAUCAAUUUAAUGGAGCGGCACGCGACAAAGCAUCUAGGUCAAACAAACAAGUCUCUGGAAUACUGCUUAUAGCAGGUUCGAGUAGUCAAAAGCGACAAGAGACAUUUUAAUUAAAUAUAAGAAAAUAGUAAAGCAUUAUUAUUAAAUAUUAUUAAUUAUUAUUAUUAUUAUUUAUUUAAUAAAACUUGGAUGAGAUUGGGAACUGAGCUUUCACUGGCUCGAACGGUGGCGACGGGUGCGAGAGCGCGGAGGCGGGCGAGCGAGGCGGGACGGCGCGAGCUGGUCUAUGGGGCGGAGUGCGCGCGCAGGGCGCGGGCUCGGGCGGCGGGGGACGGGCGGUCCUAGCGGCAUGGUGGCGUGCAGGCUGUGGGGCUGCGAACGGGCGCGGAUGGGGCGAGCCGCCGCUGGAUGGGCGCGAGCCGAAAAAAAAAAAAAAAAAAGAAAAGCUACAGUGCAAAAAUCGGGGUCAUUCCCUUUUUGCACGCGGUCACGAGGUGCAGCAUCACCUCGUGGUCGCAUGGUUCAUGCUCUCUCUCCCUCUUUGAGAUUAUAUAUUAUUAUAGAGAGAGAGGGAAAGAGAGUUAUGGCUGCUGUGCUCAUUAGAUCUUGAGCGUUUUUCGGAUUAUGAAAUUUUCGAGAUCAAAGUCUCGCUCGUUAGAUGUGAUAUAGGAUAUUUAAAGUUUAUAGAAAUAAUUUUUAUAAUUUUUUUUUGAUAUUAUUUAUACAUAUGAUCGCAAAGGGAUUUAAAAUUAAUAUUUUAAUAGUUGAUAUCUGCCGUUUUCAAGUUACGUUGUUUAGAAGUAGUUCAAAUCAAUAAAAUUUUGAUACAAAUUUUUUAUAUUAUUAGCAAUAAGAUCAAUAUUUCUGAUAGAAAAUAUUUAGUACUGAUAAAUUACAUUUUUAUAGGAUUUUUAUUUCUCGGCGAUUAACAAAUUAUUAAUUUGAGAUCUUUCGAUUGUUAAGGUAAUGUAUCGAAGAAUCGCAAAAAUUAUUUUCUACAAACUUCAAAUAACGCUAAUCCAGUCUAACGGAGCCGAUCGUCGAUCAGAAAUUCGUACUAAUUCGAAAACGGAUGGAGCACGAAGGCUCGUGCCUCCUGAAAGCACAACAGUUUGCUAAUAUAUAUAUAUAUAUUAUAUAUAUACUAUUUAUAUAUAUUUUUAAAUAUUAAUUAUAUAUACUAACUUUAAUAUUUUUAUUAUCUUAAAUAUUAAUAAUUUAUUUUGGAAUCAACAAAGAUAGUAUUUUACUUUAAUUAAUUUUUCUUAUUUUUUUAUUUGUAAAUUUACACAUGAUAUAAAUAAAAAAAUAUUAUGUAUUUUUUAAUAUUUAAAUGGAUUUUUAUUUAUUUUAAACUGUUUAUUUAUUUUGAGACCCACUUCUAUCUCUCUUUCUUUAUUUGAUUUUUGUUCUUUUCUAAACCUUCUUAAUUUUAGCAGUGUUAUGGCACAUACAAAAAAUAAAUUUAAAUUAAAAUUUAAAUUUAUGAUUAAUGGAAUUUUGGAAUUUAUUGCUUAGCUUCUAUAUUAUUUAGUUAGUAUUUUUAUCGUUAAUUAUUGCUAAUUAAAUAUUAUAUUUUAAAAACAUUUUGUAGUGUUUUUAUAAUAAGUUUAUAAAUGAUAAUAAUAAUAAUAAUAAUAAUAAUAAUAAUAAUAAUGCUUUACUAUUUUCUUAUAUUUAAUUAAAUGUCCUUGUCCCUUUUGAACUACUCGACUUGGCUUAUAAGCAGUAGUUCCAGAGACUUGUUGUGGUUUGACCUUAGAUGCUUUGUCGCGGUCGCCCUCCAUUAAAUUGAUGAGUGGUCGACAAGGACUUCUGACCCCAUGUGAAUUUAGUAUCUUGUACUCGACUAGUUAGCUUUUUUAUUAGAUGCCGAGAGUAAUUUUCCAAAUUACUUUUCAAUUUAACGUACACGGAAAAGCUUUUGGCGCCCAUAUCCGAAUUCGCUGAAUUGGCAUAGGGCGUGAUUGGUUCCUCUAAAAUCACCUCUAAAAUUUUUUUUCGGUUGGAAAGUGAGAUUCCGAUGUUUGGUGGCUCGUCCGGAAAUUUUUUUUUACGGAUUCUUAGGAAAAGCAUGGUUUUCGUUUUCUAUUCGAAUCUAGCGGAAAACGAAAACGCACGGCGUUGCGCGGCGUAACGCCGCGCGGAGAAAAAGCACGGUCCACCAGGUCCGCUCCACCUCGUGGACUGCAUGAGGAAGGUCCAUGAUGGACCUUGUGCGCGGCUUUGCGCGCGCUUCGCGGGAGUAAAAAGGCGCAGUCCACGAGGUCCACUCCACCUCGUGGACCGCGUGAGGAGAGGUCCAUGAUGGACAUCUCUUUCUGCCCCUCUUAUAUAUAUAUAUAGAGAGAGAGAGAGAAAGAGUUGAGUUAGAAUACUCUCAAAAGCACUAAGAGAUUGGUGUUUUUGAGUUUUUAAUCAUUGGAUGGAGAGAUGUGAGGUUGGGAUGAUGGCGGUAGGUGAUGGUAGGUGAAAUAGUGUUUGAUCUAAAGGUUAUUAGUAAUUAAGAAGUGGAUCUGAGAGUUAAAAACUUAGAAGUACUAAGGGGUUGGUGAUUCUAAAAAUAUUUUAGCUCAAUUCUAUAUGUAUAUAUUAUUUAUAAGUAUUGUUUACAAAUUUAUUUUAUAGUAUUAUAUAUAUAUAUAUAUAUAUUUAAUAUAUACGCUAUUAUAUUAUAGAAUAAUUUCAUAGAUCCCUUCUAGAUACUCUAUUAAUUCACCAAUACCCUUCUUAAAAUUGAUAAACACAAAUACCCACCCUCCAAUAUGUUUUAAAAUAUCAUAAAUCCUCCUCAUCAGUUAAAAUCCGUUAAAUAAUCCAUCUGAAAAGAUUUAAAUUUUCAAAUCCAUUUUUCUUACUCCUUUAUUCCUUAUUAAUAGUAGAGGAAUACUAAUAUGUAUUUUCAAGAUAUUAUUGUAAAUCUAAAUUGAAUGUAUAUUAAUAUAUACAUAUUAAAAUAAAUUAUUAAUAUAUAUUUAAUUAUUAAAAAAAUAUAAAAAAUUAUAUUAUUAAUAUAGUAUGUUUUUAUCUGAUUUUGUUUUGUUUUUAAGUUUUGGAAUUUCGUCAGGUUUCAGUAGUAAUAGUAAUUUUGAAUAAAUUAUAAGAUUUUUUUUUUCCUAUUUAAUCAAAAGUAAAUCACCAUAACUAUUAUCAAGCAUUGUUCCGUGAUUGAAACAAAAAGAAGUUUUGUCAAAAAAGCUAAAUAUAUAUUUAUAUUAGUUUUUUAAUUGAUUUAAUGCAGAUAAAAUUAUCCAAUAUUUGAUUAAAAAAAAUUUUAAGCUUCAACAUUAAAGAAAUAUCGGAUAAUUUCCAUAACAUAUUUUAUUAAAUUUUAUAUAUUAAUUAUUUAUUCGACAAAUAUAAAUAAGCCACUAAUUGUUAAAAUUAUCAAAAAAACUACAAACUCUCAUUUUUCAUACACUGAAAUUAGUUAUAUCUUUUAAAAAACUAAAAGCUAAUGGGAAUAUUCAAACUGAAAAAAAAAAAUAAAGUUAAGAGCCAUAUUUGAAAAUGGCAUAUAGUUGAGGGGUCUCCAUACAUUUUAACUUAAGAAAAUACUUAGGGUAAAUAAGUCAUUUAAAAUUAACCUUAUUUUAAACAUUAAUAUCUAUGGUAAAGCUAACAUAACUAAUAUAAGGUGGUAUUGAUAUAAUUUUUGUGUUUAAAGGAAAUGGGUGAUAUUUUAAAUUUUAUAGGGGCAUCUAUGAUAUUUUAGACUUUGGGAGGGGUAUCCAUGAAAUUGCCCCAUUAUUAUAUUAUAUACUUAUUGUAUAAUAUAUUUUAAAUAUAUUUUAUUUACAAAUAUAAAUUAUAAUAUUAAUAUAUAAUAAUAUAUAAAAUAAAAAAAAUAUAUAUAUAUAUAAUAAUUUUUUAUUUAUAAUUAAUUUUUUCUUUCUUUUUCUUUCUUUUCCUUUCAACCAAACAACCGUAAUAGAAAAUUACUUUUUUUUCCUACAAACCAAAUACUAAGAGCGUAAAAUUAUUUUCCUCUGAAAACUUUUUUUCUACCGAAAAUUUUUUUUUCUGCAGUUUUACGAGGAAGCAAACAACCCCAUACCCAUAGAAUAUUAUUACUGUGAGAGUGCGUUUGGUUCGCGUGGUAUAACAUUAUGAAUUAUUUCGUCAUAAUUAAGUAUCUGAAAAUUUUGAAUCAGAUUACUAUUAGUACUGUAUUAUAGUCUUUGGUUUAAGGCAGUAAUAUAAUACUGGAUUGGAGUGUAUAUAAAAUUACUAUAUUUAAUUUGGUUUAUAAAAUUUAAUAAUUUUAAUAAUAAAAUAUAAUCAUCAUACAGUCUGUUCCUAGCGCAAGUAGCAAAUGACUUGAUGAUUGGCACCUAAGGUUCCAAACUUGAAUUUUUAUUGAUUCACAUUUUUAGCUAAAUUUAUUAUUUUAAAAAAUAAAUGAGCUACCCUUCUACCCUUCUCUCUCAAAAACAAAAUAUAGUCAUCCUACAAAAAGGACAUAAAUAUAGACAUCUACAAAAAGGACAUAUUGAAGGAGUUUAAGAGAGAUUGGAGGAAUAAAUUUAUAAUUUUAUGUAAUAUACAGUAAUCUAGUAUCAUUUUUAAGAUUACACUACCGACCAGAUUACAGACUGAACAAACCAAAUGCAAUAAUUUUGAUAGAAUUACUUAUAAUUAUGCAGGAUAAACUGAACCAAACACGCCCUAGGAUAAUCUUACACUGUGAUGCACCUUACUUUUUCUUAAAAAAAAAAACUUAGUAGUUACCCAACUAGCACCAUAUUCAGUUGUUCGUGAGGUUUAAAUUUUUUCAACCCUUAUCGUCUGUUCCUCCUGUAAGUGGCAAAGAGUUUAGAGGUUGGUAUCCGAAAUCUCAAGUUUAAAUCAUGGUUGAUUUACAUUUCCAAUUAAAUUUAUUUUUUUAAAACGAAACAAGUAACAUGCUAUUUUUCUCUCUCAAAAAAAAAAAGAGAAAGAGUUCAACCCUUUUUCAAAAACUCUUUGUUCUCGUAAGCAAGCUCUACUCUUGAUAGAAUACCUAAAUAUUUUUUCUUUCUUCAGACAAACGAAAAAAAAACAAAAGAAAAAAGGCAUUGAAAGUAGUGGGUUUACUUAACUUGCUCACCGAUCGACCAAACACAAACCUACUGAAACCGACCCAGCAUGACCGCAACAGGAGAUGGGCGAACCCGACACGCCACUCUGGUCUGGGUCCGGCCCACUCCCACCACCCUACCUAUGAUAUGAUUGUAGUUAAAUAUUUUUUUUUUUUUUUUUUUUAAAACAAACAUAUGUUGCUGCUGUGGACGUUACAACACAGAUCAGUAAUCUGAGAUGGAAACGAGUCAACCGAAAAAACAGCUUCUCUCCUAAACUCUUUUAUUAAGUUAUUGUAUAGCCUUGCUUCUAGCUUUCUUUGCUUUUACUUCACUGUUUCAGCUAUUACUAGAGUUAGACGAUUUUUAAUAAAAAAUAAAAUAACUAGACUUUAAACUUAAAAUUUUGAAUACCAACUAUUAAAUUUUUGUUGCUGUAGAGUUGGAGGCGUUUUUGAAACCAUAAUUCAAACAACAAUACAAGUGCACUGGCUCAUCGCGCCCGCGUAUAUAUACUCUUAUGCCUGGUCUGGUAAUACAAUAGCUAAAAAUAUCUACUUUUAUAGUUUAAAAGACUCCACAAGAUUUAAAAGAUUGUAAUCUUUCCUCCUGCAAUACAUAAUUUUUUAAUUUUUAUUUUUUAAAUGUAAAAGCAGAUAAUCGAAAAAAACUUAAUCCCAAACUAAGCAGGUGAUUUUUCAUAAUAUAUAAGUGGGCCCUACAUGCAACAUUAAAUGUAUGCAAUUAAUAAUUAAUUAAUAUAUGGACCUCAAUGAUUCAAAACCACUCCCACCUUCUCUCACUGCUCCAAGGUACCAAAAUUGCAUUAAAUAAUGACGCCAAAAAGUACCAGAAUAAAUGCUUCUUUUUUUAAAAAAAAGAAAAGGCCAAAAUUUCAAAUUCUAAAUUGAUUGGUGAUUCCCGUGACCGUAGUCAAGUAAGAUAUAUUUAUUAAUUAAUUAAUUAAUUCAAAAUAUCUGAAAAAAAUCCAAUCAAAACUAUACAAAUAGUAAAAACUAAUGGUAAGAAAAAGUAGGAAUGUGCUUCGAAUUUAAAAUCGUUUCAAAAUCCAAAGAAUCUCAUCUCAUCCCCUCCACAUUUCCCAGAUCUCGAUCCGGGAACCAAACCCCUAGAUUUCGCCCCGUCGCCCCCAAUCCCGGGGCACAGAAACCCUAAAUCUUAGUGAAAUUGAGCACGGAUCGGGAGGAGGAGGGUGGGGCUUACGAUUACAUGGGGGGCGGAGCGUGGGCGAGGCCAUGGGCGGAGGGGUCGAGGUGGAGCGCGUCCUUGAUCUUGUGGAAGCCAUGGGCGAAGACGCCGAAGCCGAAGACGAAGCCCACGAGGAUGAUGCCGACGACGACGAGGAGGCAGAGGCAACACGAUCGGCUCGGGAAGCAGCACAUCUCCACCGUCCGCUCGAUCUCCCCCACCUCCGCCCAGCACGAAUCACGACGCGCACGAAGAGAGAGAGAGAGAGAGCGAGAGAGAGAGAGGGAGAGAGAGAAUAUUCGUUGUAUCGGUUAUAAACUUUUAAUCACAGGUUCUCGAGAUCUGUAUAUAUAAUAACGUGGAACGAUAGCUGUAACGUGGAACGAUGGGUCUGUACGGGUGCGUGUAUAAUUGUUUAUAUAUGCGGGGGCGAUGCGUUGGCCGUUGGAUUGGAUGUCGUUGAUGAGAUUCGGAUGCGAUUGUCGUAGAAUGGACGGUGGAUUAGGUAUUAUGUAAAAAGAGCAUUGAGAUGGUUUGAAGGGUGGGAGGAGUUGGUAAACAAUACUAUGGGACGCCGUAAAGGCCCACGAAAAACUCUGAAAAAAUUGUCCCUGCACCAGGUGUAUCGUACAUACCAUACACUAGCCUCAUUAAUGUUUAAUAAUUUUAUAUCUUUAAUUUAAAAACUAAAACCCAAGUUUGGUACGACAUAUAUCACCUACAAGAUCGAAUUAGUUUAUACGUGAUAAUUUCUUAUUUUUUAGAAAGAAAAAAAAAACUGUUAUCUGUGUGUUAUAUAAUUUUAGAAAUUUAUAAUAUAUAAAAAAAAACUUUUAUGCAAUUUAAAUAGAUCGAAAUUUUGAAAUUGCCUUCAAUUGAUCAAAAUAGAUAUUUUCUUUUGUUGGGUGUAAAAGAUAGCUUGCUAUCAUUUUAUACAGCAGGAAGAUUAACUAAGUUAUAUCACUGAGGCCACAAGGCCUCAGAAAGAAGAGAGAGCAAAGGCAAGACAAAAAGUAAAGCUAGCAAACAAGUAGCACAAUAAAAUACGACCUACAUAAGAUCUACUUAAUCUGGCACUCUUUCCAACUAUUUGUGCACGAUCUAGCCUCAAACAUAAGUUGACUCGAGUUAGUUUUGCUUUGCACCUGCAAACAUUCUAAUAGAAGUUUAGUAGUCUCGCAUUCAAUAAAUAGAUAAUUGAUUGCCUCUAAAUCUCCCUAGCAUAAUAUGCACCCUGCUCCCCCUGCUGUCCUUAGAGCAAGUGACAAAGGAUUUGGUUGUUGGUACCUGAGAUUCAAGUCCGAAUCCUAGUUGAUUCACAUUUCUAGCUAAAUUUAUUUCUAAAUGAAAUAAACGAAGCAGGUAGCGUGCUACCUAUCUCUCUCAAAAAAAAAAAAGAAAAAAAAAAGAGAGUUAGCGAGGCAAAAAUUUCAACUUUUAGCAGCUCAAAGAAUGUAGGAGAAAAAACUGAUAGUUCUUUAUUAAAAUCACAUGCCCAGACAUAUUCCACCUUAAUAAUAGGACCAAAUUUUUUGAACUAAUAUUCAAAAAUUUAUUACUCACAACUAAAGCCGACGUCAACAAUUCAAUGGUCUAUUUAAGCUCUUUAUUGCAAAUAAACACCUUAAAUUUGAUGUAAUAUCGAUCAAAGAUGAAUCACUUAUUUUAGUUCAAAAUAUCAAUCAAAUUCAUAUUUUUGGAUAUUCAAAAAAAAACAUUUACAUGCUAGCUUGGUUUGUUAAUAAGUUUAAAUUUUUCUGAUAAAAAUGAAAUAAUCCGUUACCGUUUGUAUCCUUUUGUUCUAUUUUGGUUGUUGUCAUGAUGAUUGUUCAUUUUACUCCCAUUCAGUUUUAAUGGAGAUUUCAAUUUUGGUUCGAUGUAAUUAGUCUCAUUAGUUUGAGUAAUAUACAUUUCCCAUCAAAACUUAGUGAAAAUUUUUGACCAACUAUUUUUUUAACAUGACAAGACAUUUUUAUACUCAAUGAAAUAUUAUAAAGUAAAAUCAAUAUUUUAUUUAAUUUAGAUAUAUUUCAAAAAUAUAUAACGAUAUUUUGCUUCUGUUCCAUACUUAACCUUCAAAUCCUUUAAGGGCAUGUUUGUUUUCAUGUAAAUAGACUUGGGUGGAAGUGGACUUUGGAUUGAAGUAGAGUUGGGGUGAAAUUUAAUUCACUUCUGCUGUUUGUUCUUAACUGUAAAAGUGCAGUUCUGCGAGUUCUGUUGUUUAUUUGGUAGGAAAUAGAUAACGUAAAAAGUGUAGCUCUCCACCCUCUGUAUACUUUCCUCCGAAGUGAUAUAAUUCUCAAUUUUAUAACUAAGUGAAUAAUAAAUUAUAAUAAAUAAAAAUUAAUAUAAUUAUAUAUUUAUAUAAUUAUAUAUAUGUAUAAUUAUAAAAUAAAAUUUUAAAAAAUUAUAUUAUUUGUUUGCAUAUAAAUUAUAAUGAUACAACAAAUAAAAUUCUAAAGUUAAAAAAUUAUUAACAUUUAACAAAUUAAAUUUUCAUCAUUUUCUAAAUAUACAAAUUAAACAAAAAAAUAUAUUAAAACUUACCUAACCAAAUUUGAUCAUAUUUAAGACAUAUAAUCAAAAUAAAAAAUUUUAAUUACUUCCACAAUUGAAUAUAUUUGGAUGAAAUGAAACUAGUAUUGUUCAAAAUAUCACACCCAAAAUAACAAAAUAUAUUGUGCAUAUNCAAAAUAUCACACCCAAAAUAACAAAAUAUAUUGUGCAUAUCAUUAUCACACCAAAAAUAAUAAUAUCACAUCCAAAAUGUAUGGUUACGUCCAUACCAGAAUUUUUUUUUUUUUUUUUUAUGGUGUCUGUUGAGAAAAAAAAAUGGCGAUGUGGAGUUGGAUCUGGGACUCGGCAGAGGAAAGGGUAGAAAAGAGGAUAACCCUAACACAUCAAUUCCCACUCUUGCCUCUUUUCACCUCACCGAAAUUGACUUCGCCUCAUGGGAAGAAGAAGUCAAUUUCAUUAUUUUGGAUGAACUAGACUUUCGGGCGUAAUAAAAUUACGGUAAACCAAACAACGGAAGUGGUCAAUUUUUACCGAAAAUUACUUUCCCCUUCCCACUUCCACCCCACUUCAGUGCAAACAAAUAUAUCCUAAGUAACUGGAUCUAGAUCCUAAUUUCCAUAUUGAUCCCCAAUACGAAUCCAAUGUAUCAGGUGAGUCAAACUUAGCUCAAGAAAUUAGCACACACGACACACCUAAAUGGGAAUUUAAAGUCUUUCUAUUGAUCUCGGUGGCAACGUUGACGCUCGGAUAGAUGUGAUUGUAAUUUGACUUUAAAAUGAAACUAGUAAAAAAUACACCUAAUUGUGGCCUAUGUUUCUAUUCAUUUCAUUUACGACAAUUUCGAACCUUACCAAGUCAAAGCUGUUUUAAAUAAAAUAGUUGUAAACUUAAAUUAUGGCUAAAUUACGAUUAGUUUAACAUAAACGCGCGUGCUAAGUUACAUGUUUUCAUCCAAUGAAUUAAUCAAAAAGCUAAAACCAUACUGGGAUCCGAAUGAUGUUAAUUGGUACUUUAUUAAAGAAACUUUAUUAGCUUUAUUGCUUCCUUAAAAAUUUUCCCAUCCAAUAAAAUGUUCUUCUUUAAGCUUCUUUUGUUUAGCUCUGACCCUUAUUUAUAGCUGUGCUUUGUCCUUUUUAACUCUUCUUUAAUUCUCACAACAUAUAUAAUAGGGAUAAUUAUCUAUAUACCCCACAUACGUUUGAAAAUAUCCGAUUUAUCCGUACUUUCUUUUUCUUUCUAAAAUAACUCCUCAUAUGUUCCACCGUUAUUGCAAAAUACCCCCGCAGUUAUCUCUUGUUAAGUUAAGUUGGAUUAAACGUGAGUUAAAUAUCUACCACAGUUUAAAAAAAUUAAAAUGCCAAUUUUGCUAUUAACUUAAGAGCAAAUAAGAAAUGUUGGUGUAUAUUGAAAAAGACCAAAAAUCAAAAUACUUUUUGUGUCCCUGACUUUAAGGGCGAAUAAGAAAGUCAGUGAUGGUGGAAGGGUAUAUUUGAAAGACAAAAUAGUAAUUUUACAGAGAUAACAGAGUUAAUUAAUAAAUUUUAACUCUAGGGAUAUAUUAGAAAUAAGUUGUAACGUAAAAAGAAUAUUUUUAAUAUUAGCCUUCUAAGAUGGGUAAAUCGAAAAGUCGAGAACUUUUUAGGGGUACGUAAGCAAUUGCCCUAUAUAAUAUUAUAUCAAUCAAACUUAUAAGCCUGAAUUAUGCAAAGUUCAUAUUCUCACCGCGAGUGAGCACAAGAUGCAACCACUGUUAAUUUCCCAGCAUCCGCAAGACAAAUUUGUACAAAUAUUCUCCCAUUUUGGGUUAAACAUGUAAGGAGCACCCUCAACUAUACCACGUUACCAAAUGUACCCCUCAAACUAUACCACAGGAUUCUUACAACCAAGAAGUUCUUGAUUGUAAGGCUUGCCUUGCCCAUAUUUUUAUCUGAUUUAUAACUUCUAAGUUUUUUAAUUAUCUUUAUUUAUUUUGUUUUAGUCAUUCAAAUUUAAAUUUUAGGAGUGUUUGGUCCCUGGUUGCAUGAGGCCACGCAAAAUCUCCGCUCAGGAGCUGCAUCAUGCAGCUAAUCAACCCCUUUAUCAAGUUAUAUCUGUAUAAAGUGUCACCCUGUAAUUAAUUUUCAUUCAUAAAAUAUUUGAACUUUAUAAAAUAAAUUAUAAAUAUAUAUUGUAUAUAAAAAUGAAUAAAAAAUUUUAUGUCGACAAAUGAAAUUUUAAAUGCAAUAAAGAGUAUUUCAUACACAUUGGAGGAAUUUUUAAAAAUAAUUAACUAACUAAAAAUAAUUUAUGUUGUGAAUUCGAUCUAUAGAUUUAAAUCUAAAUUCAAGCUUUAAUAUAAAUUUUAAAAUGAAUUCAAAUGUUUAAACUUAGCGUAUACACUAAAAAAAUAGCAUGUUACAAACCACAUAUUAAAAAUAUUUAUGAUAUAACAAAAUUGAAAACAUACUUAGAAAUAAAUAAAAUUUAGAAAAUAAGUCAAUUAAAAACUAGACUCGUGCCACAAAUAAUCAUUUAAAUUUAAAAUAUAGAUUUCAAAUCUAUUUGUAAAUGUGACAUGCAUCACACGUACACUAUACUAGUAUAAUAAAAACCUGCAGUCCGCUUUGACAUUACCGCUAUUUUUAUUUUUUAAUAUUAAUUUUAUAUAAUUUGCUAUAAUGCUAGAAUUACUAUUAUUUUAGAUAUGAUUAGUUAGCUAGAAAUGGACUCAAGUGAUAGGUGACGAUCUCUAAAUUUUUUCUAAAGAAUAUGAAAGUGGUUACAAAUAUUUUUUUAUUUCUAAAAUAAAUAAAUAUUUGAAUGUAUGAAUUUGGAGGUAAUCUAACAUUCCUUUGCAUACUAUUUACAUAGAAUUGUUAUAUAUUUUUAGUUUGAUGUAAAUGAUAUUUAUAUUAUUAAAAACAAUGGAAAUUAGGAGGGGUUAGGUGUUAACCAAAAAAAAAAAAAAGGAGAGGAGUUGGGGAUGAAUGUUAGAGGAACAAAUAGUGGAGGGGUGUCUAUACAUUUUUACCGCUGUUUCUUUCGCUUUUUCCAGUCGCCCCCCUCGUCACUUCUCGUUCUCCAUUUUCAUCAGUCUCCCGACUCUCCACCCAGAUCUACUAACCUGCGCCCCCUCCUCUCCACCCGGCGCACGAUAGCCGGGCCCAACCCUUCCCCUUAAACCCUAGACCCCGCCGCCUCCGCCGUGCUCGGAGGAGUCGCCGCCUCCCAUGGCGUCCCCCUCCGGAAACCCUAACCAAUCCAGCCCCUUCGAGCUCGGGAAGCUGUUCAAGCCCCCUCCCAACCCUAACCCUAACCCUAGCGCACCCCCUCCCUUCCCGCCUCCGUCCUCCUACGCCGCCGCUCCGCCGCCGUACCAGGCGGCGCCGCCGCCCCUCGGGCCCUACUCGUACCCUCCCGCCACGCCGCCGCUCCACCACCACCCCUUCCUCCACUACCCCAAGGAGCCCCUCCACCGCCCCACCAUCUCCUACCCCGCGCCCCCUCCCCACCUUACGAGCCCGACCCCGAGCCCGACCCCGAACCCUAGCCCCCCCGCGGGGCCGAACGCCGGCGCCCGCCUCAUGCAGCUCCUCGGGAACGCCGCCCCGACCCACCUCGAAUCGGUGGUCUCGAUGCCCCUCCCCUCAUCCAUCCUGCAGGACUUCCCGCCGCCGCCGUCGCCUGCGGCGAGCUCGCCGAUCUUGCAGGCGAUCCCGUCGGCGCCGCCGGCCGUCAUGGCGGGGGUCGCGCAGCCGCCGCCGGCGAGGAUGCCAAGCAGCAAGAUGCCGAGGGGGCGGCACCUCGGCGCCGGCGAUCGGGCCGUGUACGACGUGGACUCGAGGCUGCAAGGGGAGUCGCAGCCGCCUCAGCUCGAGGUGACGCCGAUCACCAAGUACACCUCGGAUCCGGGGCUCGUCCUGGGCCGUCAGAUCGCGGUGAACAGGUCGUACAUUGUUUACGGUCUCAAACUCGGCAAUAUCAGGGUGCUCAACAUCAACACGGCGUUGAGGUCUCUUCUUCGGGGGCACACUCAGGUUUGAUCUUGUAGAACACUUAUUAUCUGAGCUCUCUAUAUGGUCCACCUCUUCAUACAAAUGUUUAACUUUGAAGUUCUUGUGAUAUAACGGUAUUCUUCGCCAUAUUUGGAUGGUCUUGUGAUUAUUUGUUAUCCCAAUUCAUAGUGGAAUGACCAUACACCAUACGCCAUACGCCAUACGCCAUACGCCAUACGCCAUACGCCACCUAUAUGAGUAAAGAUUUGGAGUGCCUUUUUCUUCGCCUCCUUUUCAAGAUUUGGACUUCUAUUAGUGAAAUCUUUGCAAAAGUUUUAGCAUUCUCCUGAUGCGGAUGAGAUAGCUACAUGAGAUAGCUACGUACUGGCUUGUGAGAACUGGUUUUGUAGACUCGAACUUCGAAUUGAAUUCUCAAAUCUAAAAUAAAGGUUGAGGGAUUCUUCUUGUGGUCAUAUUACUUCAUCUCCUAGCUUGCUUUUAUUUAGUGAGCUGACUUGGUAUGUAUCAUUGUUGGAUGAGAUCUAACUUUGUCAAAGCAGUCCAUUUAAGUUCUAUAAUUUCUUGAAAUUGAUUUGAUAUUUGUAAUUGCUGGGAUAUUGAUUUGAUUUCAGGUUCUUAUAUAGUGGUUUUUUGUAUGCUUAAGAUGUGCAAGAAUCAUGUCCUUUUUACUGCAAAUUCUGCUCUUUACCCUUCGUGUUAAUUACAUUUUUAUUUUCUUUAGAGGGUUACGGACAUGGCUUUCUUUGCUGAAGAUGUUCACCUUUUAGCAAGGUAACUUUGUGUAUGUUACCUCUUUGUCUCUUCCCUGUUUUUUCUUCAAUGCAUUUUAUCGAUUUCCCUGGUUUUUUUACAGUGCCAGUGUAGAUGGGAGGGUUUUUGUGUGGAAGAUUGAUGAGGGACCUGAUGAGGAAAAUAAGCCACAAAUAACAGGAAAAAUUGUUAUUGCGAUACAGAUUGUCGGAGAUGCAGAAUCGUUUCAUCCAAGAAUAUGUUGGCACUCUCACAAACAAGUAAAGCCAGCUUUCUAAGAUUACUCUUACAUUGAAGCACUUUUUUUUUCCCCUGAAUUUUAUUAAGUUAACUCCGUGCCAUGAUUACUGUAUCUCAGGAGAUUUUAUUUGUUGGAAUUGGCAAACUUGUCCUAAAGAUUGAUGUAACGAAAGUAGGACGUGGAAAAGAGUUUACUGCAGAGGAACCUCUUAAAAGCCCAAUGGAGAAGCCGAUCGAUGGAGUGCAGCUUAUUGGUAAACAUGAUGGGGAUGUGACUGAUUUAUCGAUAUCCCAGUGGAUGACAACUCGAUUAGCUUCAGCAUCAAAAGAUGGCACGGUUUGUAAUUCUUCUUGACUGCACGCCGCUGUGAUGUUUGUCUUUAUUUGUAGUAGUAAUAUAUCUGUUUUCAUGCAUAUAAUAUAUGUAGGAGAUAGUUGUUUCCUUCAUUUAAUAGCAAAUGAUACUUUAAGUUUGCAUAUUGCAUUCCUAGCCACACACUAUUGGACAUGAAUACAGUGCUAGUGUUACUGGCAGGAUUCGGCAAUACUUCCGUUUUGAUACUGGUUGCCCUGUUUGGAUGUUGGAAUUAGUUUUCCAAGAAUAAGGUAUUCCGUAUAAGAUUUUCUAGUAUGAUUGUAAAUAAGGAGUUUGAUUUUUGCUCCUUCAAAUAUUUUGCAAUCAAUGAUUUGGUAGGACAACAUAUUUCACCUACGAGGUGAUUUAUCUUAUCUAAAAAGAUGAUUUGAAGGCCAAUAUAGUAUCUAAUUCUAAACAUUCGAUCACAUUCCUUAUCAAUCAAAAAUACAAAAUUUUUGAAUAAAUCAAAGGGAUAUGCCAAACAAGAUAUUCAUGUAUCUAAACAGGAUCUUAUUCUUUCUGCCUCUCCCAGUACUUCUGGAUUAUAAGCCUAAUGAUUUUGUGUAACAUCUGAAUGCAUAAGCUGUUUAAACUUGUAUGAUGCAAUGCUUCAAGAGGAUUUCUCAUAAUAAAUAAAUGAGUGAAACAAUGUUUUAACUUGUAAGGCAGCAUAGUUUUUACUUUUCUGGUGCAGUUUUGGUUACUAACACCCUAUUACAACUAUAUUUUUACUACAGGUAAAGAUUUGGGAUGAGCGCAAGGGAGUGCCUCUUGCUAUUUUGAAGCCACAUGAUGGGCAAGCUGUUAACUCUGUUGCAUUCUUGACAUCACCUCAUCGUCCCGAUCACAUCAAUCUUAUAACAGCUGUAUGUGUUCUUAUUGCCAUUCCGAUUUCUUCUUGAUGGUAGUCAUUUUAUAGCUUUAUUCUUUAGAUAUAUUUUCUGACAUGAUCUUCUCAACAUUUAUCAAUUUUGCAUUCUUUAUAGUCAAAUUAGUCAGCAUUAACAUGCAUCUGAUCCAUGGUGACUUCUCUAACAGUUUCUUAUUUGUGUUAUUAGGGUCCGCUAAACCGAGAAGUUAGAAUUUGGGCUUCUGAGAGUGAAGAAGGUUGGCUAUUGCCAAGUGAUUCUGAAUUGUGGCAGUGUAAUCAAACCUUGGAUUUGAGAAGUUCUUCAGAACCUCGGCUUGAGGAGGCCUUCUUUAACCAAGUUGUGGUUUUGCCUCGAGCAAGCCUCAUUAUACUUGCAAAUGCAAAAAAGAAUGCAAUAUAUGCAGUCCAUAUUGAAUAUGGCCCAUUUCCAGCUGCUACACGCAUGGAUUACAUAGCAGAUUUCACCGUUACAAUGCCAAUUUUGAGUCUCACGGGAACCAAUGAAUACCUUCCUGAUGGAGAACAGGUCGUUCAAGUCUAUUGUGUUCAGACAAUGGCUAUUCAGCAGUAUGCCCUGGAUUUGGCACAAUGUCUACCUCCACCAAAUGAUGGUAAUACUACACUGGGAAGAGAUUCUUCUGUCUCUCGUUCUUUUGACGCCCUUACUUUGGAAACAGCUGAAGCUUCCCGUGGAAGUACUUCUAGCAUCGCUGAGAGUGCAAUUGCGACUUCAGACCCUGCAUCCUCGGCUUCUGCAGAAGUUAUUAGUAGUCGUGAUUUCUCUGUAUCUAAUCUUGAAGUCAAACCAUCAGCACCUCCACUUCUUUAUUCAGAGGCUGAUGCCUCACGUGUUCCAACAUUGCCCAUUCCUUUGGAUAUAGAUCUUGCAGGAAUUCCUGCUUUAAAAAGCCCUUCAAAAGGUUCUGAACAUGCACCUGAUACUCCUGCAAAUAAUAACAUGGCAAGGGAGGAACCUAGAGGGGGUCAAACUGAUAUAUCAUCAGUUCAGGAUCCUCAUUUAAUGUUUAAACCAGGUGGCAAUCCAACCCAUCUUAUAACUCCAUCUGAAAUUAUGGCAGGUGUCUUAUCUUCCUCUGAGAAUACUCAGGUCAAUCAAGCAAUAAAAAGCAAUGAAUUGAAAAUUAAAGAUAGGGCCGCUAGUGAUAGCUAUGAGAGUGUAGAGAUGGACGUAAAGGUUGUGGAUGAGAGUAGAUUAAACCAAAAUUUGGAAUUCACUAGAAAAGAUUCUCAAGGUGCUCUCGAGGAGAACAAAGAAAAAAUCGCCAAAAAUUCAGAAACCAGUACUGAGGUAGUUGAUCGAGAUUCUGCACUAAAAGAGAUUUCUGGUUUGGAAGAUUUGCAUUCUAGAGAUGAAAAGACAACUGCAGAGUUCUUGGAGCAGCCACCUGGUACUAGUAAGGAAGAGGUGCAAGACAGCACGAAAGAUGUCCCCGAGAAAUUUGAAGAGUCGGCUGUUGCUACUGUAGCACAAUCUGCUUCAGCUGCAAAAGGGAAGAAGCAGAAAGCGAAGCAACCUCAAGCAUCCAUUCCAUCGUCCCCUGUUGUAAGCCCUUUUAACUCUACGGACUCAUCAAAUGAACCAGGAAGCAGCGAGAGUGUACCUCCAACUGAUGCUGUUUUGCCUCAAAUCUCAUCCAUGCAUGACAUGUUGAACCAGGUGAUUUUUCACUCAGAAGCAACAUCCUUAUGUCCGUGUAUUUAGCUUUUAACAUUAGAUUAGUUGCUUCUCUCUAUUCACGUCUCACUUGAUUCGUAUUAGAAAGUUCUCUUCUAAAAUUGGUAAAUGCAUGAUUAGAAGAGUAGUAUUUUAUAAGAUGUGCAACUUAUACUACAUAUUUGUCAAUUUUCUUGUGAUUUUAGCAUCCUUUUCUAAUGAUGGCAUUUCUCUUAUGUUUUUGAACUGUUUAAAUAAUAGUACUGAGAUUGCUGGCCUUAAACAUGGAUGAAAAAUUAAUUGAUUUGUGCAAAUUACUUAGAAAAAUCUUCUAAUUGUUUUACUGCUGUCAGAAAAGGAAGUGUUAGUUUGUAAUAAUUUGUGUGGUUAUUGUUACUUUUGUUCUGUCUUAUUAAUAUUUGCUUGGAUGGAAAUGAACGGUAAAAUUGUUUAAUGAUUGACUUCCUGGAUUACUUGGUUCUUAUACAAAAAUUUGACCACUAUUUGUUAAUCUGAAGAUUCUAUAAAGCUUUCGCAUGCAAGCUAAUAUAAGUCUAGUUGAACAGGAGUUUACUGAUUGCCAUGGGCUAUGUCACAGGUUAUUGCAUUGCAAAAGGAUCUGCAGAAACAGAUGAGUGUAAUGGUUGUUGUUCCUGUUACCAAGGAAGGCAAAAGAGUGGAAGCAGCCCUAGGGAGGACAAUGGAGAAAUCUAUCAAGGCUAAUGUCGACGCUAUGUGGGCCCGCUUCCAAGAGGAAAAUGCGAAAUUUGAGAAGGCUGAGAGGGAUCGAACCCAACAGAUUACUAAUUUGAUCACAAGCUGUAUGAACAAGGAUCUACCUACCUUAUUCGAAAGGGCACUAAAGAAGGAAAUAUCAGCUCUGGCUCCUGCUGUAGCUCGCGCAAUGACACCGGUUGUCGAGAAGACCAUAUCUUCAGCUAUAGCGGAUGCCUUUCAGGUUGUGUUUAAAUUCAUGUUACUAUUUUGUCAUUGAUUUGCUGAACUAUCCGGGACCAUUAAUACUUUUUUCUUUCAGAGAGGGGUUGGGGAUAAGGCAGUGAAUCAGCUGGAGAAGUCGGUUAAUUCGAAACUGGAAGCUACGGUGGCUAGGCAAAUCCAAGCACAGUUCCAAACUUCCGGCAAACAAGCUCUUCAGGUGUGAUGGCUUUGCAAAAUCUUCUUUUGUACACCUUGCAUUAUAUUACCCAUGAUUUAAAUCAGUGUUUUAGUGCUUGUAUAGUUUGUCCUUUUAAGACUAUCGUAAGGUUUUCUUUUUUCUUUUCCUUUUUUCCUCUUCUGAUAUUCUGAGACUGCUAUCUACAUGAUGCCAAGUUCUCGCUCUAUAACUAUAUUGCACUAGUCCUCUGGAAAAGCUAUCUUUUCUGAUUACACAGUUUCAUAUGUAAUUAAAGAAGCUGUUCUAAUAAUGGAUGCAUAUACAGGAUUCAUUGCGAUCUUGUUUGGAAUCAUCACUUAUCCCUGCAUUCGAGCAAUCUUGUAGAGUAAUGUUUGAGCAAGUUGAUGCCACAUUCCAGAAAGGCAUGUCUGAACACACUGCCGCUGCUCAGCAGCAACUGGAGGCGGCACAUACUCCACUGGCUAUUACUCUGAGGGUAAGUGUUAGCCUUGUAUAUUAAUAGUUAUCCCAAGAGAAUUUUUUGAUAAUAUAAUGUUUAAAUUGCAUCGGAGGUGCCUCCCCUUUCUAGAAGCUCUAAAUUUGUACCUAACUUUCAGUCGUUACAAUUGGGCCUCUAACCUUCUUAUUAAACUUUUCUUCAAGUUCAUCAAUAUUAUGAGCCCCUCUGGUUGAAAUUAUGCUAAUAUAAACAAUGUGAACUAGUUAAUUUACUAAUAGACAGUAACUUGUGUUCUUUCUCUUUUACAGGAUGCAGUCAACUCUGCAUCAUCGAUCACCCAGAGUCUCACCACUGAAUUAGUUGAUGGCCAGCGCAAGUUGUUGGCUCUUCUUGCGGCGGCAAACCCUAAAGCAGUCAAUCCAAAUGCCCAGGCAAACAAUGGCCCUAUGGCUGGUCUUCCUGAUUUGGUAACACUCUUUUCUUUGUCCAUUUCUUUGAUUUCUGCCUCUCUUAUUUUAUUAUGGGUGUCUCUUCCUCUCUCUCUCUCUCUCUCUCUCUCUCUCUCUCUCUCUCUCUCUUUAACUGGCUUAUUUUGGAAACCAAUAUAGCAAAAAGUACUUGCGCAUGAUGUGUACAAAAUAUUUCACACUCACUUCUAGCAGGCCUUAUCUGUUCAGCAGGUUGAGGCACCAUUGGAUCCCACAAAGGAACUGAAUAGACUGAUAUCUGAAAGGAAGUACGAGGAAGCUUUCACGAUGGCUCUUCAAAGAAGCGAUGUCUCCAUUGUCUCUUGGCUUUGCUCUCAGGUCUAAGUUCAGAAAUUACUUAGCCCGGAUGUUUCAAGGAGCUUAGAUAUAAAGGGCCUGUUUUGCCUUGGAGUUUUUGCAGAAAUGCUGUUUUUGAGAGCAGUUUAAAAAAGCACUAAUAACUUUUUUGUGAAAACCUUCUUCAUUGCUUAUUUCUGCUGCAGAAACAGGACCCCCAAAUUGAAGCUUUUGCCUUUUGAGCCGAAAAUCUCAUUUUAGUUUCGCCCACAAAACUGUCUGGGCUAUUUGUUAUUAAAUGGUCGAUUUCUAGGAGUUUCUGCGUUGUAGAUGAAGCUAUGCCAGAAGUGACACCACUCUUGCUACAAAUAGGUUUCGAUAACCUCGGCACUUUAAAUUUUACUAGUUUGUUUUCAUGUUUCCCAUUUUGGGUAUCCUUUCUUGCAGGUUGAUUUGCAUGGGAUAUGCUCCACCGUGCCGCUUCCGCUUAACCAAGGAGUGCUCCUCGCUCUUCUACAGCAGUUAGCAUGCGACAUCAGCAACGAGACGUCACGUAAGGUCGCGUGGAUGACGGACGUGGCCGUUGCGAUCAAUCCCACCGACCCAAUGAUCUCGGUUCACGUGCGGCCGAUAUUCGAGCAAGUCUACAACAUUUUGGCCCACCAAAGAUCACUACCGUCCACGACAGCUUCUGAAGCUACCAAUAUCCGGCUUAUAAUGCACGUCAUCAACUCGGUGCUAAUGAGCUGUAAAUGAUCUCCGUCUCCCUCCCCCCCCCCACCUUCUGUGAUUUGUUAGUGUGCAGCUGAAACCUUUUGUAUAGGCUAAAAAAUAAAAAAAAGGAGAGAAAUUAGAGGGACAAUUGAGUAACGUUUGGACUUUUACUGGGGGUGUUUUGUAAUGUAAAUUAGAUGGUAGGAGACCGGUAUCAUCCCCCCUUUUCUCAUUUCGUCCAUCGUCGCAGUUCUUUUAAAUUUAGGGGGUAAAAAAAUUGCCAUCUUUUUUUCUUCUAUUUUAAUUUUGUUAAGUGUCUAUCAACAAAAGGUGGGCCUAAAGGUUUGUAUCUUCUGCUUUGUCGAUGAGCUAUGCUUUCUCUGUGGUGGCUAUCUUUUAUUAGCAGAGUCCUAAAUUGUUGUUACGUCCUUUGAAACUCUGGGAUUAUGAGGCUGAUAAUAUUUGCAGUAGCACAAACAUUUACUUGCUACAUUUUUUUUCUUUUUUUUGUAAGUGAAAACCAGUUUACUUCAACACAAACAUUGGUUGUGUCGAGUUCAAAGUUAAGCUUGUUUAGUCUCGCAGAUUUAUCCUUGCGACUGACCUUAAAAUUGCAUUCUAUGUACAUUGCGAAAAGCUGCUAAUGGAAGAGUUAUAAAUGAUAGCUGAAUCGUUGCUUUAUAAUCGAAACGGAAUAUUAUCUUAUGUCAAAAAACAACAAAAAAAUAGACUGAAUAAAAUGUUUCUACGUCCGAACAAAACUAAAUCGCAAUAUGGAAAAGAAAGGUUCAGCCACUUGAGAAAGAUUGGAUUCGGAAAUUUUUGUCAUAUCACGUUGUUAUCGCGUUUCGUCGUAUCCUAUUCAACGUUGGGUGCUCCAAAGCCGCGCAGCAAAAGUACCAAAAAUCUGAGCUACGCAUGACUGGGACAAACAACAGCAACAACAACAAAAACCGUGAAUACGAAGAUACACAUGCACGUGAUCCUCGAUAAAAAAAGACAUACUGAAUUCUCAGGUAAGUUUGUCUCCUCCGUGAUGGCGGUCCUUUUCGGGGAGCCACUUUAACUUGGAUUCGCGUGGCUAGUUAUGGCCUGCUGCUAAUCUCAGCCUACAGUUUGAUAUUAUAAUUGCCAAAAUUUCCUCUUUAAUUUGCAUUAUACAAAGCUAAAACGAUAAAAAAAUAUUUUCAAUUUAUUCUUCUCGUAUACUGAAGAAUUGCAAUUACAAUUGCCGCCGAAAGAAGCAUGUCACGCUCAGCAAUUGCGUCUCCUCUGUGAUCGUGGUCCUUUUUGCGAACCACCUUAUUUUGGACUCACAUAUGUGGCUAGUACUUACCAUUUACUUGUCCCAAAAACCAUUAUUUUUACGCUAUAUAUAUACAUGGAAAAAAAAAGUAAAAAUUAUUUUUAUAUUCUUUUAUACUACAAAAUUUCGGUUGCAACCGCUAUCUUAGCAUCAUUAUGUGCUAGAUGGUUGCAGUUGUGAUUUUAUAGCAUAAUAGGAGAAAAAAUUGGAAGAACUGAUGAAUUUUUUGAACCUUUCCCUGGUGUAAAAAUAGCAUAUUUUUUUAUCCACCACAUUACCAAGCUAAGCUUUACUUGGAUAUAACACAAUUGCACAAUCCCUCCAAACUUAAUUAGCUUGUUUUAAUUCCAUGGCAUUUUCAUUUUCCAUUUUUGAGCUCGACAUAAUAGUGCUUUUUUCCUUCUAAGUAAUUACAGUUAGUUCUGAAACCCUUCAUUCAUAAAGAUGGUGGCUUCAAUUCCCUACGUCCAUGCCUACUUCAAGUGUAUCUCAUCUGUUCCCAUCUUUAGGCUUUUGUCCGGGCAAAUUUUUGAUAGAUAAAUAGUUAAUUAGUUAACAGGUCUCUAAAGAGUAAUCAAGGGCAUAUUUGGUGAACUGCUGUUAAAUAAAAGCUAUUAGAAGAAGAACCAUUUCAUUCAAAAUCCUCCAAGACCUAGAAGCAUGUUAAUAUUGAUCAAAUGAAUGUUAAACAAUAUACAAAAUGGAUGUUGUGAUACUUCCAGAAGUAGGUGGAGGUGCAUGUGUAUAUGGUAGCUACCCCUCUCAUGCCCAUGAGUAAGCAAGAAUCUUAUUUAUCUCACAUGUGAUCUAUAAUCUUCUCGGUUGAGGACAAAGAUGAUUUGUCGAGAAAUUCUAAAAUGAUGGUCUAAUUAUGUUUUGAUUAGUUUUGUUUUUGCUUUUUUUUUUUUUCUGUGUAUUCAUGUUUCCGUGGUCUGACUUUGUUUCUGAAUUGAAUAGCAUUUUACUUUUUUGUAUUAAGUUAGUGAUAUUAAAUUUAUAAUUUCAUUUUGAGUAUUUCAUAUUGAAUAGAGCAGAACAGAUGCCCUUAAUACAUAUACAUCAAAAAAUAGUUUAAUAUACAACUUAUUAAUUUGACCCCUCACAUAUUAGACCAACAAUUAACUGCUUAAAUAGCAUAAAUGUUGAGGCUAAGUAAAGAGAAUUAUAUGCGCAAAAGCAAAGGGAAGUGGCUCGUCUUUGUUGGCACAACAGUAUCAUUCCCUUGUGUGUACAUUAAGGCAAAUGAAUGAUGAAUAUUAAUCAAUAAACCUGGUUAAUUCACUACGUAAUCUUCAUAAUUUUCGUGUUUUAGAAGAAACAAACUCAUCCAAUGAUUAUUCUAUUAUCAAUCAUUAGCUUUCUCUAAAUUAUCACAUUGCAAUCUCUCUGAAAUGACAAAUUUAUCCUUUCAAUUCUAUUAAUAAAUUUUAUACAAAUAAUAAUAAUGAUUAUACUAAUUAGUGUAAUUUGUUGGUACUUUUGUGAUUUCAAACUAGUUUUAUAAGAACUUCGAAAUAUAAAUAAGGGAAAACUUCAAACCCCCCCUGUGGUUUCACACUUUUUCAUUUUAGUACCCUGUGGUUUGAAGUGUAUCAAGUUAGUACCCUGUGGUUUCUCACUUUAUCACUUUAGUACCCUGUGGUUUAAAAUGUAUCAAGCUAGUACCCUGUGGUUUUGCACUUUAUCACUUUAGUACCCUAUGGUUUCACACUUUAUCACUUUAGUACCUUGUGAUUUAAAAAACUAUAGGGUACUAACUUGAUACAAAAUUAAAACCACAGGGUACUAAAGUGAUAAAGUGCAAAACCACAGGAUACUAACUUGAUACACUUUAAACCACAGGGUACUUAAGUGAUAAAGUGAGAAACCACGGGGUACUAACUUGAUACAUUUUAAACCACAGGGUAUUAAAGUAAAAAAAAUUGAAACCACAAGGAGGGUUUUUGAAGUUUUCCCUAUAAAUAAUAUAAAAUUAUAGAGGGUAAUUUGGUCAUUUUACUUGGGGCUCCAACUAAAACCUCCCUGUACUCCCGAUACGCCACCUAUGAUCCGACGCAGACGAUUAGACGAUCGUGACGCUUUGACUCAACACGUCAAACCGACGUGUCCUUUGGCUCUGACUCGGACCUAAACCGGCCCACCCAGGCACCUCACCCCGAGAUCCGGUCGGUCCACGGCCGGUCCGAACCCGGGCCCAAAAAACCGGGUCCAGUCCCGCCAGAAUAUAUUUUCUAGCAGCCAAUAGUAACUCGACACGUCCGUCCUUCCACGUCAGCAGGACAUAUUCACCACUCAACUUAAAAGCAGUAAAGCACCCACCGAAAAGUGUGGGGCCCACUUCCCAAAGAGUGGGUUCAAAAAGUGGGUGCGAAUGGCGGGUGAGAGGUGCGCCGAGCCGACCGUUGGGCACUUCCCGCCACUGCCACCCUGUCUACGGUUGGGAAUUGUGGUGGGCGCAUUUAAUAAUUAGCUUUUUAAUUUUAAUUUUAAUUUUUUUUUCAUUUAUUGAUGCUCCACGAUCCUAUAAAAGGGAUCGGGGAGGCAUAAUCCCCCUUUGUAAUUUGCUUUAUCUGUGUUUGUUCGAGGGAGUUUCUCUGAGAUCAAGAGAGAUCUCUCCUCUCUUAUUAAUUUGAGGGUUUUUUUUUUUUUGAAAAAAAAAGAUUUUUUGGGAGGGUUCGUGAGUGAUUUCGAUCAAUUUGGGGGGAUUGAAAUUGUGGGUUUGUUGUUAAUUUCUUAAUUUGAAUUGCAAAUUGGGGAAAAAUGACGGUUGGGGCUGGGAUUAGUGUUCAAGAUGGGAAUUUGAUGGUGUUGGGGACUAGGAUUUUAUCCGAUGUUCAUGGGAACAUAAUUUUGACCCCGGCGAGUGGGAAUGGAUUGAUGAACGGGGCGUUCAUCGGCGUUCGAUCCGAUCGCGGCGGAAGCCACAAUGUUUUCCCCAUUGGAAAGCUUCAGUAAGUUCUCGGAAAAAAAAAAAAUGCGUUUUUUGAUGUAUGAUGUAUCAGUGCUCUUUGAUUUCCUUUUCUUUCUUUUAUUAAUUUUUGUUGGUCUCUUUUUUCAAGUAUGUUUAUUGUUUCUUUCUUUUUCUUUCUUUUUUAGGUCGAUUUUCUUUCAUGGUGGAAAUAAAUAUAAUUGUGACAUGCAAUAAUUUGGCUAACAGAUCGCAUGCUAAUGAUUUAGUUUUUAUAAAUUUAUUUCCUUUCCAUCAGAUUCUAUGCAGUUCAUCAAUUAUUUCAUGGGUUUUAGUCUCAUGCAACAAUUUAUUAUUAUCAUUCAUAUAUUUCUGCUAGAAUUGUAUGAUAAACUCUAUAUCAUGCUCUCGGAAUCACAGGGAUUUACGAUUCAUGUGCACCUUCCGAUUCAAGCUGUGGUGGAUGACACAGAGGAUGGGUUCAUCCGGCCGAGACAUCCCCUUCGAAACCCAAUUCUUGAUUGUCGAGGGAACCGAUUGUUCACAAUUUGGGGAGGGGAGUGAAGAUGGGUUCGGUCGAUCCGCGGUCUACACCGUGUUUCUCCCAAUUCUGGAGGGUGCCUUUCGCGCUGUUCUUCAGGGCAACGCGAACGAUGAGCUCGAAAUUUGCUUAGAAAGCGGUACGAGUUUUUAGUAUUAUCUCCUUUUCCUCUUGCAAGUGUGAUACUGAGCUUAAAGAAAAAAGAAUUUCAGGAAAUCAAGAAAUUAUAAUUGUUUUCUGAGAGGUUAGUGAUUAAGGAUUAUUGCAUUUUGAUAUUUCAGGUGAUCCAGCGGUUGAAUCUUUCGAAGGAACCCAUUUAGUUUUCGUCGCUGCUGGAUCGGAUCCGUUUGAGGUCAUUACAGAUGCUGUAAAGUAAGUUUCCUGUACCUUCUACAAUUGGAAUUAUUUAGCCUUAUUGUCAUGCUCUUAGCAGGGCUUCCUCGCUUAAGUUAAUAGAUGGACCAAGCAAGAUAAUGAUUGUGUCCAACAAGUUUGGUAUAUAUGCGACUCAUCAAGUUUGUACUAAAACCUGAUUGAUAUAGUUUUUCUCGCAACCAAUAGAGACCGCGUAGUCUGUCAAUAAAGAAUGAUUUCAUAUUUUCGUGCCUUAGCGGUGGGAAAGAUCACAAAUGGAAUGUUAGUAAGAAAAGAUGUGCUUUUUUAUCGUUUGUUAGUCAUUACUGUUGGCUCAAAAUAGAGCUGAUUGAAGGAAUAAGCUCAUACGGCCGAUACAGAAUAAUUGAGGCUGAAGCCUUUUUGUAGGUGUUUAUGUUUCUAAUCCUAUGUCUACUACUUAUUUAUCUUGUAAACCUUUAACUUCUUAUAGGACCAUCGAAAGGCACUUGCAAACUUUCUCACACAGGGAAAAGAAAAAGGUAUAAUAAAAUCCUAAUAUCAUUAUAUAUAGGUUUCAUAUAUUCUUCAAUUGGUUACUUGGACUUAAUUAUAUUCAUGUUCUCAACAGAUGCCAGACAUGCUAAACUGGUUUGGUUGGUGCACAUGGGAUGCUUUUUAUACCGAUGUAACAGCGGAGGGAGUAAAGCAAGGACUCGAAAGGUGCCUUCGUAUCCUUCUACUUAUUUCUAGUGCUUAAUCUUGGCUGAUAAUUAGACAUCUCAUCUGUUUUGUUUUGUUCUCAGCUUAGAGAAAGGGGGAAUUGCUCCUAAAUUCGUCAUAAUCGAUGAUGGUUGGCAAUCGGUGGUCAUGGACCCAACUGAAAUUGCUACUGAAUCUGAUAAUGCAGCAAAGUAAGCACUCAAGAAGCACUUCUUCUGAAGCUGCUAUUUUGCAUGAACAUUUUUCGUUAUAAUUUGUCAAAAUGUUCUUGUAUUAACCGUUUCCCUCCCCCCCCACCUUUUUUUCCUUUUCUUCUCGAUUAGCUUUGCAAAUAGGUUAACCCAUAUCAAGGAGAACUAUAAAUUCCAGAAGAAUGGGAAAGAGGGCCACCGUGACGAGGAUCCAGCGAACGGCCUUGCUCAUGUUAUUUCCGAAAUUAAGGAAAAGCAUGAACUGAAGUAAGACAUCAUUGCUCUCUAUUAGACAAGAUGUAAAUUUUCAAUUUCUAACUGUAUUUUUUGAUAAAAUUGAUCGAUAAUUUUUUAUCUGAUUUUGAUUUUGAUUUUCUUCUCUCUCAGAUAUGUCUAUGUGUGGCAUGCAAUUACUGGUUACUGGGGUGGAGUAAAGCCGGGUGUUACUGAAAUGGAACGGUAUGAAUCGAAAAUGCAAUUCCCUGUUUCGUCCCCUGGCGUUCAGUCCAACGAACACUGUGAUUGUUUGAAUAGCAUAACAAAUAACGGACUCGGCCUUGUUAAUCCAGAGAAAGUGUACAAUUUUUACAAUGAACUUCACUCUUAUCUUGCCUCUGCCGGGAUAGAUGGGGUGAAAGUAGAUGUCCAGAACAUUCUAGAAACACUAGGUGCCGGCCACGGCGGAAGGGUACAGCUUGCCAGAAAGUACCACCAAGCUCUAGAAGCUUCUAUUGCAAUGAACUUCCGCGACAAUGGGAUUAUAUCAUGCAUGAGCCAUAAUACUGAUAACUUGUACAGGUAGGCCAUUCAGUCUGUAUCUGAAUUCUUUGGCAUGUUGCUUAUAUGGUGAAGUAUUAGGACAGGUGAAUUAAUACUCAAAUCUCUUUUGCUUUCUUUUUGGGGUUUUAGCUCGAAGAGAACGGCAGUUGUGAGGGCUUCUGAUGAUUUCUGGCCGAGAGAUCCAGCAUCGCACACUAUACACAUUGCAUCUGUUGCAUAUAAUACUGUUUUUCUUGGAGAAUUCAUGCAGCCUGAUUGGGAUAUGUUCCAUGUAAGUGAUUUUACAAUCGCUUUUUUAAACACCGCUAUGCGAUAAUCUACUAUAUUUAUUGCUGACUUUGGCUCUAUUUAUAAAAGAGUGUUCACCCUAUGGCCGAGUACCAUGGAGCGGCUCGAGCAGUCGGCGGUUGUGCCAUAUAUGUUAGGUAAAUUGAAAUUGCUUAGAACUUAAGUUUAGUAAUAAUUCAAAUUAAAGAUUCAUUACGUAUGUAUAAAAUGUUUCAUGCAGCGACAAGCCGGGAAACCAUGACUUCAACCUAUUGAAGAGACUUGUUCUUUAUGAUGGGUCUAUCUUGAGAGCUAAACUUCCUGGGAGACCCACAAGAGACUGCUUGUUUUCAGACCCUGCUAGGGAUGGAAAGAGGCGAGGAUCAGCAAUUUUUUGUUGAUUAACUUUUUUUUUAUCUUUCGCUUUAGUAAUGCUUUCUAACUGUAGUUUCUUUGAAUUUUUGAAUUCUUCGUUGCAGCCUUCUAAAGAUAUGGAAUUUGAAUGAGUAUUCUGGAGUUAUUGGGGCCUUCAAUUGCCAGGGAGCCGGCUGGUGUAGAGUUGGGAAGAGGAAUCUGAUUCACGACGAACAACCCGGGACGAUCACUGGGGUUAUCCAAUCGAAGGAUGUAGAUUAUCUUCCGAGAGUCGCUCAUGACGGCUGGGACGGCGAUGUUAUCGUGUAUUCUCAUUUAGGAGGUACAUUGCUUGCUCUUUUCCUUCGAAAAUCACUUGAUUCAGUUUAUCACAUAUGUUUAUCAUCUUGUAACUGGUUUUAAUUUUUGAUACAGGAGAGGCAAUUUACCUACCGACGAACGCAUCUUUGCCUGUGACGCUUAAACCACGUGAGUAUGAGGUCUUCACUGUCGUUCCGGUCGCUAAGCUAUUAAGUGGAGCCUCUUUUGCUCCCAUCGGAUUGAUCAGAAUGUUCAAUUCCAGUGGAGCCAUUAAGGAGCUAAGAUAUGAGUCUGCGGAAAAUGCGACCGCGGAAUUAAAAGUGCGCGGUUCGGGCACGAUUGGGGCCUAUUCAUCGGUUAGGCCAAAGAGAAUAACAGUUGAUUCAGAGGAGGUUGAGUUUAACUAUGAUGUGAGUUGUGGGUUGGUAACCUUUGAACUGGGGGUACCACAACAAGAGUUGUAUCUGUGGAAUGUCUCAGUGGAGUUGUAGAUUGGAGUUAUAUGCUGCACUUUCGGAGACUUUUCCACUCUAGGACUGAGAGAAGCCGAGUUACAAAGUAUGUAAUGAUGGAAGGAUCUCUUGCUUUCCUAAGCAUUGCACCUAAUCACUAGAUGAUAAGGAUGGAAGUGAGAUUUCUCUUUGCUUUGAUGCAUUUGCAUAAGAAUGGAAGUAAGGUCACCUUUGGAAGAGUAAGAGGGAGCUAGGAAUUUAGAAUGAGGGGGCUUAUGCAGUAUCACAAAACACUAACAUUUUGUAUUUUGGGGAGCUAAGGGAGUAUUUAAAAGAUCCAUUUAUGCGGAUUUAUCCUAUGCUUUUGCUGUUCUUGUUGUUGUAUUUUCAUUAUUUUCGGUGCUUAGUGAUGAAUUAAAUGUGCCCACUGUUGUAACCUUCAGAGCAAAAGGAGAGGCUAGUCUUUACUGUGGACUCGGGAUUAUUUUUAUUAAUAGGGUAUUAACUUCUCCGUGCUUUCAGGAUGAAUUGGGGACGAAGCUGAAGGGCGCCGCGUGGCGUGCGGGCGCCCAUCACGACCGUCCCUUUUCCUCACUUGCUUCUUUCUCUCUCUCUAAAAAAUCUGGAGUCCACAAUUUUUCCUUUUUUUUUUUUUGUUUCUGAGGGUCAUGAUGGGUGCCCGCACACCACGCAGCGCCCAUCGGCAUCAUCCCCAAACAAAUUCUUUAGGGACGAUGCCCACAAAAUUUUUGAGCACUAAGCCUAGGCAAAAGAGUAACUGGCUGGCUUUCAAAAUGGCUUGUCACUACUCAAACACAGUAGUAAGAUUACUGUAAUCACGUUGGGCAAUACUAUUGAUACAUCCUAAAAUAAUAUGCAUGUUUGAGGGUGUAAGAUCUACACCUCUUUUCGAGUGUAUAAGUAAAAUUUUUCUAACUUUCUCAUAUAUGGAGAGAUACUGUUGAGGUAUAAAUAUUUAUUUAGCAUAUUUUUUUAAUCUACAUAACAAGAUAUAGAAUUUGAUAGUCAAGAAACAUUCAAUUUGGUCUCUAGUUGAUGAGAACUAUUUGGUAGAUAUAAACUGUGAUUAAAAAAAAAAAGAUACAUGUACAUUUCAUUAGAGGUUAUACGCAAGGUUUGAAGUGCCGUGACAUGAGAGCGUACCGCUGUCUGCAUGAUACGAUACAACACUGGCAUGCUUCCUUGCCGAUAUAUGAUACGUCCGUAUGCUGAUGGAUACGUAUGACCUCCUACUGGCAUGCUUUCGUAUAAAUUUAUUUUAAUUUUUUUAGUUCCAAUAACCUCUUAUAACAUUAUUUUGAAAAAUUUAAUUAAAUAAUUAUGAAUAUUUGCUAUAUAUAAUUUACUAAAGUCAUCAAUUAAUAUACUUGUAAAUUUUUUUUUAUGUAAAGUACAAUUACACUUGAUGCAGGAUAAAAUUUUUACAUGCCAGAAUUUUAAAAAUGUAAAAAUAUCUUUUUUUUCUUUCUUUCGACCAUAUUACAAAUUUUUUUAAUAAAAUAUAAAAAAUAUUUUUUAAAAAUAUUUUUUAAAAAAUAUUUUUUUAUUAAUUUUUUUAAAAAAUAUUAGAUCUAUCAAAAAAAUUAAAUAAUAAAUUGUAUGAUAAAUAAAUUAAAUAAAUCUAAUUAUCAAUUGAUUUAAUUUAGCUUUUAAUUUUAUUAGUAUUUUUAAUCUUCUAACGCAGAAAUAUAGUUUUAUGUUUAAUGUCACUCAAAAUUUAUUUAUUGAAUUCUAUUUUGUUUCCUUAAUUAGCUAAAAAUUUUACGAUGCGACAAAUUUUGAUAAAAUAAUUAUGAAAAAAAAAUGUCUGUGAUGGAAAUGAAGGGCUCGGGCCGAUAAGGAAGGUGCGGGGGGCUUUGCCUUCUGCAGAAUGGAUCAGAUAUAUAAAUUAAAAUUUUAUCUGUAUAUUGAUAAAUAAAAAAUUUAAAUUAUUUUUUUUAAUUUAUCAAAUAAGUAAAUUUUCGAUUUGUAAUAUUCUUCGAAGGUGUGGAUGCUUCGGUGUAUCCCACAGAACAAAAUAAAAGAAAAGCAAAAAAAAAAAGUGUGCUGCUAAGGCACAGUGCUGUAGCAUGGGCUUGCGUAUCACUCCCUCUCGCGUGAUAUAUGUAGAUCCGUGCUGCGGCAACGGAGGGGGGUUCGAGACCCCCCUACACCGUGCCACCUUUUUUAUGGCACGGUAAGUGUCAUCCCAUGCCAUACAACAUAAGGCGGAACUUAAAACCUUUGGUUAUGCGUCUCAGUCACACACUAAUAUCAUUUAAAGGUUUGAAAACCAUUGAUAAGUAAAUCUAGACUUUUAAAAGGGCAUGAAAAAAAAAAAAAAAAAAAAAAAAACAUGGCGUAGACGACGCCAACCGCGCUCUUUAACUAAACCGCCGCCCGCGGUCGUCGUCGUCGUCGUCUCGCAUUUUCUCGCCGAAACUGUGGGCGCUCGAAGAGGCGAUGCUCGGGAGCAGGGUGGGAGCUCUCCUUCGUCGGAGCACCAAAACCCUAACCCUAAUCUCUCGAGAUCUGAGAGGCUCUCCUAGGGUUUACUCCCAUGAGCACCCCCUACUCUCUAACCCUUCGCGAUUCGCCGUCUCGGAACCCUGCGGGAGAUGCUUCCUCUCCAGAUACAGCUCCUUCUCCGCGUUCAGAUCCCUACCGAAGGUUCGAUCGCAUUUCCGCUGUGGUUUCUGUCAAAUUUCGAUUUGAUAUGGCUCUUAUGUACCAAUGAAUUUGUUGAUUUAGUUGUUCAUAAGAAUCCUUAUUUAUCAUUGUGUGGAUCAAACUUGCUGAGCAAUAUCCGAUCUUGAUCGAUGCAUUGUAUUUCGAGAAAUCUAUAAAGAUUUGUUGGAAAUGAUAUUUUAAGUUGGUUAGGGUUUUGGAAAGGUUUAACAAGCCACGUAAUUCACUAAUUUGAUCAAAACUAGCUGUAGAAGCAAGUAGGACCUAAAUGGCUUACUGUUUGAAGGAAAUUGGCGAUAAAUUAUAUUCAUUUUGACAUCUGAAGAUCACCAUAUUUCUGUCAUACUGUAUCACCGUAGUAAUUAAGUUAAAGAUUAGUUUCUUUCUGGGUGAACCUCAUUGUAGUAUUAGAAAACACAAGACGGAUAGUGGAGUUUCCAUUUCUUGAGAUUAUGUUCAGCUUGAAAACAAUCUAACAGCAAUAUUUACUUUCCUUUAGAGCUUAUCUGGUCAAUCUUCAAGGAAAAUGUCCACUUCAGCGACGCUUCUGAAUAAAACCAGGACAGAUGUAACAAAUGCAGGAUUGAAAUUACUCGUUACGAAGGGACCCCAUGCACAAAAGGUAGUCGGGAUAUGGCUUUUUGGUUGUGCUGCUUGGGUUUUCAGUUUGGUGGUUCUUGGUGGAGUCACGCGCCUCACUCGUUCUGGUCUAUCGAUGACCGACUGGAAAUUCACUGGUGCUCUGCCUCCAUUGUCAGAGGAUCAGUGGCGUCUUGAAUUUGAGAAGUAUCAGCAAUCGCCCGAAUACAAGCGGUAAAAUUACAUUCACUUCGCUUUUUAACAAAUGAAUGAACAUAUCAUUUACUACAGUGAUGGUGCAUGACUUUGUGCAGGGUGAAUAGAGGAAUGAAUAUGGAAGAUUUUAAGUUCAUUUAUUGGAUGGAAUAUGCACAUCGGAUGUGGGGAAGGGCGUUAGGUGUUGUGUUUGCUGUCCCAUUUGCAUAUUUUCUCGCAAAAGGGUACAUUACCCGCCAACUUGGAGUUAGACUGUCAGCUCUUUUUGCUCUUGGUGCUGGGCAAGGACUUAUCGGCUGGUGGAUGGUAAAAAGUGGUCUGGAGGUAUAAAAAUCCUUCAAUCUUCUAGUGCCAAACUGCUGAAAUGUCUAUUUACAGUUUACAAUAGUACAAGUUCUUCUUUUCCAAUUUUAGGAACCGGCUUCUGAGUAUGUUCAACCUAGGGUUAGCCCAUACCGUCUGGCAACUCAUCUCGCCUGCGCAUUUGGUAUAUAUUGUGGCAUCUUGCGGACUGCUCUGUCGGUAGUCAUGCCUGACCCUCCAACUGGAUCGAUGAAUUGGGUAAAUGGGGCAGCAAAAAUCCGAAAACUGGUUCUUCCUGUAAGUGUCCUUGUGGGCAUUACUGCUGCAUCAGGGGCUUUUGUUGCAGGAAAUGAUGCGGUAUAUGAUAGUAUUCUGCUGCUUUUCAUUUUUUUUGCUUUUUUUGAUGAUUGCUGCUUGACGAAUUUUCUACAUAAUUAUGUCUAAUUCUUGAUGUGAUACAGGGUCAUGCAUACAACACAUUUCCUAAGAUGGGUGAUUCCUGGAUCCCUGAUGACAUAUUUGAUAUGGAGCCACUCAUUCGCAAUUUUUUUGAGAACACGUCCACAGUACAGGUAAACUGUUUUUAAUGCUGGAUCAAAUUUUUGCUGUCUUUGCCAAUAUGCGGAAUGAAUAUUCAAAGUUUUAUUAUUUACGCUCUAAGUUUUUGCCAGAGUACUAAGGUAAACUUUGGACAAAGACAAUCUUAAUUAGAAUUUUCUGUGUUUGCAGCUCCAUCAUCGCAUUCUUGCAACAAGCACGUUGGUGUCAGUUGGUGCUUUGUGGUUGGCUGCAAGGAAAAUAGAGAUGCAUCCUGCAAUCCAGUCAUUGAUUGGGAGUACAUUGGGAAUGGCCGCACUUCAGGUAAUUAUCUUCCCUAUUUGAAGUACCACUUCGGGUGUCGUAAGUCACUUAGGAGAAACAGAAUUUUUCUUCUUAUGAAUUAUGUCUAAUUAUGAGAGGAGUAUCAUAUCACUUGAACUUCCAAAUAAGCUAAUGCAACCACGGAAAAGGCCCUAAGAAUGAAGUUUGUGUAGGUAACCAUUGUAUGACCUUGAAUCUUUCCAGGUGACACUGGGGAUAUCGACACUGCUGACGUAUGUCCCAGUCUCUUUAGCCUCAGCUCAUCAAGCCGGAGCAUUAACUCUGUUAACCCUAAUGGUCCUUCUUGUUCACACUGUGAGGAAGCCGUCGCCAUCCCUUCUCAAGUCGUUAGCUUCAGUGCCAAAAUCUAAGGGCUGACUUACAAAUUCCAUAAUACGUCAUAAUCUUCAUCACUACUGGAAGAUAAAAAAAACUGGCAGCUUUUCAUCUUUCAGUAGAAAAUUAUCGCCCAAAGGUGGUAGUAUAUUGUCUUUACUUCUUUAUAGUCCCUUAAUUAAGCAUGGGACUUCUUGCUGAGUAAAAUUCUUCAUUCGCCUGUCGCUGUUGCUGUGCUCUUCAAGCCCUCUGUGUUAUUGAUCAGGCCUCUGUAAGUGUACCUGUAUUACAUCUUUGGUUGUCUGACGAGGAGUCUAAGAAUGACUAAAAAAAUUUUGCACUUUCAUGUACUAUCUGCCAUGUAUGUUAAUAGCAGGGUAUUCUAGCAUCUUACUAGAGUUAAAUUUGCUAACUAAGUCUUAUGUUAUGAAGAAGAAAAAGAAUGAUUAAUCAAUUUCUAGCUAAACAGCUUUUAAAUCUCACGGGUGAGUGCUCCGAAGUUUUAAAUACUGCCAAAAAUUGACUUGUAGCUUCCUUUUCCCUCUUCAUUUGGCCCCCGUUUAACUUGACAUGAAAAAAUAUCAACCGCACCUUAAUGCAGGCAACGAGCACAAGCACAACAAGAUCACAUCCAAAAUGACAUCUUUUCUGCUGCUUCCUCAACUUUUCACAGCAUUCCAAGUGGAAUGAACAGUGUUACUUGGUUCAUUUGGGGCUUGAUAUCGGUCCCAGAUACAAAUGCAGCCUCUUUUAUUUAACAAUGCAUGCAACAUUACCCACCUUCAUUAUCCACCAAGGAUGAGAUAAUUCAAGCAACAUUCAAAACCCACAAAGCCAAAUUCUGGUCUCCAUCAAACUAGGCACAAUCUUCAAAUAAGUGUGCAGAUCUUUUGCCUGAAUUGUCCACACAUACAGCAUGCUAAAAGUAAGCUCAUCUACCGACAUAAGCUAUAAAUUCACAAGAGACACUAACUCUCCAGGAAAGAAAGCAAUUAAAAAGCUGUGAACAUAAUCCUUUGAUCAGCCAAUUCUUGAACCAAAAAGCUUAAAAUAGAUCUCAAAGCUAGUACAGAAUACAUGCUGCAAAAAGUGAAAAGCAGGCAACACUUCUAACGGCCCCGGCCACGACCACGGCCACGUCCGCGGCCACGACCACGCCCCAGCGGUCUCCCUGUUUUUGCAAAAACAAUAGCAGUGGGUCACGUAAAAUACUAUCUAAAAGGUAACAAAAAAAUUUUAAGCAUAAUAUAAUGAACAUAAAAAAUAGUAAAUAAAAAAUUAUAAUCUUACCUGCAGUCGGCUUUUUAGGCUUAACCCUAGGCGUCUCCUCAACCAGUAAAGUCUCCAGAUUUAAGCUGUCAGGUAGGAUAUAAUACCGAAUAUUGUUACCUCUCACACUGAGGUGAUCAAGUGUAACUGGAUUUUUUCCUUUCAGUGUAAGCUUCACCGUUUUUAGGUGUGUAUUCAUACUAAUAUCAACACCUGCAUUUAAAAAAGAAAAAUCAAUAUAACAAGCCUUAGUUCCUAUAUCACAAAUGGUUGGUAGAUGCACUACAACAACAAUACGACUCAAUUGGCAUGUCAAAUGAGCAUCAAGGGUAACAAUAUCUUUCUUGCAUUGCAUAAACUCUAUCUACAAUUAAAGCAUGAAGAUUCACUAGGCUUACUAAGUGCCGCACUUGGAAUGGAAUAGUUGUUGCAAUGGGAGUUAGGUCUAUUGUGAUUUUACAUGAUUAUCAAGCUAGUUUUAUUUGCUUAAGCUAAGCUCGUGUUCGAAAGUCCCGCCUGUAUCCAAGACAGCAACAAGUGACUCUUACAGGAAUCAACUGCUCAUUCAGAUUCACAAUUGAUGCAAAACAGUCCUCAACAUGUGAUUUUCAGAGAAACCAGAAACAACAUACCGCCUAUUAAAACCAUCCAUAUAGAGGUAAAAGAUUAAUGCAUAGAAAGUGAGAAGACAUACAAAAUUGACUGACAUACAAUAGAGAGCCUUCCCUGAUCAAAACAAUCUAACAUACCCUCUUACAAAGAAGCAAUUCCUCUUUUUUUUUUUUUUUUUUUAAAAGUCUCAAAAUAGCCAAGCUUAGAGAGGAACUAGCAAACACAUGUUGAUGCACAAUGUUCCGGCAGAUAAACCAAAAUAAAGAAUUUACGAUGAGCAAUCCUUGUUUUAUAUUGCAAAUAGCACACAACAAAAGAAAGAGCAAUCCUUGUUUUAUAUUGCAGAUGAGCACACAACAAGGAUUGCAGAUGAGCAAUCCUUGUUUUAUAUAGCAGAUAGCAUAUAGCCAUCCUUCUUCCUGCAAUUGAUCAGUUACUUCGUAAACUCUCUACCCAUACUCACUACACCUCUAUUAUCUGGAAGAUGUGAUAGAACAUAUAAACUACUUCCAAACCACCUACAGUGACUGAGAAUCAGUUCAAGACAUAAGAAUGAAACAAUUCAUUACAAAUUUCAACUCUAGUGCUCGGCAAGUCCAAGACAUUCGUUACUCAAAGGAGAUAUAGUAAGAUUCAGAUGUGCCUAAUGAUGCCUCAAGAAAAGAUGAGGUUAUCACAGUUCCAUUGUACAUAGUUGGAAAAACAUACAACUUACAACACCAUAGAUUAGAAACAACGACUAGUUGUAAUAAGUCAAUGAAAUUCUGCCAGUGAUUGUAUAUACUGAAAAAUGUAGCAGCUGAGCUGGUACAGCUCAGGAUACAUAACUUUUCAGAAUCAUCAAAAGCCCAGCCUACCACACACUAUAUCACUUAAAAAACUGAUAAAACUACAACUUCUUGAGCUGGUUAAGUUCAGGAUAUUGCAAAUAGUUUUUUAACUAUGUGAAGCCCAAUAAUAUCACUCAAUAUACCACACUCACAAAUGUAAUAAUCACCGAAAGCCCAAUUCAUCACACGCAAAAUUGCUUUUAAAAUCGAUAAAUGUAUCGCCGUCUAUUUGGUUAAAUUCGGUAUGCCUUCUCCCUUGUUGCCGUAAAAACUCUCUCUUUCCAAGCUGAGGCACCGCUUAAUACCCCAUAAGCAAAGGUAAGAGAUCUAGGUUCAACUGAGACUAAAAAUAACAGAUGGGGCCCGUUAUUGCAUCUGGUGAUAGCAGAGGUAAUGUGGUGUUUCUGCAGUCCUCUUGAAAGAGAAAAACACGCUUUCUACGCCAAAUUGAGAGGAUUUGAAUGAGAGAAAACAAGAACAGUUAUCUCCAUGGAAUUAAAAAACAAGAAGAAUCAGGGAGCAUUCUCGUGUUUGUUCAUUCAUAAGCACUUUCUUCUACAUGACAAAUCAUUUGAAAUCAAUAUGACGCACAAUCUACAUCACUCCAUUUCCACAUGCGGUCACCCCCGCAAAAUCCUUCGCAAAGGGGAAGCGAACAUAAAACCCUAGCAGCAUCAUAAAAGCAAAUCCCUAUCCACGAAUUUUCACAAAACCCUAGAAAACUACACUACCUGAGAACAACUAGAGACCAUAAAGAGAGAGAGAGAUAGAUGCGACGCAGCUAGGGCUUCAAAACCUGUGCGCAAAGCCGGCUUGUCGCAAGCGGGAGCUUAAACCCUUAUUAUUAUUUGUAAAUAAAAGACGAAUAGCCAGUGCAGAUGGAUCGGACCGGCCCAUUUAUCCAACGGCCCAUUUCUCUAAAAUAGCAGUUGCCCAGUUGCUUUAAGAUGGGUCGCAUCCAAUUACUUUCGACGCGGGGGAUGCAAAUAGAUUUAAGUUGGUGGAGCUCCCACCAGCGAUCCAACCGAAUAGGGCAAAGUAAAUGGGGGGCCAAAAAUUUAAAAAAAAUAAUAAUCUAUCUUUGAUCCUUUGAGAAAAAUGAAACGGAAGUUGGGUCAAAAUUUUGCUCCUGUCCUAAUCCAGUUUGAAUGAAGUAUUACGUAGAAUUACUUAAAAAAAAAGAUAAAAAUUAGCCUAUCCUGACCAAUCUGAUUUGUUACAUAAAACGCAAAGUAUUGUAUUUCAGCAUAAAAAUCAUAACAAUCGUAGGGAUGCAAAUGGAUCUGGAUUGGUAGAGCUCCCAUCCCAAAGGGGUAAUAAACAGGAAGAAAUAAACGGAUUAAUGACAGAAAACGAGAUAAUUUUUAUGAUCCAAAAUGGAUUCGGGCAGAAAAUGAAAAAAAAAAUUUAUCCACUCCGAAUCCGCCCUGCUAUGAUCCGUCUCGAAUCCACCCCAAAAAUUAUUUAUAGUUUAAAAAAUAUUCAUAAAAAAUAAUAUAUUUAUAAAAAGGUUCAAAAUACAAAUGAAUUGACGUCUUAUUUCUCAUAUAUUUGAAACUUUUAAAUUUUACUUCGAUUUGUGAUUGAUAUUUUUUAUUUUUAUAAUUGAUGUUGUUAAUAUAUAUAUAACUUAGUAAUAUUAUUCAUUAUUAUUAAAAAAAUAUUAAUUUAUAUUUAUAAAAUAUUAAUAAUAUUAUAAUUUUUAAAACAUAUUAAUUGGCGAGGCAGAUUCGAGGGGUUGGGAAGGUGGGUGUGACGCCCUACUUCCAAGGGGUCAUCCAUUCUAAGAUUACUCUUAAUCCUAGCACGCUUAACUCUUUAACCUCUCGGACCUAGUUACCAGUAAAGAGGUUUAGGACUACUAUAUCUUAUAUAUAAGAUUAUUUGGGAUCUCAUAUUCUCCCAUCCUUUAAGUUCUUAUGUUCUCGUCAGAUUCACACUCACAAGUUCAAGCAAUGUGAGACUAGUCUCGUAAAUCUUAACCGACCUUGUUGGGGAGCCGCACUCUAUCGACAACAGUUAUCAGUAUGAGAAUUUCACUCUCCCCGCUGUAUAACCUGACUUAGCCGAGAUUAAUCUCACAUUUUCGGCUGGUAAUUGACUCUGAUAAUAAUUGUAAUGCUUGACUUUGCAAGGGGUCAUCCAUCCUAAAACUACUUUAACCCUAGCACGCUUAACUCUCUUAAACUCUUGAACUUAGUUACCAUCCAAAAUACUAUAACUGGUUAAGUGAUUUAGCCAUAUAGCAUCUCGUAUAUAGGACUAUCUCGGGUGUUAUAGUGAAGCGGAUUAUGAGAUAUAUUUUUUAACCCAUCACAAAUUCGGGAUGGGAGGUGGGACAGAAUUUUUAUAGUCGAAGUGGGAGGCGGGACCGGACUCCUGCCUUCAGACCCGCCGCGUUUGCAUUCCUAAACAAUCACUGCAUAGAGUUGUAAUUUAUUAUUCAAAGUGUUAUCUACGAGGUUGUUAUUUGACCCCAUCAUGCACCUAGCAACUUCAAUAUUAUUAACUUCAAAAUACUAAGGCUCGGUUUGAGGUCCUAGGAUAAUCAUAUCGUAUUGAAUAAUAUUAAAGUUCCUUCACACAAUUUCUGUUAGCCGAGUAAUAUUAGGCGGCCCUUAAUACCAAAUACAACCCUAGUUAAUGGUUUAAAGUUACUCCUUUUUCACUUCAUUAAACUCUUCAUUGGAUUCCAUGGUCUUUCCAUUUAUAGCUUAUCCUCACAGUAAAUGAGCUACUUAAUUGACCAAUUAAUCAAGCGAAGAUAUUCCACUGGCACCUGCGUUUCCUGCAGUAACUGCUAAAAUUAGAGGCUCCCCACUUUUUGGUAGUCAUGUGUAUUAAUUCGUGCAAUUAUUACCUCACUAAGUCAAAUCAACAGUAUUAUCCAAAACUGAUAAUAAUUAUCAUUAAAUUUGAAAAUCAAAUUCUCAUUUUUGUAUAUUGUACUUAUUACAUAAUAAAUAUUUUUAAUAUCGUUGUAUUACGCAAUAUCUUAUAGCCUUAUGGGAUAUGUAAAAUUGGUAACUAAGCUCCUAAUGGUUCACAAACUGGUCCCUUUUGCACGCAUAAGCUGUCACCUUAAGGGAGCACAGGAGGGCCCACUCCUUUUCGAUUGAUCCAAUUGUGCACGAGCUUACGACAGCUAAUUAUCAAUAAAUUUGUAAUUAAUGAGCUAAUUAAUGGUUGAAACUAAUAUUCAAUAGUAAUAAUAAUAAUUGGUAAUGAUAAUAAUAAUAAUAAUAAUAAAGAUAAGUAUGAAACAGUAAGAGCUCCUAAUCUCUCGUACAAAUUGUGGUUUGUAUUCGACCCGUGUACGGUGCAUCCAGUUAAUCACCCUUCUACGCGAUCAAGCUAAUCUUAUGAUUUUUUUUCUUUAGAGAGAAAGAUAGAAUGCUAUUUGUUUCGUUUAUUUUUUAAAAAAAUAAAUUUUUAGUUGAAAAUAUGAAACAACUAAGAAUUUAGAAUUUUGAAUAUUAAUUAUCAAGCCUUUAAUCAUUUACUCCAGAAACAGUCGGUUAAUCGCAUGAUUGUUAUAUUCCACGGAUCCAAAUCUUUGAUAUGGACAAAAUUUUAAGAUUUUACAUUGCACUUGUGAACAACUUUUAAUGGUCUUCCAAAAGCUAGGUGGUGCAUACCUUCCUAACUCUGUCGCAAAUUACUAUAUGUGCCCCUAUAUUACGAUUCAUACCGUUAAAUAUUAUUUAGACCAUUUAAAAGUUUUAAAAAUCAAAUUUUAUAAUUUUUUAACAUCAUUUGUCUUACGAUCAAAAAGUCAUAAAAUUGAUAAUUUUCUACGGUAGGUAUGGGAUACUUGUUAAUUUAACAAUGUAAAAAAAUGGAAUAGGCUAAAUUAUUGAUAGAAAAUUUUAUUCACUAUCUAGAUAAAAAUCAAUAAUUCUGAUCGUAAAUUGAAAAAUCUGAUCAAUUAUUUUUAUGACGUCAUUUGAUUUUGAUCGUUCAUUUUAUACCCGCUUAAUAGAUUUUAUUAUGAUUUCGAAAAAUUACGAAAUUUAUUUUUUACAAGUUUCAAAUAGUCUAGAUCAUAUCUAAUGAAAUAAACCGUCGAUUAAGAAGCUUCAUCAUCAAAAAUAAUUUAUAAGUAUGAAAGGCUCUAUACUUAUAAAAAUAUAGUAGCCCCUCUCUCUCUCUCUCUCUCUCUCUCUCUCUAUAUAUAUAUAUAUAUAUACACGCACACUCAAAUUGGAUGCGGUGCAUGAGGAUAUUUGGAUACACCGGGUACAGGCAACUAUAUCUCCCCAAUCACGCAGAAGGAACCUCGUAACGGACGAUUCUGACCCUCCCAACUCUCCACCUAACCGCGCACAGCAACGAGCAAGUUAAUUCAUCUCACAGGGGCAAAAUCGGAAUAGAAAAGUAAGUAUGGUUUUACGAGCUUCGAGCGCCAAUUGUAUGCGCGGAGAUGGUGAGCCAUAAAAGGAAAGCGCUAAGUGCGCCCACAAAAGCCCACGAAACGAUAACAAGGAAAGAGAGACUGAGAGAGAGAGUGUCGAGAGGUCCGCUUAAACGGGUUAUCGGGUACAGCUUAGGGUCCGCGAAGCUCGAAAACCAAAGCACCUCGAGCUCCUACGGCUCUCUCUCUCUAUAUAUAUAUGGAACCAAAGAAACCAACCGAAGGCAUCGUCCCCUUAUUGUUUCCUCGUGAGCGAACGCCGCAUCGUCCGAUCGAGCGAACUGAGGUACGAACACAAUGUGUUUGCGUGCACGGUCGAUCGAUCUCUAAUGCGAACAAAAUUUUAUGACUCAUUUUAUUUAUUUAUUUAUUUAUUUAUUAUAUUUAUUUAUUUAUUUAUUUAUUUAUUUAUUUAUUAUAAUAUAAUGUUUGUGGAUCGAAGGUGAAUGGAUCGUGAGAGCAAGAAGAAGCGAGGGAGGGAGGAGGACGCGGCGAGGGAGUCGAAGAACGCGAAGAAGCGCUAUGAGGACGUGGCGGCGGAGGGGGUCCAAUCGUGGGGCGACGCGUGUCGGCCGCCGCCGGGGGUGUUCGAGUUCCCGUGGGAGGGGAAGGGGGCGCGGGAGGGGCUGGUGGCGCUGGAAUCGGACGGCUGGGACCUGCGCCACGUGUUCUUCUCGUCGCUCGUCGACGGCCAGCGCGCCACCAUCGGCAUCCCCGGGGACCGCCUCUGUCGGCCGAAGCCGGCCCCGAUCGCCAUCCCUGAUGGCGAUCCUCGGCCGUCCAAUGACGCCGACGCCGACGCGGAGUGCAUCUGGGCCGCCGCGCUCCGCGAGCCCCUCGUCCCUAUCGUGUGCACCGGAGGAGAGAGAAAGAUGGGCUAAGCGAAUGUGGCUGCAGUGGCGGCGGCGGCGGUGAAGUGAUAGAGGUCAUCAUUCCUCUCUCUCUCUCUUUCUAUUCUUAUCAUAAAAUUAUCAUAAAAUUAGGAAAAAUAGUCCAAGUGUCGUCAUAUAGUGGAGAUAUAUAAGUGCUAAAUAGUUUUGAAAAUGUCAAUUGGAGCAUUUCUGUAGAAUACCAAACAAUAUAUAUUUGAGUUACAAACAAAAACUGUUUUAGAUUUUUUUUUUUUUUUUUUUUUUUUUUUUUUGGGAGGGGUGGUGGGGAGGAGGAGUAAAGCAGAAGCUCUAGCCAACAGGAACAUGGAAAAUCUAUCGACACUGUAAGAUGACAAUGAAGGAAACAAAUUAAUGUUUUCCUCUUUAGUUGCAUUCUGAGUAUUUUGCAUGAAAUGUUGAGUUUUAUAGAUUGUAAUAUUGUUUGCAGUGAGUAGAUCAAUUAUUUUUACUGCACAAUUUUGCAUCAGGUCGUAGCGUAUCUGUUGCAUUCUUAGUAAUUGGAUAAUAGAGAAAAUAUUGGUUCAAUGUGCGUGCAGUUUGGGCAAAUGGACGGAUCAAAUUUCUUAUCAAUCGUGACACAUCGAAUGGCCAUGCACGUUUAUACGUUAUUCGACGUGCUAAAUCUGCUGUGCAAAGAUAAGGAAGGCUAUAUCUGCUGUGCGAAGAUAUCGAAGUAUUUAAUGACUGAAUCAUUUUCGAAUCAUUGGCGGCACGUCCAAUGAAUGCACGGCUGCACGUAUCUUCGAGGUUCAGUAACGCAAAUGCGCAUAUUUGGUCUUUCUCUAUCAAAUAUAUAUAUAUAUACCUAUUUAUAAAUAAGUUCAUACGUGUGUGUACGUAGUACACCGUGGACGAUUAACGGUAAUAACGGUUAAAUUGAAGAGCUUUGUGCAGUAGAUCUCCUGGCUAUAAAUAAGUGAAUUUGCGCGAACGAUAGCUGCAGUUAAUGAAAGGCAAGAAACGACUUCGUUAUCCAUGAAAUAAUUACGAUAAGCGGCGGCACGUCCAAUGAACGCACCUCUGUGCGUAUCUUUGAGGCUCAGUGACGUAAAUGCGCAUUUUUUUGUCGCUUCCAAAAAUAACCUAGCUAUAAAAGAAGUGAAUAUGCGUGUUUAGUACACCGUGGAGGAAUAACGGUAUUAACGAUUUAACUGUGGCACUUUGCAUAUAUAUCUCCAAAUAUAAAUGUGCAAAAUGGGCAUAACAAGCAUCUUUGAUCAUUCUACUCAAGUAGUCACUUAUGAUCAAUAACUUGUGAAUUUCCUCUUGUUACUGUUGAUAUAGGUCAUUUUCAUAAUUCGAUAUUGAGAGAUCAUUAGAGCCUCGCUUAUUUGGGAGAAAAUGACUUCAACAAAAAGAAACUCAACCUUAAAAAGCCUUUGGGGGCCACUUAGAUGCAGUUUUUGAUUAUUCUAGCUAGGAGUUGGCUCCUAUUCCAAGUUCAUAUAUAGUGUCUUAUAUAGUUCCUAGUUUAUCCUCACUUUUGUGCAAAGAAGAGAUAACCUUCACUAUUGAGAAUGAUAAAAUAUUACGAACUAACAAAAGUAACUUCCUCAACUAUUCAGGGGAGAAUUGGUUGAUUGUAAUAAAAAAGAUUCUUCGUUUUGGAUUAUAUUGUACAGAUAAGUAAUCAUCGGAGAGGAAGAUGAUCGUUGAGUAAUAGAGUGUAAAACCUCUUGUUUUAGACGUACUAUAUAUCAUGCGCCUACGUACGCACUACACCAAAAGGAACUUUUUGUGGCAAUUAUUUAGCGGUGAUUAUCAAACGGCCGCUAUUACUAUUAUUUUAUUACCCUUUAGCGGCAAUUAUUUUCAAAUAUAUAGUUUUAACCUACUCAUGUUUAUAUAUUAAAUAUAAUCCUAACCCAACCUAAACCUAACCCAACUCACCCGAACCCUCGCCCUCUCUCUAUCGCGAGCGUAUCUCCCCCACCCCGCCCNCUGUGCCCUGUCGCUUGGCCUCCCCUUCUUCUUCUUCGCCGUUGUCUUCUUCUCCGCAUCCAGCCCGACCCCGUUCGCCGCGGCCGCUGCCGCCGCGGUGACGGGAUCGGGCUGGGGGCCCGCGGCGGCGGAGGAGAAGAGGAGGGGGUCGCGGGCGGUGGAGAGGAGUGUGAGGAGGGGGGCGACGGUGAAGAAGAAUGGUGAGGAGGGAGACGACGGUGAAAAAUACAUUUUAAGGAUUAAAUCUUAUCUAUGUUGUUACAUCAAUAAUUUAUAAAAAUAAUAUAUUUGUGGGGGGACUGUUGCAGUAGAGGCUAAAAUAAGUGAUUUUAUAUUUUUAACGUCCAAAUUUUUAUUCUUGUUAAUUUUAUUGCUAUUGAAAAUUUUUUUUAUAAUAAUUAUUUCAUCUGUGAUACAUGUAUAUCUCUCAAAUCAAUUCAUGGUUACAACUAAUUAAGGAUAUAAUAUAAUUAAUUUAAAUUUAUACAAUUUUAAAAUAUUAUUUACAUAUGUUUAUACAAAGAUAAGAAUUCAAUUAACUGUUAUUUAUUUCUAUUAAGUUUACAUACGAGAUGAAAAUUUUAGCCCACUUGUUAUCCUCUUGUGGUCUUUAUAAGCAAUCUAGUGGAAUGCCCAAAACACCCUCAAAAUUCCACAAAAGACAAGCGCUCAACGGAGGAUAAGGUAGUAAAUCUAACAUCGAAGCCACGUGGCACCCGAUCCUUUUCCCACGUCACAUCUCAGUCGCUCAUUUCGCGAUCUUAAAACGUUAAGCAAAGCGCGGCGUUUUCGCUAAAAUAGCAAGGAAAUUUAAUUUCCUCUCAUAAAAAGGGACAAAAAAAAAGAAAAGAAAAUUGCAGUACAACGUAGAUCCAGAGAGAGAGAGAGAGAGAGAGAGAGAGAGAGAUGUAGAGAGCAGCUACUCGCAACAACGAAGAAGAAACAGAGCUCGAGAAGCGAUUUGUAGAAGCAAUUUUGGGGGGCAUUAUUUACCGCUUUUGCGUCGCCAAGAAGCGCUUCUGGGGGUCGUCGGGAGCGGAGGAGAUGAGGUGCUAACAUGGCGACGAGGAAGAGCAAGAGGAGGACGGUUUUGGGCUUUCUCCUUCUCUCCGUUCUCGCCCCCAUCGUUCUCUACACCGAUAGGAUCACCAAGUUCUCCAAUUCAAUCCGUAAGUGUUCGAUUCGAUUGGAAGAGGCCGAAAAGUACGAUCUCGAUCGGUGUUCUCUUUCUUUUUUGGUGUUAAAUGGUGGUUUUUAUUUUUAAAUUUAAAUUUUAUUUUAUUUUUUGCAGCAAAUAGCGAUUUUGGUCGUGAAAUUCCGAAUCGGGUAAGUUCCCUUUUUUUUUUUUUUUUCCCUGCUCUUUAAUUUUGUUACAUUCGCUCUCUGUUUUUAAAAUCGUGAAGAAAAUGCUGUUCUUUUUUUGGUCUAUUUCCUCUAGGUUUCCGUGAAAUUUUAGUUGAUUAUUCUACUAGUUUAUGCUAAAAAUGUAUUCAUUUGGGUGGUUAAUUUUGAUGCGAACGAUCUGGUUGUAGGUGUCCUUUGAUUCUCUUCAAGAACCCGUUCGGAUUGUUCAUUCUAAGAGCAAUGCCGAUGCGAUCUCAGCUCGAUCGGUGAUCGGAUUCACUGCAUUAACAGCUAACGGUGAGGUUCCCUCUUUCCCUCAUUAUCAAGUAAUUAGUUUCCCCCAAAUUAUGACGCUUCAUUCUAAUUUGUGGUUUUUGACGAGAAUAGAACAGUAAAAGGGCGUUUUUUUAACGGAGUAAGGGUUAAGGUUUGAUUGAGUGCCACGUUUUCUGUAUAGAAUUGCCACGUGGGAUCUCAGACGAGCAUAAGAGCCGAGUAUUAUCGGCUACCUACGAUGAAGGGAAGCAGUUGGAAAGAGACAGCUCAGAUGAGAAAGUCGAUGCAACAGAUCAGGAAAAGGAGAGGGGAUUAGACAAAGUCGGAGAUCAAGAACAUAAGAGUCGGGCUUUAUCGGUGAUGGAUGAGGGGAUUCAAUUGGAAAAGGAGGGCAUAAUUGAGCAAGUGGUAAGAUCGGCGAAUCUUGCAGAGGGGGAGAAGAAUAUGGAGAAUAAUGAGGGCACUCAAUCAGAAAACAAGGGCAUGAUUGAGCAAGCGGCAAGCCGAGAAAGCGACAAGAAGCCUGAGAUGGAAGAAAAGAACAAAGAGAAGAAGAUUGAAGCUCCGACUUUUCCAUGGAAGCAGGUAAUUGGGCCUAUCAAAUUUCAUUAUAGUCUUUAGCUUCUAUGCGGAUGGAACUUUUAACUAAUUCCUUGGACUAAGAUGAAAGAAUGAGAUUUCCGAAUUUGACUAUAGUUAUGUGACUUGGUCAUCAAAGCUAAAUAAUUUCAUGUACCUGUCUUUGCAGAGAUAACUUCAUCAUAUUAUAGUUUCUCUUUUUUAUUUGGGUAAACACUAAACACUAUAUUUGUGUAAUAUUGGAGAUAUGUCAUCAUAUUUUUGCGUCAUUUGUUUCAAGAUUUGAUUGUAGAAUUUCAAUACAACCAGUGAAGAUAAUUUGGAAGUAAAAUUAUUUUCUUUUUACUGGAGGUUGCUCUGAGCGCCAUUUAUUAUCCUUUUUCUGAUGGACUUAUCCCUUAAAAUUUAAUUUUGUUAUUUGAUGAGUCAAUGACUACAAAGAGGACGUGAAAGGUAUCUUAAUUAGCUGCCCUAUUGUCUUAGAAGAGAGGCAAACUGUUGUUGCAUUUAUGUUCUGUGUCAAUUUAGCCCCUUCAGCAAAUUAUGCCAACUCUGCGGUGAUUAAGACCCUUUGAAUGUCUCUAAAGGGGUUUCCAGAAAAAUAUUGUUGGGGGUGGUGAGAAUUGUAUUUUGACCCAAGGUUUUGUUCUAUUCUCCUGUCAUGCAUAUUUUCUUAUUAUCUAAUCACUAUCCGUAUUAUAUUUGUUAGUCUUUACUUUCUGGAUUGACCAAUUGAUGUGGUUUAAUUGAAUCUUUAUCAGUUUUUGACCAUUCAUCUACUCAUUGAGGAAAUAUAGCUUUCGGCUUAGGGGUUUUUUUUUUUUUUUGUCCUGGAGAAUUGGCCUACAUCUUGUCUCUCCUGAUGCUUGAUUUCUUCUUUUUUUCCCCCUUUUUUUGGCUUUUGAAAUCUGUUGCUUGAAUACCCUCUUUUUCUUUCCUAAUUUAUUCAUUACUACAUUUUGCUCUAUUAUCCAGGGAAAUAAGGAUGGAAAGCCAUCUGAACUAGUUCCUUCUCAAGUUCGUACUCGAAAGCAUAGGAGGAGAUCCACUAAUAAUGACCGUAGUGGUGCCACGACUUUACCUGAUGUUAGAGUGCGCCAACUUAAGGAUCAAUUAGUAAAGGCAAAGGUUUAUCUUGGCCUUUGUAGAAGCAAUACCAACUUCGUCAGGGAGCUUCAAGCUCGGAUAAGAGAUGUUGAACGAGCACUUGGCGAUGCAACCAAGGACUCAGAAUUACAUAAGAAGUACGUUUUUUGGUUUCACUAAUUAGUGUUUUGACCUUGUAACCUUACAUCGCCUGUUAUUGGUUUGCUUUGUUGUGAAAAAAUUUCACUAAUUGUCAUUGGUUUGCUAUGACCUAGUAACCUUUUAUCCCUCCUUUUCCCCUUUGAUCAACGUGCUGUUUGACUUCAGAUAAUUCUUUCCAAACUUAACCAUCAUUGUAACUUUUCUGAUGGAAUAUCUACAGCUUAAUAAUAGAAUUUUUCAAAGUUUUUGACAGGAACUUUUUGAGGGAACUUUUAAAAUUGAAUAAAAAAAAUUUAGUUGAGAAGUUUAGAUCCAAAAAAUUUAGUUGGAGGUUCUGUUUGAAAAUGCAGUUGUGGAUGUAUACGCAAAUUUUGCAUUUUCUAUAGUUUGCUAGUUUAGAAUAUGUUUAGUCUGAUUAACAAGUUAAAACAUUUGAGAUUAGUUUUAACAUUUACACCUAGUAGCUCUUUUUUAUAUUGUGUUGCAUUAAUCAGUUCACGUGUACACCUAGUAGCUCUUUUUUAUAUUGUGUUGCAUUAAUCAGUUCACGUGAGAAACUUCGGGCGAUGGAGGAAACAUUGGCCAAGGGGAAGCAAAUUCAAGAAAACUGCUCUGCUGUUAUCAACAAACUCCAGGCGAUUCUUCACUCCACUGAGGAACAGCUCAAUGCACAUAAGAAACAGGCUAUCUAUUUAACACAGCUAGCAGCAAAAACUCUACCAAAAGGCCUCCACUGUCUUCCCCUGAGACUCACCACCGAAUUUUAUAUUUCAAAUGUCAGCCAGGAGGAGUUUCCAACUCAAGAAAAGUUGGAAGACCCCAAACUCUAUCAUUAUGCACUCUUCUCUGACAAUGUUUUAGCUGCAGCAGUGGUUGUGAAUUCUACUGUCUUGCAUGCUAAGGUAAGCUAUAUGACUUAUACAGCUACAAACGAACCAGACCAGAUCCAAGUUGAGCCAAAAACUGUGCUGCUUAGUGUUUUUUUUACCGUGGCGUCUAAUAUAGCUUCUCCUUCAAAAAGCAUGAACUUCUAGAAACUAGGUGUUUUGGCUGAUAAUAAUUUUGAAGCUUUUGUGGUGAUGAAAAGCUAAAAUGAGAUUUUGAGCCCCUAAAGUAGAAGGUCUAAUUUGAGGCAUCUCCUUUGUCUACGGGCAAGUAGCUUUUGAAUAGGUUGUAAUGAAAAACUUGUUACUGCUUCUUCAGACAGCUUUAUUUAAAUUGUGCUUCUACUUGGACGCUCCAGUGGAGCUAAGCUUUAGAAUUUGGGGAUAUUUGAACUCUGCCUGAAGCUUAUAAACUAUGCUUAGUCUUGUCUUGUUAAUUUUUGAAUUGAGCCUUUCGAUCUGGAAUUAGUGUGAAUUUCUUGCUUGUGUUCAUCUUGCUUAUUGGGUUAAGGCUUAAAAUAUAGGUUGACAUUGUCUUCUCCUACAAGCUAUUCAAGCUACACAGAGCUUUUACGAGUCAAAGUCCUAGUUGCUCACUAUCAGCUUUACUUGUUCCCAGCGUUAUUGAUUGCGCUUUUCUUACCAUUUCCAUCAAUAAGAGAUGAUAUUUAUUUAUGAUUUGACCUUUAUUUUCUUGCAGAACCCAGAGAACCAUGUCUUCCACAUUGUCACUGAUAGACUUAAUUAUGCAGCCAUGAAAAUGUGGUUUUUAGCUAACCCGCCAGGCAAAGCGACCAUCCAGAUUCGGAAUGUUGAAGAGUUCACAUGGCUAAAUUCCAGCUAUAGUCCGGUUCUGAAGCAGCUUGGGUCAAAAUCCAUGAUUGAUUACUACUUUAAGACUCAUCGAGCUAUCUCUGAUGAAAACUUGAAGUUCCGAAACCCUAAAUACCUCUCCAUCCUGAAUCAUCUUAGAUUUUAUUUACCCGAGAUAUUCCCUAAGCUUGAUAAAGUGCUUUUCUUAGACGAUGAUGUUGUAGUCCAACGGGACCUUACUGCCCUUUGGUCUAUUGAUCUCAAAGGGAAAGUUAAUGGUGCGGUUGAGACUUGUGGCGAGAGCUUUCACAGGUUUGAUAGAUAUCUCAACUUCUCAAAUCCUCUCAUUGCCGAAAAUUUCAACCCUCGGGCUUGUGGAUGGGCUUAUGGCAUGAAUAUAUUUGACUUGGUUGAGUGGAGAAAGCAGAACAUAACUGAUGUCUACCACUCUUGGCAGAAGCUGGUAAAUUGCAUUAAUCGCUUACAUAACCAUGCAACUAGUUACUAUCUUUUGUACGUUUUUGUCCUUUUUGUGUGCAUUUCCUGGGUUUUGGUGGAAAAUUCUUUGCUUAUGGUCAUGUCUCACACUUAAAUUUCAACUGAGUUACUCAAACCUUUUUUUAAUCUUUUAUUAGGUAUAAUUUAUGCUUGUCAUUACAUCAUGCUUUGAACCUGAAUUCUGGUGUUUACUAUAUGCAGAACCAGGACAGACUAUUGUGGAAAUUGGGAACUCUUCCUGCUGGUCUUGUUACUUUCUGGAAUCGCACUUUGCCCCUCGAUCGGUCGUGGCAUGUUUUGGGUCUUGGUUAUAACCCAAACAUUCGCCAAGAGGAUAUCAAAAAGGCGGCAGUAAUACACUAUAAUGGCAACAUGAAACCUUGGUUAGAGAUUGGAUUGCCCAAGUAUCGCAGUUACUGGUCCAAGUAUGUGGAUUUCAACCAAGUUUUCCUAAGGGAAUGCAACGUAAAUUUCUAAAAAGUUGAGGGUGUCCUUAUAUUUCUUUCUUAGUAGGCCUUGUGGAUGUAUAUUCAGCGGAAGGUUUAGUUCUUUCCCUCAGCUUUUCUUUUCUCCACUUUCAAUAACAUGUUUAGAUUUAUUCUUUGUGCUCUAGAAAUGUAAAUUUGCUAGAGCUUCUAUUCUUGUCAUCCUUUGCUCUUCUCCUUUGCAGAGAUGCAUGCAGCAGAAAUUGUACAUUGUACAUUAAAUCAUAAUAGCGAUAAAAACAUGUAGGAUUUAUAACUUAUAGUACAGUAUCUUUGAAUCCUUUUAAAGUUGGUGUUGCUGCUGCUUUGCAAUAAUUAGUAACUCCUCUUAUUCUGCUAUUAUUCCUUUCCUACUCUGCUUUGCCUUUUUGCGAGCCGUGAAGCAUCAAAGUGGCUGUGCAUUUUCAAACUAGGCCUAAGUAGUAUAAAGUGAGUAAGUGACCGUUCGCCUGUUCUCCCAACUUGGCAUCUUUGAUUACGGUGGCCAUUUAUCGGAGUGGGCGCCGGUUUGGCUGCAGGAAUUGUGAUCGAGGAGGCGAUCAGUGCUGUGGAAAGUGGCCGAGGGAGUGGCAGUGACAGCAGUGACAGCAGCGGCGGUGGCGGCGGCGCUGGCGGCUGUGGUGGUGGAUAUGAUGGUGGCAACGGCGACGGCGGUGGAUGUGGAGGCGGUGGUGGAUGUAGCAGCGGCGGAGGAUGUGGUGGUUGAGACUUGAGAAUCGAGCAGUGCAUUUAUAUCUAUUAUUAUUAUUUGAAAAUACUUUUUACGGUUUUUUCUCUCUUUUUUGCAUGGAUUAUUUCUGUACCAGCAGUAAGAUUGGGGCUGGAUUUUUGAGUGUUGAUGCUUUGACGCUGUUUCUGAAAUUUGAGGAUGCUUCUUUUUUAUUUUGUAACUUAAAUUUGAUUAAUUCAUCUCGACAAAUGAAAGUUAUUUUUUUUAAUUUUUUUAAUGAACGAAAUUGCACUAGUAAGCAGAGAAAUUAUUUUCAUAAAUUUGAAAAGUUCCUGGGUAUAAUGUUGCACCAAAUAUGCCCUCUUAAUGAGGACCCAAAAAUGACUGUUUCUUUUUAUAAUUACAUGUUCCAAAGUGUUAUAUUGACUCGAGGGAUUGUGGGCAUUGUCCAAAAGUUUAUGUAAUUAUGGUAAUAAACUUAGAGAUUGUUACAUUUGAUAUGAUCUGUAUUAUUUAAAAUAUGCAGAAAAGUAAAUCACAAAUGUCAGAGCACUUUAGUCCUAAGAUCAACUGUUUCAAUAUUUUAAGAACUAGGCUAAUAUACUAUUAAUAGCACCAAGUCAUUGGUGCUAUCAAGUUUUUGGCCAUUGGAUUAAGAGAUGUGCGGUUAGGAUGAUGCGGGCCCCUUAGGGUUGAGUGGGUGGUUGGUUGAAUAGUAUGAUCUAACGGAUGAAAACAAUCAAAAGGGUAGAUCUAACGGCGGAAAACUUGGUAACAUCAAGUGCUUCGUGCUAUUGAUAGCAUAGCAGCCAGACUCAUAUUUUAAUGUCAAAUUUCUUUUACUUUAAGACCAGAUGGUGUUACGCUUUUUGAAACUUUUUCACAUUAAAUAAUUAAAUUAUUUAGUUGCAAACGUAAUUAGCUGCCGAAAGGUAACAUAAUUUAUAUUGAGUAUCAUAUGUAUAAAGAAUUCUUAUAAAAAUAUAUUACUAUCAUUUCACGCACCCUCACUAAUCCCCCAAAAUUAUAAUAUUUUUAGAAGUAUUUCAGUAUAAUUUCGCAUAUAAUAUAUUAACCUAAGUAUGCCUCCCCUCUCUCUCUCUCUCUCUCUCUCUCUCUCCCUCUCUCUCUCUUAAGUAUGCAGCCCCCCAAUUUUCAUAAUUUGCAUAAGGAUACUUUAUAUAUAAAAAAUAUAGUGCUCUCUCAACUCUUGAGUUUUUUCUUUUAAAUUUAGUAUCUUCAUAACUUUUAAUUAUUUUAAAUAAAUUUUUUAUUUAAUUAAAUUAAAGAUUAUAUUAAAAUUAAUAGUUCGGUCAACUAAUAGUCAUUUAUUGUCACAAUUAUAUUUAGUAAAAAUUAAGAAAUUAAAUUAUUUAUUGAAUUACUAUUAGAUUUAAUAAAUUUCAAAGUUAUUUGAGUGAAAUAAUAUAAAUAAAAUAAUUAGAAGUUAACUAAGUAUAAAUAAAACAGGGGUAAUGCUUUUUUACACUAAUUAUUUAGCCAAUAUAUUUUUUCAUCAAAAUUUUGACUAGGUAAAUUUUGUUUAUUUGUUAAAAUUUUGAUUUGUAUAUAUUUUGGUCCCCUCAUAAUCAAGUGCUAGUUUCGUCCCUGUAAGUGCGAUCGCCCUUAUGCUUAUAAGUCGUUUUCGAUGAUAGAGCUUCCGAAUCGACGAUUCAUAUCAUUAAACGUUAUCUAGAGUAUUUAAAACUUCUAUAAAUCAAAUUUUAUAAUUUUUUGAUAUUAUUUAUUACGAUCAAAAAAUUUCAAAAUUGAUAAUUUUUAACGGCCAGUAUGAAAUACUUACUAGUUUAACGGUAUAAAAGAAUCGAAAUCAAUUGAAUUUUUGAUAAAAAAUUUUAUUUACUAUCUAAAUAGAGAUCAAUAACUCAAAUCUUAAAUUAAAGGAUCCGAUUAUCUAUUUUUAGGACAUCAUUCGAUUUUGACCAUUCAUUUUAUGUCGGUUUGAUAGAUUUUAUUAUGAUUUCGAAAAAUUACGAAACAUAUUUUUUAAAAAUUUCAAAUAUCGUAUAUCAUAUUUAACCGAAUGAAUCGUCAAUUCGAAAGUUCUAUUAUUAAUAAAUAACUUAUAAGUACGAAAAAGUUUGAUACUCAUAAAAGUAUAGUAGUCUUACUUUAUAUAUAUAUAUAUAUAUAUAUAGUCCGUUUUCAGUGUCUCUCUGUAUAUUGAUACAGAGCGAUAGCAUAAAAUUUCUCUGACUUUGAGCGAAAUUUGUGUAAAAUUCACAAGCUGAAGCAAUUUCAAUUUAAAUAGGAGAAAUUAAGAUGGCUAGGUUUCUUGCUGAUCGAGUUGGUUGACUACAACAACAAUUCGAGCACGGUAAAAAUGCGCAAUACAUGUUAAAAUUAGGCCAUCAAUUCACGAAGGUUAUCAAAAUAUUUAAAAUAAUAAUAAAAAAUAAAAAAAUAGGACUUGUCAACGCAAGGAUUGUCCCUUUCAAAAGACUUGGACAAUAUACUAUGACAAAAUAUCUUGACCAACUCUAUUUUAUUCCCAUUCCACGCGUCAUUGGCAAGGAAGCUUAACAAUUACGGAACAGGGAGACCACUAAUUCAGGCGAAGACUUUGAGGGCCAAUAACACUAUCCCCUUUUUCUUCUAAGACUUUUUAUUUUUAAUGUUGUUCAAUUUGUGUAUUUAUAACAAUAUUUUGAACAGUAUAUACUUGGGGAAAAAUUGCAUGGAUCAACUUGGCAAACUUAGAUCUUAAUUUUUUCCUUCUUCUUGUUGGCAUUCGGUUAAAUCAAAUCGGGUGCGUCCAUGAUCGAGCUCAAUCCGACAGUUACUAUAUUAUCUCAUUAUAUUAAAAUUAAUCUUGCUUUUAAAUUGAAAAACUAUUUAGAGAUAAAUUCUACUCAUAGGAUAACAAUUAAUAAUUGAUUUGGCCUUAUCUCUUACGCAUCUAUUAGAAUUUUGAAAUUCCUUAUAAAUAUGCGGGCGAUCUCAUAUAAAAUAAAUAAGAGAACGAAAGAAUAAGAAAACCAAGUGAGAAAAAUUUAAAAACCACAUUUUCUAUCAACUUAUUACUUAUUAUUCUAGAGGGUCUUGAACGAUGGAUUUGCGAUCGUGCUUGUUUGUAGUUCGAUCCAUCGCGAGUUUUGAGCGAUAGAAGAUUUUCAAGGACAAUCCGAAGAGACGUGAAUCAACCUUUACGAUCCUGACUCGUCGCAUUCUAGCGCGAAUCACUUUCGUAAAAAGGUACGAACAAAUACUUCUGCUGCAUUCUACACUUCUUAUUCAAAUUUAUAUACUCCCUAAAUUUCUAAUUAUUUUGACUUGAAUUAUUUUUAUAUACUGAGUUCAAGUUUCAUUAAUUGCAAUUUGCAGUUCUCAAAAUUCACAAUUCCAUGGCUAGAAAAUUCUUUCAUUAUAGUUAAAUUUUAUAAAAUCAGUAUUAAAUUAUAUACAUUUUUUUAAUUUAUUUGAUGACACUACUUAAACUAAAAAAAAUUAAAAAAAUAGAAUUGAAAAAUAAAAAAUAAAAACAAUUGAGAGCAUAUUGUAGAGGGUGUCUCUGUACACUUUCUUCUAUAAUAUGCUUUUUGAAAUUUUAAUUUUGAAAUCUAAUUAUUUUAUAUUUUUAAUUUUAUAUAAGAAUUGAGGUAGAAUACUUUUAGAAGUACCGACCUCUUGGUGCUUCUAAGUUUCUAGCUCUUGGAUCCACUCAUUGAUUACUAAUAGCUUUUAGAUCAAACACUAUUCCAGCUAACACCAUCUAUCACUAUCAUCUCAACCCUACAUCUCUCCAUCCAAUGGCUAAAAAUUCAAAAGCACUAUCCUCUUGGUGCUUUUGAGAGUAUUCUAAUUCAACUCUCUCUCUUUAUAUAUAUAUACUAGUUGAAUGUACGUACAAAUGCACGUAACAAUUAAUUAUUUAAUAAUUAUUUUAAAUUAAUAUGAAAUUGUACAUCAUAUUUAUUAAAAAAAAAUAUAAUUGUUUAAAUAAGUAAAUUUAUUUAUUAUAAGCUAUUAGAAAAUACCUACCAAUAAAUUUGUCAACAAUAAUUAUAGUGUUUUUUUAUUUUAUAAAAUACUAUAUAUAAGUGUAGAUAUAGAUAACAUUAAAUAUUUUCUGAUAAAAUUUUACAUAAUAGUGUAGAUAUGAUAUAAAUUAAAUAUUUUUUUGAUAAAUAGAUACUAGUGGUAAGUAUAAAUAUACAUAAAUAUAGAUAUAACAAUUAAAAAUUUUGUAUAUCUAAUAAAUUUAAAAUUUAAAUAAAUAUUUUAACUAAAGUAUCAAAAUAAACAUUAAUAUGAAUAAUAAAGUAUUAUAAUAGAAUAAGAGAUAGAUAAUAUAAUAUUAUUAUAACAUAUAUUAUAUAUAUGUAGAUAGAUAUACAGGAGAUAAUUUUUCGGUAGGCAAAAUUUGGAUAAAUAUAAUUUUUUACUGUUGUGAAAACAAAGAGAUUAAUAAAAUUUGUUUAAUUCUUUAUUUAUUUACGUAAGAAAAAGUAAUUAAUUUUUUUUUUUUCGCCAAAUAAAUGGUCUGAUCGACAGAUCCCGAAAUUGAAUACAUGCUUUAUAUAAUACGAUAAAAUGUACGUGCAAAUACACUUAAUAAUUUAGAAAAAGUUUAUAUUUUUAAAUUAUUUUUAUAUUUAGGCCAUAUUUUAUAUGAUUGCCAAAUAUGUAUGCUGAAAUAAUUUAAAUAAUAAAUCACGCUAUUUUAAUACGAUAUUAUCUUUAAAUGAAUAAAUAAUUAACAGGGAAUAAUCUUAAUGAAAAAAUUAGUCUUAAAUAAUAAAAAAUAAAACCAUCUGUUAGAAUAAAAUUUGAAAUUAAAUAAGAAAAAGAAAAUCCGUUAUCGUUAAAGAAUAUAUAAUUGAAAUAAAUAGAUUAAAUCUAAAAAAGAUAUUAAAAAUAAAAUGAAAAAUACUUUUAUAGAUUUCACAGCCUGUAAAUCUGUUAUAGAGAAGCUCUAUUUUUGAAAUUAAAAUAGAAAAAUUUAUGUUAUUAGGAUUUCACAUGACAGCACUAAUCUGUUAUAGGAGAACGUUACGUAUUGCAUUGCUGUUUCUAUUUUUAUUCUAUAUUUAAAAUUUUCGUAACGGAGAGAUGAGGGCGCUAAUUUCCCACCGAAAAAAUGGUUUGUCGAAAGACCAAAUUUGAUAUAGACGUGCUUUUAAUAUCAGUGUAUAGUAUAUAUAAUAUAUAUAUUAUAUAUAUAUAUAUAUUAUAUAUAUAUAUAUAUAUUUAAUAGGCUAGGGCUACUAUCCUAUAAUAGGAUAGUAGCACUUGUCCUUCAAAUUGUUCUUCAUGAUAGAGAUUCUGAAUCGAUGAUCGGAGCUUUGAAGUUGAAUCAAGAGAUUCGAAAUAUCUAGAAACUAAAUUUCAUAAAUUCUAAAAUUAUUUACAUGGUGAUGAGAGGUCGCAAAAAUCGACAAUUUUUUGAACUGGCAUAUUAUGAUCGUUCUUGUUUAACGUGAUGAGUAAUCUAAAUUAUUUGAAUUUUUUGAUAGAAAAUUUUUUAUACUAUUUAAAUAAUAUUUGAUAAUUCUGAUUAUGAAUUGAAAAAGUCUAACCUCUAUUUUAAGAAGGUUAUUCAUUUAUAACCAUUCAUUUUUCAACUCUUAAGAUGAACUUGAUAAUAAUUUUUAAAUAUUACAAAAUUUGGUUUCUAAACAUUUAGAUCAAUUUCUCUUCUCUCUUUCAAUUUGAUGGGCGGUUAAGAACUUAGGAGCACAAGGGCUGCUGUGUUUCUAAUAGCACAGUAGCCCUACUCUAUAUAUAUAUAUAUAUAUAUAUAUAUAUAAUAUAUAUAUAUGCAGCGUGUUGCAAGCCGACUAAGCAGUUUAUAAAGAGAUAAUUGAUGGAGACGACUUAGCCAAAGAUGAAUAUAAUAAAGAGCUAUAAAAUGAAUAUUCGGAGUUGCAAUAUCUUUUUAAAGCGCAUUUAUCUUGUCAGGUAACUAUUGGGUCAAACUUCACAUCGCACAAGAAAAGAAGAGGUCCAUUUGGAUAUAUAUAUGUAAGCAAGAUAUUUGUAAAGUUCGCCCUACAAAGCUUAAAAUAUAUAAUAAUAAAUAAACACCUCUUUGAAGAAGAAGAAGAAGAAGAAGAAGAAGAAGGAAAAAUGGCUAGGGCUUUAGCCCUCUUGAUUUCCGGCGAUGUCGGCGGCGAAUCCGUUUCUCAAUUCUCCGGGAUUCUUCUUAUGAUAUGCAUGGUUUUGUUGACGGUCUCCGUCUUGGCCAUCGUCGCGUUCAAUUGCGGCGUCAAGAAGCCGAAGCCGAAGAAUAAUGUGUACUACUACGGCGCCGGGAACCCUCCGCCUUACUACGGAGGCGGUCCGACCUACGCAAGUGGCGGCGGCGGCGGCCGUGGUGGCGGUGGCGUCGGUGCAGGCCUGGCGGUCGGAGCUGGCGUAGGCUUGGCCGCCGGUUUGGCCACUGGCCUGGUCGUCGACGCCGCUAUCGACAGCGCUCAUGGCGGCGGCUGUGGUGGCGGUGGCUGUGGUGGCGGUGGCUGCGGCGGCGGCGGCUGCGGCGGCGGUUGUGGUGGUUAACUAUUAUAGUUUUCUAUGUAUUCAUUCUUGGUAUCUGUUUAAGUAAAGCACAUAACCAAUCCUUUUUAAAUCAUUCGAGGAUUAAUUCUUAAUUUGUGCUGUGUGUUAAAACAAACGUUGUGUUGGUAUUUUGAUUGCUUCUAAUGAUCUCUUAAUUGUACACAUUGAUUUAAGUUUACUUUUCUGUGCACGUGGACUAAAUGAUAUUUGAAAGCUGACUCUGCACCUACGACGCCACAUAGUUAUGAUAAACUUGGUCGAAUGGAUAAGCUUUGUGUUAAUUUAAGAGUAAUUUUUCGAGCCUCAUAAAUACUUUCUAUAUAUCUAUGUGCACCCAUGGCCUCGGGAAUGGUUUCGAGAUAAUUCCACCGCACCCCCUGUUUUCUCUCUUGGAUCCUCGUUGAAGAUCUUUUUCGAUAUUUUAAAAAAAGGGGGGUGGGGAUGGGGAAUUUUCGUGAGAGAAUUUUCGAAAUUUUAAAAAACGGCCGUUUAACGAAUAACACGAAUUUUAUCAUCACGAUCCAAGAGUAAACUACAUGAAAUAUCCGAUUUUUCUAAAUAUUUGAAUAAUUAAAGAAUAAAUUUCCCCAAAAAAAGGGUUUAAUCCCUCUUCUCUCUUUCUUAUCACAAUGCAGUAGCGUGCGAAUGGCCUAAAAAAUCGGACCACAGUAGGCUUUGGCCCAAUUUGGGCCGGAUGUGUAGCCCAAUUCAGGCCGGCCAUGUGGGCCCAUCUUCGAUAAAUUGUGUAACAUGAUCUCUUUGAUUUUUUUUUCCCCCCAUUUUGCGAUAUAUUUUGUAAUAUCCCCUAGAGAUGAUAAUUAAAUUUUAUCUUUCUCUUUAUUCAUUAAAUUAUUCAUCUACUUUGUCAUCAAUUAUUCUUUUUAAAUUUUACUUGAAUUUUAUGUGGAUGAAUUGCCAGAUAGAUUAAAUAGAAAAGAAUUUGAAUUUGUAAAAGAAAAGUACACACGCUUUUAUUUUUUUAUAUUUUUUCGUUGCCAAGUACAAACCCAUAUUUAAUGGAAAAGAAUUUGAAUCUGAAAAAUAGAAAACAAAAAUAAACAUAACCAAAGAAGUCUUAGUCAAGAGCUAUUUAAAUAAUAAUAAUAAUAAUAAUAAUAAUANUUUCUCUCUCUUAAUUAAGUUGGAUUUGGCCUUUAAUGGUUUCAGAUUCCCACCUUCCAGAUAAUGGUUUGCAGAUCCGCCAACCUGUUAGCGCAAACCGGUUUGGUAGUUUUUGGAUUCGGGUUUGGGACUUGUUAUGAUUCGCCCAAUACCAGAUUACUUUAUUGGAUUUGAUUUCUAAACCCUAAACCCUAAAAUCCUAUUCUAAUCUACUUAUGAAUUGAUUGCCACAUCCUUCGUGUCAGAAGUUGAAAAUGAACUUAUGAACUUCAAAGAGCUUCCUUUUUUUUGUUUUCACACUGGUCUUAUUAAUUUUUUAUUUUAAUUUUUUUUUUGAGAGAGAAAGGUAACACGCUAUCCGCUUUAUUUAUUUAGCAGAUGAAUUUAGCUAUAGAGAUUGAGACAACCCGGCCUCGAAAAAUAUUAAAGGCAACCAAAACAAAAAAACCAAAUAAAAACUAAAAUUAAUAUUAAAGGCAACCAAAACAAAAAAACCAAAUAAAAACUAAAAUUAAAAAACUAUAGAAAAUUGACACUUGUACUCUUCAUUUAAAACCAAGACACUAAUAAGAGUUGCAAAACUUAGUCCAAUCUCUCCCAUAUUCAUCUAAUAGUCAAAAGAGGGUCAAAUGAUUGACUCCUAAAAAUAAUAUUAUUUUUUUUUCGCCGUAUCAUUUACCAACAGAUUACGUUGCCCCUUGGUGGUGGUCCCAGCCAGAAGCUCCCAAACACUCCUCACUUCCAUCCCAAGCCUAAGGACGUCCCUACUUUCUAGGAUGUUGUACAUAAAAAAUCUGUUGAUUACGCAUCCAAUCAGCAGAUGAUUAACAGUCUCUAAAUCGUUGCCGCACGUCACACAUUGUUGAUUCUCAGACCAACAUCUUUUUAAAUAUUGGAAUAAUUAAAAAAUAAAUUUCCCAAAAAAAAAAAGGUUUAAUCCCUCUUCUCUCUUUCUUAUCACAAUGCAGUAGCGUGCGAAUGGGAAAAAAAAUCGGACCAGAGUAGGCUUAGGCCCAAUUUGGGCCGGAUGAGUAGCCCAAUUCAAACCGAGACCAUGUAAGUUUGGCCGGCCAUGUGGGCGCAUCUUCGAUAAAUUGUGUAACAUGAUCUCUUUGAUUUUUUUUUCCCCAUUUUGCGAUAUAUUUUGUAAUAUCCCCUAGAGAUGAUAAUUAAAUUUUAUCUUUCUCUUUAUUCAUUAAAUUAUUCAUCUACUUUGUCAUCAAUUAUUCUUUUUAAAUUUUACUUGAAUUUUAUGUGGAUGAAUUGCCAGAUAGAUUAAAUAGAAAAGAAUUUGAAUUUGUAAAAGAAAAGUACACACGCUUUUAUUUUUUUAUAUUUUUUCGUUGCCAAGUACAAACCCAUAUUUAAUGGAAAAGAAUUUGAAUCUGAAAAAUAGAAAACAAAAAUAAACAUAACCAAAGAAGUCUUAGUCAAGAGCUAUUUAAAUAAUAAUAAUAAUAAUAAUAAUAAUAAUAAUAAUAGAAUCUACAGUUCAUCUGCUAAGCAACUUCUCAAUAUUUGCAUAGGCAAUUUAAAAAAGUGUACUUUCGCCUUCAUUCACCUUAGAAAUAGCACUAUUCCUAUUCUACUACUCUUGUGUACAGCUCAGAACAGCUAUAAACNUACCGUCUUUUAGAAGACGGUAAACAGUUAACCGUCUUAUAUAGGCACCUUGUGCCACGCGGGGAAUUGCUGAGAAGGUGGUAGGGUGCGCGGGGAAUUGCUGAAAAGGCGGCAUGCUACGCCUAGAGAAGACGGUUAACGAUUUACCGUCUGAAUAAGACGGUUAACCAUUUACCGUCUUCAAGAGCUAUACUUAUAGACGGUGAACGAAUCACCGUCUUUAUGAGAAAUGCUGAUCUGGCCGCUGAGGUGGCGAGAGGAAUGUUAGUUUCACAAAUAAAAUUUUCACAGGGUUAGUUUGGCAAAUAUGAAAUUUCACAGGGUUAGUUUCGAAAAAAGUCCCAGUGUACAAUUCUCCAAGCUUCCCUGACCAGGUGCCAGAUGAAAACAAUGAAAACAUCUACUUACAAACAAGAGGGAAUACUAUAAGCCACAACUUUAUUUAUUUAUUUAUUUAUUUAUUCCAUGAUAGCACCUUGUGUUGAAAUUAACUAGGGGGUGAAGGGUGAGUACAUGUAGAUCGGUACGGUUUGAUUUUUGUGCAGCAGUUUUUAAAAUUGAACCAAACUGAAUUAAUUUGUUUUGAGGAAAUCAACAAAAAGUGGCUAUAAGUAUGAUUAAUUUUAUAGUAAAAUCUGUAAUUAAUAUGAAAAUAGUGGUCAAAUUUUCUAAUAAUUUGACUAUUACAUCAAGAUAAUAUAUAUAUAUUUUUUAAAAAAUUAUAAGAUUAAAUAUAUAUUAAAUUAUUGAAAGUUUGGUUAAUUUGAAUUUUCCGGUAUUCAAAUUUCAAGAUCAAAUUUAAUAGAAUUUCUUAUAAUUAGAGCUAGCUAAGAUGAAAAUAAGCGGAUUCGAUUCAAUAAUUCCAUUUAAACCAAAGAGUUCUCACCCUAUCUAUAACUGUGGAUUCGCAUUUUGAUCACAUAUAUGAAUCCUAAAAUCUAAUGCUAUGUCAUUUUCACAUCCAUAUGUCAAGUAAAUUUCUAUAACUUUUCGUGGUUACGUGCUUGGAAAAAACAUUGGAAAAAUCAAGGGAAAAUUUCAAUUGGCCCCUAUAUAUGUGAUUUAACAUAUUUUAAUUUGGCUAUUUAAAAGUAAUAUUUUACUAUCUUAUAUUUUGAUUUUCAUUUGAUUAUAAUAAUCUAUUAUUAAAUAAGAUAGUAAAAUAAUACAAUUUACAGCCGAUAAGAUAGUAAAGUAAAAUUUACAAUUGAAUAGUAUACUAUAUUUUAUUAUUCUGUAAUUUACAAUUAUUAGUUGUGAUUUUUUAAUUGUAUUACUUUACUAUCUUAUUGAACCGUAAAUUUCUACAAUAAAAUAAAAAUAAAAUCACAAAAAAGCAAAAUGACACUUUUCAAACUAUGAAAUAACAAAAUAAUAAUACACUAAACCCUAUUGGACAACUCAAAAGUCUUUCCCAAAAAAUCAAUUUACAACAGGUAAUAGUAUUAGUCCCCAUAUAUAUAUAUAUAUAUAUAUAUAUAUAUAUAUAUAUAUAUAUANGCGUUGCAAGUAUCCUUUCAUAUUUUGACUCACAUAUUCGCAAGCCUACAUAUAAGGAACUCACAGUCCUAAUACAGGAACCAUGAAUACAUUCACAACAUUACGUAUUUGCAACCUCAAUUAACUAAUUGAAGAGAGAAGGAGGGAGAGAGAUGGCAAGGAUUCUGGGAGCUUUAGGGCAUCCUAUUUCUAUGGUUUAUGCCACUCCAGGUGUGUUAUUGUUUUGUGCUAUUGCAGCAUCACUUGCGGUGAUAACCAUGGCCAUUUUCAUUUGUGGCGGCGAUCAUGGAUCAAACAAACGUAGGCGGAAACGUUCGCACUAUGCAUCGGGUGGUGGUGGCGCCGCCGCUGGCAGUGUCGCCGCCGGUGGCGGCUGUGGCGGAGGAGGAGGCGGCGGUGGCGGUGGGGGCUGUGGUGGAGGAGGAGGUGGUGGUGGCGGAGGAUGUUGAUUGUGUACCUGCGCAUAUAUGGGACCUAUGAAAAACCAAUAGCAGUUUUCUCUACAAUAUUAUUCUGCUUGUUGAAUAAUUUUAUUCGUGGUUUGGAUUUUCUGAAAUAGUACAAAAUAAUGUUUUGAUGAUCUUGUUUAUAUAUAUAUAUAUAUAUAUAUAUAUAUUCUUUUCGAUUAGGAUGAUUUGGAUUGACCGUGAGUUUAUACUGUAUGUUUUAUUUAUAUAUAUAUAUAUUUCUUUAAUGAAUCGUGCAGAAAAAAAACAGUAAUAAGUUCUAUAUCUUUUCUUUCUGAAUUGUUUGAUUGUAAGAGAAAGCAAAAAAACAAUUUACUAUAGAUCAUCGAAAGCGUUCCCAUUUUCAGAAUUUCUUAUUUAAUUUGACUUUUAUUAUAUUUGUCUAGUAAGAAGAGAAACAAUAAGAACUCAUAUAUUUUUCUCUUUCUCGAUUGUUUUGUUAUUAGAGAACUCUAAAAAUAUAUUUUACUAUUUAUCAUUUAAAACAUUCUCUCUUAUUAAAUUUAUAUUGAUACCCUCUAUAUGACAAAGCGAUUUGUAAAUAACAUUGCACGCUGCUUCAAAAUUUAAGCUCUGUAUGUGAUAGUAGAAGAUCAGAGUACCACGUCAGCCAUAGGUCAGUCCAUAAUUUUAGAUGCCUAUAUACGAAAUAUCGUAAUACUUCACAAAAAAAAUAGAUAUAUAAGAAAAAAAUUAUGAUAGAUUAGAAGUUUUUAUGAAAAUAAGCGGAUUCGAUUCAAUAAUUCCAUUUAAACCAAAGAGUUCAGUUCUCACCCUAUCUAUAACUGCGGAUUCGCAUUCCAAUCACAUAUAUGAAUCCUGAUAUAUAUGAAACCUAAAAUCUCAUGCUGUGUCAUUUUCACAUCCAUAUGUCAAGUAAAAUUUCUAUGAGUUUUCGUGGUUACGUGCAUGCUUGGGAAAAUCACUGGAAAAAUCAAGCGAAAAUUUCAAUUGGCCCCUAUGUGAUUUAACAUAUUUUAAUUUGGCUAUUUUUAAAAUAAUAUUUUACUAUCUUGUAUUUUGAUUUUUAUUUUAUUAUAAUAAUCUAUUAUUAAAUAAGAUAGUAAAAUAAUAUAGUUUACAGCCCAUAAAAUAGUAAAGUAAAAUUUACAGUUGAGUUUUGCCGGCUCGGUUUGUAGGCUCUAACUGCUUCCGUCAUGUACGCCUAAUUCAUUUUGCUUAAUGAAUGAAGCAGGUAGCUUGCUAUCUAUUUCUCAAAAAAAAAAAAAAAAAUACAGUCGAAUAGUAUACUAUAUUUUAUUAUUAUGUGAUUUACAAUUACUUGUGAUUUUAUUUGAUUUUUUCUUUCUUUCCUUUUUUGGCUCCUGACUCCCUUAAAUUUUUCUGUCUCUUUUACUCAAUUUUUUCCUCGGAAGCUUCAGCUGCUUCCAUUCUGUAAGCUUAGUUUAUCUUCCUAAUGAAUAAAGCGGAUAGCUCGCUAUCUAUUUCUAAAAAAAAAAAAUAGUUGUGAUUUGUUAAUUGUAUUACUUUGAACACACUUUUCAAACUAUAAAUAACAAAAUUUGGAUAAAUUGAAAGUCUUUCCGUCCCAAAAAGUCAACUAACAACAACAGGUAAUAGUGUUAGCCACGACAUAUAUAUAUAUAUAUAUUAACUAACUCCGCAAUAACGCGUGGCAAGUGUCCUUUCAUAUUUGGACUCACAUAUUUGCAAGUCUACAUAUAAGGAACUCACAGUCCUAAUGCAGGAACCAUGAAUACCUACACAAUAUUACGUAUUUGCAACCUCAAUUAACUAAUUGAAGAGAGAGGGAGGGAGAGAGAUGGCAAGGAUUCUGGGAGCUUUAGGGCAUCCUAUUUCUACGGUUUAUGCCACUCCAGGUGUGUUAUUGUUUUGUGCUAUUGCAGCAUCUCUUGCGGUCAUAACCGUGGCGGUUUUCAUUUGCGGCGACAAUCAUGGAUCAAGUAGGCGGAAAGGGGAUGUCGGAGGGGGCGGGGAUGGUGGCGGAGGAGGCGGGGAUGGUGGCGGAGGAGGAGGAGGAGGAGGUGGCGGUGGCUGUGGUGGCGGCGGCGGCGGCGGCGGAUGAUGUUGAUUGUGUGCGCAUGGGACUUAUGAAAAACCAAUAGCAGUUUUCUGUAUAUUAUAUAUUCUGCUUGUUGAAUAAUUUUAUUCGUGGUUUGGAUUUUCUGAAAUAGUACAAAAUAAUGUUCUGAUAAUCUUGUUUGAAUAUUUUCUUUUUUUUUUUUUCCUUUUCGAUUAGGAUGAUUUGAAAAAAAAUAAAAACAAUAAAAAACAUUCUACGCUGCUUCAAAAAUUAAGCGCUGUGUGUGACAGUAGAAGAUUAGAGUACCACGCAGUAUCAGAUUAGAUCCGGUAUCUAAACCANUUUUUUUUUUUUUUUUUUUGAGAGAGAUAGAUAGCACGCUACCCUCCAAUCAAACACUCUACUAUUCUAAUUCAUACAUAUAAUCGGUUCAUGACCACAACUCACAAAAAUGUAGUGCACAUAUAUAAUUCACUGGCAAUAUAAACGAAUUUUACCGACCGUCCCUAAAGCAAAUGGCAAUGAAUUUGAUGGUUGGUAUUCGAGAUCCAAGUUCGAAUCCUAGUUGAUUCACAUUUCUAGCCAAGUUUAUUUUUAAAUAAAAUAAACGAAGCGGGUAGCGUGUUACCUAUUUCUCAAAAAAAAAAAAAAAAAAACGAAUUUCCUAGCUAAUAACUAAUUCUUUUUUUUAAUAACUAAUUUAUUAAGACAAACAAUUCUGGUAAUAAUAUCAACAUCAUAUAUUUCACAUUGAGCAAUCAUGCAUUCAAGUUUCCGCGUGUUUCCGUAGCUUAAAAAAAAAAAAGAACCGUGCUUCACGACAAGAGCAAUAAUGGAAAGAAAAAUCAAAGUAACUAGAGGUAAUAAUAACAACCGCUACUUUUCUGAGGCCAGAAUAUAUCGCGUGCGCGUUGUAACUAUGCGUUCAUAUAUAUCUUGGACUUGAUGUAUUCAUAUUUUGUACUAUAUAUAAUUGCAACCUUAUCUAUAAGGAACUAAAGAACAUAUUUAUUUGAUGUAUUCAUAUUUUGGACUAUAUAUAAUUGCAACCUUAUCUAUAAGGAACUAAAGAACGUUCGGUAGUUUCUAAGGAAAAAAAUCACACUGAAAAUUUGAUUAUAUUAAUUAUUUAAUUAAUUUUAUGAUAAAAAUUAAAUUAAAUUUACAGAUAAAUACUAAAAUCUAAAUAAAAAAUUGUUGAAGAAAAAUGCCAAAAUAUUUAUUCCGGAAGCAUGCGUAGCAUUGCGAGAUUAAUCAAAAAUAUUAUCCCAAAGUACGACCAAAAUUUCUUCUCAUGUGAACACGAACGCAAAAGAUCUUUCAACACCCGGAAUCUCUCUCUGCCAUGUCCAUCUCAUGAACAGUGAAAAGAAUACUAUAAAUAGUGGUGUAAAUAGAACGUUGGAAUCAAACCCAAUGUUCCACUCCAAGGCAAUACAAAAUAAUAAUAAAAGUGAUUGAAAAUUUUUGAAUUUUUUCACCAACAUAGUUAACUUGAUCGAAGAGAGAGGGAGAGAGAUGGCAAGGAUCCUGGGAGCUUUAGGGCAUCCAAUUUCUACAGUUUAUGCUACUCCAAGUGUUUUGUUGUUUUGUGCUAUUAAUUGUAGCAUCUUUUGCAAUCAUAGCCGUGGCGGUUUUCAUUUGUGGUGGUCAUGGAUCAAACGAACGUAAGAGGAGACCUCGGAAUGAUUCAGCCUUAGUACACGGAGGCAGCAGUGGCGGGGCGGUGGCUGCGGUCGUGCCGGUGGGCGCGGGCACGGGCACGGAGGUGGCAGCUGCGGGCACGGAGGAGGCGGCUGCGGGCACGGAGGAGGCGGCUGCGGCGGUGGUUGUGGCGGCGGAGGCAGUUGCUUGUGUGCAUGGGACAUGCAUGCAGGACCAAAAUACGUAGAAAUAUGUACCUACAGCGUAACCAUUUUCUAUUUUUCUACUUGUUGAAUAAAUUUUUGGUUAAGAUUUUCUGAAACAGUAGAAAAGUAGUGUUUUAAUUUUUUAUUUUUUUGGGUCUUAGUUUUAUUAUAAUAAUAAUUAUCUAGUGUGUGUGUGUGUCUAUAUAUAUAUAUAUAGAAAAAUAAGAAGCCAUAUACUUCGUUUUUCUUUCUCUUUCUCAAUGCUUGACUUGGUUCGCACGAUUUAAAAUUUAACUUUUUAGAAAUUAUAACCCUAAACUUGAAUUUCAAUAUUCUAGUAUCUUAGAAUACCUAGGAUUAUGCCUUGUUCCACAUGUUUGGUUCAAGAUGGAAAAAUAACUAUAUUAUAUUGAUAAGUUUGCUGUUAAGUCUAUAAUAUCUUUUUUUUGAUUAAACAGUCCUAUUUGAGUCUAUAAUCUAAAAUGAUAUUAAUAAAGAUGAUAUUAUAUAUUAUUCGAUCUAUACUAAAAUGAUGAUUAAUAUCAAACUUAAGUAGAAUAUUUUAUUUCAUUAAGAUCAAUUCUCGUGGAAAAAUAAAAAAAACCAAGAGAGGGUGCGUUUUGAAUUCCCAUUUUUUGGUGGGGUUAGAAGAUUUUUUUAAAUCCCAUAUUUUGUUGGAUUAGAAGAUGAAUUUUUCUGCCACGUUAGAUUUUUUGACUAACCAAACAUAAAUCCUAACCCUAAUUCCUAGAAAUUUAAAAGUAUACUUCCAACCAAACAUACUCUAAUAGAUAGUUAGAAUUAAUUUACCUAUAAGAUCAUUUUGAAGCAUUUUGUAUAUUGAACAAAAAUCAUUUGACUAACCAAACAUGACUAAUUCCUAAGAAUAUUAAUUAAAAACUAUCGCAAACCAAGCAUGCCUUAAGUGAUAGUUAGAAUCAAUUACCUAUAAGAUUAUUUGAACAAAAAAUCAAAUGAUGAUCAUCUCCACGGUAAAAAUGCUAUGUAAAAUGCAUCUACUCUAUCAUUCACGAAAUUGUUGGGGAAAGGCGCCCCAAUUAUCCCUGACAACACCUUUCUGAUUUUUGAUAUUAAAUAUUAUAAGUUUAUUCGCUAAAAUAAUUAGAAUAGGACUAAUAAUUUAUCAAAAUAAAUUGAUCAUGUUUUUUCUUGUAAUUUUCUUCUAUAGUAGCACACCAAUGCCCCUCCAAUAGUUGGUCUAUUGAGUAAGUUAUCUAAUGUGAUAAUUUAACGCUAGAAGUAGGAUCUAAAAAGAAUGAAGCGGAUAGCAUACUAUCUUUUUUCUCAAAAAAAAAAAAAUGCUAACAGUAGGAUAUAAAUUUUGCGUCUAUCUAUCUUUUAAUGUAAGUAAGGAGAAAAUAAAAAAUAUCAAAAAAUUUUUUUUAAAAAAUGGCUAAAUUACAUAAAAUCUCCGUGUCAAAACCUGAUUUUUCACUUCCCCCCCUAUCAUUUAAAAACGGAUUAAUUACACCAUUAGUCCCCAACCUUUGCACUAAUUUUUACUUGGGUCCCCAACUUUUUUUUUUUUGCAAUUGAGUCCCUAAUCUCUUAAUUUUAUUACAAUUAUGUUCCAACCGUUAAAAAAACUAUUAAAAUUAACGGAAUCGCCACGUCAGCGCCUAUUUGGCAUUCUUUUGCAUUUUAAUUUAGGUCCCUAAACUUUGCACAUUUUCCACUUUAGUCCCUAAAAUUCAAAAUUCAAAAUUUUAAAUUUAAAUUCAAAAAUAAUAUUAAAAUUAAAAUUUUAAACUAACGAGAAAUUAGAAUUUUGAAUUUGAAUUUAAAGCUGAAUUUAAAUUUUGAAUUGAAAUUCAAAUUUUAAAUUUAAAUUUUUAAUUGAAUCUAAAUUUUGAAUUCAAACUUAAAAUUUUGAUUUUGAUAUUUCAAUUUACAUUUAAAAUGAAAGUUUUGAAACCGAAAUUUAAAUUUAAAAUCUGAAUUUAAAUUUAAAAUCAUAGGUAAAAAUUUGAUAUUAAAUUUUAAAUUUGAAUUUAAGAUUUGAUUUCAUUAAAUUUGAAUUUAAACUUCGAAUUCAAAUUCACAUUUUGAAUUUAAAAUUUCAAAUCGAAGUUUGAAAUUAAAUUAGAAUUUAUAAUUCGAAAUGUGAAUUUGAAUUUAAAAUUUAAAAUUUAAAAUUAAAUACAAAAUCGAAAUUUGAAUUCCAAUUUAAAUCUAAAUUCAAAAUCAAAAUUUAAAUUUAAAAUUUAAAUCUUAAAUUAAAAAUCUUAUUUUGAAUUUAUAAAUUUAAUGGGUUAAUUACACCAUUGGUCUCCAAUCUUUAUACUGUUUUUCAAUUUGGUCCCCAACCUUUCUUUUUUUUGCAAUCCGCUGACAUAGCGCCACCAUGGUGCUGACACGACGCCUCCGUGGCGCUGACAUGGCACCUCUGUGGUGUUGGCUUAAAUGGGCCAACAUCCUGCCCUGUGGCGGGAGCCCAUGUGGGCCGAGUCAUGUUCGAAAUGGCGUGAGGUUGGGUUCGGCCGAGUCAUGUUCGAAGUGGCGUGAGGCCAGGUGGGCCGAGUCACAAUCGAGAUCCGUGGGCGCUGUUUCUGUACGCUUUAAGUGAAUUGAUUGCGUAUUUCUAACAGCUCGAGCUUUUGGGAUUAAUGGUUAGCGCCAACGAUCCGACACGUGGCACUGACAUGGUGCUGACGUGGCAUUUUUCGUCAAUUUUAUUAUCUAUCUAACGGCUGGGACUUAAUUAUAAUGAAAUCAAGAGAUUAAGGACUUGAUUGCAAAAAAAAAGGUUGGGGACUAAACUGAAAAACGGUGUAAAGGUUAGGGACUAAUGGUGUAAUUAACCCUUUAAAAACCUACACUUUGUCCCCUUGUAAAAUGAAAAAUGUUCACAGAGGUACGGUGUGAACUGUAAUGACAAAAUGACCAUUUUACCCCUCACCAUUUUCAUCUCCUUCAUCCUCUUCCUCAUCAGCCGCCUCGAUGGCGGCCGAUCGUCCGCGAUUCAUGCCUCGAUCGGCCGUGGUUUCUCUCCAUUUUUUUCUCCACCUGCUCCCUUUCUCCUCCUGCACCCUCGUUGCCCCUCGAUUUCGGUGACAGUGGGGAGGAAAUCGAGGUGGGUGUGGAUGGAAAGGUGGGCAAGGACAACGAGGGCGAAGGCGAGGCCGUAAAGAAGGGUGAGGGAAUGUUUGUGGGCGCGGACGGAGAUGUUGACGAGGGCGAGGCAGUGGAGGAGGGCGAGGCGGCGAGGCGAAGGAAGGCGAAGCAACAGGAGAAAGGGCGGAAGGGUAUUUUUGGCAUAAAAAAUAUAUAAUAAUAUUUUUUUAACGGAACCCUAACAAUUCACUAAUGGUAGGGGGUAAAGUGAACAUUUUUUAUUUUACAAGGGGGCAAAGUGUAGGUUUUUAAAUGACAGGGGGGGAAUGUGAAAAAUCAAAUUUUGAGGGAGAUUUUCUGUAAUUUAGCCAAUAUAUAUAUAUAUUAUAUAUAUAUAUAUAUAUAUUAUAUAUAUAUAUAUAAUAUAUAUAUAUAUAUAUAUAAUUAUAUUAUAUAUAUAAUUUUUUGCAUUUUUCGAUAUCUUUACCUAGCAAUCGAAGGAUUUUAAAAUCAAUAAUUUUAACAGUUGAAAAUAAAAAUCCUAUAAAAAGUGGUGAUAUAGCACUAAAUUUCGAUCAGAAAUAUUGAUCUUGUUGUAGAUAGUUUAAAGAUUUUGUAUCAAAAUUUCAUCUGAUUUGAAUACUUCUACACAUUAAACUUGAAAACGGCAGAUAUCAAUAAUUAAAAUUAUUGAUUUUAAAUCAUUUCGAUCACUAGAUAAAUGAUAUAAAAAAAUCGCAAAAAUUAUUUUCU
rnacentral:lncRNA from 1 species